AAUUAUAUCCACUAUGGAUGAGGAUAGGCGGGGCUUGGGGGCCUUGGGAAGAACCAGUAGGGGAUUGUGACACCCAUCGAAGCAAAGUUGUGUCCUAAGAAUAUGGGUAUGGGUUUCAACGACUACCAAAGAAACCCCUGCAAAGGCGCCUGCUGCCUCGUUGGAGCCAGAGGAAAAGAAGCCAUCACCUGAUGUGCCUGGUAAGGAGGAGCUUUUGUCUAAGCAAGCGAACAAGACGAUGCUGAAAAACAAAGCGAAACACAUUACAGCAGAAGAGCUGUUGGCGAAGAAGCAGGAACAGGGUGUUGAAGUUGUGCAAAACGUACACAACAUGCGUGGACCUCAGGUUAGGGUAUUAGCAAGCCUGGAGAAUCUGAACGUGGAAGAGAAGGUGAGGGAGAGUGAUAUUCCUAUGUGCGAGCUCCAGCACAAUAUAAGGUCGAUUGUGGACCUAGUUGAGUUGGAUAUUCAGAAGAUCGAUAGGGACCUGAGGAAUGAGAAGGAGAAAGCUCUGAGCUUGCAAGAGGAAAACAGAAGCUACAAGCUGAGGCAGAACUCCAGAAGAAACAAAUGAAUAAUCUAGCAACUAAAUUGUGCACAUGGAACAGCGGAAGCACAAUCACGGUAGAGUCUGAUUCCGUUAGUUUGUACCCCACCUUAUGAUGCCAAAUUGCGCUGAGUUAGCAGCAUGUGAUUGGGGAGGGGUGGCCCAUAGCGCUGGAGGUGUGCAAGAACAUAGCUACAUCCGAGGGAUCGUUGACAACUGUGGACAUCGAGUCGAGGCUCGGCUCGGCUCUACGUCGGUCGAAGAGAGAGUGAUUUGGUAGAGUGAAGAUUGGCGGUUAGGUGGGGGAUGUUGAGCUUGGAAGCAGCGGAUUGAGCCCGUCGGUUUCCUUCUUGCAGUGUCAAUAGGAGCUUCGGUUCUGAGUCGGAAAGGUAGAACUUGAGCACCUUAGCUGUGUAGAAGGGAUUGAGCGGAGCUGCGGUGGCUCAGCAAUGGAUUACCGCUGGAAACAGGAUCACAAACUGCAAAACGAACACAUUUUCCAAUAAGAAAACUAUCACACCAGUCCCUGCGGAUUGGAGAUACACAUACAUAUGCAGGAUAUGCAGACAACUAGUUUGUCAACAUUUAAUUUCAUUAAAACCAUCCAUCUCCUUUUGAUAAGCGUUGACUUUGUUUUACGAUGAAUCGGUGCUUGUACAUCCCAGAAAACAACCCUUGGACCCGACAGAAAAUUCUCUUCAUGCUUUUCCCAUUUCAAUUUGUUCCUGUUCAAUUUGCACCACGCGCUCGCAGAAAUUUCAUGCCUCAGAUGCAAUUUUUUUCAGUAGAAAUCGAUGCCAUUUCCGUCUCUCUGUUCUCGAAGUACUGUAAAACUCCAAGAAACAUCUACCUCUUUCUUUCCCAAGCUAUUUCCCAGUCGAUGUUUCGCAAGUCAUCGAUCUCAUCAUUAGAAAUUCAUCGUCACCGCAAUCUUCCAGAUAUUGUGUUCUCAAAUUUAAACAGCAUCAUCCGUACUUGCGAACAGACCGGGAUGACACAGACAUACCUCGAUGUUGUUGAGGAAAGUAAGCGCGGCGGUGUCGGUGCGAGGCAGUGAUGAGUACGGUGGUGCAAUUGACAAGCUCCUGCAGCCGCAUGUGUGUCAGGUCGAGCUCCUCGCAGGCGGAGACGGCUCUCUUGUUGGGGAAAUCCGAUGUUGCCUUCUUCAAUAGGUCCGUGAGCGUAAGUUCUCCCAUCACUAACCACAGGGAACGAAUCGACGGCAAUCGGCUUCAGCCGAAACCAAUCCCCGAUCAAACUGAAGAGGGGCACCACAAUCGCUUGGCGAGACAAGAAUGAAGGAUCGACAAGAACAGGAAUUCGCACGUAUGCAUAUGAGAUGGAAAUGAGACCAGAGGGAGGAAGGGAAGGAAGUUGAUGCAAUCGAGGUGGCUCCGCGGCCAGUGCGAGCUCGGUUAAGGUGGCGACGGAGACUUAACGGAUCAAAGGCUGUAACUAGUCUCACUAAUGUCUUCGCAAGAAAAUGUUUCAAUAAACUAAUGAUAGCCACGUAAUCAAUACAUUUGUCCAUUCAGUGGACGACAAGUGGCACUAUGGCGGCCCGCUCUAUCAGCAAGUCUGCAAGUCCAUUCUGCACGACAAAAUAAAUGUCGUCCAAGUUUGAGAUAAGAAAUGAAAACCGCAGCAUCAGAAAAGGUCAUCACCAAAGGAUUAAAAUCCAGUCCAAGUUUGGGGCAAUGGCGAUUCUUGCACAGAUUGUAUAUAUGCGAAGAUCAAUGGCGAUUCUGACAGUCCAUUCUUUGCACGCACACACGCAGAUCUCCUGCUCCUUCACAACAAAAUACACAUUCAAAACUCAAUUAUGUUCAUACAGAACACUUUAACUCGAACCAGAGGAAUCAACAAGCCACGAGACAGCAAUUUUCAUGUCAUACGCCGAGCAUACGAGGUGAGAAUACUAACACUAUUUGACAAAUGAGCAUCCUAUUCUGACAAAGUCGGCCAUAAUAAGUAUUCAAAAAGUUGAGAACAAAUCGAAUUUAUGUAAUAUGAUUCUGCGGUUUGAGAAUUGAAUCGAAUUUACAUACUGAUCUAGUUCGAGCAUUUUAUCAAACAAGUAAUGUGCAUUUUAACCAAGGAGCUCAUACGCCAAUGCACAGCAAGGAUUGACUUUCAGAUCAUCACGAAAAUAACAGCACAAGUCCGAGUUGUUAAAUAAAGCUUCAAUCUCAACUGAUUUACUCACAGACAUUAGCUAAAGCUAACCGGCUCUGUUUCGUUCAUGAGCAGCAGAAACAGAGUGCGUGGGAUUUACCUUGAUGAGAGUGAGUUUUUCACUUCGGUCCGUGAUCAGAUCGGAGAAAAGUUACUGGCGCUCUCCACGUCGACGAUUGACCUCUGGCUCGUGCACGUUUGGGCGGCAUGACCAGAAAACAGAGCAGAAGGAGAGGAGGCCUUGCGGCAACGGAACCGGCAAUGGUGGAGCCGCUACGGCAGCGUUUCGACAGUGUCUAAAGGACAAUGGAGAAGGAGAACCGAUGAAGGAUCCUCUAGAAUUCCAAAGAGAGAGAGUUUCUUCGUGAGCUUCGGUGUGUGCGUUCUAUCGUGUCAUCGCUGAGCCUGUGGUGGCCGUCGAUGGUGGUGCGACGGUGGCUGUGGUGAUUGUAGACGGCCGACGGUGGUCUGGGCUUCGCCUUGUGGAUAAGGUCUGGGCUACACGAAUUAAACCAGGCCCAACAAACCGGACCAGGUCCUUUCGAUUAUGAUUUUUUCUUUCUUUCUUUCUUUUCUUUCUUCGUUUGUUAUUUAUUUUUAAUAUUAUUUUUUACUUUUUAUUUAUUUAUAUUUACCCAAAUGCAUGUUCGACUUGUUGGCAAAAAUUCAGGAGUCAAUAGGAGCAAUAUUCCAUCAUUUGGCCUAAGAACAACUUCACACCAAACUCAAUUACAAUUCAUUGUUUGUGCAAUAUUGUGACAUUAUUCCCUUAAAGAUUAGUCCUUGUACUUAACUCUUCCAUCCUUGAGUUGAAUUUGAGCGCUGAUAGCAUGGCUGCACUCGUACUUGAGUUGAUUUCUUGUAGAAUCGAUGCACACAGUACAGUUUGCAUCUCGAAGCGCAUUUUGCACGUUCUGUGCACGCAACACAUCGCGAUGGAAUCAUCAUGCUCCUGUAAUAGUUGUACACAUGACUUGCCAUCUUAAUUUAUCAUCAUAUAGGUGAUGCGUGUACUUUUAAGAUUGCCACUUUAUCUGUGUUCUUAGCACGUAUCUCAGUAUUGAUUUGUGCAAGUGGGUGGCACAUAUUCCGUCCAUGGUCUCCUCUGUUGAAUACUCUUGGCCAAGAGAUUACAAUGUCCUCUUUUGACUAACAUCCUCGUCUGUGCUUUGUCGUAUACGGUUUGUUAGGCAUUUAUACAGGUUAGAUACUUUUUGUGAUCAAGAGCAGUACAUUCCAUCCUAUAACAUCAAUUAUCUUGUGGGAUUGUGACGAACAUCACAUCAGGUCCGUUUUCACGUUCUCGUUCUUUCGCCCUUCGCCCGCCACUUGUAUCCGGCAAACUCAAUAAGAUAGCUCCACCACCCGUCAUUUCUCCGGCCUGCCAGAAUUUCUUCCGAUUUCCGUGUCUUGUUGCGCGCGAAUCAGUUGAAGUCGGAAGACGGUUUCGUAAAAAUCUCCCUUCUCAAUCUUCAUCGUCGUCUUCUUCUUCAGCUAGGGCUUUGUUUUCAAAUUCGUCCCAUGUUCGAGGUUAUCUCAUGUUUUAUUUUUUUGGUUAUGUUUUUCCACUCGCGCUAGUGACUUCAGAUCAUGGUAGGCUACCUUAGAGUGUCAAAAGGAAAAGUUCCGAAACUAGCUGAAAAAGACGAGGAUUGAGAGUGUAUAUAUGGGUCUUUCUUUAUCGAACUGGCUGUUUGAAAAUGCGGAUGAGCAGACCACUCCUUGUGGCUUCAUCAAGAAACAUCUUCAUGACAGCAAAGUAGUUGCCACUCUUCAGGCAUUUAGACAGAUCGCGGCCGGAGAAGUUAAGGAGCUAUGUGCACGUGGCAAUAAUAUCACGUCAAGUGUAGAUGUCUGCGUGUUUUGAGCUCGUCGAUGGAGAUGAUAUCGUGUUCAAAGUCUCAAUUUUCGGCCCUGCUGGUGCGUACCAGAAUUUAUUUGGGCAAAUCAACUGAAUCUUGAUAUGCAUGGCCAAGCAAUUUUCAAUCUAUGCUACAUCUUUUCAUAGUUAGUCAAUUCAAGAAACUUUCACGCCACUGUCUACUAAAUUCCUCAUCAUUUAAUUGGGAGAAAAGGUUAAUCAACUAAAUCUUGACCCUUAUCCCUACCAGUUUUGGAUCUAAGUGCAACUUGGUCUCCUUGUCAUGCAAUCCCCAUCGAUAUUGACGUCCAAGAACCACAUCUGUCGCUAGACGUUAGACGACGUGGGAACGUUAUUGGAGGGGCUUAUGACAUCUCAAAGUUAGAAAUUGGAUGGGAGAGAGGGACUUCAAGAUAAAUAUCCUUGUCCGAAUGAUCAUCACAUUAUACAGUUACUCAAAGUGUUAUUUUCGAGAGUGGGUCGGAUGGUUAAACCAUUGAACGGUACUACGGACAUCCAAUCAACCGAGUUUUAAAAAAGACAGAAAUUGGAGAAAAGGAAGAUAGUUUUAUUAAAUAAAGAGGCAAAGGUUUCGGAAAAUAGCAAAAAGUGGAUAAAAUAGCUAAAGAAGGUCCUACACACGUUCUCUGCCCUAUCGAACGCCAUUGCUCACCUGCUAGCUACAACGGCUACGCGCUUGCACCCUCUCUCUUGGAAAAAUGGGCUCUUGUGGGCACCACAUGCACCCGAGUCCCCAACUAGCCAGGUUGGAAGAGGAAAAAAUAAACAUAAAUGUUUUGAAAAAGCCUUUUUCUUAAAAAUAAUUGAUUAUAUCUCGAAUAGUCAGUCAAAAAAAUGUUUUUAUUACCAAUAACAAUUUAAUCAUUUUCAUUUAUUCAUUUUUGCAAGUGAUAAAAGCAAUUAUUUAUAGAGAAAUAUUUUUCAAAAUGUCAAUUUUUCACGAAACAAAUGAAUCGGUUUUCAUUAUUUUUAUUUAUUUAUUGCCAUCAAGUUCGUCUCACCAUUGACUAAUAAGUCAUAAUCUUACUUGACUCUAUCCUCUGAAACUUGAAAAAAAUACAAUAUUAAUACCCCAAAACUCCGGCAACUUUUUAGAAGCCCACAAACGAUAAUGUUACGAAAGAAAUUGGUAUAGCCUUUUCAUUUCCAGUUUGUUUCAUCUACAACAUUGCGACACCGAAAUCUACUUCCCGAAGUAAAUUGAGAGAUUCACGUGGUCGCAUUGAUGGCAAGCGUGCAGUGUAUCUGAUCCUUUGCGGUUCUUGAACUGCGACAAUUUGGUAUAGUAGAAUGAGGAAUAUUGUCUCUCUAAUAAACAUGAAGAAAAGCAAACCCAAAUAAUAAUCCAUUCAAACCCUAGAGCACCAGAGCAUGUAAUUAACAAAUUGAAUUCGACACGACUGACUAAUUACCCUUGUUGCCAAACGGAAUAACAAUUUAGAGAAUAGCGGUUAAGCUAUACAACAAUAGGUCACCCAUCAAAUUUUAUGAGGGCAAAGAGUGUCAUUGAAUAGCAAAAGCAAUUACUAAUUUACUAUUUCGUAACAAGACGAGCAUGUCCAUAAUCUGCCAAUGAUUGCUUACCCUUUCAAACAAAAUAAGGUAGGAAAAAAGGACGAAGGAGGCGUGAAGCUUUCUAAGGCUAAUACCAAACAUUAGCCUCAGAAAGCUUCACGCAAAUUAUCCACCCCUUGACGACAACGCAUACAAAUAAUGCAACACACUGCAUGUAAAAAUAAGCUGACUGCAAAUCUGAAAAAAGCAGAGGGUGAGGACGAACUUUGGUAGGAGGGACAUAUCGGAUAUGUUAGACAGUUCAUGAGAACCUCUCAUUUUGCACGCCACAGAUGAUUCUCACGUCCGAUAGAUCCUGAGGGUGAUGAGUGAUCUAAUGAGGCAGGAUCCAGUAAAGCUUCCUCUCGGUGGGAUGGCGACGUCUUCACAGGGGUUGGGAGUGUUGGGCACUGAAUCUUGCUACAGCUCUUCUUUAAACUAUAGGGACUGAUAUAUCGCCACAGCCGACACGCAGCGUAGCAAAAUUGAAUGUCGUAAAAUCCAUGACAAACCUGAGGCCAUAGAAAGCAGCGUUGACUUCAACUCCAACGAAACCAGCCUCUGUGAUUGCAGAAUCAACAACCCUCUCAGGUCCAUACUACUAAAAAGAAAAGAAGCUUUAGACACAUUGAAAGACUCUAGGAUCUGCAAACAUUUCCUCAUCAAACGCAGCAUUCAUGGCCUCUCUCACAAUCAUCUCUUUCCCAUAGUAUCAUAACUACGUAAAGGCAUUUCUGCAGCACAACUCUUCCGUGGCCUUUCUCUUGACAACAUAGCAUCCGAGGGCUUUUCGUAUUAGAAUCGAUAACAUCAUGCGCUCUUGAACUCGAACUUGCUCUCUCUCUCUCUCUCUCUCUCGAACGGGUAUCCUUGGAAACAAAGUCCAGCUUCGUCAUUCCAUCGAACACCUUCCUUGCAAACUCGAUUCCCUCCUCCACAGCACAACCAACGGCAAUUGAAUUUCAGAAGACAGCGAGAGAAUUGGGAGAAAAAACAAGAUCGAAACAGAAAUCAACAGACAAAUCUGGAACGAAUCGAAAUUCAUUCUAGAGUUCAACGGGAGACGACGAAUUUCGUCAUCGCUUCAAUGUUACGAGGAACCGGCUGUCUCUGAAGAUCUCUCGAAGCAAUGAUCGUAAGAGAUUCCAGUUGACAGGCUCACUCCCUCAUGGUUUCGUACAGAGAGAAAGAGAGAGAUUCUUCUCUGAAUUUUAGACACCUCGUUCUUUUCUCCUCUCUCUCUCUUUUAUUUUAUUUGCACUCUUGUUAUUUCUUUUUAUUUUGUUUUGUGUCUUUGAUUUGUAUUUUAUAAAUAAAAAAUAUACAAAUAAAAUUCAGCUUCUUCAAUGAAGGAACUGAAUUUUAAUAUUCUAUCCCCUCUUUUCUUUUAUUUGUAUUUUUGUUAUUUAUUUUUUAUUUUUUACAUCUUUAAUUUGCCGGUUAAACUAACGAUACAGUCAAAAAGUUGAAGCUAUGCUCCAAUACUGGAUGAGCAUCACUCUUUAAUUUGGCCAUAAGCGAAAUCCAUGCAAGUAGCACGUACCAACUAUGCCAAUCCAACAAUGCAUGCUCCUUGGCCAAAGCAUUGGACAUCACCAUAAGAACCACCGGCAUAGUGGUCUAAUCAUCGGGUCUCAAUGUCAGAUUUUCAAAAUAUCUUUCAGUUGGGCCCAAUUUAGGAAAUUUGGAUUUUAGUUAAAGCUGAGAUGGCCCAUAUCCGCUUUUUUUGUAAUUUAGAAAUAAUGUCUUAUUUUCCUUCUCACCAAGCCUCUUUCAUUUUCCCCGAUCUCUCGUUCUCUCUUGUCUCAUGAUCAUCGAGUCGUCCAGUCCCCACCAACCCGCCACCGCGCCACCUUCGAGCCCUGAGCUCUGCUUUCUCUCUCUCAGUCUUUCUUCUCGUGUCUCGCCCACAUGUCAGCGAGUUACAAAGCGAGAGAUGGGACGGACUCACUUUUUUGCUCGUGUCAUGGUCUCCCUCCCGCUCCCCCUCUCUCCAGCAAGUGGCAAAACAGGUUUUUACUAGCCUGUUCUGAUGUCUUCAAGGUUUUUGAAUUUAGGACGUGCUAUUUGAAUUUCUCAUGGAGAGUAAAAGCAAAAAAUAAAAUAAAAUAAACACUUUUUUUUUUAAAUAUCGGGCUGUGCCAGACCCUUGGAUCUGGGCCAUAUGGCAUGGCUUCAGUCCGGGCCAGGUCCUCAGUCACACAUUUUUGGACUGACCCUCGAAAUAAGAAAAAGGUUUCGCUCUGGUCCUUUGGCCACGAGGCCUUUAUUGGCUUCCACAGCUAAUAGGUGGUCCAGCGAAUGACCGCAGAGCCGUUGGAUAUGAUAAGGGACGCUAUUCUUCCAUAUCAGCUAACCUCACAAGUUUUCGGAGAACGGUUUGGUUUCGCCUCUUCUCUUUGUGUUUUUCCCCUUUCUGGGGUUCCUUUUUUCUCUCCCCUUUCUCUCAGCAUUGUGUAAUAUCAGCUCAUGCGAGCGAGCCAAUUGUGAGAAUUGCUUGUAAUUUUCUUGUUUUUCGUUUCUUUUCUUGGCAAAUGGAGCAACACCUAAAACUCCAAUCGCAUUUCAUUAAAUUGGGUAUCAUUCAUCCGGCCAAACCUACAACUUGAGGUGAGUUGUUUUCUUUCGUGACAAAAGCAGGAACACUAGCAUCUUACUAGUCAAAAGUUAAAAAGACUUUUAUCAAGAUACGAUAGUUGGAGCUAUAUAAUUCGUGAUAAAAUAUUGUGCUCUUCUAUUUCCUAUUGAUCGAGUGACAUGCAAAGACUAACAUAAUUUCUAAAAUAAAGGGUUUAUUGUUAUUAGCCCGUGAGAAGACCCAGGAAAAGGGCGAAACAAGAAUUGAAAACGUGUCGAAGAGGACAAAGGAAGAGCAAAUUCUUAUCUGGGUGCGGGGAAUCAUGACCAAAGGGGUUCUCAUCGUUGUCGUUAAUCGUUAAACGUGUCGUUAACGGCUCGAUCUCGGGUGCACGAAUCCGGAUCCAAGGCGAAAAGAGGGAAAGGGCCCCGUCCUGAGGAUGAUCGGGCGCGGGAGGAGGGAGGGAACCCGGUAAAAGCGGUAGGGUGGCGGGGCAGGGGAGUGCACCGGCAGACUACUCCUGUUCAAUUUCGAUUGGGUUUGUGAGGUUAAUAAUAAUUCAGACGCACACUCAUUAAUGCCACAUUCCAAGCCUAAAUGAACUGAAAAGGACGUGCUUCUGGAUGUCCUUAUCCUUUCUCGUUAUGUUGUUCUUCAUUUUGAAUUUGAAAUUAAGUGUCAUGACGUAGUUAAAAUUAUGGGUUUUAUUUUUCCCACGGGGAACACCAAAGAGGUUCAUGAGAAAAUGUAAUGAGAAUCUUCCAAUGGCCUGUGGAAUUGGAAAAAAUGUGAUGAGAUGAUUUGGUUAUCAAACGGUUGGGAUGAAUUCGUAGAGCGUUACUCUAUCUGCGAGGGACAAUUUUUGGUCUUCAAAUCUGAAGUGGACUCCAUUUUCCAUGUAAUCAUAUUUGAUAAAAGCAAGUCCAAGAUAGAAUAUCCACCAACAAAUGCCAAUGGUAGGAACCGACCCUCAGCAGUUGGGCAUUUGUCUGGUUGAAAGUGGAAGAUGCCGACGAUUUCCGUGAUGUUUCGGUCAAGCUUGAAGUCUAGGGGGAUGAAUUGCAUUCACCCAAGUGUCCUCGGCUUUGUAAGGCAAUGGAAUCUGAUCGGGUUUGCGAAGUUCAUGACGGUUCCUAUGCACACUCAUCAGCACAGAGUUUGCGAGGAGACGGAAGUUCGAACUACUUAUCAUGAGAUUUUCAAUCCAUUUGAUUGUGUUCUUGUGUUUGAUUCCAAUUCCGUAUUCCGUAUAGGAACUCUCCAUGUGAUUUGGCUAAGAGAGGGAGCGUUAAAGCUAACUCAUUCUUGUAGGGCCCAUUUGGUUCGGCUUUUGGAGAAUGCAUUUGCCAAAAUGCAAAUACCUUUGGGUGAAUAGGGUUUUCCGAAAUGCAAAUAUCGUUUGAUAAAAUUUGCAUUGAGAUAUAACUUUGGCCAAAAUACCGUUUGGUAAAAUUUGCAUCUGUAAAGGACUUUUAUUAAAUUAAAAAAAACAAAAAAAAAACAUUAGUAUUUUUUUUUUUGAAGUCUGGCCAUCGGAUUGCCGGAUCUGGCGGCCGGAUGGUCGGAUCUAGCGGCACGACCCCAGGCGACCUCAUGUGGCCGCUUGGGUCGCGCGACCCAGGCCAUCAAUCGCCUGGGUCACGCGACCCAGGCGUCGCCUGAGGUCUGGCAACGGUCACCGGGGUCGGGCGACCCUCAGGCGGCAGUCACUAGAGCCUCGUCGGCACGCGUGACCCCUUAGCUGAUGACCCGCCGGCCUCCGAUCAGCUUCUUCCGAUGGUGUGCGGUGGUUUUUGAGAAGAUGAACAAUACUGAACUUGCAUUCCAGAGAUGCAACUUCCCAAAAUACCUCCGGAGCUGCAUUAGACUAAAGGCCUUUAGAGCCACUUGGAGAUGCAAUUGCAUCUCGCCAAAGUCACUCAAAAAAACAAAUCAAACACAUUUGCAUUUGACCAAGGGACUUUAGAGUCCCAAAGGGCUUUCCAAAUGCCCAACCAAACAGGGCCGUAGUGUUUAUCUAUCUCUAGCUUUCCCAUGUGUGCAUAUGUAUGUUUUAGGGGAUCUCAUAAAUGUCAAGCCAAUGGAAACAAGCCGAAUGAGUCAUAUCGGAUUUGAUUGUGCUGAAAUUGACAUUGGUGUGCAUAUAGGCCUCGAAAGCUAGACUAUUAGAAAGACCCAGAUCCAUCAAAUUGGGGUUGAUGUGUCCGGAGAUAUGAAUUUCACAUAAUAAGAAUAGCAUAUGCCUAAGCUUUCUUCAUGUUCUAAUUUGUGACUGUUGCAGAUAAACUGAAACAACUGGGUUUGCGCAGAGUUGUCAAAUCAGCCAGCAAAAUUAAACCCGACCACAUUGCGGUGAGGUGAAUAUAUCUAAAGAAAAGCAAUGUGGUAUGAUCCUCAUGACAAUGACAACACUUGAAUUUAAAUCACAGAGUUGCUAGACUAUAUUAGCUCUAGAUUGAUUGUGCAUCAGGUCAUUAAUUUCUGUUUUUAUCCUUGACAUGCUUUGAAAAGGAUCCUCGUACUGUCUUGGUCAGAAAUCGUUGGUUGUCUUCUUCUUUCUGAUGACAAAACUGCAGAAAGUGCACUUGAGUAAAGAGUUCCCGGCCCAUUCCCAAAGAUGCACUUCAAGAAAAGCCUGUGGACUGUGGCUCUCAUAUAUCAGGACAAAUCAUGGCCGGUGAAGCGCAUUAGCCACGAACAUUAUGGAAAGUUAUCUGUUGGUUGGGCUACUUUCUCGAGAGAAACUUCUCUGAAGGAGGGAGGCUUGUGCAUGUUCAAGCUCUAUUAGAAGGGGCAACGUCGUGUUCAGAGUAUACAUCUUCAAGACCACUAGCCAGAGGUAGGUGAAAAAUCCUAUGCAAUAGGACACGGCAAAGGAAGCAUCACUUUAGCUCAGAAUUGCUUGGCUAAAAUCUGCUUCAAAUUUGACAAAUCAGAAAAAAGCAUGAGUUUUAUUCUAAUGAAUGGAAAGAUACCUUUAAUCGAUCCUAGUGUUACAGUCACCACGUGGGGAUGACCGAAUGAGUCAUGAGUCAUGAGACGGAGGAAGCUGAUUGCUUCUAGUACAAGUCACACAGCCUCAUUUCCUUACUCCUCCCAUAGUAGAUUUUCGUCGUCAUCGAACCACUCUCUAUAUUUCAAAACCCAAAAGGAAAUUUAUAUUCAUUUAAGCAAAGAGAGACAAUAAAACGAUGUAAAAGCCGUCCUUCAAGUCUAUAUUAAUCAAAAUAUCCAAUGCUCUCUAGUGAUUAAUACAUAGAUUCUAAUUAUAAUCGGACAUCUACCGAGCACAACCGAAAAAGAGUUCUAUAAGCUAGCAAUGACCUAAAAAAUAGUUCCACAAGAGGGCUCAACCUCCUCGACUUAUUAAAUGAAUCACGAGGCAAGGAAAAGAGAACUUGGGCAAUUAAUGGCAUUAAACGCAAUUAAUGCGAAUCAUGCAGAAAUUAUUAGAAGUAUAGUGAGUUGGGGCUUAGAUGGUGUUCCUUACUCAUGUCAAUUGGCAAUGAUAAAGAAAAGUAACUAACUUGUGUGAAAGUUAUCAAUCAUUUAAAAAUUUAGUGUCACUUUAAAACUUACAAAAUUUAUUAAUCAGAUAAAAAAAUUAAAAAAAAAAUGUACGAUUACAAAUUACUUUCAAUCUGCAGAGCGUUACUUACAAAUUUGAAAAACUCUUUUAUGCAUGUGACACUCCAAAUUCCAUAUGGAUUGGAAGAGGGAUAAUUGACCAAUAGAUAAGUGUGAACACAAACCACCACCGCUAGAUAUUCACCUCCUGAAAAACUUAUUUAGGGGCUUAGAUCAUAACAAAUCGGAUUGUUAAUAUUAGAAAAUUCCAUGCCUAACUUAUAGCUCGAACUUGCACAUUAAUUAAAGAUAUUUAACUUGGUAUUUGGCUCAAAUAAAAGUUGUACUCUACAAUGCUAACCUAAGAAAAGUAUAUAAUUCUCUCAAAUUAAGAUAGGUAAUUUCGCACAAAAAGUGUUAAGCGUGAUUGUGGUUGGUGGAGGAGAAAUACCUAUGUAGAUAAACCAAGAAAGCGAAUCUUUUUAAUACGAAAGUAAGUUAUACUAGCCAUUUAGCUUAAUUCUCCAAAAAAGUAUCAACUUUAUCUGGAGUAUUAAUUCAGGCAUAACCUUUUUUUUGUAACAAAAAAUCAUCAACUUCCAUGCCUAAAUCUGACUCCGAUUAGCUUUCCAUCAACUAAUGGUGUUAAAUGUUUGAUGCAUCAAUUUCACGUCAUUAUCUUUUUCCAAGUCAGAAUUCAUAUAUAUAUGCUGUCUUCUUUUUUCUUUAUUUCUUUUUUCCAUUUCCCUUUUUCUUUCUUCUUCUUCUUCCUUUCACUGGACGAUAACCUGACCACCGUGAGUCAGCCGUACGAUCCAAUCAACGGCCCAGCCCUCCGUCCACCACCACCUCGCCACCUUCCACAACCCCAGCCGUAUUCCUGUUUUUCCCAGCCUCUCGCCACAUAUCUCCACCACCACCGCCUCUACUCUUGGCCGAUGACCCCUGGCUUCCGAUGUCCAGUAGCCUGGCCGUGGCUUGUCCUCGCUGUCGUCGAGCUCGAGCUCGGCCGGCGCUCUCGAGCCUCAAAUUUUGGAUCUAAGCUCAAGCGAGCCCUAGAUUCGAGAUAGGGGGUCAGCUGGACCUCGGACUUGGGUUGAUUAAGGUCGAGCGGGGUCGACGGCAAUCACAACUAGAUUUUUGGAGGUUAAUAUCCGUUCGUCCAUGGCUUUUCAAUCCAAGUCUGUGCAUGUUGAUUAAUUGAAAAUGAGUGAAUCAGCAGAAAGUUUAGAUUUUUUUUGUUCAGAAUAAGAUCACGACCAGUUUCAUUUAAAAUAUAUGCAAUAAAAUAAAAUAAAAUAAAAUAAAAUAAAAUAAAAUGCAAUGACAGAAGAGAAGCAUUGUACAGUUAGUCACUUUGCCUUCAAGAAGCUGAAAAAAAAAGUUGGAAAUGGGCUCUGGAAUACAGAUUUAGCUCAUUCCACUGAAGAGUACAAAGAAAUGUGUGCAGAUGGAGUAGAAGGUCGCCGAGGUAGGAGGUCUGGAUGCUGGGGUUCCAUCCACGGUUGCCGCCGACAAAUGUGGUCGGUGACGGUGGCAGAGGCCGGAGACACUAUGGCGGCUGCAAGGAGGAAGUGGAGGAUGACAGGGUGGGAUGAUGGUGGCCAUGGACGGACAACCUUUAGGUAGCGAAAGGAAGAAGGAAGAUUAUAAAAAGAAUAAGAAAAGGAAAAGCUACAUAUAAUUCUGAUUUGGGAAAAAAGAAUGAGUGGAAUUGACAAAUGAGACGUUUGAGGUUGAUGAUGCUCUUUGGACGGACAAAAAGUUAACAGAGGUCAGAUUUGGAUAUGAAGUCAAAGUUGGUGAUUGUUUAUGAGAUACUAAAGAAAAAAUAUUUGGGGCCAGAAUUGAGAUUUGAACCUAAAUUGGUGCAAUUUUGAGGAAUUAAGCCCUUGCUAUUUUUUUUUUUUUGGACAAUAAGCCCUUGCUAUUUAGAAUCAUCGUUUUCGACUAUGUUUUAAAAAUGGUAGUGUCUAUAACAUGAUAACAACAUGAACAGUAAUAAGCAAGAGAAUGAAUUAGGGCAUAUUUAUUUUCGCGGCAGAAAAUGCUGCAGGCAGAGUCUUUCUAUUGAAGAGAUGAUCCUGCCCCCACGGACGAGGACACUUAACACCUACAAAACACAAACGGGGCGAGGGAGUUUCUAUUGGUGGGUUCCAUCAUCAUUAUAUUUAUCUAUGUGAUGUAGAUGUUUCCGUAAUGGGUUCUCCAUUCUUUUCAUUUUCUUGAGUUUAAGCUUCCAUCACUUAUCUGAAAAUGGAGAAGCUGGACUCAAAAAAAUUUUGAACUACUACCAAAUAAAAAAUUGUUGGAUGAUAAUUAAUAAUGUUUCAUUACUUUAAUAGUUUUGAUGGCUUAAAUCUAUUACCAAAAAAGUCAUAAACUUAUUUUUUUGACUAAUUGAGUCCUAAACCUUUUACAAUUAUUUCCGAUCAGUCCAUUCGGUCAAAAUUGGGUAGUCGGCACUGAUGUGGCUGUGACACCCCUCGACGGCCCCCGAUCCGAUUAGGGUCGUCACAGUUCGCUUACCAUUCACUUUCCUUAUUAACAUAUCACUCUGAUACCAUUUCAAUUGUAGCGGGUCCAUACAACCGUGGGGGUUUACACACAUUUUUUUUUUUGAUAGGUCCCUUGCGCAAUUCAUAUACGGAAGCACAUCUAGCAAACUCCCUUCCUUAUAUUUAGAAAACUAUGCACACCUACUAAACAUCUUAUAUAAGUUAAAGCCGUACACUUUUAUUUACAUAAAGCAGAUGGACAUCUUUAGUCGGUACAUCAAAAUGCCGUAGUUUUCUAUACUCGGCUACACUUCAAAAGAUGACCGACAUCUCCUCCCACAAUCGCAUGCUUAAGGUCCAUCAUCCAGUGUCGGCGUCCAAAGGUUCCCUCCUUUGCUAUCCUUCUCCUCGCGGUCAUAUCCAACCGCUCAAACCAUCUACUAAUCUGAAAUGUUGGUCCCCAAAAGGGGUGAGUACUACCACUCAGCAGAUAAGGAAUCCAAUAACAACUCAAUGCAUCAUGCAAAUCAUACAUGCAUUGCAGGCGUAACUUACCUUGCAGCCAUGCGUAAUACUAUCAUGCAUCAUCAUGCCUUAUCAUCAUGCAUAUCAUAUCAUCAUAUGUCAUCAUCAUAAUCAUCAUCAUGGCAUCAUUAUAUCAUACAUGUCAUCCUUAUCAUGACAUCAUCACAUCACAUAUUAUCAUCAUCAUCAUGCAUAUCAUCAUGCANNNNNNNNNNNNNNNNNNNNNNNNNNNNNNNNNNNNNNNNNNNNNNNNNNNNNNNNNNNNNNNNNNNNNNNNNNNNNNNNNNNNNNNNNNNNNNNNNNNNCAUCACAUAUCAUCACCAUCAUCAUGCAUAUCAUCAUGCAUAUCAUACCAUGGGUGAUCAUUAUAUCACAUCACAUAUCAUCACCAUCAUCAUGCAUAUCAUCAUGCAUAUCAUACCAUGGUUUAAUUUUCAUCUUUAUCUUUCAAUUUUGAUCACCACAUCACCCAUUCAUCAAUCUCAUCAUCAAUUUCAUCCCAUAUUUUACCCUCGCAUCCCAUGCGAGAAAAACCUCCGGGCAUGUAUCCAAGAUACAACCGGGCAUCCGGCCCCCCACAUUCCGGGCAUCUCGCAUCCCAACUAGCAUCACGAGGAACCUCCAGGCAUGUAUCCAAGAUACAACCGGACAUCUGGCCUUUACCCUUCUAGCCAGGCAUCCCGCACCCCAAUCCUGGUGUCGCGAGGAACCUCCGGGCAUGUAUCCAAGAUACAACCGGACUUCCGGCCCCCCACAUUCCAUGCAUCCUGAAUCUCCCAGGGAAUCUCUGGAAUUACGCCACCAGGCCACCAGACAUCAUCAUCCACCACAACCACAUCCUCAUUUACCAUCAUCCACAUAUACCAUUUCUUUAUCUCAAUUUAACAUGGCAAUUGGCAUGGUAUCAAACAAAUCACACUUGACAUGGAAUUCACACUUGCAUCUCAAUUCAUAUGUCAUACACAUGCCAAAACUUUAUCCCAUACACAUCUCAAUUCAAUACAUGUACAAGGACCAUGUCAUACGCAUACCAAGACUUUAUUACAUAUACAUCUCAAUCCAAUACAUGUGCAAAGACCUCAUCACACAUAUGCCACACAAAUAGAAUUGAAUCCAUGGCCAAAUAAAAAUCCAUUUUAUUUUAUUAUUAUUUUAUUUAUUUAUUUUCAUAAAUAAAUAUUAAAUUUAAUAUCUAUGAUUUUCCCAAAAUCAUAGUAUUCAAACAAUCACUAAACAAAUCAAUAGGAUCACAAUUUCAUACAAAAUUCAUAGCCAAAUUGAAUUUCUCAUAAUUUCACAAUUUCCACAAAAUAGCACAUGAUAUUCGGAUAAUGACCAGAAUUGCACAGUUUUCAAAUAAAUUAGAUUAAAAUACUCAUAUGGCCUUCAAAAAUUACGAAAUUUUACAGGGUGAUAGCCAAGACAUUUUCGUGCAACUUUCAUGAAGAACUCUAAGUCAGAUUAUUUUUAUAUUAAUUUAUACAUCCUCACGAAACUUCUGGAACCACUACCGCAUCGUCCAGAAUACACAUCUCCGAAAUAUUAAGGUUUCACCCAUCUAUUCUCUUUCUUUUCCUCUGAAAUUUGAGUAUGUUAUGUAUCAAGGUGUCCUUUACAAGUUUCAUGAAGAGAUCUAGGUCACAUAACCAAAUUAUGGUCACCAUUUAAGUCCAUCAAGUCUCGGGUGUCUCGGAACACAUCACCAGAAUCAUCGUCUCCAAGAUCUAGCCGAUUCACCAAGCUAUACUUGUUCUUUUUGCUUCAAAUUUGAGUAUGUUGUAUUUUAAGGUGUUACCUUCAACUUUCAAGAAGACAACAAAGUGAGAUCUCCAACAGAAAUCAACAUGCAAAUCAAGAAAUCAACAAGAGGUCAGUGAAAAUUUCGCAGAUCUAAAGUCUCCGUACAAUAUAACUUUUGACCCCUCAAAUAUCCAUCGUUUUCUACGAAUUUUUAGUAUGUCAUAGUACAAGACGUUAGCUUCAACUCUCAUGAAGACACCGAAGCCAAAAUCGAACCCCAAACUCACAUGAAACUCGAACAAGCUACUGACUUCAACAAACCGAACAAGAACAGUCACACGGUUUACAAAUAACCAACUCUUACCUCGGUUUUUCGCACAAAUCACACCUAAAAUCUAACAUGCAACCACCACAACAAACAUGCAAGAGAAGUUACGGACUCCACUUGCCUUAAAGGUGAACAAGCAACGACGAACGGCGACGGGACACGGCGAUCGGACGGCGAACGGACGGCACACCCCUCCGGCUCCGCCUCCUCUCCUCUCGGUUUCUCCCUUUCUCUCAAGCUCUCUCUCUCGCACACCCUCUCUUUGGACGAAAAGCAAAGAACCGGCCAUCUCUCUCUCCUCAUCCCUUUUAUAUCCCCUUAAUCCCAUGAUUAGCAAUGAUUACUUUGCCUACAAACCCACCAAUGCAUGCCAUUCCUUCAUGCCACUUGUCACACUAAUUUUGAAUUGAUUUGGGCUUGGGCUUAGGCCCAUCCGGCCACUCCCUUGGGCUGGUCGAAAUCCUCCUCUUCUUGGGCUCUAAUGGGCCGACAAGCUUGGCCCACCAAGCUUUAGGCUAAUGGGUCCAAGGCCCAUUCCAAUUUAACCUAUUUUUCCCUUCUUUUUUUUUUUUUGAAUUCCUUUCUAUAAAUAUUUCCAAAUUCAAAUUUCAUCUUGGCCAAAGUCUUGGGACACUUUGUUUAUUAAGAUUUAAAUUUAAAAUCUCAUGGCCAAUUAUUAAUCUAUAAAUUUAAAUACACAAAUCAUCAAAUUAAAAGUCAAAUUGGCUAAGGCAUAAGCCAAAAGAAAUUCUAUCACCUAAUUAGGAACUUCAACUCACCUUAUGGCUUGUCAUUAAAUUUGGGAUGCCACAGUGGCAGCCGGUCAGCGCUAAGUCUGGUGAGGGGAGCCCUGCCGGAUCUGGUGAGGGAGGCUCGUCGUCGCAUUUGGCGAGGCCCUCCUCACCGGAUCUGGCGAGGUCUCGCCUCGCCCGACGACCGUGAGGCAAGCCCUCACCAAAUCCGGUGAGGGGGCUUGCCCUCGCCAGAUCCGACGGGGGCUUGCCCUACCGUCGCUAGGCGUGAGCUUGCUGACUAGCAAGGCAAGCUCGCCGGAUUGCCUUAGUCUAGUGACCAGCCAACUUGGCCAAUCACUAGAGCCAAAGGAAGGAGGAGGGAGGAGGGAGGAAGAGGGAGAAGGGGAAAAAAAAAACAAAAGAGGAAAAAGGAAAAAGAAAAGAUAAAAAAUUAAUAAAAUAUUUCAAAAAAAAAAAUAUUAUUAAGAAAAGCUCGCUGGCAUUGGCCAAUCAAUUUUAGCAGGAUGGACUAAUCGGAAUAAUUGUAAAAGGUUUAAAACUCAAUUGGUCAAAAAAAUAAGUUAUGACUAAACUAGCACAAUUGCAAUAGGUUUAUGACUUUUUUUAGUAAUUUUCCUCUUAUUUAUCAUAAAUUCUAUUUCUUUGCAAUCAAGAUUAUCUGCGAAGAAUGAUGGAUUGAUGAGAUUUGUGGUUAUGAAGGGUAUUCGCCUACAAAAUUUCUUUCCUUGAACUAAAAGGAGGGUCUGAUCCCUCCGUGCAUAGAGAAAGGUAGAUUUGUGCCCUUGAAUCCAGCGAGGCUUAGUUUUGCUUAUCAUUUUUGUAAAUCCAAUGAGAUUUUGUUAUAUAUAUGGGGUUGCAGAGGAGGUGAUUGAAUAUAUGCAUGAUCAAGUGGCAUAGAUCAUUGUUUACUUAUUUAUCCAUAAAAUCUCACACACACUAAUCGUUUAUCGAACAACAUGCAUGGCAGACUAGAUCAGGCUUUCUGUUGCAUAAUUAUUUCCUAAUUCUCUCCGCUUGACUUUAGACCUAGCAGGAGGGCUUGAGAGAAUGUGAGUGUAUUCAUGCUUAUAAUCAAGUUUACUUAACACGAAUUCAUUGGCUUGAUGGGAUUAUUUGUAUAAGUGUAGUUACUUUAUGGAGAAGCUUGAGUUAUAUAUUAGAGAAGUAUCCGCAUUGUCUACGUGAAAAAUUUUCGAGGCUCCUUCCGUCGUAGCACUAAAUAUCUAAAGUCCAUAUGAAAACAGAAAUCUACUAUAGAAAAAGAUAUCUGCCUCUUUCUACUAGGCUUAAGCUCGUGUCCGGUUUCAUACAUCGGUCCAAAGCCCAAGCACCAAAUGGGUCCGUAGGGUCUAGCCCUCAACAUAAGCUAAGGUGAGCUCGUUCCUAAAACAUCCUAUCUUCUGGUCAUUAUUUGACGAUUUAAAGCCCAAAGGAGCAAUUAAUCCAAAAGGAAGACUUUCCCUGCUUGAGGAGCGAAGCUUCCCGCAUCUCGUAUGCUCUGAAUUUGAUUAUGCUUAUCAUUGUUUGUUGGGUGUAAAAUUUCCUUUCCAGAAAUUAUACUUUACGACACAAAUUAUUAUGCACCAACUCCACGUACAGAAUCAAUUGGAGAAUACAUAUCUACAAAAUUAUACAAUAACAGCUUUUCUCUAAGAUUGAAACACAACACUCUAAUAGCUAGAAAGGACUUCUCCUUGUUUCAAGAAUUAGAUUUGCAACGUUCUCUAGAAAAAAAUACAUAAAUAAUGUGGCCACGUAGGCUCCACCUGAGCUGAUAUUAUGCACUACUGACUAAAUAGAUUACUCAAAUGAGAAUAUUUUUACAUGCACUAAUUCCAAAAAAUCUUGACUAGACCUUAGAAUUUAGAUUGAGGGCAUGUAAAUCGCAAAAUAUGAUGAGUAUUAUAGGAUCAACGGCUGUGAUUCAUCUGAUGAGUCCGUGUAAGUAUUUGUCAUUCCAAGCAGGGAGGACGGACAAUAUUGUGAUCUUACAUGGGGAUUCUGGAAAAGGAAAAAGCGACACGACUGCAUUUUCAAAAAGCAAGAGAGGCUAAGGAUAACUAAGGAUGAAAGUAAAGUAGUGGGGACCAUAACUAUUUGGCAUUGCCUCAAAAAGGUCAAGAGAUCCAUCAAUUAGAUUGGGUUUUGGUGGAUUAUGAGUUGAUUCUAGUGCUUUGAAGCAGUGUGAAUUGGAUUCCAAAUAGAAAGCAAAAGAGGUGGAAAAAAGCAUACGUUGGUUAAAUUGAACAUCGACACCUCAUUCCAUCACUCAUCACUUUUGGAACUUGUGCCUAUGUAAGCUAUUUUGCUUUUUCUUAAAGUAUUAGACACAACAUGACCGCUUUAGCGUCCACAUUGGAACUAGCCAUCUUCUUUAAGAUUAGGAUAUCCAUUAAAAAUGACCAUGAACCUACUUUAAAGAUUCACCCACAUAAAGUCACAAUCCCUUUAUCAACUAAAAUUAAUUUUUUGAAAUUCUUUACCAUGGAGACUACGGGAGUCCGGAGCAAAAGUAAGUGACAAUGGAUGUCGACAUCGAACUUUUUCUAGUGGAAAAUAAAGCAUGCUUUUUUCUUUAUUUUUUGGGUACAGUAUUGCCGAAGGGAUAAGGCAGGUUCGUCAAAUGUAUGGCGCUUGGUCAAUUAGCUAUCCCAAGGUGGAUGUCUCCGUCGCUAAGAUUUGCAAAGCCUCAUUGAUAAUGACUCAAAUGGGCAUAGCUAAGACAGUGAACAGUCGAAAAUUAUUUGGUUACCCACGAACUUUUUAGAUGGUUGUACAAUUCCAUAUUAAAAUUAGAGUGUAAAUGUGACUUCUAUUGGUAAGGUAAGGUUUUAAAGAUUAUGGCAUUUUCACUUAAAUAAGUAUGAAAGCAGAGUACGAAGAUAAAGAGGAUGUUUCAUCUUUCAAUUGAAAAUUAAAACUGUCCAAGCACUAGAAAUCUGACCUUCAACAAGUCAGAGUACCACGGCUGGAAACAACUUAAUCCAGAAAUCGCGCAUCAUGGGGACCUCCAAAAGAAGGAAAAAAAGCACGUUAGAAACAAUUGGUGAAAGCGAAUGAUGAACCGACCGAACAACCUCUACAUAUAUGCAUAUAUUUCCAAAGAAUAACCCCGCAUGAAACAAGAAUCAUUUUCCCAGCUAGAACUAGGGAUGGCAAACAAAUAGAGAAGAUUGUGGAGCAGAUAAGAAAGCUCACAAUGAUUUUUCUUUAUGUGAGGAUUGUAGAAUCGAUAUUUCAUGGGAUUUUAAAUAGACGUGUCUACACGUGCAUACCCCUAAAUUACCAACAAAAAAAAAUGCUUACUUUAGGAAAAUGCUAACUAAAUUUGGUAACUUUUUUAUAUACACUUAUUCCUCAGAAACUAGUAGCUAUUAUGCAAAAGGUCCAUAUGACCUUAAUUUCAAAGAGAAUGUCCCACAUGACUUUAAUUAGUCAUAACAAUUUUCUUUUGUUAAUUAUUAGUCAUAAUUUUUUUCAUGUAGUCAUAAUAAAUAUAAGGAUUUAUGAAUAACAUGACAUCAUAAUUUAACAAUUAUGCUUGGCAAACGAGGUUAAACGACUUCAAUUUUUACUUAUGAAGUGAAUUUCUUCUUCUUUUCUCACUUAUAGGGAUGAUUAUGAGGGGCUCUCUUUCAACAAAUCUGUGAAAAAUUGAAGGACGAUUCAUGAAAAGUCAAAACUUAUUUUCAACUAAUGCUCAACAUUAGCUGGGUAGAGGGCUCCAAGUUGGCUCAAGUUAUAUAUGUCAAUAAAUAGAAUCUCAUCAAAAAUUGCCAUUCAAUAUAUAAAUCAAUAACACGGCCAUUUUACAUUUUAGAGCUAUUUCGAUUUGCAUACCAAUUCAAAAGUAAAACCUCAAUUUUUUUCCCAUUCAAUUAGCUUGAUUAUAAUGUUACUUCUCUAUUUUUUAAUAUGAUUUCAUGCCAACACGAGGAGUGGGCUUAGGAAUAGUACCUAAUCAAUCUCUUUGCCUUCUUUGUCCCUAAUCAUUCUUGCUUUGUUUCGCUCUUCCGUUAUUCUCUCUGUCUCUUUGUUUUUGUUUUUGUUUUUUUUUUUUUCUGGGUUCUUCUCCACUAAAAAAGAAAAUCAAAAAGAAAAAUGUAAAAUCGAUGAUACUGUUGAGGAAAAUGGGAAACAUCACAUUAAAUUCAUCUCAAGAAGUAAAAUUAUUGAUAUAAAGGUCUAAUUUGUGGUUAAAGAGCAAGAGCAAAAAAAAAAAAACACAUUAGAAAAAUCUCAUUUAUAUCAUCAUAGUAGGAGGUCCUUAGCAAGACCUUAAAAGGCUAUGACAUUCGGGAAAGACUGCAUAGAAGCGGGGAUCUAGGCCUCGAAAAACAUUCUAGCCCCAUUGCCAGACCCGGCCAUAACCCCUAUGGGGGUAGGGCUGGCAACUCUGAUCCCCGCGAUGCCUUCCCCUCUGAAACACGGAGGCAUGGUAUAGGGAAAUGAGGGGUCUCCCCUGAAAGGGGGAGGCGCCGGCCGGAAACAUCUCCCCUUUUCGGAGGGAGACCCAUCAUUUUCCUGCACCACGCCCCCAUGUUUCAAGGGGAAGGCGUCGCAGGAAUCAGGGCUGCCAGCCCACUCCCGAAGGGGUUGUAGCUGGGUCUGGCAAUGGGGCAAGUAUAUUUAUCAAGGCCUUGAUUCCAGCCUCUAUCCAGUCUUUUCUGGAUGUUAUAGCCUUUUAAAGUCUUGCUAAGGACCUAUGAGCAAGAGCAAAAAAAAAACAUUAGAAAAAUCUCAUUUAUAUCAUCAAAUGAUAAUUUUUUGAUGAUGUUCUACUUGGAAUAUGAGUGCAUCAACCUCGAACAAUCCACGUCUCUGCUGGCUCCAUCAAUUUGUCUUCUUGACUCCUUUGAAGUCAUGAUGUUGUUUUUUCUUGGAUUGCUACAAAAUUUAACAGUUAAUACUUUUGACAUUUCACACAUAAUCAAUGAUGAUAUGGACAUCCAUCUUCAAUCUUCCAUUGCUGCUUUAUUGCACCGAAAGGUGAAAUUCCCAAGACUAAAAGAGAGAGAUUCCUCUGGUGGGCCUUCCGUUCCACCGAAACCCUUGAAAAAUAGUCAGGAGGAUCUUCUAAAGUCGUUGUGAUGAUUUGGUGUAUACAUGCAUAUUCACACACAUUGCGCGAGGCUAUUCCCGCUCCCAAUUUAGCUUAAAAUCACGUCCUUUUAAGAAAAUUCAAUUAUUGAUAGACCUGCCUUUUAUUUAAAAAUAAACAAAUAUGCCUCUUCCAAUUUCUCUCUCAUCGAUUGUCUGGUCUAUUUUCUUAUUUACUACAGACAGUUGAUAAGAGUUUAUGGUUUCAAUCUUGUCAUCUACUCCUUUGAUUUCAAAGUUUUUUUCAUGUAAGAAUUUACCUAAAAAACGUCUUCAACCUAUGAAUCAUGCAAAAAAAAAAAAAAAAAGAGGCUGAUUUAUUUAAAAGAUUGGAGCAUAAGCACGUUUCGAAAUAUCAAAUUACACGUAUGCUUUCAUCGAGCUUUAGCCAUAAUUUUUUCAAUUUAUUAUGACCAAAUCUUCAAUUCUUCGAUCUAUCAUGUUCAAACUUUCAUUAUUUUGUAGAAGAGAAUAUUUCAACAAGUUAAUUUGGUAUAUUUUAUUUACGAACUUAUAAGUUAGUGACUAAUUGGUCAUAGACAAGGAUUUUGAGACAUUUAAAGUUAUUUUUCUUAUUGAUAAUUGGUUUUUCUGAAUUUAUCAUGCUAGUAAAUUUGGGAGAUCAUUGAGUGAGAGUUUCAUUUUGAGCAAUCUCAAUUUUUUUCACACUGCAUCUCUAGAGUUAUUUCAAAGUGGUGGUGCGGCCGUUUGAUAUGAAGAGAUUCAUGGAAAGGUCCCAAGCUUAAUUCAUUAGGAGCAUGUUUUCAAAUUGAAAAGCUUGCCUCGUAUUUUUAGUUUGUUUUUGAGUUUUGAUUUUGUUUGCUUUAUUCCUUAUACCUGUAGCUAGGACUUGAGAUUAUAUUACAUACCCCAUGAAUAGUUCAAGAGCAUAAAUUUUGAUAGUUUAAGAUUGAUGUCUUUCAGAUUUUGCACCGUAUUAUAUAGUUAAGGUUGCUGAUUAUAAUUCUUGAAACUAACAAAUUGUCGAGUGCUGUGAAAUAUACAUACAUACAUAUAUAUAUAUAUGUAUUGUGUGUUCUCUCAUUCUGUGUACUUGUAUUAUGGUCUUUCAUAUCCAUACGUUGCUUGUUAAAAUAUGCAUGCGGGCAAACAAUUCUCUUUACAUUCUUCAAGGAAUAUAUUCAGGGAAUAAUCAAAUCACAACUCUUAGACAUUUAGACAAAUUGUGCAUAGUGAAGUUGAAGAUCCAUCACAUCUUGUUGAAAAAUGAUGACUAAAUUACAUUUACCUUGUUCCUUGCCAAGAUCGAAUUGCAAUCACAAGAAUUUGGUGGUGUUACUUGUAGUUUGAUAAGCCAUGUUUUUGCUCACAUUGUGUUGUUUUUAAUUGGUAGUUAAAUCACGUCUUUUACAAAUGACAAGUAAUUGAAAUUAUGAGUUCCUACGAAUGAUAAGCAUUACGUGACGAAUGAUUUGAUGAUAGCAUUCGGGGCUCUUAGGUUAAACUUUUGUUUUCUAUUACAAUUUGAUUAAAAUUAUUAUUUUAAAGAAAGCAGCCAUGGAUUCUUACUGGAAUCCCAAUCCCCAUGAUUGAACCAUGCAGUCAAAAAUGGGGUCCAUAUGCCAUUAGAAGAAAGCUAUGCACGUUGCUCAUGCUUGCCUGUGGUCAUUCACUCGUGAAAGGGUUAAUAGUAAGAGAGUGAAUAAAACAGCCAAGAAUUUGCAAUAAUUUGACUAGACAUAAAAUAGUGGGAUGUCCUAUCUCCCCCUUGAGUCUACCUUAGUAUUAAUAUUACAAAAGCAUUGAUUAUUCGUCAAUGGCUUAGUAUAAGGAGCAUCAAACUCCCAAAACUUUUCUUACAAAUCUUAGUUAUUAUUAUUAUUAUUUUUUAAAUCAUAACAUUCAAAUAAUUGAAAAAAAAAAGUUAUGACACUCAAGUUUAUGUUUUUUAGAAGCCAUGGUACUCAAAUAAUUGAAAAAAAAAUGUGACCACUUUACAAAAGUCAUGACACUUCCGGUGUUUUUUAGCUAUUCUUUUUAGGAUUUUCGUCCUAUCGUUUUCUCAAUCUUUCUUUCUCAAAAGAAAAACAUUAACAGAUGCUGCCAUCGAGAAAAAUUCGAAAAAUCACAUUAAACUCAUAUCAAGAAGUAAUUGUUGAUUAAAGGGUCUAAGUUAUGGUUAAAAGAGCAAGGACAAAAGACAUUAGAAAAUUUCCAACCAUAUCAUCAUAUGGUAAUUUUUUACAACGUUCUACUUGGACUAUGAGUGCAUCAACCACGGACUAUCCACUUCUCUAGUGGCUCCAUCAAUUAAUCUUUCGACUCCUCUCUAAAGGGAAAGCCAUGAUGGCUUUUUCUUGGAAUGCUACAAAAUUUAAUUGUAAAUACUUUUUGGCCUUCGACGCAUAAUCAAUGAUGAUAUUGAUAUGCAUCUCCUAUCUUCCGCUGACAAUUGCUUCCUUGAACCGAAAGGUAAAAUUAUCAAGACUAAAGCAACAAGAUUCCUCUGGUUGACAAAUAGCUGUUGGGAUGAUUGGUGUGCACACACAUAUUUGGUGGAGCUAAUUAUGCACCCAUUUUACACGUGAUACUUUGCUAGGGUCAUUCCAAAUUUGUCUCUACGUAAUAUUUCCUUAAGAGAACCCAAGGACAAAAUGCUAGAAUAGCCAACCUCUUAUAUUUCCCCUUAUUUCACAUUUUUAGCUUGCCAUCACCUUUCUUUUGUCUCCUUAAUUUUUCCGUUUUCACAUGUAGUAUCUCUCUGUUGGAAAGAGCUUUGAAUUUGAUUAUGCUUGUCACUGUGUAUUUUGGGUGUAAAAUUUCUUUUUUGAGAAAUUAUACUUUUGAUACAAAAUUAUUCACUAAUUCACGUACAAAAUAAACAUGAGAGUCGAUAUCUAUAUAAUUAUGCAAUAACAGUCUCUUCUCUAUGCCCUGCCUCUAAGGUUGACACAUAGAAUUCUAAAUAGCUAGAAAAGACUUCUCCUUAUUUUAAGAACUGGAUUCUCAACGUUCUCCAUUAAAAAAAUGUGCCCACUUAGACUCCACCUAGGCUAAUAUUUUGCAUUACUAACUAGAUAGAUUAUUCAUAUAUCAUGAUGUACUUAUAGGCACUAAUUCCUUAUUAGCUACGUGAGUUAUACUCAAUCUAAUUACAAGGAGAUUGUCUCUCAUGACUUUAAAUUGUUUCUAUUUAGUCAAAAUGUUUUCAAACGGUCAUAAUUCAUAUAUGGGAUUAGGGGUAAAUUGACAUAUCCAACACAACAAUUUUUUAUGGGCAAGUUUGUCAUGUGAAACUAAUUAAGAGAAUUUCAACCAGCUUAAUAUUCAAAACAGAUCAGAGACCAAUAUUAUGCCUAUCUAUCAUAUGUCACUAUUAUUUUUAACGUUAUACUUAGCAUCUCUAUCUUGCACUUAUUGAAUAUUACUAUAUGAUAAUUUUAUGCUAACUUUGUCAUUUUCUUAAGAAAGGGUUCGGAAUAGAAAAUACACUACUCUUUACUAUAUAAAUUAUGCUUACAUAGCCCCAGAAUUGGAGCAAUUGGUUGGGUCAUUAGGGAUUUCCAACUUAGGAACUAGGGAUCGCUAGUUCGAAUCCCACAAACUACAUGCAAACUACUUUGGGUUGUAGUCACCUAAAUAGACCAAAGAUUUGAGUUUAACCGGUUCAUGGAAUUGGCAUGAUAUUUCAUGAGCUUCUAGGUAAAUGGCUCUCCACACUCCUACCCCUAUAUUACACACGCGUGUGCACACACAGAUUCACUUUAGGAGAAUGCUAACUUUACAUGGUAUGGCACUUACUUUAGGAGAAUGCUAAUUUUACAUGGGAUUUUUUAUAUGCACUUAUUCCUCAUAAACUAGGUAAUCAUUAUGCAUAAGAUCUAUGUCAACUUAAUUGCAAGGAGAACAUUCCUCAUGACUUUGAGGAAUAUUACCCAUCGAUCCUAAACAUAUUGUACAAAUGCCAAUUUAGUUCUAAACUUUUCGAUUUUACCAAUUUAGAGAUAAACAUUUGCACAAAAUUCCAAUAUAGUCCUUUUGGCCAAUUUCUGUUGUUGAAAUGGUUGUGUUACUUAGAAUUGUCAGUGAUUACUGGACUGCCAAAUCAAUAAUUUCAGGCAAAAAUUCAUCAAAAGGGUUUUCUUGGAAUUUUCCGUAAAUGUGUAAAACUAAAUUGACAAAAAAAAAAUUGAAAUGAUUUAAACUGAAUUAGCAUAUGUAUAAUAGAUUUUGGGACUGCUUAGAUAAUUUUCCCCAUGACUUUAAUUAGUCAUAAUAUUUUUUUUUAUAAAUUAGUCAUAACCUCCUUAAAUAGGCAAUACAAAUAUAAGGUUUAUGAGGUAAUUUGAUAUUCUAAUCUAACAAUUAUGGGUGAGUUUGAGAAAAGGAGCGAGGAUGUUAAGCAGCCACCCGGUGUUCCGGUUGAGCAAGCCAGCGAAGAAGACGCGUGAGUUUACUUUUUGCUUUUGUCCGAGUAUACGAGUAGUUAAAGAAAAUCAAUGUCGGAAUGCACUCAUUCGAGGAGCUAUGCGUAAUGACUCAGCAAGUUGCAUAUAAAGGAAACGCCUUCAUAGUUAGUGAUAUAUCCCCUUUCAACGAGAUUCACGUGGCACUCGGCAUAACAAUUUGUCAUUGUCCGAUAUGAUUGUCAUGAAAUGGGAAUACGCAAGAGUGAUUUUGAAAAAAUUCCACGAGUUCCAUAGUCACUUUGGUCGACAUCUAGUUCUAUUUGCUUACGCUUAAAUAUAUAUAUAAAAAAAAAAUUCUGCAUUUUGCUCUCCCUUGAGAAAAUUAAAAAUGGGGAAAAAUAGGUUUCAUAAAUUAUGAAAAACCAUAUAAUAACUCUACUUGUAAAUAAAUGUAUAUUUUUGAAAAUUUUAAAAAUCAACAUUUUAAAAAUAAAUUUGAAAAGGAAAAGCUCCAGACAGAACCAAACAUUUGGGAAGAAAAAAAAAGAAAAGAGGGUUUUUUUUUGGGGAGGUGGGGGGGAUGCCGGAGACUUCAAUAUGAAUGAGAGCCCACGGAGCAAAGUUAAUCCUGGCUGGCAAUAAUUUUGCAUGUUGAUUUUGUCAUGUAAAGAGUAGCAAUGGUCGCUAUGAUUUUGCGUUUUAAUAUUAUCAUCUAAAGAGUAGUAGUGUUCAAGAUAGUAAAUUAGUUUAAAAUGUUAAGAGGAUAGCAAAAAUUUAAUUUCCUCAGAAGUUCUAAUCUAACAAUUACAACUGCAGUUAUAUCUAACCUAACAAUCAUAAUUGGCUUUAUAAUCUAACAAUCAGCCUAAUUAUUAUGUUAAUUCUAAAUUUUUAACGUGAUUUCAUGGACCAGCACAAUGAGCUGGGAAGCACUAUUACCUAACCAAUGUUUGCCCAUUGGACGUGGAGGAAAAACUAGAUGCUUAAAUUAUGUUUGUCGAAAGCGGUGAAGGAAAGGAUGGAUAUCUAAUCAAUGUUUGUCCAUUGGCAUUGGAGGAAAGGAUGGUGAUUUCGACAUUGGUGUUGGUGACCUGCUCCAUGUAUUAAUAGAUUAUUUAUUAGAUUACCAUCAUUGUCUUGAUUGACGCGACCGACAACAAUCGUUUUUAAGUUUUUUUUACUUUUGGCCGGUGGAGGCUCUAAGGACUUGGAACCCUUUGCUCCCAACUUUUUAGCUUCCGAAGGAAUUGAGUGGAGUUUAUUAAAAGUCUUAACUGAGGUUAGAUUACCGAGAUCCAUAGUCCAUACACAUCCCAUCUUUCUUCCUCGUGAUUUGGGCCUUUGUUAAGAUUUUAAAUCAUUGGAACACUAGUAGUAACAUCUCAAUCGGUGUUGAUCAAAUAUUCCAGCAAAAAGUUACCAUGUCUCUUUCUCCAUUGAUUGCUCUUUGACGCCCCCCCUUCCUUCAUCUUUUCUCGCACUCGAAUUUCUUCGCCUUUUCCUCUUUCAUCAUUCUUGCUCUGUUUCACUUUUUCUUCUCCUUGCUAUGGCCCUACUCCGCCUCUUUUUCUGAAGUAUCUACGACUCUUUUUCAUCGUUCUCUCUCUCCCUCUCUUUUUCUCUCAACUUUUCCUUUUGAGGGGUUUUUAUCCGAACGUUUUCUCGCUCUUUCUUUUUUGGAAAAAAAAAAUCAAAGAAAAUGUCAGAUUGAUGCCGCUGUUGAGAAAAAUGGAAAAUUAUAUUAAACUCAAAUCAAUAAAUAAUUAUUGAUACAAAUGUUAAGAGUGCGUAACAAAAGUUUAAUCCCUUUAAUCGGAGAGGUUAUCAAGAGAAAGCUCAAGUUUGAGCUCAUUAACAUAUUCAAUUGACCCAUCUUAACUAAAAAAAAUGAGCUAAAAAGUUAUUGAUCAAUUAUGAUAUAUUAAUUGUUUAAUACGACAUCAAUUCUCCAUUGUGAAACUUUUCUAACCCAACUCAUACAUUCAUCUUAACAUUCGCCUCUCGCGUGUUGGCUUAGUAUUAUGCAUGCUUUCCCUUAAUUCAAGUAUCAUUCUCCAUUUACAUGACUCAAUUAGAAUCUCUGCUUUGGUGCGUGUGCUAACAAAAAUAACAAUAACGCCCAUCUUCAUCCCUAGUCUCUUUCUCCAAACCGAAUCAUGAAGGUUACCAUCAAGAUCACAUUUCUACACAACAACGCCCACCUUCAUUCCAAGUCUCUUUUGCUAGAUCGAACUAUGAAGGUUGCCCAAAAACUGCGUUGAUCACGAGAUUCCUUUCCUCAGAUAUUCUCCAAACAUUGGUAUACAUUGGGAUUGGCCAUUAGCUAUCAAUCAUCGGCUCUGGCAUCAUUUCUUAGGAGUGUCUAGUAGAAAUUUGAUACCGUUAACCAGAGAGAUCGCCAAAGAAAAGCCCAUGUUCGAGCUGGCCAAUAUGUUUUAUUGAAGCCAAGUUCACUCAAAAACUAGGAUAUAUUAAUUGCUGCAUACCAUACCAAUUAUCCGGUAUAAGACUUUCUAACAUAAGUCACGUGUAUAUCUCAAUAAGAAGGAUCUAACUAAUGGUUAAAAGAGUGAGAACGGAGAGAUAUUAGACAAACCCCAACCACAUCAUCAUAUGGCAAUUUUUUAUAACGUUCCACGCGGAGUAUGAAUGUGUCUACCUCAAAUCAUUCAUUUCUGUAGUGGUUCCAUCAAUUUGUCAUUUGACUCCAUUUUUUAGUGGAAGUCAUACUGAGGUUUUCUUGGAUGCUACAAACUUUAACAGUAAAUGCUUUUAGCCUCUAGCGCAUGAUCAAUGUUGAUAUUGAUAUGCAACUCCAAUUUUCCAACGAGAAUUGCUUCAUCAAAUGACUAGUGUGGCUGGUAAAAAAAAAAAGUGACUAGUGUGGGAUGUUAACAAAGAAGAGUUCCGCUAUAGCGUAACUGCACUAUCCUUUCCAAUAGCGACGGCGCAAAUGGGACCACGAGUUCUAUUAUGCUGGUAAUGCGCAACCGGAUUACAACUUUAAAAUGGGAAAUCUUUACGAGUAUCCUUAAAAUUUGUAUCCCUUUCUGAAUGAAAUGUCAGUCAAAAUGCCCUCCCUCCAAAUUGAGCACCAAGUAAAGUCAUCAAUCAUUUCUUUUCGUUUCUCUUGAAAGCAUAAAACAUUCAAUAUUAAUAUUAGUGUGCAACUAGCUUAUAACCGCACACAAUCUUGUCAUAACUAUAUACGUAUGUAUGUAUGCAAGCACACAUGAAUAUGUCUAAAAGUAUAUGCUUUUAAUUACCUCUUAUUUAGUUAGAUGUACAUCAUUAUCACAAAAAACUUUUUUUUUUCAAAGAAUUGGCAACCGGAUGAGUUUUGAAAUGACUUGCAUUUGCACUUCUGCGUUCUCUUUCAAAUGUUUUUUUUUUAAACUUUAUUAACAAAGAAAAAGCUUCACCACGUAUUGUUGCAACUGUUUCUUCCUACUUCCUCGUUAAUUGAAGAAUUAUUGUGUACAGCGGACUUAAAUAACAACGGCUCUAUACUUGGUUACCACGAAAUACUAUACAGCCUAUUAACAUAUCGUAAAAUAAAAAUAAAAAUCACCUUUAACCUCUUUCGGUUAAUUAAUCUAGUAAAAAUAAAAUGGGGGAUAUCCAAUCAUUGCAAAAUAACGUAAUAUAAGGUGUUGACUUGCAUAUUGAUUUUUUCUUUUUUGAGAAACCCCUUUUCAGAUAGGUGAAGUUCAUAUUAAAGGUAAAGUGAUUGAUGAAAAUAAUGCCAAUACCAAAACGAGACCAAAAAUAUGAUAGAGAAGGACUUUUAACACCAAAAGAAAUGGAAGUUGGGUUGUAUCGAAUAAGUAUGUAGCUUUUUUCUUUUUUUCACUAAACAGAGAGGAGAAUCAAAGUACCUAUCAUGGGCAGGGGUGUGGAGUUUAACUCUUAUAAGGAGGCUUAUGAAUUUUAUAACAAUUAUGAUAAAUAAGUAAGAUUUUGUAGUAGAGUUUCAAAAUUGUAGAAAAGGAAGAGUAGAGAGGAAAAGUGAGGCACAGUUUUUUGGGGCUAGCUCCAAAAAAAUAAAGCACCAACUUUAGUUUAAGAGACAAAUCUGACCGAAACUUUUUUUUUUUUUUUUGUCUUGUAAAAAAGCACAAAUUUUAGGUUAAGGGACAAAUCCAGCCUAAACUGUUUUUUUUGUCUCGUAAAAAAAUGUCAAUUUUCGGUUAAGUGACAAUUCUAGCUCAAGUUUUUUUUUUUCUCGUAAAAAAUUACAAACUUUCACCAUUAUUCAACUUUCUAUUUGAAGUUAACCUUGUUUCAAGAAAAAAAGGUUCUAGCCAUGAGCUUGGCGGAUCUUGUUCAUGGGGUCUCUCGAUGGGCGGUGGUCCAUAGCUUCAUUUUAAGACAAAAUGACAAAGUCUAGCCAGACUAAUUCAAUUUAGAGAUUUUUUGACUUGCUAGUGAAGUGUAGGAGAUGAUGAAUAAUUUACCGUUAUUCUCCAAGCUAUGGCUCAAACAAGAAGAUAAUGAAUAGUGUUUUAAAUCCGGCCAGCAAGUGCACAUGGAUUUAUCACUAAAAACAAUCAAUGGAUCUAAAUUAAAGGGGGCUAAAUUUAGGAUUUAAGUGAAAACUAGUGAUUUUUUUUAGACAAAAAAAGUUAGGAUCAUAAUUGUCACUCAUCCCAAAGUUAGUGUUCUUUAUGUGACAAAAAAAAAAGUUUGAGCCAAAUUUGUCACUUGACUUAAAAUUAGUGCUUUUUUACGAGACAAAAAAUAGUUUGGUUUAGAUUUGUUCAUUAACCUAAAGUUUGUGCUUAUUUUUGGAAUUAGCCUCAGUUUUUUUGCUGCAUUUGUCAAAGGCUCAAGAAAAAAAAAAUGGGUCAGUUAAGUCGAUUCAUUUGAAAAGGUUAGAAUUCAAUAUAUUUUUUUUAAUUACUCAAGCACAAAGAAUGAGAAGCCCCAAAAAUGUACAAAAAUAUCUUUAUUAGUCUAAAAACAACGGUUCUGGUGUUUUUCUUUUCUAUUUUAGAAAUAUAAGUCAUAUUUAUAAUAAAAUUAAUAAUCUCUUUUUAGUGAUAAUUUUCGUACUUGUGAUUCUUAUAUUGUAGCAUUCAAUUUCCUUCAAGUCAUUUUUCCCUUGCUUUCGUAAGGAUGGAAAUUCAAGAAAUUAAUUGGUGUUUAGUUGAGGCCUUAAUCAAGGUUAGGUUAUAGACAAGAAAAUCGAACAUGCACUCUAUUUUAGCUAAAUUUCCAUAUUGGUUAUGUCCAUAUUUUUAACCCACCAAUCAAAGAAUUGGUAAGGAUGGAAAUAAAUAAACUCUGACUUAAUAUAAACUCGCAUACAUUAAGGAAGCCAUUGCUCUCAAUUAACAAAGAAAUCCAAUGAGAUGUAAAUACUGAAUCAUUCCAAAGCAUGAGAAGAAAAUGUAACCUUAUCACUGCUGCGUCAAAUAAAUUUGUCCUUGUCUCUUUCACUUUUCCCAACCUAUAACAAUUGAAACGAGUAAUCUAAUAUCCGCCAACCUUUGUAUCACUUAUAUUAUGUUUGUGUAUAUGGGGCAGCGCACUAUCAUUUAGAUAUAGGAAAUGUGUGAUUACCUCUAUUUAAAAUCAAUUAAAUGGGAUUCCUAUCCAUGUCAAUAGUAUGCGAAUCAACCACCAAAAGAAGCAAAUCCAGACCAUGUAACUAGAGACAAUUUUUUUUUUUUUAAGAACUUCUGCGGAAUGCAAAAUACACUUGUACUUUACAAGAAAAAAAAUUAUGCUUACUUAACAUCACCAUCUUGCAAUUAUCAGACAUCAAUAAUAUUAUAAUUUUAUGUUAACACAGUCAUUUUCAAAAUGAUAUAGAAUGCAAAAUACACUCAUUCUUUAGAAUAAAAAGAAAAAAAAAAACAUGCUUACUAAAUCCCAGGAGUGACAUAGCUGAUUGGGAUGCUAGGGGAUUUCCAACUCAGGAAUAGGAGGUUGCUUGUUAGGAUCCCACAAACUGCUUUAGGUUUGAGCCAACUACACAGGCCAAAGCCCUGAGCUUAACCAAUUCAUAAAGCCUACAGGAUAUUUCAUAGAAUUAUGGGUAGAGAGGUCUCCAUACACAUGCCCCCAUAUCAUAAGAAAAAUUAUAUGCUUACAUUAAGAGUAUCCCAAAUUUAUAUGGUACUCUUUUUAUAUGCACUUAUUUCUCAUAAACUAGGUAGUUAUUAUGCAAAAGGUCCUGAUCAUAUUAAUUACAAAUAGAACUUCCCUCAUGACUUUAAUUAGUCAUCACAUUUUUUUGUUAAAAAAUUAGUCAUAAUAGUUAUAAAUAUAUGGACUUAGGCCUAAUUUGAAAUUCUAAUCUACCAAUUAUGUUGGUAAAAAGGAAACAACUUCAAUUUUUUUUUUCUUUAAAACAGAGUUCUUUUUCCCUUAAACGGAUGAUUCAAGGGGCUUUCUGUCAACAAAUAUGUGAAAAUUUUGAAUACUACAUAAAGACUCAAGAAUUAUUUUCAUCCAAUGGGCAAUAUCAAUUAGAUAUGAGGGUCUAAAUUAGCCCAAGUCUAUUUUGUCAAUACGUAGAAAACUUACAAAAAAUUGCAAUUCAACUUAUAAGUGAAUAUCAAUAAUAUAAUAAUUUUACAUUAAAAUUGUCAGUUCUUAAAAAUGAUAGAUAAUACAAAAUAUACUUAAUCUUUACAAUAAAAAUUUAUGCCUACUUAACCCCAGGAUUGGUUCAGCUAGUUGGGAUGUUAUGGGAUUUUCAGCUCAAGAACUGAAGAUCCAUUAGAACCCCACAAAUUGCGAGCAAACUACUCUAAGUUACAGCCUCUUACAUAGGUCAAAAGCCUAAGCUUAACUGAUUCAAGGAUUAUAUGAUAUUUUCUAGGCUUCUAAAUAGAUAGGUUUCUAUGCCUAUGCACUUAGAUUAUUAAAAGAAAAUGCUUACUUUGGGAGGAUGCUAAUUUUAUAUGAGAAAUUUUUCAUGUGCACUUAUUCCUCAUAAACUAGGUAGUUUUUAUGAGAAAAGGUCGUUAUCAACUUAAUUACAAAGAAUAUGUCCCUCAUCAUUUUAAAUAGUUAUAACCUUUUUUUUUGUUAGACAUUAGUCAUGGUUGGCAAAACAAUUAAACAACUUCAAUUUUUUUUCCUAUGAACUGAGGUUUUUUAUUUUAUUAUUAUUAUAAAUUUAAGACAUGAUUUGAGGGGCUUUCUGUCAGCAAAUUUAUGAAAAUUUGAAAGAUAACACAUGAAAUUAAGACUCAUUUUCAACUAAUGUUCAACAUCAAUUAGAUAUUAUGGUCUAAGUCAGCCCGAUUCUAAUAUGUCAUUAAGUAGAACAUUAUCAAAAAUUGAUCUUCAAUAUAUAAAUCAAUAACGCAGCCGGUGAAUCCAUUUUUGUGUUUAGCCGUGGAGGAAAGGAUGGUCCCUAAUGAAUGUCCAUGAGCGGCGGAGGAAAGGAUGGAGACAUAGACGUUGGUGUGGUGGCCGGUCAAUUAAUUAAAAAAUCAUCCAUUUCUCUUUAUAUAAAUGUUUUUAAAAAUAUAUAUAUAGUUCAGCCAUUUCUUUAUAUUGCUCGAUUGUUUCAUUCAUAGUUCAUUGCCUGACUGACAAGAGGACUAUGCAAGAGUCUUGGCAGUUGGGUAUUCCUUCCCAGUAAAAAUUAAUUCAUAAAAUGACAAAUAAAUUCUUAUUAAUUAUUGAUAUGACGAGUGAUGACUCUUGCAGCCUCUCAUAUCUCUUUAAAAAUAAUCUUAUAAAUGAACCAAAUGUCUGAGGAUUAGCCGACAUCCAAUAUCAUCAAUCAUGUUAGAAACUAUCAUCGAUAAAUUGUAUUAUACAUUUGGCUGAACAAAAUCGUGUUCUAUAAUUAAAAUACUAUUUUUGUACAAUCUUUGUUGGAACAUUUAUGGUACAGAAAAUUAUAUAAAAACUGCCGAUUAGUAAGGAUUUACACAUUGAAUGAUAUAUUUCCCUCUACUUUUUUGUAUGGUUGCCAGUAUAGAAAGUAAAGUUUAUUUAAGUAUCUCAGUUGGCUAAAUUCUCAUCAUGAAAGCACAAGGUCAUCAUAAUGUUUCGUGUGUUACUUGACUUUCACUGUUAUAAUGACUAAAAUGCUUAGUAGCCUGCAACAACUAAUUUCAUAUAUGUAUAUGUGUAGGCUAACCUCUUCCUGUGGAAGGUUAUAAAAGUGAAAAAAAAUUAGGGUUAUAAAUUAUCAAAAGCCACAUGACUUUAUUUGUCAAUAAUUGUAUAUUUUUGAAUAUUUUAGAACCGAUUUGUGAUAAUUGCAAUAUUUAAAAAAAACAUUAAAUGUAAAAUACUCCAAACAGACCCAAGCAUUUGAAAGAAAGGGGGGAAACUUCAAUAGGAACAAGAGAGACGCAAAAUAAUGUUAGCGGUGACUCGGGAUCGUUCCCCGUAUUAAUUUUAUCUUGGAAAGAGUAGCACUACUCAAGAAAAUAAAUUGAUUUAAAAUGUUAAUAAAGAAUGGCAAAAGUUUAAUUUACUUAGAAGUUUUGAUCUACAAUUCCAAUUCAAGUUACGUCUAAGGUAACAAUUACAAUUGACAUUAUAAUCUAACAAUUUGCUUAAUUACAAUGUUACUUCUGCAUUUUAAAUAUGAUUUCAUUGAUUCGCACAAGGAGCGACUUUAGGACUAGUACUUGAUCAAUGUUUGUCCAUUAAUGGUGGAGCUAAAGGAUGCGGAAACUUACCCAUUGGUGAUGAUGAUUGGUCAAGUUAAGAAACAAGAAAACCAUUUCUAUUACCAUAUUCAACUUUUAAUCAAAAAGUAUUGGGGGACACUGAAAGGAGAUAUCACCCAUGAUAGUAGUAAUAAUUUAUUUGCUUAUUUUGCUAGACUCACUAUGGGUUGAAAAUGAGUCUGGUGCAGACCCACGUAGGCUCACGUGGAAUUGGUGAUGCUUUUUUCAUAUCAUUUCAACUGGCUUAAAAAUUUCAAGUGUCGCACCAAAAUUUUGAUAAUGGGUUUCAGAUACAUACUGCCACCUCUAGAUGAAACUACAUGUCUUGUGGGUUUUGAUCCGUCCUCGUCCUUUUGUUCUCUUUAUUAAUUACAUUUGCUAUAGCGAAGAGUGACAAACUACAUAAAGUACCUAUUAUACAUGAGUGAUGAUUCAAAUCCAAUCAUUUUAAUAAUUGCGUUUUGAUCGAAGGUGUUAUAUACGAUUCGGAUUCUAAUCGUCACUCCAUGUUGAUUCACAAAAGUGCCCACAUACAAAUAUUGAUGAAAAUAUUAAUAUUAUGAACAAGAUUAAGGGAUAAUAUUACGAAAAAUCUUAAACUGAUACACAUGCGACAAAUUUACUUCGCAUUAAUUUUUUUAUCACAAAAAACCCCCAAACUGAUUCAAUUAUGAUAAAUUUAUUACAAACUAAUUUUUUAACCAUGAAAAAUCUCUAACUAGUACACAUGUGAUAAAUUUACUCAAAACUAAUUUUUUUACCGUCAAAAACCAUAAAUUGAUACAUUUAUGACAAAUAUACCCCCGUUAAAUUAUAUUAAUACUAGAAAAAAUUACAAAACCGAUACACUGUGACAAAUAGAGAGUAAAAUCUCAAAUUGGUAUACUUGCCAACUACCACAUGUCAUCUAAAUCAACAAUCUAACUUGAAAAUUUAACGAAAACUAACAGAUAGUAAAUUUCUCAUAGAUUUAUCAAUUCAGAGUUUUUUAUAGUUAAAAGAUUAUUUUUUUGUAAAUUUAUUAUAAGUGUACAGAUUUAAGAUUUUUUGUAGUCAAAAAAUUAAUUUGUGAUUAAUUUAUCAUGCGUACCAUAUUAAAGAUGAUAUUUGUCAAGUGCAUGGGUUGGUGUGGCCUCUCCUUAUCAAGUGGGCGCCAUUUAUUUUGCUAUUUGUUGCUCUUUCUUAAUUACAUUUUAUUAUAUCAAUCUGACACGGUAUAAAGUAUUCAUAUAAUUCUAGUCAAAUUAUUUUGUUACUUUAGAAGUUGGUAAUCAUUUGUAUUUUAUUUUUUUAAUCCACUUCAAUGAGCGUGCAAUUCAAAUAAUGCAAAGAAAUCAAUUUACUCCACAAUUGUGACGCAACGAACAACUGCCGUAAUUAAGGUACAUAUUGGUGUUUAGUUAUGGCCUCAACUAAGAUUAGAUUUUUCUAAGAUCUAAAGUCUGUUGUCCACGUGACUAGUGGAUCAUGCAUGAGUCUUGUGAGUUGGGUUUUCCUUCCCAAUGAAAAACUACUUCACAAAAUGAUAUAUGAACUCAUAUUUUUUAUUGAUAUAAAAAGGAAUGACUCUUGCAGCUUCUCAUAUAUUUUCAAAAAUCAAUUUUAUAAAAUGAACCGUGUAUCAUCAAUCAUUUUAGAAUUAUCAUCCACAGAUUGUAUCGUUGUUUAACUCAUAAAUGGAUUCCAACCUGAGUAGUGAACUAUCUUCAACCAAAAGAUAUAUCUUUUAUUUUUAUGAAAGGGGUUCAGUGGCGAUUUUAAACAUGAGUUGCAAUUGGCAUGAUAAUGAAGAUGAACAACGAAUUUAAAGGUAAAAGGUGAUAGUAAAUGUUGGAAAUUAACAUGACAUUAAAACUGAUAAAAGUACAUCAAAAAAUAUUCGGAAUCAUGAUGAUCCUUGCAAUAAUUAUAUGUUGCCAUUUUAUACUCCGCCAAUCAUAACCGCUUAUUAAGACUUAACCAUACUAGAUGCAGUUGUAACUGCAUUCCCGAGAUUUUAGGACUCCUAUCUACACAUCGAUCCUAUCCACAAGUUGUUACGACUCUUUAAGUGUCACUAGGUUAACCAUUGCUUGGUGCCCUUAUAUUUAGUCGACAUUUUCACUAUCUCCUUUCUUCUUAGUUGAUAAUUGUCGACCAGUCAUCGUGGUACAUCGACAAUGGUAUCUCUCAAUCGUCAAUAAUUACUGUCCAUUGUCAUUGAUAUGUGCUUCUAUUGUCCUUAACUUACCAAAAACCAUAUAAGUUGUCACAAACUAUAUACCCACUUAUAUCAACAUUAUGUCAUUCACAAAAACUUUAUCAUUUUUCAGUGUAAACAAUUAUACAUCUAGCUAAAGAAAAUCUAAUUAAGCGACUAUCAUGUGAUUUAAAUACAAUCUUUAUUCUAACAAUUAUGGUACAACAAAUUACAUAAAAUGUACAACCAAUCAUAUGGGAUUUACACAUUGAAUGAUAUGCUCCUGGCUACUUAUUUGUGUGGUUGCCAAUUUAGAAAGUUAACUUUACAUGAGUAUAUCCGUUGGCUAAAUUCUCAACAUGAAAGCACAAGGUCAUGGACUCAAUUUUGUAUUGCAUGCUACUCAACUUUCACUACUAUAAUGACUAAAAUGCUUAGUAUCCUGCAACAACUAAGUUCAUUUACAUAUUUACAUAAGCCAAACUCUCGUCAUGGAAGGUUGUAGACCUAUCAUGCAUUGCAUGUUGUGAUGCUACUUGACUUAUGCACCAUAUUUAUAGUGUCAUUAAUAAUUAUGUAUUUAGUCAUAUUUACUUAUGAAAAUACAUACCUGCGUAAUAUAACCCUCUUUAUAAUUUUCAUUCUAUAGAAAUUUUGUAACAAGGGAUAGUUUUUUCUCCUAUUGAUUUGCUAUCAGUUGUUUCUUUUACUUUUUAAAAUUUAUUGCAAAGCAUGUACUGUAAUUUCGUUUUUAUGAUGAUAGAUAAUUUUUUGAAUUCUCUAAUAUCAUAUAUUUGUCAAAUAUAGACAAUCAUGGACUAAAAGAUGUUUCUACAUUAAGCAUCUUAUUUAUCACAUACAUGAUAAAUAUUUAUAUUGUCGAUUUGUUAUAUAUAUUGACUAUCACAUCACGUAAUUUUUCUAAAAGUUUGUCAAUGAUAUACCUGAAGAAGGGGUGCCCAACGUCGAACGAGCGAUCAAAAAAGAUUCCGAAGCAUCUUCAUAGCACGACCCAGCAAUCAUGUUCUUUGGGGGUCCUCAGGCUAUAAAGCCGAUUUCCUUCCUUUUGGUCCGUCUGUAAAAGGCAACCAUACAUUUAUUUAAUUAUAAAAUUCGAAAGUUACUGUACACUUAGUUAUAUCUUAUUUUUGAAAUAUCUAAAGUCACGUAGUGAAUCCUAUAUAUAUAAAGUGGGUAUCCAUGCAUUAUUGAACUCCUUCGAGAGCUUGUCAAAAUUUGUAAAUCAAAAUAUUAACAGGGAUAUGUUAAAGUGGUCUUCAAAACCAAUUUGUUAAAGUGCAAAAUAGAACUGAUAUUCAAAUAAACAACAUAUGUUUAGGAAUUUGGGAUUUGUUAAAGUGACCAUUGAUAUCAAAUUGUUGAAUAAAGUUUACACGUGAUUGUGCUGGCUCAACUCUCAAGAGAGUUUUACCAUAUAUAUAUAUAGAGAUAUAUAUAUACAUAUAUAUAGAUGCUUUUCUAGUCAAAUCAAUUUAUUAAAACGACUCAAUUUGUCUACCAUUUAAAUACAAUGAGGAAAAACACAUUAAUUUAUCCAGGUCAAUCACAUGUUUUGAACAUUACCAGUCUCACAUAUGACUGAAAUAAUUUGUUAGUGAGAUUUGGUAAGUCCAAGCAAAAAGGAUUUUACCAUCCUUUAGGAAAGAGAUAUUAUCCGGUAGAGAGUAUUACUGUACUGCAUAUUAGUCGGGAAAAAGUUGUUUUCCGGGACAUUUUUCCUGACAUUCAAAGCUUACCGAAGGCUAGCUAAAAAAAAAAAAAAAAGCUUACCGAAUUACCAUCGGACAAUCCUCUAAAAAAAAAACCUUUAGGAGGACUUAUUCUGAGAAAGAAUAUAGAUGCCGUUUUCAUGUAUUUUUCUGAAGUACUCUGGAAGUUCCGAGGGACCACUUGUGCUUUUCUGCCUUGGCCAUAUGGUCCGCAUUAAAAAUUGAGUUGAUGGCAUACUGUAAAGUCACGUGGGUGCGGCCAGUCCUUGUCCAUUCAUUUUCUUAAAUCAUUACCUUUUAUUAUAUCAGUGCUGACACACUGUUUAAGUCGACUCAUUUGUUUACUGCUACUUGGACAGCUGAUGAUCAUCUCUUUCUUCCUCGAUUCAUCGCUAUUCGACGCUCCCCUUCCUUCGUCCUUCUUUCGCGCUCGAAUCUCUUCGCCUUGUUUGUCUCUCGCUUUGUUUCACUCUUUCUUCUCUUCAGCACAAUCAUUCUUCCUAUUCCUCCUCUUCUUCAGUAUCUUCUCCUUCUUUUCAUCAUUCUCUCUCUGUGUCUCUCUUUCUUUCUUGGGAAAAAAAAAUCAAAGAAAAAAUGUCGGUCGAUUCUGUCGUUUCUAUUGCGUAUGAUGUCUUCAAGAGCUAUGUAGUUGAUCCCGUCAAGCGUCGAUUCAGAUACGUGAUCUCCUCCAAGAAUUUCGCCGACGAUCUUCGGGUGGAAGUCCGGAACCUGGAGAACGAGGCUCAGAGGGUCCACAUUUUGGCAGAAGUGGCCCGAAACAACCUUCGGAAUUUCUAUGGUUACUUCCCAGAGUGGCAGCAAAGUACUGACAAGGCCUUGGAGGAGGCGGGAGACCUGUUGGGCGACAUGGGUGAGGCGAGCAAGACUUGCUGCCACGGGACUCUUCCCGACGCCAAAUGUCGCUAUCAGUUCAGCAGGAAGGCCGAGGACAAGAUCAAGGUCAUUAAGCAACUCGCUCAAAAAGGCAGCGGAUUCAAGGAAUUGAACGACAUCUCCUUCACUGAUCCUGCUCCGGGAAAUGUCACUGCUACGAAUCCAGCCAGGAGAGAAGGCGAAGAAUUCGUCCAGCCGACCCCUGCAACGGCCUCCGCUUCUUCUGCCUCGACGUCAAAUGAGCUUAGUAAGGAUGGCGUCUUCGAAUCCAGAACUGCGAUCAUAAGGGACGUAAUGGGCGCUCUUGCCGAUAACAGCAAUAGUGUGGUCGGGGUUCACGGGAUGGGUGGGGUCGGCAAGUCCACCCUUUUGGACGACGUGGUAAGCAGAAUAAGAGAAGAGAAGCGGUUCGAUCUGGUCGCCAAGGCCGACGUGUCACAAAAUCCUGACAUCAAGAGAAUUCAAAGUGUGAUUGCCCAUGCGUUGGGCCUGGACAUGAAAGAUUAUGAGUAUGAGAGCAUGCGAGCGGAUCGUCUGCGCGAGAGGUUGGGAAAUGAGGAAAAGAAGGUCCUCAUAAUACUGGACAACCUAUGGAAAGGGCUUGACUUGAAAUCUGUUGGAAUUCCUUGCGGGCAUGACAACAAAGUCAUGGGAUGCAAGUUGUUAUUGACGUCGAGAGACCGAAAUGUUUUGCAAAGGGAAAUGGGCUGCGACAAGGACUUCUUUCUUGAUAGGCUGGAGGAGAAAGAGGCAAAUAUAUUGUUUGAGAGGAUGGUGGGAGAUAAAGUUCAUAAUGAUGAGUUCAGACCCAUGGUGAAUGAAGCACUCCGCAAAUGUGCAGGUUUGCCUUUGUUAAUUGUCACAAUGGCGAAACAUUUGAAAUACGGUCGUUUGCCUGAAUGGAGGAAUGCUCUAAAUCAAAUUGAGCGGUGUUCAAACAAAGGGUUAAGUGCAGCGAUCAAUACGAUGUUGCAAUUAAGUUAUGAUCAUUUAGAAAGCGAGGAAGCGAAAAAUUUGUUACAACUCUGUGUUGCUGUUGACGUCUCUAAUCCCUCUGUUGAAGACUUGGUGAGGUAUGGCUAUGGUUUAGGGAUAUUUCAAAGAGAUAGUAGCAUAAAAGAAGCUAGAGAUGAAGUGAGUACACUCAUCCACACUCUUCAAGCCUCCUCCCUUCUGUUGGACAAUAGAGAUGACAAUGCUUUCAAGAUACAUGACUUGGUUCGUGACUUUGUUGCUCAGUUCAUUUUAAAAGAUCGGCCUCUUCUCGUGUUGGAAAAUGAAGAAAUGUUGGCAACACAAUUGUGGAGGGAGAGGCUCGAAAGUUGUAUGGCGAUAUGCUUUCCCUAUAUUGACAUGAAGGGCCUUCCCAAAGAAUUAGAUUGCCCCGAAUUGCACAUCUUUUUGCUUUUCGCCCGUAGUGGAUUUCUUGAGGUUCAAGAUUCAUAUUUCAACUCUAUGAGGAAACUUACAGUCCUAGAUCUUUCCGGAAUACAUCUCACUCAUUCACCAACCCCAUUGCAAUUCUUGGAGAACUUACAUACUCUAUGUCUUAGUAGUUGUUCACUAGAGGAUGUGGCCAUUCUCGGCAAGCUGAAAGGCCUUCAAAUUCUCAGCUUUGUGUACUCGAGAGUUGAACGAUUGCCAAAAGAAAUUGGGCAACUAGUAGAGCUGAGGUUGUUGGACUUGAACUAUUGUUCACAUCUUCAGAUAAUUGAACCGGGUGUGCUUGGAAGAUUGAUCAAAUUGGAGGAGUUGUAUAUGGAGAAUAGUUUUGAUCAAUGGAAUCCUGUGGAGCAAACUCAACCAACUAAUGCGAGUUUGAUUGAGUUGAAUCACCUGAAGAAUCUUUGCAUUCUACAUGUCUCCAUUCCCAAUCCAAGUGUGCUCCCUGAGGACCUAGAUGUCAAGAAAUUAACCAAGUACAAAAUCCGAAUAGGUUAUGCAACACGUUGGAGCAAGGACCUAGGAUCGAGGAUUUUGGACCUCAAGUUGGAUCCAACAAGUGAUGUUCUUCGAAAAGGAUGCAUACAAAGUCUCCUAAGCAAAACAGACAAUCUGUUUUUGGCCAAGUUGAACGGAAGCAAGCAAAGUAUUUGCGGAUUAUCUCAAGAAGGCUUUCCAGAAUUAAAGCAUCUGCUGGUCAUGUAUGGUUCCUCUAUCCAAUACAUCCUCCAGUGGCGUUCUGUUAGUACUUUUGAGAUGUUGGAGUCAUUAUUUCUCAUAGAGCUCAACAACUUGACAAAGAUAUGCUACAGCCAUAUUUCCUCCUCCAAGUCCUUCGGUAAAUUAAAAGUAAUUCAAGUCAAACGUUGUGACAAGAUGGAAGUUUUGUUUCCUCUUUCAUUACUGAGAGGACUUCCACAAUUAGAAGAGAUUGAAGUUGUCUAUUGCAAGUUAAUGCAUGGGAUUGUAGAUGUUGAUGAUUGUGGCAAGGUGGAGUUGCAAAAUUUGCGUAUAAUGAAAUUGCACCACUUACCAAAUAUCAAGAAUUGUUUCACCGGCGGAUCAACUCUUUCGAGCAAUACAUCAGACGACCAAGUUGGAACUCAAAUUGCAUUCUUCAAUGGGCAACGGGUAAUUUUCUAUCAAAAAAAUAUAAUUUUUAUUACUUUUUCCUACCUUGCUAAUUAGAUGCACAACAUAUCAUGUUGCUUAUUCAUUUUGUUAUUUUUAGUUUACUUCUUUCCUAAUAACCUUAUCCGUUCAUUCCUUCUUUGCAAUUAGAUAAAUCAGUCUUCAGUUUCCCUUCAUUGUGUAGAAAUCCAACUAAUUGUAUGAUAUCCAUGUAAAUUUAGUUUGUGGUAGGUUCUGAGUUAUUUUCAAUUUAAAUGCUACUAGUAUAUCUAUGUUAAUAGGGUUUAUUAAAGAAAAACUAAAGAGAAUUUCGGCACUAAAGUAAUUCCAUAAGUAAUUUUAAAUCUUUUGAUAUGGAUUUGAUUGAAUUUACUUAUCAAACUUUGUUAUUAUUCACAAAAUGGGAAGGAGGACUAGGUUUUUUCUUCUUCUUCUUCUUCUUUUAUAAAUAAAAGCAACUAGGCUAAUGUAAUUGAUGCAUGUCUUCUAUGUAUUGUGUUUAAAUAAGAAGUUAGUCAUUGUAUAGAUCCCAUAAUUAUAAGAGUACAUAGUUUUGUGCAUGUUCAUGCAUGUACAUUGUAUACAUAGAUACCUUAAUACGUACUUUUGGCAUCACAAAAACAAAUUCACAAUUUGUAUUUAAUAUCCUAUUAAAUUGGUUAUUGAUAGUGAUUUGCUAACAUUAAAGAGAAGUUAGUAAAGCAAGGAUGAUCAAUUGCUCAACUAAGAAAAGCACAUGGCUAUUUUACACGGGGAAAAUAUUGCUACGAGUGGGACCUUUUAAUUGACUAGAUAAGAUAGCCCUUUAAUAGUGGCCCAAUUAUCACUGAAGUUGAUCAUUGGCCAUGAGACUCACAAAAUAGAUUAGUUUCCCUGUCAGCAAAAAGCGGUGGAAAUUUAAGUCGUGGGUCCCACACGCUAGUGUGUGACUUCUCUUCUUCCCCUGCUUUGAGCUUCCAUGGAGAGAACGCUUUCAAAGAUAAUGGAACUACAUCAGAAAUUUUUUACAAAAAGCCUUUAUGGCUUUGCUUCUUUUUCUUUUUUACAUCAUAAUCUUGUACAGUAGAUCCUCUUAGUAUAAUCUUUACACCAAGCUUAAAGAAGAUGACAAAUCAUUCAAGCUCAACAAGGGUGAGAAAUUACAAAGUUGAUAAAGUAGUUUUGCACAAAAACAAUUAAUUGCAUUCAAUUGAAAUUGAAGGCGAUUAUUUGUAGUCUAUUCAAUUCUAGACUAGUAGGUGGAAAUAUAGUUAACAGUUAAACUAGCUUUAGUGAUAAUAUUUUAUAGGAGAUCCUUUUCCUAUAAUAUCUACACCAAGUUUAUAGAAGAUGACAAAUCAUGCAAUUUUAAAAAUGGAAGCAAUUACAGGUGAAAAUCUUUUGUUAUUUGUUUUUCAAAGAAAAUGAUGUUAGGCCACUGUAGAUAUAUUUUAUGGUCCUAUUUGCACUUAUACGGAUAAUAAUUUACUAACAUGAAAGAGAAUUAGUAAAUUAAGGAUAAACAAUGCCCUCUAUUAAGGAAAGCUCACGGCUAUAUUAUAUGGGUGAAAACUACCGCAAUUAGGGGGUUUUAUUUGAUUAGAUAAGAUAGCUCCCUUAUAGGAGCGCGGGCCCAAGGCUGGUGCCAUACGCAGUUUCCCUUGUAAGAAAGAGCGAUGGAGAUAUAAGUGGCGGGUCCCACAAGGCUGUGAUGUGAAAGUGUGACCUUUCAUCAACCCUUGCUUUUAAUAGAAACUAGAUCGCGAAAUUUUGCUUUGUAGAUUUGCCUCUUUUUUUUUUUUGGCGGUAUUCUUUGGGGCUUUUAACUUUGUGUGAUUCUAAUUCUUCAAAAAAGAGUUACUGAUGCUUUAGUACUUCUUUUUAUUUUUACUUUUGUGUAAAAUCUAGAUAUGCAAAGAUUCAUGGGUUUAUAAUGAAAUACUUCUUAAAAUUGUAAUAAGUCUCCUCCGACAUUAUAAAGUGGUGGUAGCAUACAAAGUAGUAGUUAAGGUUUGUCAAGAAUAACAAUAGACUAAUGAACGAGACACAAAAGUUAAACUUGUUGUAUAGGUGGGAGUGAGGGGUGAUGGCGAGAUACAUGGGAGUUUGAGAGUAACUUGGCAGAUGAAAGCUUUCUUAGAGUUGUAGCAAUGAACUUUCGGAAAAAAACUAGUUACUCUUUGCAGAAAAAAAAAGGAAAAGAAGAGAAUAAAUAAAGCUUUCCAUUGUCAUGGCGACCAUGGGUCUCUUCACCUUUCAGACAUGUUGAUUAACAAAAUUACAACAACAAGGAUAAUUAAUUAGGAUGGGCCACAUAUGCAUCCGACUUGAAAGGAAUACUCGAGGUAAUUUACAAAUGAUAGGGAAAAAGACGUUCAAAUAAUCUCAAGUUAUUUACUCUUUUUCAAGGAUAGUUGGGAUCUCAACCCAUGGUGAUGACUAAUGACUACUAAGUUGUUGUGAUAACCCAAUUGCUGACGUGUCUAAUUUCAUGUUGUUUGCGGGUAAAUUAGUCCUUUUUUGCCUAAUAAAUUUGGAGAAAUCAAAGACAUUUGAAAAGGAAAAGACAAUAAAAUGCCGUCUUGUUGGAUUUUAUCAAGGAAGCAGGCAAUAACAGUGUGUGAGAAGUCCUCUUGACCUAAAUGAGAAUGAGGUCACAUUCAGCUAUCAACUCCCUGUGUCCGUAGGUCACACUCAUAUACCAUUGCAAUCCCAAGGUUUAAUUUCUGAGUUGGGCUCAUAACUAGAUGAUAUAUAAUAGGCCCAAUCUUACCUGAGACCAAUGGGACAUAAGCGGCAUAUAUCUCCAUCUAAUUGUCAAAUAAUUGAUAUAAUUUGACAAUUAGAAAAAUAUUUCAUGCAGAAAUUGAUUGUUAUUAGUAACCGGAAUGAGAGCGAAUUCUUGAUGAUUGCAAUUCCUGAUAUUGCUAGUAAAAUACAAACAAAAUCCAAUUGUAAUAGUAUCCCUUUUUAUGUCGUAAAGAAAAGGUCAAGUUCAUUAGUUGUCUUUUAAGGUCAUAAAUUAGCUUUUGUUUAUCAUAGAUUUUCAUACGUGUGAAAAUUAUCCUAAAGGCUGUACAUUAUCUUGCUUAUAAAUUUCUUUGGCAACCAUUUAUAAUACCUGCUAUAUACGUAAAUUUCCUAACUGUCUUUUGUAAUUGUAAAUGCUAUGUUGAUGGAUUUGUCUGUUACAUUUCAAUCCCGUCCUUGUGGUCCUUGACAAUGGAAGGACUUCCCAAUCCAAAAGAAAUAUGUUAUCAAACUAAUUGUAUAAAAUCCUUGCAAAUUUAGUUUGUGAUAGGUUCUGAAUUAUCUCAACAUUGCAAGUAUAUUUAUAUUAAUAGGGUUUCAUCAAAACAAAAUGAAGGGAAUUAUUGGUAUUAAAGUAAUUCCAUAAGUAAAGUAAUUUAUAAUCUUUUGAAAUAUGUUCCCUUGAAUUUAGUUAUAAAAAUUUGUUAAUAUCCACAAAAUGUUUAAUAUAGGUGACUCUUAAAAAGCAAUACGAAGAAUGAGAAGGAGGACUGAAUUUUCAAAUAAAAGCAGCUACGCUAAUCUAAUUGAUGCAUGCCUUUUGUGUAUCAUGUUUAAAUAAAGCCCUUAAUCAUUGCAUAGACCCCAUAAUUGUAAGAGUACAGAAUUUUGUGCAUAGUUUUUUUUUUUUUUAUAGUAAAAGUAGGCCUUGGCAAUUGUAUGAUUUUCAUUAUGUCACAACAAACUCGUCAUUUCAAAUUCAGAAUUCUUGUUCUUGGAAUUCCUAAGUGGUAUUCAGAAUUCUUGUUAUUGGAAUUCCUAAGUGAUGUUCACCAUUUCUUUACUCCACACAGCAGAAUUUGAAAUCCCCUGUGGUAAAAGAAAUUAAUGUCUUGCUAAAUAAUUCAUGAGUAAGAUUCACCUUAAAGAUCAUCUUAUUUGGUGAUCACCCUUAGAUACUCCUUUGGUGAGAUUGGGACACAUGAAUAAGGCCGCGUCUGUAACAAUAUCAAAUAAUGGAACUUGAUACCUUAAUGGAAAAUUCAAUAUCGUGAAGUCCAGAAAAUUUUAUAGACUUACUUCAUAAGUUUCAACGGGUCUUGUAUUUCAAUUCAGCUACUUAGUAUGUGUUAGUUUAAUUUCCGAAGCUUCAAGUGUUUGACAUUAUAAUCUUCAAGAAAUUUGUGCCAAAAUUUUAGUUUUUAUUUUUUAUUUUUUUAUUGUUGAGUCCAUCCAACUUAGAUUGUAAAUUUUAUGUGGCUUCAAUAUUUUAUCAAGAAAUGGUUGCCUAGUCUCGUAGGACCAUAUGUGGUUAUUGCGGUUUCUCUUCAUGGCGAUCUACAAAUCUAAAUACCAAGUCCUUUCAACUAAGUGUCUUUGCAUUUGGCCUUUAUAGUAUUAUAGAUAUAAUUGAAUGCACUUUUGGCAUCAUGAACACAAAUUGACAUAUUUAUGUUUGAUAUCCUGUUAAAUUGGUUAUUAAUAAUGAUUUGCUAACAUUAAACUAAGGACAAAAAAUUGCCUGGUUAAGAAAAACGCACGACGAUUUUGUCCAGCAAAUGUUGAGGCGGCUACUUAGUUGACCAGAAAAGAUUGCACCCUCAUAGUGGCGAUUAGCGCUAAAGUUGAUGGCGGGGCCCAAGACUCCUGUGAUGUAUUAAUUUCCCCUCGGUCAGUAAAGGGUGCUGGACAUAUUUGUUGCGGGUCCCGCAAGGCAGUGUGUGUGAGUCUUUACGUAUUUGCUUUUUCUUAAUCGUCGUAGUCUUUAGAGCUUUUGACUUUAGCCAUAGUUCUUGGUGGACACUGGCAAUGGAUAUGAGUUGAACUCUUUUUGGGCCGAAAUUUGAGGUUGAAAGUGUUGUUGGGUUUUGCUUUAUUGUACAUAGAGAGAUGAGCAAUGCUCCACUCGCUUGUCCAUUUCCGAAGGAGAGAUUCUUCGAACGAAAUAAAACUAGCUCACUAAUCAAACUAAGCUCAGCAUUGCAAGUUAUUUAGCGAAGGAAAGAGUGGAAUUAGAAACGGCAUUAAUAUAGAGAUUUUUUUACUCCGUUUUUCUUAUUCUCUUUUUUCUUUUCCUUUGGAGCUACCUUAAUGAUCCCCCUCUCCCCUUGGCACUCGUAUGUAUUUACAUUUUGAAAGUUCAUGAAUUCAAGAUUUAAAUUAAUUGUCAAUUUCGUGAGCAAAUUCUGCAGGUUGCCUUUCAAAGAUUGGAGACAUUAGAAAUCAAUGACUUGGAUAACAUCAAAUUUAUAUUUUUCCCAUCCAUGGUUGAAUCUCUCACACAACUAAAAAAGCUGACCAUAUCGAAUUGCGAGAAGAUGGAGGCGAUCAUUAUGAAGGAAGAAGGGUUGGGAAUGGAAACAUCAGAAAUUUUGACAUUCCCGAUGUUAACCAAUUUAUGCUUAGAACGAUUGAAAAGUUUGACAUGCUUCUCUUGUGGAAAGGGUAGGAUUGAUUUUUUUGUUUUUAUCGCUAAUAAUUGUCUUGUAGAUAUGUUCUUCCCUACAAUACAAAUGGUGAUAUUCUUUUCAUCCAAUGAAAUACCAAUGACAGGUGCACGAGAGAGUCAAAAUCAAGAUCGCGUCAGAUCACGCGCCACUACUCUCUUCAAUCAAGAGGUACAUGAUUGACACUAUGUUAAAAUAUUAAAUAUAUCGGACAUAAGCAUAGCCAAGAUAAAAAUUAAGUUACUUAUAAUGUAUAUUUUGGUUAAAAUAUUUUAACAGAAAACGAGUGUCGUACAAGCUUAAGUGUUCACGGUUAUUGACAUGUAUGAGUUACAACUUCUUACUUUUAAUUUCUCUACAAAUAGUUCCCAUAAAGAUGGUUGAACAUCUCUUAUCGUACCUGCACGAAGCAUGAACAGGUAACACAAUUGCCAAAUAGGAUCUCUAAAUGCGUCUGAUGUUCCCAAAAAACUUAAAAACUCUCAUCAGCCUCACAUGUAAAUUUCCUAACCGUCCUUCAUAAUUGUAAAUGCUCUGUCAAUGGGUUUGUCCGUUAGAACAAAAUCCCAUCCUUGUCCUUGAUAAUGGAAGGACUUCCCAAUCCAAAAGAAAUAUGUCGUCAAGCUAACUGUAUAAAAUCCUUGCAAAUUUAAUUUGUGAUAGGUUCUGAGUUACCUCAAUUUAUUUAGUUUGUGAUAGGUUUUGAGUUAUCUCAAUUUACGCGUCGCAAGUAUAUCUAUAUUUAUGGGGUUUCAUCAAGACAAAUUGAAGGGAAUGUUGGCAUUGAAGUAAUUCCAUAAGUAAUUUAUAAUCUUUUGAAAUGUGUUCCAUUAAAUUUAGUAAUCAAAAUUUGUUAUUAUCCACAAAACGUAUAAUAUGGGUGACUCUCUUAGAAACCAAUACGAAGAAUGGGAAGUAGGACUAAAUUUUCAAAUAAAAGCACCUAUGCCAAUCUAAUUGAUGCAUGCCUUUCGUGUACCAUGUUUAAAUAAGCACUUAAUCAUUGCAUAUGCCCAAUAAUUGUAAGAGUAUAGAAUUUUAUAAGUUUUUUAGCAAAGGGAAGACUGGAAUUAUGGAGAUUUUUUUACUCCGUUUUUUUUAAUUAUUAUUUUCUUUGUUCUUUUCCUUUUGGGCUACUCAAUAAUCCCCCUCUCCCCUUGGCACUCACCUGUAUUUACAUCUUGAAAGUUCAUGAAUUUGAGAUUUAAAUUAACUACCGAUUCCGUGAGUGAAUUCUGCAGGUUGCCUUUCAAAGAUUGGAGACAUUAGAAAUUAGUGACUUGGAUAACAUUGGGUUUAUAUUUUUCCCAUCCAUGAUUGAAUCCCUCACACAACUAAAAAAGCUGACUGUAUCGAAUUGCAAGAAGAUGGAGGCGAUCAUUAUGGAGGAAGAAGGGUUGGGAAUGGAAACAUCAGAAUUUUUGGCAUUCCAGAUGCUAAUUGAUUUACGCUUAAAACAAUUGAACAGCUUGACAUGCUUCUCUCGUGGAAAGUGUAAGAUUGAUUUUUCAUUUUUAUUGCUAAAAAUUGUCUUGUAGAUAUAUUCAUCCCUAUAGUACAAAUGGUGGUAAUGACAGGUGUACGAGAAAGUCAAAGUCAGGAUUGCAUUAGAUCACAUGCCACAACACUAUUCAAUCAAGAGGUAUGUAAUUAACAUUAAUCAAAUUAUUAAACAUACCGGAGACAAGCAUAGCCAAGAUAAAAACUAAGUAAGUCAUUUAUUAUAUAUAUUUUGGUUAAAAAAUUUAACGGAUGAUGAGUGGUGUACAAGCAUAAUUGUUCAGAGUUGCCGAUAUGUAUGAUUUGCAAUUUCUCGCUAUUAAUUUCUCUAGAAAUAAUUUCCAUAAAGAUGGUUGAACAUCUCUUAUGGUAUAUACACAAAGCAUGAAUGAGUAAUACAAUUGCCAAAUAGGAUCUCUAAAAGCUUUCCGAUAUUACCAGUAACUUAAAACUCUCAACAACCUCACUUGUAUGGCUUAGACAUUGCAUGCAUGUACAUUGAAAGCAGUUGACAAAACAAUCGAGAGGAAAGUGAGCUAUAAGUUUCAAGAGGCUGGAGAUGAAGGGCCUUUUAAGACACUCACUUGACUUCAUUUGCACUAACAAGAUCUUCUUCUUUUUUCCUAGUUAAAGGAAGCUUUACUCUCUCUUAAUUGCAUUAGCAAAGGGAAUCGAAGCCUUCUCCGUCGCCAAACUGAGCGAGACCUCUCGGGUCUUGGGCUUCAGAUAUCACCCCUCUUAUUUUUUCCAUGAAUGGCAAGACCAUUAUUAUGGAACUUUUAUUAAAGAAAUAAAAUACAUUUUGCAAAAGCAACCAUUUUUGUUGAGUCAUUUGAAUUGUCGAGCGCAUAGCGAAAAAUGUUCCUGUGGAGAAUGAAAUAGAGCAAUGUACAGACCAGUUGACUUUGACUAAACUAAAAGCAAUAUAGGCCGUUCACCUAAAAUGUUGUCUAUGCAGCCAAAAUAGGCUGUACAAAUGGGCCCUCCCAUGGGAUUAAUACGUUGACCUUCUUAGAUAUUUUUAAUAUAUUAUAAUGAGAUAUUUAACACCAUUUUCUAUAAUUUGACUCCAGUUUAUGUAUAUGAUCUAUCGUUUGCAUAUAACUAUUAGACCUUCUAGCAUUAAUAGAAAAUCAAUUUUAAAGGAAAAUUCAAUUGAUUUAAGUAUAUAGCAGUUUGAAGUGUGGAAUGAUGUGAGUAGGAUUUGUUCAUUUGACCCAAGCGAUUCCUAUUUUAAUUGCUUUCUCGUAGCCUAACUAUGUAAUUGCUUUAUAGUGAUCUAAUAUUGAUUAGUGGCAUUCGGUAUUAGAUAAAAUCAUAUCUCUUACUGUAGUGCACCAUUUGAUGGUUGAUCUAUCACCUUUUUAAUUUCAAUCUCUCCAUCAUUUUCUUUCUAAUGCCUAAUGUUCUUCCUCAAGCGAUCCCUCAACUGCAUUCUCUAACGGUGAUUACCCAAUUGACUUGCUUUUUGUUUCUUUAACUAAAUUCUUCCUCAUACUUAAUUAAUUUACGAAAUGGUGCAGAUUCAUUGAAGAAUUUCAUCCAUAUUGUAACUAAUGUCAUUAGGUUAUUGUUAUAUGAGCGUAUUCAAAUUACCAUUUUGCCCAUAUUUAACACAUUCUGGUUAGAAUCCCUACAUAGAACUUUUUGUUUUGUCUCCGGUACAUUUCAAUAGCCUUCCCAUUCUAGAGUCAUCGACAUUGGUAUGGAGAUUUUUUUUUUUUUUUACUAUUUUCAUUUUAUUCUUUUUCUCUUUUGUGCAACUUAAGAUAGAAUUACCAAUUCCGUAAAUUUGUAAUUUACAUCUUGGCACUCUUCUUAUUUACAAUUUGAAAGUUCAUGAAUUUGUAAUUUAACUAAAUCACCAAUGCUGUGAAUACUGCAGGUUGUGUUUCCUAACUUGGAGAAAUUAUUUAUCGAGGGCAUGGAUAAAAUCGAGACAAUAUGGGAUGAUCAAAUUCCUACGAAUUCUUUCUCUAAGCUAAGAUUGCUUUCAAUGAAUGAAUGCAAAAAGCUUGUGCACGUUGUACCUUCUUUCAUUUUAGGACAGCUCUUGAGCCUGGAAAUUUUGAAGGCAAAAGCAUGUGCUUCCCUUGAAGUUAUUUUUAAACUCCAGCCACUAACUCCUCUAGAUGGAAAUAGUGUUGCUCGUUCUCCAUUAAAAGAGCUGAAGUUAAAUGAAUUAUCAAAGCUAAACUGUGUAUGGGAUAAGGAACUCUACCAUCAUAUUAAAUUCCAGUGCCUACGUUUGGUUACCCUUCAGGGAUGCACUAGGCUCACCUCUUUGUUUUCAGCCUCAAUAGCCAGAGAUCUAAUCCAACUUGGGAAUUUGGAGAUCAAUCAAUGCGGCAUUGUGGAACUCAUUGAGAAGGAAGGACCCGAUGAGUUGAGCAUCAAUGUGGAAGCCAUAGAAGGCCCAAGUCAUGGGCUAAAAGUAGCAUCAUCCUUUCCAAGUUAUUUUCAGCAUUUGAAGACUCUAGAUGUGUCAUGUUGUCAUGGGUUGUCAAAUAUGUUCACACCGACAAUGGCUAUGAAUUUGGUGGAACUCACAAGAUUGAGAAUUAGUAGAUGUGAAAUAUUAACAGAAGUCAUUAGUGAUGAGGAAGGUGGGGAGGGGCAUGUGGUGGCUUUCAAUCAAUUGAAGUAUAUGGAGCUUGAUGAGUUGACUAGGUUGAGAUAUUUUAGCUCAGGUGGAUACACUUUGACGUUCCCUCUCUUAGAAGAUAUCAUUGUGAAUAGAUGUCCUGACAUGAAGUUCUUCUUCGAGGGACCAAUGGAGGCCCCAAAGCUAGAGAGAGUACAAGUACGUUUGAAUGCAAGGUAUGAAGCAAUAAAGUACCAAUAUUUUUGGAAGGGAAACCUCAACAUGACCAUCCAAAAUAUGUUUGAAGAAAUGGUAUGCUUCAGUUGCUAAAUUCUAUGCAAUUUGAUUUUUUUUAUUAUGACCAAUAAAGUAAUUGUUUUAUUUAUUUAUUUAUAUGAUAACUAGAAUUUUAUGUUUAAUGAUGCAUCUUCUUAUAGGCUACAUUUGCUGGGAGUAAGUUUAUGCGGUUGUUGGACUUCCCGAAGCUGAUAGUAAAAUGGCACAAUGAACCUAAUCCCAUCACAUCAUCUUGGCAACCAAAAUCGCUAGUGGUGGAUAAAUGUCCAUCAUUUAUUAAUGCUAUUCCAUCUAGUUUGAUGCUUGUUUUAGACAAAUUGAGCUUUUUGCAAGUCCGUGAUUGUGAGUUGCUUGAAGAAAUAUUUGAUUUGGAAGGUUUGGAGGCUAUGGAGAGCACUAGAGUACUACCUCAGCUACAAGAAUUGAACUUGGCCAAUCUACCAAAAUUGAGGCGACUAUGGAACAAAGAUCUUCAACAAUCGAUAUGCUUCAAUUCUCUAGGUAGUCUCAUCCUUUAUAAUUGCAACAACUUGGGACAUGCUUUCGCUCCAUCGAUGGCUCGGUGCCUUGCCAAUCUUCAAAAUAUAAAAAUAAAGGAGUGUGGUCAGAUGGAGGGAGUGAUCGCAGAGGAAGAGGGGCAAGGAAGUGUAGUGGAGAAUAUUACAUUCCUAAACCUUUUGCGGAUGGAACUGAAAUGCUUGCCCAAUUUGACUUGUUUCCUAUUGGGAAAAAAUCAUAAGCUGGAAUGCCCCAAAUUACAAACGUUGAGCAUUGCCUAUUGCCCUAAGAUGAGAACUCUGAUUGGGCAGUCUUGGAUGGAGAAUGACCACAACGCCCUUUCACUUUUCACUCCCCAGGUCAGUCUUUCAAACAAAUGCAUUUUUGGCAUUUCAUUUGGAACAUAUUCUCAUAGUAUUGGACAAUGCACGGUACAAUGCAAAUUUUUUUCUUUGCGCGGGUUUAUGUACAUAAUCUUCUAAUAUUUAAUACGAAAACUAAAAAUAUUCUAAUCCUCAAUAAAUAUUACUAUUAUAUGUACAUCUCUAUAUCCUAUUAGAAGCGUUAAGUUGGUGUAAGUUCAUGCAAUCAUAUCAUGCGCAGUACUUUAGAAUUAGUUAGUGAGGUUCCUAAAAAAAGUUAUCACAAUAAAAAAAAUUAUUUUCUGCAACUUCAAUUAUAAUGAACUAAAUAGCAAAAAUAGAAUAACAUCUAAAAAUGGCAAAAAAAUAUGAAGUAUCGCCCACUUCAGAUUUUCUUGCACAGAAGCAAAUUGGCGUCAUUCUAUUAAAAAAUGAAGAAAAUGGGAAAAAGAAAACUUCAUAAUUAUAAAGCCUAGUUCACAAAUUGCUUAGCUAUUAUGAGCAUAAUCAUCUCCCCAAUCAAUGAAAUUGGAGGAAUUAGAGAGAAGUGCUCUUUCAAUUGGAGUGCUCUAAACUUCGAUAAUGAUCAGUUAGUCAACUUUUUUAUAUAUUAAUAAUCACCAAUGCUUGCACUGGGUUUUGAUUAUAAAAUAAAUAAAAAUGGAAAGGCCAAUAUGCAUGAAGUCAUUUGUCUUUUUUGUUCGUAAAUCAUACUCAAUCGCUGUACUCCAACAACCUAUCAUAUUACGUACGUGUAUUAUACAAUAAAUAUUAACUCUAAACUAUCAUAUUGAGUGAUAAUUAGUAUGAUAUUGCACACAAUCUAUGUUUAACAAGAGAAAAUACAGAUUACCUUUUUCAGAAAAAGAAAUGGCGAAAAAAAGGAAAAAAUAAAAGAGACAAAAGGAUAGCUGGAUAAUAAAUAGUAGCAAUUCUUUGGCGGUUGCCAACAUUGCAAGUCUUAUUUCGUAACUAGAUGACAAUAUUUAGUCAAUGUCCUGACUAAAAUAAAAUUAAAAAUCGGAAUAAAUUAUCCAACCAACGCCACCACAGAAGGGAAAAUAUUAGGAUUCGUAUUGAAUCAUCCGCAGAUUGACACGUGGCAACGCCGGACCCACUGCUCUCCUCUUCCUGUUAUGGCUCUGCUCCCUCACUCUCUUUCCUCAGCGAAGGUGCAUCUAUACGUGAACCACACCACCGCCUUGGCCUCCAUCAGUUGCGGUGAAAAUAGAAAAAGGAAGAAAUUAGAUCAAGUCUAUUGGGUGUUUUAGACUUUUCCCCCCUUAAGAAUUGUUCUCUCUCAGCCAUUUCGGUUCACCUUGAUCCUCCUUUUCGCAACGAGGAAAAAAAAAAGUUGAACCAAAUCUACACAGUCAAAGUAACAAUAACUCUUCUUUCUUCCCCUCGCCCCCCUUCCUCUACUUUCUUUUUUUGGGGCGAUUGAUUGGGUGGUCCGUCCAAUGGUUGAAUCGGAAGCUUCGGAAUCGCUUCUCUGAAACUCCCCUCCUCUCUGUGCGCGUGCUUCCAUGGGUUCCGAGUGAUUACGCGAACCGGAGCUUGUUGGUUAUGGUGGGUCGAAGUGGGUCUCCGAAGCGGAAGCGAUUUCGGCGAUGAUUCGGUCGGGGCGUUGAUUCUGGCGAAGAAAAAUUAAAAAAAUCUUCUCUUCAGCCCUCUCUUCCUCCUCCUUCGUCCCACAGCCGCCCGACCUCCGCCCCUCCUCCCCUAUCGCCAACGGCGGAGUCACCGGUGCCUUGAUUAGGCUGACCCCCGCUAUGUCCAAGCCGCGUAUGGCCGGCUUCCUCUGUUUUGUCCGUCUCAUCAUUCUACAGAUCUCGAAAUCUGGCCGUCCAUAGCGACGGAGUUGCAGAUCUGGAAGUUGACCACCGCCGCUCGCAGCCAUGGACGAGCCGCUGUUGCUAGAAACAUGGUUGCAGAUCUAGAAGUCCCGUCGCGAGCAACGACGGCUUAUGGACUGCCAUUGUCCCCUCCGUCGUCGCCCGCGAUUGGCUCGUGGUCGUCGCCCGUCCAGAUCUGGGCUGGAGUCGUGCCUCCAGAUCUUGCAGAUCUAGAAGUCCCGUCGCGAGCAACGACGGCUUAUGGACUGCCAUUGUCCCCUCCGUCGUCGCCCGCGAUUGGCUCGUGGUCGUCGCCCGUCCAGAUCUGGGCUGGAGUCGUGCCUCCAGAUCUAGUAUCGUCCAUGGACGCAAGCCUAGCUCGUCCAUGGCUCGCCAGGAGGCUCCUCCACAGAUCUGGCGACCGCAGCUUGUCCAUGGCCAUGAGUCUUGACGGCGAGUUUGAGAUCCCUUCGUCCAUGGACUGCGAGGUCAAACGGCGAAAGAGAGAACAGAGAAAUAGAUGUCAGGGAAGAGCGGCCAUGGACGAGAGGCGUCAUGAAUGAGUAGACCACAGAGACGAUGUAGAGGGUUGGACGCUCGGCAAUGGUCGCCUUGGACGCGACGCCGGCAACUCCGCCGGUGGCGAUGGCUGGGGGACGCGGGAAGGUUGGGCUCAAUGUGGCUGGAGAUGGAGGAGAAAGCGUAGAUGGAGAAGGAAAGUGAGGGGAAUUGAGAUUUUUUAUAUUGAGUCAUCUGACCAAAAAACAGUCAAUAUUUAGUUAAUGUUGUAGCUACAUAAAAAAAUUAAAAAAAAAAUGGACUCAAUCAUCCAGUCAACACUUCCUUUCCGUCUCAUGAAGUUCUCCUCAUGUGAAGACUAAACGCAGUAAAUGACGACCUCCUCCGGCACUUCUUUUUUUGGGUCGAAACUGAGGCACUUGAAAAUGCGCGAUAUCAUUUUUUUAUUACAGAUUCUAUACAAGUUUUUUUUUUCCCCUAACACACGAAAUCCUUUUUUUUUCCUUAUUCUAAUACUUUUGCGCAAUUCUUUCUAUCGUUUUAUACUAGUAGAAUAGAAUGUUUAAUUAUAACAAGUAUCUACACAUCUGUUUACUUUUUAAUUGUAAGAAUUAUCACUAAUUAUUUAUUUAUAAUGCCAUUUGCAUGGAUAAGUUAUUAUAUAAUACCUAGCCCCACAUUCUAAGAAUAUUUCAAAAAGUCAUUAUAACACUCAAUCAACGAUACUAAUAAAUUUGGGGAAGUAUGAAAAUAGUCACCUGAUCUUUUGGUAGUGACAAGUUGUGAUAGAAUUGUUUUCAUUUUAGUGUCAAAUAUGAGCUGUCAUAUAAUAAUUGAUUUCUCCCACAUUAUUAGAUAAUUUAAAAAACUCAUAAAAAUCCUCAAUUAAGAAUAUUGAUAGAUUUAAGGAAGUGUGGAAAGUCUUUUUUUUUUUUUUUUGUGACAAGUCGUAAUUGCAUUAAAUAUAUUUUAACCAAAUGAAAAAUAUCAAUACUUACUUUUAAAUGGACAAUUCGUCGAGGUCAUGAUGUAGCAAAAAGAAAAAAAGAAAAAAAAGCACUCUUGAUUUUCUCCAUACAAACAAAAUGCAAUCAGUGGGUGCACACCCACUUUUUGCCAAAGGGUGGACCACUCGUACGCCACAAGAUUCUAUUUUUUUUUUUCACCUCAAAUUUGAAUAAAAUAUUAUUUCAAGGAUGUUAUUAAAGGUCCAAUGUAAAACUAGUAAAUUGUCCCAACUUGCUUUUGCUGAGAUCAUAACAUUAUGUUAUUUAUUCAAGUCGUUAUGUUGCCCAUGCCUAUUAAGAAAUUAUUUUCUUUUAGUACAAAAUUUUUCCAUGCAUAAAAAAGAAAAAGGUUGUGAACAAUUGAAGUUACUAUAUUUAUUUUUUUAUAUCCGGUUCGCCAUAUCCUUGACCUUAGCCAUCAGUCAACUUGUAUAAAAGCAUCAAUCAACCUCUCCCUAUUUAUGUCCCCAACAAAAUCUUGAGUUCUCAUGAUUUGUGAGAACAAGGGAAGUCUGGAAAUUCCUUCUUUAAGGUCAUAACUCAAUGUAAUCACAUUCAUUGUGUCAUUUUUUUUCUCACUAUGGCAGGUACAAUUUCCUGAACUUAGGUCGAUGGAUCUCUCCCACAUGAACAAUUUAAGCAAAAUAUGGACUGACACUCCUCAAGAAACUCUUACUUUUGAUUGUCUAAGGAAAGUGGAGGUUCGGAAUUGUAAGGGCCUUGAAAAUUUGUUUCCGUAUUGGGUGGCUACAAGUUUAACCCACCUUGAAAAACUUCAAGUGGAGUCUUGUGAGAUCGAGGAAAUAGUCGCUAAUGGGGGUGACACUCCAAGCUCCAAUACUACUCAAGAUCUUUUCCCAGUACUAACCUCUUUGGUGUUACGUGACAUGCCACGACUCAAGAGUUUCUAUCCUAACUUGCCCACUUUGCAUUGGCCAUUAUUGGAGGAAUUACGAGUGAUUCACUGUGACAAACUGAACAUGUUAUCCUUUACGGCAUCCAUGAACAGUUGGGCUCAAAAAUAUGAUCAACAAGACCUUUCAAAUCAAGAAGCACACUCUUCAUUCGAGAGGGUAUGAUUGUAGCUACUCUCCAUUAGUUUCUACUUUGUUCUUUAAAGCAGUCAUUAAUAUCAUAUCCAUUGCAUAUCAUGUCGCGUUAUAAUGUUAUAGAAAACAUGAUCUCCCUUACUUAUUAGUUUGUCGACAACAUUAAGAUAUUUCUAAUAUCUUAAGUAUACUUUCAUUUGUGGACAUGCAUAAGAUAUUCCAUUACCUAGAGUUACAAAAAUAUUUAUAGUAUUCUAUUGACAACAGAAUAUAUUCCUAAUCUAACUGAAUGGUGCUCCUUGGUGACAUCAAUAAGAAUUUGACAAGAGGUCCUCUCAAUUAUUGACAUGUGUCGCACAUUUGAACUUUUCUUCUCUAUUUCAUCUUCUACAAACUCUAAAAAAACACCAAUUGAAACUUUUUUUUUAAACAAAAAUAACAUCAGUAUUUAGUGCACCAUUUUCUAAUGUAUUUUUUAAUACACUGCACAGUCAAGUCAUCGUGUUGUAACAUUAGUAACAUUAGUACCUUAGUGCAUUGCAUAGUCGUCUUGUUGUCCUAUUAUAAUAUUAUAGAAAACUAGAACCCCUUUCCUAUAAGUUUGCGGACAACAUAAGGUAUUUCUUAUAUCUUAAGCACACUUCUAAAUUUGUGGACCCCAUAUGUUUUAGUAACAUCAUGAGCGCAUCUCAUUACAUAAGAUUCCAAAGAAGAUAUAUUUUUGUUGACAAGAUAUUCCUAACAAAAGAUGAAUUUAGUGAUUGUAUGGGUCUUGAAUUUAGAUUCACAUUAUCCACUUGACCUGACCAACCUUCCAUGCAAAUCAUCUAAAUAGGUUUACUUUUAACAACACAUGAUUUAUUGCCAAAACUUCGUAGAAUUUACUUCUCUUAUUGUAUUGGCUAUUUGACAGGACUUUCCCAACUUUGAGAGACUUUUAUUAGUCAAUAACAAUAUUCAGAUGAUACAAGAUGGAAAAUUUCCCGAUGACAUCUUUAGCAAACCAAAAGCACUAACACUGGCAUGCUUUCAUGAUGAAAAGGCCGUUUUUCCUUCUAUAUUCCUCUUAGAAAGAUUUCAGAAUCUACAAAGUCUUGAGGUAUUCUGUAGCUCAUUUGAAGAUAUAUUCCCGGACGAAGGGUUUGUUGAAGAGGGGAAACAUCUGGAGCUUGAAAAUUUAAGAGAAAUUAAGUUAAACAAGCUAUGCAACCUGAAGCGUGUGUGGAGAGAAGACUCUUUAGUGUCGAAAAUUCUUCAGAGCAUCAAAACAUUUGAGAUUUGGGAUUGUCCCUGUUUGACGACAAUAUUUCCAACUGUGGCAUCCUUCCAAAAUUUGACGAAGUUAGUGGUGAAGAAUUCCUCUGGAUUGGUACAUCUAGUAACAGUUUCAACGGUCACAAAUUUGAUGCAUCUGGAGAGGAUGACUAUAAUAGAAUGUGAAAGAGUGAAAGAAGUAGUGGCCAAUGAUGGAAACGGAGAAGGAAAAGUGAUUUCUUUUGGAAAUCUAAACUUUUUGACACUCCAAGAUCUGCCAAACCUAGAAUGCUUCUCCUCCAUCUCGAGUUGCACCUUCAAGUUCCCAUACUUAUUGAGGAUUAUAGUGGAAGAGUGUCCGAAAAUGAAGACCUUUUCUAAGGGUACGCUAAGCACACCACAACUAUUUAUGUUGGCUAAUGCGGUGAGCCUAUUCAGAUACAAGUGGAAAGGGAAUUGGGAGGAGGGCGAUGAUCUCAAUACGACCAUACAAAAGUUAUGGGCAUAAACAAAUGCACAUAGAAUUGGUAAAUAUUCAAUUGAUGUCAUUCUCUCAUCCAUUCGUAUUUUUCUUCUUAUUUUUUGGUAGCACGGUAAGUUUUUAAAUUUUUCUUUUUGUAACUUUUCUAUUAUUGAUACCGUCGGAUCAAAGCAUCAUCAACCCUUUUCUAUCGAUCGAUCGAUCUCGCCUCCUUCACUGAACAGUAGGAAACGAAGCAAGGCUCUCCUUCUCCUUCUUAACGCCAGAGGCUCUCUCUACUGCGUUCACGGAGGACGGAGCGAAAAGUAAGCGUCGGGAAUUGCCAGGACUUGAGAGAAGAUGGCAUUGCCAAGUCUGGACAGUCAGUCCUCCACUCACUUCAUCAAAGAAGAACAUCAUUCCCUCUCCGCAUCUAUAUUCGACGAAUCGUAAGUUCACGCUUCUGCUCACAUCAUUUCUCUCGUCUGCUAGAAUUUCUUCCCGAUUUUCGUGUCUUAUUGCACGUAAUUUUCUUCCGGUGUUCGUAGAGACCUUUCCUCAAUCGUCGUCGUCUUCUUCAGCUAGGGCUCUGCUUUUUAAAUUCGUUCCGUGUAAAUUUCUCAGUCCGCUACUUCAGAUCAUGGACCAAUAGAGGUCCUUCACUGACAUCAUCAAAGAAGAAGAUCAGUCUCUCUCUCUCUCUCUCGCUCUAUCGCUCUCUCUCGCACUUGAACCCGGCAAACUCGUAAGUUCACUUUUCUCCCAAUUUUGUUGUCUUAUUGCGCAUCAAUUAGGUUGAAGUCGGAAGCUGGUUUCGUAGAGACCUUCCUCAAUCCUCGCCUUCUGCUUCAGCAAAGGGCUCUGUUCUUCAAAAUUCAUUCCACAUUAGAGUCUAAAAGGAUAGCAAUUUUAUCUUAACAAUGGAGUAAUUGAAAUAGGGAAAAGAAUGAAAGGACUAUUAUUGGGACAUAAGCUAGUGGUUGGAGGUUCGAAAAUAUAACAAUCGUCUCCUUAUUUAGUGGAUAGAUGCGUUGGAAAAGCAAUUCCUAAGGAGUCUUAGAAUUAGAAUCCAAGUCCUCUUAUAUGGAGAAAUUUGACAAUGUGAUUCAAUGUCGGAGAAGUAGAAUAUAUAUGUUAAUCGCACAAAGAGAGUAUGUUCAUAUGGACAAGCAAAUUGCAAAGAAUGUUGCUUCCUCCAUAACUAAAGAGAAAGACCUAAUUGAUAAGGGGCUGGCUUGUUGUGAUUAUGAAAUUUCGUUCUAGAUGUAAUGACUGAUAAUUUUGUUUUUAAAUUGGAGAUGCUGUUGUAUUUUAUUAUAUUAAUCAGAUUUAGGGAAAAAGAAAAGAUUUUACUUCGUCAAAUUGAACCAAUAGUUGAUAAAACGNNNNNNNNNNNNNNNNNNNNNNNNNNNNNNNNNNNNNNNNNNNNNNNNNNNNNNNNNNNNNNNNNNNNNNNNNNNNNNNNNNNNNNNNNNNNNNNNNNNNGAUUCUUUUUCGCUGGUCGGCCCAAAUUUGGAAGAGAAGGUCAUCUGCAUGUAGAAACUCAUUGAUAGGGAUGAUUUUCUGUUCAGAGUCCACAUAUUCACUAGUGCUGGUUAGGACUUGAUUUACAUUGAUCUAGAUGAACUCUGGAAGUGUCACUUUCACUGGUCCAAAAUGAAUUCAGUAUUCCAAAUAAUAACUCCUUUAUAUAGUCUUGAGGAAUCAAGGAAGUGUACUUCUACGCCGAUUGGGUUUUAUGAGGUUGAUCACAAUCCAGAUGCACACUCAUUAAUGCCACAUUCUAAAUCUAAAUGAACUGAAAAGUAUGUGCUUCAAGACAUCCUUUUUGGUUUAUGCAUUCUUCAUUUUGAAUUUAAAAACAAGUCUCAUAGGCUUAUUAAAAAGGUUCAAGAGGAUGCUUUUGAGAGAAUGGUGCAAUUAUUUGGCCUGUAGAAUUGGAAAAAUGUGAUGAGAUGGUUUGGUUAGCAAAUGGUUUGAAUGAAUAUGCAGAGCAUUACUCUAUCUGUAAGGUUCAAUUUUUGGUCUUCUAAUAUGAAGGGGACUCCAUUUCCCGUGUCACCAUAAUUGAUGAAGGGAUGUCCACGACAGAAUAUCCACCAAUCAAUGUUGAUAUGAGGAACCAAGCCUCAGCAAUUAUGGAAUUGUCUUGCUCAAAGUGGAAGAUGCCUUCGAUUGCCAUGACGUUUCAGUCAAGCUUCAACUCUGGGGGGAUAAUUUGCAUUCAACCAAGUGUCCUCGAUUUUGUAUGGAAAUCGAAUUUGAUCAGGUUUGCAAAGUUCAUGGCGGUUCCUAUGCACAUUCAUCAGCAGAGUUUGGGAGGGACAAAAGUUACAACUGCUCAUCACAAGAUCUUCCAGGUGUGAUUCUUAAUAUUAGCUAAUUCUUCCAUUGAUUGUGUGUGUGUGUUGAGACUAAGUGUGCCGGCGAUUGCUGUGAUGUUUCGGUUGAGCUCGAAGUCUCCAUUGAUUGUGUUGUUUCUCAUGUUUGAUUCAAAUACUGUACAGGAACUGUCCAUUUCGUUUGGCUAAGAGAAACUGCAUUAGAGUUAAUGCUAAGAGAAACUGUGUUAGAGCUAACUCAUUCUCUUAAUGUUUCUGUGUGUGUGUGUGUGUGUGUGUGUGUGUUUUUCUGUGUGUGCGUGUGUGCAUGUGUGCGUGCGCGCGCGCGCGCGUGUGUUGAGACUAAGUGUGCCAGCAAUUGCUGUUUCGGUUGAGCUGUGUGUGUGUGUGUGUGUGUUGAGACUAAGUGCGCGUGCGUGCGCGUGCGUGCGUGCAUGCACGUGCGCGCGCGCGCGCGCUUGUGUGUGUUGAGACUAAGUGUGCUGGCGAUUGCUGUGAUGUUUUGGUUGAGCUUGAAGUCUUGGGGGAUUAAUUGCAUUCAGCUUUGCAUGGCAAUGGAAUUUGAUUAGGUUUGCAAAGUUCAUUGAAAUUCCCAUGCACAUUCAUUAGCAAAAAGUUUGGGGAGGGACAAAGUUCAAACUGCUCAUCACGAGAUUUUCUGAGAGUGAAUCUUAAUAUAUUAGCAAAUUCUCCCCUUGACUGUGUUGUUCCCAUAUUUGAUUCGAAUAUCAGGUAGGAACUCUCCACGUCGUUAGGCUAAGAGAAACUGUGUUAAAGCUAAUUCAUUAUUGUAAUGUUUCUUUGUCUAUAGCUCUCCCGCCUGUACAUAUGUAUGUGUUUGGGGAUCUCAUAAAUAAUGGAAACAAAGCAAGCCAGUCAUAUCAGAUUUCAUUGUGAUGAGAAUGGAUUUGUGUGCAUAUAGGCCUCAGGAAGAUAGAACAUUAGUAAGACUCAGAUCUAUUGAUUUAGGGUUGCCGUGUCGGUAGAUAUGGGUUUUACAUAACAAGAAUAGAAUAUGCCUAAAACGCUAAAGCUUUUUUCAUGUUCUGUUUGUGGCUGCUGUAGGUAAGCUGAGAGAGUCAGGCUUGUGAAGAGCUCUCGAACUAGCCAGCAAAUUUGUACUCGAUUAUCCUUUCUUCCAAAUUGCGGUGAGGUGAAUAUAUCUGAAGAAAAGCAAUAUGGUAAGAUCCUCAUGACAAUGACAACUCUUGGAUUUAAAUCACAUAGAGUUGCUAGACUAUGUUAGAUCUAGAUAUUUAAUCACGUGGCCAAAAAAAAAAAAAAAAUUGGGUCCUUUACAUGCUUUGAAAAGGAUAUUCAUACUGUCUUCCUCAGAAAUCGUUGGUUGUUUUCUUCUUUCGGAUGACAAAAUUGCGAAUUGUCUCCUUGAGCAGAGAGUUUCUGGUUCAUUCCUAAAGACGCAUGUUAAGAAAAGCCCGCAGACCAUGGCUCUCAUAUUGCAAGACAGCAUGGCGUUGAAGCUCACCAGCCGUGAACAUUAUGGAAAGCUAUUUGCCUACAGGGCUGCAUUCAUGAGAGAAACUUCUCUGAAGGCGGAAGACGCGUUAUGUGUUUGAGCUCUACUGAUAUGGACAAUAUCAUGUUUGGACCAUCCAACUUCAGAACCAUUGAUAAGACUUGGCUGAAUGAUAAUACUAUGCAAUACGAUAUAGCAGAGGAAGUUUCGGCUUAGCUCACUUUUGGUGAGAAUGUGGCUUUCAGAAUGGCUAGGCUAAAUUCUGCUUCCAAUUCGGCAAAAUGGAUAAAAGCAUGAGUCUUGUUCCAAUGGAUGAAAUGGUCCUGAAUGUGUACAAUGCCUUUCUUUGAUCCUAGACUUAAUAAUCACCAUGAGGGCACGAGUUGUGAGUCGGAGGAAGCUGAUUCCUACUUUUGACUUUGUAACUUCCAUUUCAGGAGACAAUCCCUCAAAUCUGGGGCUUCUUCAAGGUUUCUAGUGGCACAACCUGACCUUUAGAAUUGUAGAGGGUAGUAACAUCGGAUACACUUCCCCUAAGCCAUAUACCAAGUCUAAAUUUCAAGGUGUAACCAUGACUUUACAAGCUCUGAUGAACUUAAUCAGAUUCUGUUCAUUGUCUCUUUUUGAUUUUUUCAGGAUUUCGUGAUCAGUCUUUUCGCAUGAGAGAAGUUCGUUAGUUUCUUCUCAUAUGGAAAGCAUUCAGAAUUUAUUCUGUCAAAUUAACUGAGUAAUGAUAUGUAUAGCAAAGCAAUUUCCAAUCUAUGCUGCAUCUUUUCAUGGUUAGUCAAUUGAGGAAAUUUUCACAUUAAUAUCUACUAAAAUUCCUCAUUGUUCAACUGUGGAAAAAAGGAUUUCUAGUCACCCACCUUUCUACCCUCGGCCAUGCCGCCAAAUGAAAUGAUAUCAUAGGAUUUAUAUAAAGAAGUACCCCAGAGUGGAAGGAAUAGCUUCACUAUUUCUAUUUUUAUAGAAAUGGGAAGUAGUCUAUAUGUAGAUUGAGCCAUUCUGAGUUGGUUUUUCCUGGUCUUACACUUCCUAGAGCUCUCAUUACACGCCUAAAUUAGCUUGCAAAUUCGGUUUAUAGAUGUCCUUUUUCAAAAUAGUGAUCCCGCAUUUUAUAUGAAUAGUUUAGUAAGAUCUUGAGCUUAAUUCGUCACCAAUACCUAAAGCUUAAUUAUGAUUGCUAGUGCCUACAAUAUGACGACCGUUCUAGCAAUUGAUGUCCACUUGUUGGAGUAUUUUUUUCCCCAUUUAUACAGCAUUUAUAAUUGAAGCCAAUAGAACGCUAGAACAACAUUCACUAAUAACACGUAAUAAAAAAGAAUGUUAGCUAGAAAUAUCUUUUAAUCCUUUAGCACUUUCAAAAGGAUAAAUUAAUCCUUAAAUUUCCUCGACCUCAAAUUAUUACCUUCUUGUUUUUUGCCCUCCAAUUUUAUCCUUUGAUUUCUCAUUCCACAUAACAAUUGCAUAGCUUGGUUGUUCAAACAUGUAGAUUAUUAUCAUAUUUCGGGUGGAUUCAUUAAGCAACAUAUUCGAAAAAAAAAGCAAAGAGCAACUCUUAGGUAUUCUGGCAGUGAAGCUCGUCGGGAGCUAUAGACUUGUAAGAGGGGCUUGGUCUCUAUAUUUUUCUUCUGGUUGACAUGCAUUUCCGAGAGAAACUCACACGCAUGUAGGAGACGGUUUGCCUAUUUGAGCUAAUUGAUAGGGAUGAUGGUAUUUGAAGACUCCAUUUUGAGUUUGCAUGUUUCAGCUAGUUGACAGGGAUGAUGGUGUUUGAGACUUCAUUGUAUGAAAUGAGUACUCCCAUGUUUAGUCGUGCUGCAUCACUGACAAGUAAAUUUCCUUUUCUUUGUUAAUUGAAAAUAAACUCAAAAAGAUUUUAUGAAGACUUUGGUGCCUCGAUUUGUAACACAACGAUUUAGGCAGGAAUUCUAGGUAGUUAUAUUUUCAUGAAUUUCCACUUCUUCUUAAUGUUCACAAGAGUUACCACCUUAGUAGAAGACAAUGACAAUAUCAAAAUGGAUGAGUCAUUUAUCCAGGUUAGAGUCAGGACAACUAAACUGAACUCUAUCAUUAGGUCCCUCAUAAAUGAAUGGACUAAGAUGAUCACCUAAAUGCUUGCAUUCUUUGCAGCAACAGCUUCUCAUUACUAUAUGCUUAUCACAACUUGCGACUCAGAUACCUCUAUGUAAUGACAUGCUUUUCCUUCUCCCCAACGUGGUGUCAUAGAAUCCACAAAGAAUCCUUUUUAGAUCUUCAUGAUUUUUAUUUCUAGGGAGUUUUUGUGUUGAUCCGCUGUCACAUAACACGUGUAUAAUCAACGUCAACAUUGCUUAGGAGUGAGCUUUAGGAGGUCACCAAUUCUCUACACCGCUUUGUAACAGAACGAAACAACAUAUAAUAUUGAUACUAAUAACCAGAAAGCAAAGCAGACCCAUAUAAAAUUUCAUUGAACCCCUAAAACACCAGAGCACAUAAUUAACAAAUUUGAUGGGAUCAUCGACUAAUUUAAAGAACAGCGGUUAAGCUAUGCAACAACAGGUUACCUAUAGUAUAGGUCCUAUACGAGGGUUAGGAGUGUCAUUGAAUAGCAAAAGCAAAUUACUACUUCGAAAAGAGACGAGCAUGUCCAGACUCCAGAAUCUGCCAAUGGUUGCUUACCCUUUCGAACAAAGUAAGGCAGGAAAAUAGGACGCGGGAGACGUGGAGCUUUCUCGAUCCUUCUUCUUCUUCCUCGGGAGCGAAACUGGGGGAACCUCUGCUUCACUCCAUGGAGGACGGAACGAAAACGAAGCGUCGGAAAUUGCGAGGACUGAGAGAAGCGAAGCUGCACUUAGCGGAGCGGAGUGAAGUAGAGGGGGGAGAGAGAGGGAGACUCAACCAGAUGGAGUGUUACUGUCGCCGCCGUCGCCGCCGCCGCCGCCGCCGCCAGAGAGAAGACGAAAGUGCGACGCCGGAGAUGGCAUAACCGAGUCUGGAUGGACAGUCCCCCACUCACUUCAUCAAAGAAGAAGAUCAUACUCUCUCUCUCUCUGACGAAUCGUAAGUUCAAUGCUUCUGCACCCACCAUUUCUCCCGUCCGCCAGAAUUUCUUCCGAUUUUCGUUUCUUAUCGUGCGUAAUUUUCUUCUGAUUUGCGGAAAACCUUUCCUCAAUCGUUGUCGUGUUCUUCAGCAAGGUCUCUGCUUUCAAAAUUCGUUCCACAGUCGAGUCUUGUCCAUGUAAAUUUCUCAACCCACUGCUUCAGAUCGUGGACCAAUAGAGGUCCUCAAUCGUCGUCGUCGACAUCUCGCGUGCUUCUCUUGUGAGUAUGUGUAUGGUUUUUCUUUAUCAUACUGGCUGCUUUGGAAGUGUGCAUGGAGCAUUUAGUCAGAUCAUGGCCAGCGAAGAAAAGGAGCUAAUCCGCACAAGCAUGUGGCGUUCUUCUCUGCCAAUACGCAAGCAUUUGUGAUAGAAUCACGUAUGUGUAGGAGAUUUCUUACGUGUGUGAGCUCAUUAUGGAGAUGAUAUAAGGAGUCGCUUUUAUGCUUUGUUCUUAAUAAACUUCAGAGUGCUCAUCGUCAUGAGAAUUUGGAGGGAUGACUUGCGGUUUAACAUAUUGAGUUUCUGUUGUAUAACUCUCUUUCCGUCGCUCUUUGCAAAUUCUAGAAAAGUUUCUAAGAAGCUCUUGUUUGAAUCUUGAUUGAUUACGUCAUGAUUUGUACAUAAACUAUCACUAAAGUUAUCAUUUUUCAAGUACAGGGAGGACCAAACAGUUAGAAGAUUUGAGGCACCCGGAGCUGGUUUUUUAUGGUCCCACACACCCAAGACCUCUCACUGGUCUUUAAUUGGCCAACAAAUUUCAAACGGAGAAUCCCUUCUUCAAGGUGGUGAUGAGGCCAUCUUCUGUUAACUAUGGCAUGGUAAGAUCCCAAGCUUAUUUACUCAAACUGGCAUGACUGAAAAUCGAAUAUAUCAAUGCUGUUUAUAUCUUUGCCCAUACUCUAAUGUAAUUCCAAGUUCACCUCAUUAAACCACGACAUGUUCUUUUCCCUGAAGUGUUCAUGAGUAUAUGUUUAAAACCAGGUAUACAUCUUAAUGAUGGAGUAAUCAAAGCAGGAAAAAGAAUGAAAGGAUAGUUAUGGGGACAUAAGCUGGUGGUUGGAGGUUCGGAAAGAAAACAGUCGUCUUCUUUUUUUUUUUGGAUAGAUGUGUUAGAAAAGCAAAUGCCGAGGCAAGUCUUAAGAAUUAGAAUUUGAGUUAUAUGUUAAUCACACAAGGAGACUAUGACAUGAACAGGCAAAUUGCAAAGAAUGUUGCUGUCUCCAUAAACUCUGGACUGCUCAUUAUCAUGGGAAUUUGGAGGGGUGUUGCGGUUUAACAUGUCUUGUUUCUGCUUGCCUAACUCUCUUUCUCUUGUUCUCUUCAAAUUCUAGAAGAGGUUUUUUAAGAAGCUCUGGUUUUAAUCUUGAUUGAUUACGUAAUGAUGUGGGAAUAACUUCCAACCCAUGCUAUAUUUUUUCAUGGCAAGUCCAAUUAAUGAAGUGUAAACAAACUGUUGCUAAAGUUGUCAUUUUCCAAGCACAGGAAGGACCAAACAGUUAGCAGAUUGAGGCAUCCUGAGCUGGUUAUUUUAUGGUCCCACACACCCAAGGCUUGUCACUACUCAUAAAUCGGCCAACAAAUUUCAAAUGGAACAUCCCUUUUUCAAAGUGGUGAUGAGGCCGUCUUAUGUUAAGUAUGGCUUGGUAAGAUCCCAAGCUUAUAUCCUGAGACUGGCAUGUCUGAAAAUCAAAUAUAUUCAUGCCGUUUAUAUCUUUGCCUAUACUCUAGUGUAUUUUUCCAAGUUUACUUAAUUGUAUAGUAAACCAUAUGAUAUGUUAUAUUCCUUGAAGUGUCCAUGGGUAUAUGUUUAAAAUCAGGUAUAUAUCAUAACAAUGGAGUAAUUGAAGCAGGGAAAAGAACGAAAGGACAGUUAUUGGGACAUAAGCUAGUGGUUGGAGUUUCAGAAAGAUAGUGAUUAUCUUCUUUUUUUGUGGAUAGAUGUGAUGCAAAAGCAAUUGCUGAGGUGUCUUAAGAAUUAGAAUCCAAGUUCUCUUAUAUGGAGAAAUUUGACAAUGGAGAAAUCAGGUAUAUGUAAAUCGCACAAGGAAACUAUGUGGAUAUGGACAAGCAAAUUGCAAAGAAUGUUGCUGCUUCCAUAACUAAAGAGAAAGACCUAAGAAAUGAGGGGGUGGCAUUUUAUGAUUCUGAAAUUUUGUUGUAGAUCUAAUGACUGAUAAUUUUGUUGUCAACUAGGAUAUACUGUUGUAUUUUGUUAUAUUAAUCAAAUUUGGGGAAAAAAGAAGAUGAUUUUACUUUGUCAAAUUGAACCAAUAGUUUGAUAAAACCUUAUUUGAGCUGCGCUUGGAAGAAUCGAACAGCUUAAGUUUGACAUUUGACAUAUAUGUGCCAGUCAUCGAUGUAUUUGCUUUUUCCCUGUGAUUGUGGUCUGUGUAGCUGAAAUUCGUAUAUAUAGGACAUGGAAGGCUUCUUCUGAAUGUUUCCCUAUUGCACUCUAGGAGCAUAGAUAUUGAUAUUUGACUUUGGAUUGAUGACUUGCAUCAUAUGGUUUAUAUUAAAACUCACGUUGUGCGUGAUUUGAUUCUCUCAUUAGAGUAUGCUUAUAUUUUGGUCUGUUUUUCACCAUAUGUUGGUCUUUCAACCAUGUUUAGGGGCAGUCUGCUCCUAUUCAAUUCAUCAUGCAACAUAUUUAGGAAAUCAUGUGAAUUGCGACUUUCAGGUAUUCAGUCAGAUCAUGGAGGGUGAAGCUAAGGAGCUAUGGAGACGCAAUAUUGGGGCGGGGGGUUGUUUUUUUCUAUUGGUUGGCCCACAUUUGCAAGAAAAAGUCAUCUGCGUGUAGAAAUUCAUUGAUAGGAUAAUGUGGUGUUCAGAGUCUAUGUAUCCACUAGUGCUACUUAGGACUAUAUUUACAUCAAUCGAGAUGAACUCUGGAAAGGUCACUUUGGCUGGUACAAAAUGAAUUCAGUAUUCCAAAUAAUAACUGCUUCAGAUAGUCUUGAUGGACCAAGGAAGUGUACUUCUACGUUGAUUUUGUUUAUGAGGUUGAUAAUAAUCCAAAUGCACACUCAUUAAUGCCACAUUCCAAAUCUGAAUGAACUGAAAAGGAUGUGCUUCAAGAUGUCCUUUUUGGUUUAUGCAUUCUUGUUAUAUUGUUCUUCAUUCUGAAUAUGAAAUCAAGUCUCAUAGGCUUAUGAAGAUUAUACAUUUUAUUUUUUCCCACAGGGAAUACCAAAGAGGUUCAUGAAAAUAUGGUGACAAUCUCUCGAAAGGAUGAUUUCUGAGAGAUUGGUUUGGCCUGUGGAAUUGGAAAAAUGUGAUGAGAUGGUUUGGCUAUCAAAGGGUUGGAAUGAAUUUGCAGAGCAUUGCUAUAUCUGUGAGAGUGUGAGGGCCAAUUUUUCGUCUCAAAUCUGAAGAGGACUCCAUUUACCAUGUAAUCAUUUUUGAUAAAAGCAUGUCCGAGAUAGAAUAACUGCCAAUCAAUGUCAAUAUGAGGAACCGAGCCUCAGCAAUUGUGGAAUUAUCUUGUUAAAAGUGGAAGAUGCCUGCAAUUGCCAUGAUGUUGCAGUUGAGCUUGAAGUCUUAGGAGAUGAAGCCAAGUGUCCUUGGCUUUGUAUGACGAUGGAAUUUGAUCAGUUUUGCGAAGUUCAUGGCAGUUCCUAUGCAUGUUCAUCAGCACGGAGUUUGGGGAGGGACAGAAGUUUGAACAGCUCAUCAUGAGAUUUUCCAAGUAUGAAUCUUUUUAUAUUAGCUAAUUCUCCCAUUGAUUGCGUUCUCUCAUUUGAUUCGAAUUCCAUACUGGAACUCUCUAGAGCUAAAUUCAUUCUUAUAGUGUUUCUUUGUCUCUGGUUCUCCCAUGUGUGCAUAUGUAUGUGUUGGGGCUUCUUGUAAAUUCAAGCGAAUGGAAACAAGCCAAACUGGUCAUAUCGGAUUUGAUUAUGCUGAGAAUUGUAUUGGCAUGCAAAUUGGCCUCAGGAAGCUACACUGUUAGUAAGACUCAGAACUAUUGAUUUAGGGUUGCUAUGUUGGCAGAUAUGAGUUUCACAUAACUAGAAUAGACUAUGCCUAGAAAGCAAAAAAUUUCUUCAUGUUCUUUUGUGACUGCUGCAGGUGUAAGCUGAGAGAGCCGGGCUUGUGCAGCGCUCUUGAACCGGCCAACAAAUUUAAACCUGAGUAUCCUUUGUCCGAAAUUGCAGUGAGGUGAAUACAUCUUAAAAAAAGACAAUGUGGCAAGAUACUCAUGACAAUGACAACUCUUGGGUUUAAAUCACAGAGUCGCUAGACUAUGUUAGCACUAGGUUAAUCGCGCAUCAUGUCAAUAGUUUCUGUUGUUAUCCUUCACAUGCUUUGAAAAGGAUCCUCCCACUAUCUUCCUCAGAAAUCAUUGGUUGUUUUCUUGUUUCUGAUGACAAAAUUGCAAAAUGUCUGUACUUGAGUAGAGAGUUCCUGGUUAAUUCCCAAAGACGCAUAUUAAGGAAAGCUCAUAGAUCACUGGUUUCAUAUUUCAAGACAAAUCAUGGCCAUUGAAGCUCAUCAGCCACGACCAUUAUGGAAACUUAUCUGCUCGUUGGGCUGCAUUCAGGAGAGAAACUCCUCUGCAGGUGGAAGACGUCUGUGCGUUCGAGCUUUAUCGGAAGGGACAAUAUCGUGUUCAAAGUAUCCAUCUUCAGAACCACUGAUAAGAUUUGCGUGAAUAACAAUACUAUGCAAAUACGAUGCAGCAGAGGCAGCAUCGGUUUUAGCUCACUUUUAGUGAGAACUAAACAGACAGAAUUGCUAGGCUGAAUUCUGCUUCUAGUUCGGCAAAAUAGAUAAAAGCAUGAGUUUUGUUCCAAUGAAUGAAAUGGUCCUGAACGUGUACGAUACCUUUCCUUGACCCUAGACUUAAUGAUCACCAUGUGGGCGGGAGUCGUGAGUUGGAGGGAGCUGAUAACUAAUGUCAGUUCUGUAAUGUCCAUUUCUGGAGACAAUCUUUCAAACUUGGUGCUUCUUUAAGGUUUCCGGUGGCUCGAUAUGACCUUUAGAAUUGUAAAUGGUAGUAACGUCGAAAACACUUCCCUUGAGCCAUAUACCAGGUCUGAAUUUCAAGGUGCGACCAUGAGUUUACAAGCUUCGGUGGACUUACAUCAGAUUCUUUUCAUCGUCUCUUUCUGAUUUCUUGAAGAUUUCGUGAUCAGUCUUUUAGCACGUGGGCGCCAAUUGAAGUUUGUUGAAGGGCUUUCGGAAUUUUUUAUUUUUUAUUUUUCAUAUUAGCUGAAUGUUGAUAUGCAUGACAAAGCAAAUAUGCUGGCGUCUUUGGGUCGCUGCGGCACGACUCUUCCGCAUACUCUCUCGACAGAUACAGCAUCCGAGCCUCCAGCAGUGGCUUUUCGUCUUAGAAUCGGCGCUCUCAGAACUCGCUCUCGCCGCCGGAUAAAGCUCGCCGAUUCUCUCUCUCUCUCUUCCUUACAAGAACUCGAUACCUCCUCCAAAGCACAACCGACGGCAAUGGAAAUUUGGGAGACAGCAAGAGGAUGGGAGAAAACAAAAGCGAAACAUCCUGGAGAUGCAACGUCCCGGCAAUUGCGAUUGUUGAUCAAGGAAACUCCGUGGUCAAUUUCGCUGUCGUGGCAGCAAGGCGACUGUUAUCUUCGAACCGGUAGCCACACUGUUUGUGCUUCAGUCGCUGCUGGAAGCAACAAUCGUUAGAGAAUUCAAUCUCGAUGAAUCGCUGGCGGGUGCUCCGUUCGCGAUUGGACUUUCUCUCCAGAUUUUCUCCGACUAGAUUUUUUUUUUUUUGCAACUUCUCUCUCUCUCUCUCUCUCUCUCUCUGGCUCUGGAUUCCCCUGAUUCAUCUCCACCAAUUCAGAUCAUGCCCACGGUGAAGCACACCAUCGGAUUCCAUAUUCGAGUCGUGACCACUCCGAUUCGAGUCGUUGCUUUUCCUGUCCUUACCCAUGUCUGUCGCCGGGCCAUCUCAAGCUCACGUGGCCAUCGCCACCGAACCAUCAUCAGGGCCGUUUCAUGUCCGAUUGAACUUCCAAGUCAAAUUCCGAUUCACUCCAAAAUACGUUCUGUUGACUCUUGCUUCGUUCUGUCCCGCUCCCACUUCAUCGCCGUCUUUCAAUUCCAUUGUUUCGCCCAUCCAUGCCACACGCAAAGGGGAUGCGGAGUGGUUUGUUCACUGUUUACAAGAGUUUUAUCCGAUUGCCAAGGCUGAGGUUGGAUGGAUGAUCAUCAUCUGGAUACAAUCCACCGAUUCGAAGGAUGAGAUUCUUCGGGUUUCGCUCUCAGCUCCCCUGCCGGUCCGGCCUCGCUUCAUCAACCGCGGCAGCCGAGGCCAAUCUGGGUCGUCAUUAUCAUCCGAGACGAUAUGCCAAGCGUGAAGAUUGGCGGCGGUGAGCACGAAGAGAAAACAACGAAGAACAAAAAGGAGCGAAGCAGCGGAUGGUGGUUCUUUGGCUGAGAAGGAAAUAAAGUGCUGAAAAAAAAAAAAAAAGAGACGAAGGGAAAAAAUAGAGUGCCCACGAGAAAUCGAUCAAAAGGAAGACUUGCAGAAGAGAUGUAAUUCGUCAUUCCAUCGAGCACCUUCCUUGCAAACUCGAUCCCUCCUCCACAGUGCGACCGACGGCAAUGGAUCUUUGGAAACAGAUAUCAACGGACGAAGUCAAAACAUGUCAAAAUUAAUUCUAGAAUCGAAUCGAAGAUGAAAUGACCUGGUGAUAAGUACGACCGUCGAUCUGACAUAUAUCAUGAUCGCCCGAAUGUUAGCGAGGAACCGGCUGUCCAUGGAUAUUUCUUAUGGUGCGAUCUUCGUUCCUCCGUCUGUUGUUACAGAAUCGUUUCACUUUCUCUGUCUCUCUAAGCGCAAUUCAACGAACACCUUCUGCUCAGAGGACGCAGCACUCAAUGACCAGGAAACUCCGUCUGUCAAGUUCUUCGCCAUGCAUCGUUUUCUCUUUGUCCAUCUUCAUUCUUCACUAAGCCUUCCUCCAUCAGGGUCGUUUCCUAUCCGAUUGAACUUCCAAGCCCAGUUUCGAUUCAUUCCAGAAUACGUUUUGUCGAUUCUUGCUUCGUUCUAUUCUCUCCCACUUCAUCCCCGCCUUUCGGUUUCCAAAUGCCGUCGCUCGCGUCCUUCGUUUCGCCCGUCUAAGCCGCGCACAAAGGGGAUGUCGGGCUGGUGUAUAGGAUCCACUGAUUUGAAGGAUGAGAUUCUUCGGGUUCACUAUCGGCCCUCCUGCCGGUCCAAGAAGCCCGUUGAAAGGAAGACUUGCACAAAAGAUGGAAUUCCUUGAGAGGAAGAUUCAUCCCACGACUCAAGCCAUCAUUUUCAUUUUCUUUUCCUUAGAAAAAGGCAUCAAAAACUCCAAACGACGCCAUUGCUGCGUCUCUUCGUUUCACAUACCUUUGUCGGAUCUCUCCCUCCAUCUCGAUGCCCUCCCCCGCUCAGUGAAUUCCGAGUCGCUCCACCAUCACCCUCACUGUCUACUGCUGCCUUGAAACCGAGUUGCACUCACCUAUUUCCAGUGUGAGCCUUGUGAUUGAUUCCGUCCCUUGCCGUCUUUAGAAACUUUCGGUGAUAAUUUUUUUUUUUUUUUCCUUCUUCCGGUUUAAAUAGCGUUUUCGUAUUGUGGAUUCUUACAUGUUUUGACAGAGGCUUCAAUCUGGUGGCCUCGAGCCAUGUUUAAUGCUCUUGUCAUUUUGCUCGUCAAUGGAGUUCAUGUCAGAUUUUUUUUUUUCCUUUUUUCCUUGUUUACAAUCGUGAAUCCGAGACCACUUGGAAACGAGCGAACAUUGAACUGAAAAUGUCGUGAGAAAUCGCCACAGCGAGCAAGGGUUGUGCAGAGUUAAGCUCAGUCAAACAAUGGUUCCGUUUUCCUCUGUUUUUUGGCAUCCUAUCCUAUAGUUACUUCUGGAUUUAGUUGUGGUGCAAGGGUGACUUACUAGCCAUUCCUGAUCAGUCCUUCGGUUAAUGCUUUUCUCUAAAUCUCGACUUGAGGAAACCUCGGAACAUAAGUUUUUGCAUUUCCUCAAAUAAUUUCAGUAGUUUGUCUCAAUAUUUUCUGUGCUAAGCUAGCUUGACAUUCUAUAUGGAAUCCAUCUACAAUGUUAUAAUCUCUUCUGCUAUAUGUGAGAAUACCCUAGAGUUGUGUAAUGCGGUCGAUGGUAUGAAAAGUGCUAGGUAUAAACAAUCGGUCUACCAACUUGGUGUGCAAAUGAGAUUUUUCCCAUCAUGUAGUCUUUUUGUACAAUCAAGUUACUAAACUUUGAUUUCAAUUGCCUGAUGCACUAACAUUAUUUUCCCCCCUAUCCAAUCAAUGCAUUACGAAGACUUUUCGAACAAUUUUUCUACGCAUUAUUGACGUGGUGUCUUACAUAUCUGAUUGGAGAUGCUAUUACAACGACAUGAUGCCAUAUGGGUCUCAAUUAAGAAAAAAGCCAAAAACAAAAAGUUUAAAAAAAGAUAGGGUUACGUGGCCCUUGUGUUACGAGGGGAGGUUCUCAAGGUGUAAGCCGAUCAGGAGGAAGCUAAAGUGAUCAUAAGUAUCUAAAUCUUUUUUUAUCCCCAUUAGAUUUUCUAAAGAUUUCUUUAAUUGAGUCCAUAAUUACUAUUUUCAUUUCAAUUUGCCCCGCAAAUUGAUGAAGGUCAAUAAGCGAUUUUAGAGUCAUGAAAAAUCUAGUUGCUAGAAGCAAGCCAAACCAACACAAUGGUAAUUUCGUCACAUAUUUUUACCGACACAAUCGUAAUUUCAUCACAUAUUUUUACGCUCAAGGGCAUUGGUUUAUUUACUAAAAUAAUCAUUACUUAUUGAAGUUUGCCUCCACUAAGAAAAAUCUCUAGAUGCAUCCAUGGAUCAACCAUAAUUUGGUCGGGUUUCGAUUAAGUUACAAUUUCUGAAGUUCAUUCCGCGAUUGAAAUGAGAAUUUAAUGAUUGAUUGCAAAAAUGCGCUAUAUAAUUCAGUCAUCACAAUUGAUUUACCCUAAAUAAGUAGGUCUUAUAUUUUGAAGGUCAGUCUUAGUGCGUUUAAUAUUGUUCUUUAAGUAAGUAAUAGUAAUAUUUGUGUUCUUUUGGAUAUAUAACGCAAUUCCAACACAAGUCCACACUUUAACUUCUGGCCUAGCCUCAUCCGAUCAAACUUUCGCAAAAUUCCCAUCAAUCAAUCUCAUUUUCCUCUUCAACCGAGAGGCCACUCGUAGCCACAAUCACCGCCUUCUCCCCAUCUUCAGUUGAAUGAAAACCUGCUGAAUGAGCGUCAUGCGAUCUUUUGCGGCCAUUUUGGCUCAGUCUUUGAAAGUUGAGCUGAAAACUUUUGGGGAAUAAAUAUCUGAAAUCAUUUGAUAUAGGACUACACACUCUGCUUCUGCUUUGGAAUCGUAGGUAAGUGUUAGUUUUUGAAUUUGUAUGUCAGAGAGAUGAACUACACACGUAUCCAUAUUCAACUGUUGAAGUUUCUGCUGUAGGCAAAGGUGAAAUCAAGACUUGAUUACGUGCAAAUGUUCUGCCUGGGUUUUCUCAUGUGAAACCAAACAACCUCAGUGUAAGCUGUGAUUUCUCCUAUAAUAGGUCCAGAAGAAAAUAGAAGAAAUGAUAGCGUAAAAUAUAAAUACUUUUUUUCUUUUGGGCGUUCCGAGAAAUUACUCGAAAGAGCUCUAUCUUUUGACAGGUGGCUAAAAAUCUGUUGUUUUAACCUGGGCCAGAUUUUUAACUAGUGCCAAUAUACAGGAUGCGGUGGCUUCUCAAAGAAGGUGUUGUAGCACUUUUUUGUGUUCUCAUUUUGACAUCUGUCAAGCUAAAAUAGAAUGUGAUGAAUGGAAAUUCACUAGCAUAUCUACAAUUUUCUUUUUCUUUCUAUAACAUUUCAAACUCCUUCGUUUAUGAUUGUUUUCUGUGAUUAUGUUUGUCUCCCAGUUACUGAUUAAUGUCUCUUUUUAUGUUACAUGGACUGCUGUGAACGGACUCUUUUUGUUUUCUCUUCCUAUUUUGGCUAGAUUGAAAAGUCUUCUACUGUGUUGAUACAGCUGUAGUGUUGCAUGCUCCAAUAUUUUCGGACUUGCUGAACGGUAGUUCUUCAAUUUAUAGCAUCGCCUCACUUCUUGCAUUGUAUCAAAUUAGGUGCUUUGAUGGUGGGUAUCUACUAUUCAUAACUAUCAAUUUAGUAAACAUCAAUUUUGUCGCAAGAAGCGUACUAUGUAUGCUAGUGCUUCAUUCUCUCUUUCUUUGGUUCUUGUAGGUAUUGGUGGCUGCUACUAUUGGUGCCUUUUACUUUGCAUAAACAAAAGGGAUACACGCUUACUUACUUCGAUUAGCUCCCACCUGAAGUAUCCGUCUCCCUCUGCACUCCCACCCUGUUCUUUGCUUAUCUUCCUAUUUUAUCAGUUUCUCAAUUAAGAGUAUUUGAAACUGAGCAAGAAUAGACUUGUGGUCACUCUUGAUGGUGAUAUUUUGUCUAAUCCAUGUCGUACCACAUCAUUAGUACGCUCAGUACUUCGUCAUGAAGCAACCAAAAACAGCAUGUAAAAGGGACAUCCUAAUUAAAGAAGGAACCACAAGGGCACUUCAAGGCUAGUAUCGCUAGUGCCUGCACAGCAAAAGGAAGAGAACUAUAGAGGGUAUAUCUAGGAAAUGUUCCAAUAUUCAAUGAGGUAAACCCAAUAUAGCUAAGAAGUUCACCCAGACUGCAAACCUAGAACAUCUGAAAAGCAAUGAAUGAUAUAUGUAUCCAGCCUCUGUAGUAUGUAGCGUUCAGCAGGAAAGCUAUGUCUAGAAAUGAAAAGCAUGUAGAAAACUACGUUAAUGAACAUGCCUCAGAUGGACAGCAAAGCUGAAUGAUUGCUUAGUUGAGCAGAACAUGCCUAUGUGAUUUAAUAACUUGCACAAUACCAUGUUAGGAGGGUAAAGAACCCAUGCAUGCACAGAAGUUAUAUGCCCUAUACACUUAAAACAUUUAGUGGACUGGUGAACCUCCCCGUUUGUCAUGAUUCUGAUCUUUUUUUUUAAAAAAUAUGAUCUGCGUGUGGAAUGAGCUACGAAACAAUUCUCGUUCAAUUGAUCUUACUGGAGAAUUAUCUGAUACUUCGGUUUGGCAAUGAUCUUGAUGCAAAAUCCUGCUGCAAUAUCAUCACCAUUUAAAAGAAAGGAAAAAUGAUAUAAAUAUAAUGGAUUGAAUCUAGCAUCAAUUGAAAGUCAAUCAACAAAUGUCCAAUUCCACGACCUCAAUUUCACCUCAGAAGCAGCUAAGAAAACUUAUAGGAAGAGGAGGGAGGAGCUGUGCAGUGAAAAGAGGAGGAACAGCUUGCUGUAGGAACUACAGUGGCAUUGCCAUGGUGGUAAUCAAUCCUCAGGUACAUUGGAGGUCGCACUUCCACCUUGUUCUUUGCUUCAUUUUUCUUUCAAUUUAUAUCAGUUUCUCAAGUAAGAGUAUUUGACACUGAGCAAGAACAGACCUGUGAGCAUGAACAAAAUGAUAACCCAUGGGGUGGUCACUCUUGCUGGUGAUAUUUGUAAAAUCCACGUCAUACCUACAUUGUUAGUACACUCAGUACUUCCUCAUGAAGCAGCCAAAAAGCUACAUAUGAAAGAGACUUCCUUAAAAUAUAAAAGAAACCACACGGGAACUUCGAGGCCGGUAUCAUUAUGCCUGCAAAGCAGAAGGAAGAGAAUUAUGGAAGAUACAUCUAGGAAAUGCUGCAAUAUUCAAUGAGGUAAACCCAACGUGGCUAAGAAGCUCACCGAAACUACAAACCUACAAAAUAUGAGAAGCCAUGGAGGAUACAUAACCAAGCCUCCGUAAUAUGUAGCGUUCAAUAGGAAAGCUACGCCUAGAAAUGAGAGAAUUUGCUCUAAGGAUUGGAAGCACAUAGAAAAGUGCUUUUCCAGACGCACCUCAGAUGGACAUCAAGUUGAAUGAUUAGCUUAGUUGAACACCCCUCUGUGAUUAAAUUCCAAUCAAACUGGUCAAAACACAUUAAUAACUUCCACAAUGCAACGUUAGGAGGGUAAGGAACCCAUGCAUGCACAGGAGAUAGAUGUUCAAUGCAUACAUUUAAAACGUUUAGUGGACCAUGUGAACCACCCUAUUUAUCAUGAUUUUGAUCUGACUACAUCAGCAAUCGAACAAACAUUAACAUAUAAGUGAACAAGAUUACAUGAUACAACCUCUUGGUUGAAGUGAUUCAUGCAGAACCAAAACAUACCCUCCAAGUUCUCAGUCUGUUCCUGUUUGUAAUGCCUAGCAUGGCAAUCACAAAAAUGGUGACUACAUUCCCACCAAACACUACGACUGUGGACACCAUUAAGGAGAAGCCAAUCCAAGAAUAGUGAAACUGCCAUACUAUUCCAUUUAAACUAGAAAAGACAAUGUAUCAAAUUUAAAUGAUAUAUAUUACUAAAGCACUCGAAAAAUCUAUUUUCAUCCUACACCUGAAAAGCCACAAACAGAGCUGCUCAAUCAAAAUCCCCUAAAACAACAUAUGCUCCAUUAACUAGUUAACGAACAAAUGAAACUACUUAAACACUAAUCAUCAUAUUACUUACUUCCAUAGAGAAUGGGCCAUAGGGACAAGAGAGAAGUGUGCGGUGAAAGCUUGUUUAAGUGCUGUGAUCAUUAUUUUUCUCUAUAGUUGUAGCGGAACUUAGCACUUGUGGAUAUAUAUUAAAACCAGUCACUGUGAGAGACAGCUCAAUGAUCACCGAGUCGAACUAAAAGGGCUUAACCAAAAAUUUGAAAGGCAAGAGCAUCACAUGAUCUGUUCUAAAUUUAGCAUCAAAAGUCAUUGCAUCCAACACAUAUCUAAAUAUACAAAAAUUACAUAUUGAGAAAAGAUUCAUUGAUGAAAAUAUGUAGAUUGAAGCCCCGAUCAAGAUAAUGACAAAAGAUCAGAAACACCACAAGCGCAAGCCGAAAGUGAUUCGUCAAAAAAGCUAUGGUUUGCAAGUAAAGCGAUUGGAAUGAGCUACGGAACAAUUAUCAUUCAACUGAUCUUGUCGGAAGAGUUUUUCAAUACUCCGAUUUGGCAGUGACCCUAAUGCAGAAACUUGCUGCGAUAUCAUCACCAAUUAAAAGAUGCAAAGGAAAAAAUGAUAUCAAUAUAACGGACUGAAUCUAGCCAUCAUCAAAAUUCAAUCAACAAACGCCAAAUUCCAAGACCUCAAUUUCGCCUUAGAAGCAACUAAACGAAAAAAAAAAAAAAACCUACGGGUUGGGGAAGGGGGAGGAGCCACGUGGUGCUAAGAGGAGGAACGGGCCACCCUAGGGACUACGGUGGCGAUGCCAUGGUGGCUCUCGAUCCUCAAAUACAUCGGAGAUCGGACAUCACAAUGACGGCGACGACUUGGUGUGAGACAGAGCAGAGGAAGAAAUGGAGGAGUUUCCAAGAAGUGCAGCAGAAGGGAUCGGAGAACAUGAAAUUGAAAAGGAAAAAAGUAAUCCUGAUUCAUUUGGGACUUUUUUUUCUUACCCAAUAACAAAUUUCAAACAAAAUUGCUUCAAUUUAAAUCGCUAGAAAAUGUCCAUUGCAAUGAAUAUUGACCAGUUGGCGAGUUUGAAUUCUUAUUUGAUAUUGACGUGAUCAUUCCACACUCUUAUUUACAACAAAAUCCGCUCUAAACUAGUUUUUUUUAGAAAAAAGAUGAUCUCGUUUUAGAUUUUUAUUUGAAAUUUUUCUUAAAUUAUGUAAUGGCUAUUUUAGGGAGAAAUGCUGACUCAUGCGGUCCUCAAACAUGAAAAUGAGAAGGGUGAGGGGGAUUCUGAGGGUGGGCCCCACCAUCAUCAGGAAGCUUGACAAUAUAAAAAUGGAAGAGCUGGACUUCAAAGAUUUGCAUAAAGGCUUGUUCGGUGAUGGUUAUUGAUGUUUCGUUAUUUCAAUUUUUGAUGACUUGGCGUGAGAGGAAGGAGAUGAAGCGAUGGAGGAGUUUCUAAGGAGUGCAACGGAAGGGACUGGGAAGAGGAAACUGGAAAGAAGACUUAAUCCCAGAAUUUUCUUUAAUUUUGUUGUAUUAUAAAUUUCAAACAAAAUUACCUCAUUAAAAUAGUGAGAAUGUCCAUUGCAUUACAAUGAAAAUUUGACCCAUGGACGAACUCGAAUCCAUAUUUAAUAAUUUCUUUUCAUUAAAGGUCUUUGUUUGAUAUUAAUUGGAUCAUUUCAUGUUUUUAUUUAAAAUGAAAUCUAUUUUGCAUUUUUUUUAUAAAUAAAUGACUUGAUUUCAGCUCUCUAUUUGGAAUUUUUCUUAAAUUGUGUAAUCGCUAUUUUUAGCACCGGAAAAUGCUGGCACCGGGGGGGGGGGGUUCCCGAUGGUGGGCCCAUCAUUAUCGUCUAUCCACGUGAGGUGAAACUCUCCGUACAUUUCUUUUUCUUGAUUUUAAACUUCCUUGGAAAAUAGUUUUCCAAAAAAAAAAAAAACUUGGAAAAUAGAGGAGCUAGUUUGACUCUUGGACUUCGACUUGGAAAAGCUUUUGGACUAUUAUCAAAGAAAAAAUUGUUGGAUGAUGAUUAUCGAUCUUUUGUUAUUUCCAUUUGGAAGGGUUUUGAUACUUUAUAAUCUUAUUUAUGUUGAAGUCUUCUUCUUUUCAACUAGAAUUAUCUACAUGAAAUGAUGAUUUUAAAAGAUACACAAUUUUUAAAAGGCAUUUGCUUAUAAAAUUUCUUGCCUUAAAUCAAAAGGAAGGUUAAUGCAAUCCAUUCGUCCCCUCAAGGCUCAAAUCCAACAAGAGGAGGGGGAGGAGCCGUGUGGUGGAAAGGGGAGGAACAGGUUGCUGUUGUGGCUACGGUGGUGUUGCUGCAUGGCUGCCAAUCCUUAGGUACAUCAGAGAUCGGACUUUUCAAUAGUGGCGACACGCUGGUGUCAAGGGCGAUAGCAAUGACUUGGCGCAGAAGGGAGGAGGGGAAGAAAUAGAGGGAUCAGAAAACAUGAAAUUGGGCCACAAGCUUAGACUUUUAUUUGAGGUUAAUUUGGCAACUUUAUAUCCGAACUUAUGAAGCAAAAUCGACACUUUUCUUUUUCUUGCUUUUAAGCUUCCUCUAUAUGAAAAUGGAGGAACGACUUGAACGAUUUGCAGAAAGAUUUCUCGACUUUGACCUAGAAAAACUUGUGGACUAUUAUCACAAGAAAAUUUAUUAGAUGAUGAUUAUUGAUCUUUCGUUAUUUCAAUUUUGAAGAGCAUCGAUGCUUUAGGAUCUUGUUUCUUUUGAGUUCUUCUUUACAACCACAAUUGUUUGCAAAGAGCAUUCAUAUGAUACGCAUGGCAAAACAAUUACCAAUCAAUGUUAUAUUUAUUCAUGAUUAGUCAAUUAAACAAUUUUUACACAAUUUCUAUUAAGGCUUUGUUCAUUUCGCGAAAAAUAUCCCGUUUCUAAAAAGUGUUUUCCAAGAAACCUUUUUUUAGAAAAAUGAUUUUUUUUUUGUAUUUGUUUGAAACUUGAUCAUGAACUAGAAAAUAUUUUCCGUUGUUCGGUUUGGAAAAUUCAAUUUUUUUUUGGUCGAUGGAAAAUUCAAUUUGAUUUCCCUUUGUUCAUUCAUUUUAACAAAUUUUUUAUUUUCUUAAAAAAUCUUUUUUUUUGUUUUUAUUUUUCUUUCUAUUUUUUUUCUUUUUUCUCUUUUCUUUUCCUCCUCCUUUCCUCCUCCUUCUCAAGUCAAUCGCCAUGGCCACGGCAAUGGCCGGUGAGCUCCAGGUCUCGAGCCUUGCCAAAUCAACAAGCGAGAGGCUCACACUCGUCGACUUGGCAAGGCCCAAGCUUGAGGGCUUGGGUCUCACUAAAUCGGCAACCGAGUGAGUUGCUCACCAUAGGCUUGCUCGAUUGGCGAGUGGUGAGCCUAACUCGUUGAUCUGGUGAGGCCUGAGGUCAGCAAACUAGGGACUUGCCUAUGGCUGGUACAAAAGAAACAGAAAAAAAAAAUUAAUUAGAAAAUAAUUAAAAAAAGAAAGAUAGAAAGGAUAACAUGGGUGUGAGAUAAGAGAGAGUGAGUGAGAAAAAUAUUUUCCCAAACUUAAAAGGUAAAAAAUAUUUUCCCUAUUAUAGAAGACCUUUUUUUCAUUGAUAAAAAAUAUUUCCCAGUUUAGUUCAUUUUCUGGAAGUUGUUCUUUACGAAAUAAAUGAAACUUAAAUUCCUCAUUGUUCCAUUGUGGAAAAUGGAUUUCAAGUCACGCCCCUUACCCUCGGCCAUGCUGCCAAAUGAUAUCAUAUCGUAAGAAAGUCCCCCAAUGUGGAAGGAGCAGCUUUACUAUUUCUAUUAUUGUAGAAAUGGGAAGUAGUCUAUGCAGAUCGAGCCAUUCUGAGUUGGUUUUUCAUGGUCUUCUACUUCAAAGACCUCUCAUUACUCCUAAAUUAGCCCACAAAUAAUUUUAUAACUAUCCUUUUUCAAAAUGGUGAUCCCGCAUCUUUUAUGAGUUAUCUGGUAAGAUCUUGAGCUUAAAUCGCCAUUGGUAUACCUAGAGCUCGACUAUGAUUGCUAGCGCUUACAGUACCAUGACCGUUUUAGUAGUUGAUGUCCACUCAUUGGAGAUUUUUUUUCAUCUAUAUUGUGUUUAUAAAUAAUCCAAUAGAAAACUAAGAUGAUACUCAUUAAUAACAUAUAUUAGAAAAUGAUGUUAGCUAUUAAUAUCUUUCAUCCUCGAGCACUUUCAAAUAGAUAAUCCUUGGAUUUCUUUGACUUCAAAUCAUCACCUUCUUGCUCUUUGCCCUCUUAUUUUAUCUUUUGAUUUCUCAUUUCACUUAUAUAAUUUCAUAGCUUGGUUGUUCAAACAUGUAAAUGUGCAGAGUAUUCCUGAUGUAUUCAUUAAGCAACAUAUUCAGGAAAAGCAAAGAGCAACUCUUAGGUUCCGACAUUGAAGUUCAUCAGGAGCUAUAGACUCAUCAGAGGGGCUCUGUCUCUGUCCUUUUGUUCCAGUUGAUGUGCAUUUCAGAGAGAAACUCAUCUGCGUGCAGGCAAUGUCUGCAUGAACGAAUGAACAAAGAUAAUCACCUGAAAGCCUGCAUUACUCGUUACUUGGGUACCUCCACGUAACAAUGUGCUUUUUCUUCUCGACAUUUAUCAAAAAUCCACAAAGACACUUCCUCAUAUCUCUAUGUUUUGUAUUUCCAGAGUCUUUAUGCUAAUUUGCGAUCAUAAGAUACAUGUAUACAAAAACAAAUGCAGCAAUUGGCCUAUCAUCAACAGAGAAGUUGCCUAGCUCACUAAUUUCCUACCCCCCACCCCUUUUUUAGGAUAGAAUGAAACAACACAUAAUAUUGAUACUAAUAACCAUGAAGCAACGCAGACUAAAUUAAUCCAACCCCUAGAAUAGCAGAGCACGUAAUCAACAAAUUGAAUUCAACAAGACUGAAUCAUAGACUAAUUACCCUCAUUAUCAAAUGGAACAACAAUUUAGAGAACAGCAAUUAAGCUAUGCAACAAUAGAUCACCCAUCAAAGUUAUGAGGGCAAAGAGACAUCGAAUAGCAAAAGCAAUUACUACUUCAGAGCAGGACGAGCAUGUCCAGAAUGUGUGAAUGGUUGCUUACCCUUUCGAACAAAAGAAGUAGACAUGAAAAUUUCUGAGGCUAAAACCAAAAAUUACAAGCUGAGUUAAUCAGAGCAAUAAUGAUGGUCCCAUCUUGCGUCAACGAUGUUAUCAUGGGUAUAUGUGCCAUGUAUUAUCUCAUUUUUCUGUGCUUAUGUUGAUCCCGUCAUAAAACUAAUAUCAACUGAAAAGGAGACUUCGAGUAAACACCGAUUGAAUUUGCGACCACGCAUAAUAUUCACGCCUUGACAACAACGCAUUCAAAUAAUGCAACUAAACAGUCUGUGUUAAGAAAUUAGUGACUGCCAAUCUGAAAAAACCAGAGGAUGAGGAAGCACUUUGGUUGGAGGGACAUACCAGAAAUGUUGCACGGAUCAUGAGCAACUCUCAUUUUGCACACCCUGGGCCAUUCUCGCAUCUGAUAGAGUCAGAGAGUGAUGAGCGAUCUAACGAGGUCAGAUCCAGUAAAGCUUCCUCUAGAUGGGAUGGCGACAUCUUCACGAGGCUUGGGAAUGAUGGGCACUGACUCCUGCUGCAGCUCCUCUUGAAACUAUAGGGACUGAUGUAUUGCCAGCCGACAUGUAGUUCAUCUUUUCAGCAGAAUUUAUAACUUGUUCAACUGCCUACAUAGCGAAAUUGAAUGUCAUAAACUCCACAACAGGCCUGAGACCAUAGAAAGCAGCGCCGAAUUCAACUCCAGCAAAACCAGCCUCUGUGAUCAACAACCCUCUCAGGUCCAUACUUCUGCCAAAAAAAAAGAACCUUUAGACACAUCAAAAGACUCUAGGAUCUGCAGACAUUUCCCCAUCAAACGCAGCAUUCAGAGCCUCCCUCACAGUCAUCUCUUUCCCCGCAGUAGCAUUACUACGUAAGGGCAUUUCUGCGGCACAUCAUGCACUCUCGAACUCGAACUUGCUCGCACGCCAGAUAGAGCUCGCUGAUUCUCUCUCUCUCUCUCUCUCUCUCUCUCUCUCUCCUUGGAAACAGAGUCCAGCUUUGUCAUUCCAUCAAACACCUUCCUUGCAAACUCGACAGAUUUUUCUCCGACCAGAUUUCUUUUUCGCAUCUCUCUCUCUCUCUAUACAUAUACAUAUAUCCAUAUAUGUAUAUGUAUAUCAUCCCCACGGUGAACAACACCAUCAGAUUCCAUACUCGAGUCGCGGCCACUCUGAUUCAAGCCGUCGCUUUCCUAUCCGUGUCCAUGUCUGGACCAGAUUUAUCUUUGGCCGGGCCAUCCCGGGCUCACGCCGCCGUCACCACUGAACCAUUAUCAGGGCCGUUUCAUUUCCAAGACGAAUUUCGAUUCACUCCAGAACAUGUGCUGUCAACUCUUGCUUCGUUCUGUUCGCUCCCACUUCAUCGCCGGUUUCCACCGUUUCGCCCGUGCACGCCACGCGCAAAUGGGGAUGCGGGGUGGCGUUCGCUGUUUACAAGAGCCUUUUAUCCGAUUGCCAAGGCUGAGGUUGGAUGGAUCAUCAUCAUCAUCAUCAUCUGGAUACGAUCCGCCGAUUCGAGGGAUGAGAUUCUUUGGGUUUCGCUCUCAGCACCUCCAACGGUCCCGCGUCGCUUCGUCAACCGCAGCAGCCGAGGCCAAUCUGAGUCGUCGUCGUCGUCAUCCGAGACGAUACGCCGAGCUUGAAGAUUGGCGGGGGCGAGCAUGAACAGAAAAGCAAAGGAGAAUUAAAAAAGACGCCGGUGGUUGUUCUUUGGAUGAUUAAGGAAUUGAGUUUGAAAAUAAAAUAAAAUAAAAUAAAAGGGCAAAAAGAAACCCACCGUCCUUUUCGGAAAAGCCGGCAAAAAAUGUCAAAUUAUAUUCAGUUUUCGUCGUGCUGAUUUUUCUUUUUGUUAUGUCAAAAGCUCAAAAUUAUAUCCCUCUAAAUUUUUUUCUUCGUGUCAAAAAUCCUAAAUUUAUAUUAAUAUGACACAUUAAACUUCUAUCAAAAUUUCGUUUGAUAAUUUUCUAUAUUUUUUUUUGGUCGAAGUUGUUCUUAUUCAAUUUUACGUCAAUAUCAUUUACCUUCAAUUUUCUAACAAUACUUAUUGAUAGAGAACAAACGUGUCACAUAAGUAUAAUUUGAAAUCUUUGAUGAUACAAAAAAAAAUGAGAUAUAUGUGUUAAAGUGAGCAUAGUUUUGGAUAUUUGAUGGCUUUUGCCCUUUUUUUCUCAGCUUCAUGAACAAUCAGUCAUAACUCAGAACCAAGAAAACAUUAAUCUCUCUCAUGAAAGCAAGCAUUAACUUGUCGCCUGCCUGGCGAGUUGUUCUUGUCCCUUUUACCGUUAGGAAGGCGUUUUUUCUUUAGAUUUGCUCAUACGAUGAAUUUGCAGCUUAAAAUCUGCUUAUGUAAAUCGCACAAGUCUAUCAACCGCAACUUGUUCUCACUUGAAUAAGCAGUGUUUUAAUGUCACUUGUGAAAAGAAAAUUCCACUUUUAUCUCUCGAACUUCAAUUGAGUAGAAAUAUAUUUAAUGCCGAUAGCUAAUUCGACUUAAGAUUUCUAUUUAAAUUCCUUCUUAUUGAAAAAUUGACCCAAUGUUAUUGCUUGUUAAGGGCGGACAACGACCAAUGGCGUCGGAAAUGAUUGGAUUCCAAGAUUUCAAGAAAUCUUCGACUGGGAAUGGAUCGUCGUUUUAUUACCAUAUAGGGUGGGCUAGAGAAGCCGAUUGGGCUUGAUGGACCUGACGAAAUUUUAUCUCGUGAGAACUAUGUGAAUUGGGCCACGAACCAGAAAAGCCUCCAUUUUGAAACCCCAUUAUAUUCUAAAUGUUUUUUUGGUUUCUAAAUUUGUUUAUUCUUUAUUUGUUUUUUUAUCUAUUCUUUUUUCGCUCUCUUUUGUUGUUUUUGCUAUUUUCUAUUUUUGUACUUUCAUAGGAAUAACUGCUUGAAUUGUUGACAAAAAUUCAGGUGUUAACAACAUGCGUGAUAACACUAAGGUCAGUGCCAUGGAAAGCUCGGUAUUUUCAUAAAUUGAUUGAUUAACAAGUGCCUUUUGCAUUGACUAGCACAUUCCCCAAAAAUAUUUUCUGCAAAACCAAAAAUCUUAAAGAGGGCGGGAAGAAAAAGCUCCUCCCUCCUAAAAAUAAGCCAAAUUUAAGAGUAUAAGAAUCAAAAUUAAAUUCUAUAUCGGCAUUACCAACAAUUUUUAUUAAAUUGUUACUCCCCCAUCUCCUUGCGGACUCAACUCUAGCUCUGAUACACAUGAAGUAAUUUGAAUGUGAUAAUUCUUAUUUUUGGACCCAAGAUCUACCAUUAUUUAAAAUGGAGGAGUAUCAGAGAAAGCUUCUCUUGCUAGUGCAAAAAUGUGAGCAAAAUCAUGAGAUAGGGCUUCGCUUCUGAGCCAAAAGAGGGUCGGCUAGCAAGUCCAAGUUGAAGAUCGGUAGCAUGGAGCUUCUUCCGUCAACAAAGCCCUAAAUCCAAAAUGUUCAAGCACCACACUGUCAAUUUAUGGGGAAAUUUGAAGAGAUAAGGCUUCUUGAAUAUUCUAUCUGCGUUGCUUCAACUGAUUAAGUAUAGAUAGAUUCUCCAAUUUUUCUUCGAACAAAGGAUUUUACCAAUCUUCUCUUUCUGAUGGUAACAACUAGAGGUGUCAAUGAGGUUGGUUUUCAAUGGGCUUGUUGUCAAUGCAUAUUGUAAAUCUUGCUAUGAGAAUGAGUAAUUUGCUUUUGAUGCUUGAUUGUGCAUUGCUUCCCGAAAAGACCUAAUGCAAAGAUACUUAAUGUUUUAUAAGAGAUGAUUGUGGAUUUAUUCGAAUAGAAGGAGAAGGUUUGACUGAUAGAGGCUAGAGAAAAAGUGAGAUCUUGAGAGGAUAACAAAUCUUGAAGAGAAGAUUUGGAAGAACAAAGUUUUUUGAAGAGGAUAUAUCUAGAGGGAAAUCUUGCUUCUUAUCAACAUGAGUCAGGGAUGGAAUGACUACGUGAUUGGAAUUUGGUUUGAGUUGGAGAUGUCAAAGAGAGAAUCAAAGGAGAGGACUCGUGUUGGAAAGAUAGUUUUACUUGUGACGUUUAUACUAACAAUCCUAAGUGUUGAAGUAAAAAUAAAAAGUUGUUUGACAAUCACUAAAUAUUUGGAAUUCCUUUCCAAACAUAGAACUAUGAUCAUAACCAGUAGGCCAUAAUCAUACAAUUGGGAAAUUCUAAUUAUUAUCAAUUGUUUGAAAGGUCUUGUGUUGAUUGCUUACUGGUUAGGUGGUGUUUUACGGCUUUGCUCUAGGAUUGGCAAACGGUUUGGCUCGGCUUGAGCACAACACGGCCCUCAGUAGCCAUUUGGUUGGCUCCGAAUAAUUAAAAAUGGCCCAAAGGGCCAGGCCCUUGGAGCAAAGAAUUUUUUUUUUUAAAUGCUGGCAUGAAAUGAGCACUUUAGUUUAGUCAUUUAGAAGUCUGGACAUGAUUUGAGCAAAAAAGUCAUGAAUACUUAGAAAAAAUGGAAGAGUCUAAUCUAAUGUAAAGGAACUUCUACGCACUCCUUUAUUAUCUUAGCACUAAAUAAUUCAUGAGCAUUUAAAAAAAUGUUUUAUCAUAGAUAUUACUUUAAAUUAUAUUGUAUUGGACAAAUCAUAAUAUUCAGGUAUACACAUAAUUGAGCAGUACAAAUAUAAUGAGUAGGCUAAACUCAUCCAUGAAAUGUAUGCUGACUCAACAUAAAUUUGGAUACAUUGCACUCAUGAAUUAUUGCUAAAAAAAAAAAUUGAUAACAGCAGAUGCACUAAACCACUUGACUUUGUCUGGGAGCACAUGAGAUUUGCCACAUAGUUAGUCAUAUUAAUUACACUAAAUGUUUCAUAAGAUCCAUAUAAUUUCAUAAUUUAAUACUACAUAACUUUAUUAUGUCUUUAGCUCAUUCAAAGAGAAUCAACAAAGUGAAUUAGACUAUGGGCGUGCAUGGAAACGUUUCUAAGAAACGUUUUCGGCACACUUCUGUACGGAAAGUGUGCCCGGGAACAAAAAAGGAACAGAAACGCGUUUGGUUGCGUUUCUGUUUCUUUUUUGUUUUUUUGUUUCUGAAACGAAAUAAGAACAAAAAAAAAAGAAACAAAAAAAAGUUGUUUCUUUUGAAAAGAAACACUUCUUCAACGGAACAAAAGAACAAAAACCAAAGAAGCAAAAGAACAAAAUCGGAACAAAGGCGACGAACUCUUCUCCUUCGUGCGUGCUCGUCGCUCCUCUCGUCGGCUGAAGCUUCAUUCUUCCUUUUCCGGCGUCUCUCCCAUCUCUCCGGCGGCUCCCACUCGGCUGACUCUCCGGCGAUUCCUCACUCCGGCGACUCCAGGUACGUUUCCGGUCAGCGUUGCUCCCCGUUCGGCCCUCCUCCUCCGGUCAGUGUCACUUCCCGUUCGGCCCUCCUCCUCCGGUCAGCGUCGCUCCCCCUUCGGCGCUCCUUCUCCGGUCGGCACUGCUCCCCCUUCGGCGCGGCAAGCCGUCCCUCGAGCGAGCGUUGCUCGCCCAGAUCUGCCGCGCCGAAGGGGAGCAACGCUCACUCGAGCUGCAGCUCGAUCUGCAGCUCGUCGAGCUCGCCCUUCGCUCGCUCGAGCUCCAGCUGGUGCGAGCUCACUCGAGCUCAAGCUCCAGCUGCUGCGAGCUCGAGCUGCAGCUCGAUCUACUGCGAGCUCGCUCGAGCUCGAGCUGCAGCUCGAUCUGCUGCGAGCUCCAGCUGCUGCGAGCUCGCUCAAGCUCGAGCUCCAGCUGGUGCGAGCUCGCUCGAGCUCGAGCUGCAGCUCAAUCUGCUGCGAGCUCGCUCGAGCUUGAGCUGCAGCUCGAUCUGCUGCGAGCUCGAGCUGCUGCGAGCUCGCUCGAGCUCGAGCUGCUGCGAGCUCGCUCGAGCUGGAGCGAGAGCUGCUGCGAGCUGCUCGAGCGAGAGCUGCUGCGAGCUGCUCGAGCGAGCAGCAGCAGCUCGAGCUGCAGCUGCUGCUCCAGCAGCUCCUCCAGCAGCUGCAGCAGCUCCAGCUCCAGCUGCAGCUGCAGCAGCAGCUCGAGCUGCUCGAGCGGCAGCAGCAGCUCGCCUGAGCUGCAGCUGCAGCUGCUGCAGCAGCUCGAGCUGCUCGAGCAGCAGCUGAUGCAGCUGCUCACUCGUGCAGUUGCAGGAGCAGCUCGCUCGAGCUGCUCGUGCAGCUGCAGGAGCAGCUCGUGCAGCUGCAGCAGCAGCUCGCUCGAGCUGCUUGUGCAGCUGCUGCAGCAGCUCGAGCUACUCCAUUCUCAAUCUCAUGUUGAAUGAGUCUAACUGUCGUUCCUCCUGCGUCAUCAUUUUGAUGCUCUCCGAUGCAGUCGCUUUCGCCUGCUCAUUUUCCCGACUCGAGCUUGAGCCCAUCUGAAAAUUCUAACUUUCUCGCCCUGCCGUUUUCAGGGUGCCCUGUCUGAAGCGGGGCGGCAUCAGGUUCACGAUCAACGGCUUCCGAUACUUCAACCUGGUGCUGAUCUCCAACGUGGCGGGCGCAGGGGACAUCGUGAGGGUGAGCGUCAAGGGUUCGCGCACGGGAUGGAUGAGCAUGAGCCGCAACUGGGGCCAGAACUGGCAGUCCAACGCCGUCCUCGUCGGCCAGUUCCUAUCGUUCUGGGUCACCGGCAGAGACCGCCGCACCUCCACCUCCUGGAACAUCGUCCCCGUUGGCUGGCAGUUUGGCCAGACCUUCACCCACAAGAACUUCAGGGUUUGACUCCAGCGUUGACCGGGGCUCAUUUUAUCAAGAUUUUUAUUUAAGGGAGACAACAUUAGGGUCCGAGACUGAUGGUUUUCUGAUUAUUGUAAGGCAAGUGAGGUAUAGAAAUGUAGCUGAAGUGGCCGCACGAACGCAUUGUAGCCCGCAGCUUAUGAUAGUGAUAGAGGGUGUGAUAUAUUUAUACUUUUGAUAUGGGUGUAUAAGUCUCGAUGACCCUAUUAUAAAUUAUAAUCAUAUGAUUUGAGAAAGUUUGUGUUUUCGUGGUCUACGUUUGGUAUUUGGAAUGGUGUUAUCUUGCUUAAGAUUGAAGGUUGGACUAGCUUAAAAAAUGUAUUUUAGUUGACUGAAAAGUGAAUAAUGUCCAUCAUGUGUUUGCAAAGUGCACCGUGUCUAUGCGAGAUAAUUACUAAAAAAAACAAAAUCCUAAAUUCAUAAUGCAUAUGUCAAAGUAAUCCUAAACUUUAUUAAUUUAGUCAAUUUAACUAUAAAUUUUUUUUUAUGAUUUAUCAAUGUAGUCAUUUCAGUUAAUUUUGGUUGAAAAUCAAAGGCGUGGACAAAAUAAAAUUAAUGAGCAUUUUAUAAGAAUGACAAUUCAAUAUCAAUUUUAAAUUUAUUAAAAAAAUAAUAAAUAAAAAAAACAGAAAUUUUUUUGUCGUUACCAAACGUGUUUCUGUUCUUUUUCUAUUCUAGGAACAAAAAUUGACUGCAGUUAUCAAACAUGUUUCUGUUCUUUUUUUAUUCCAAGAACAGUUUUUUUUUACACUUACCAAACGCGUUCUUUUGUUCAGAAAUUGUUCCCCGGAACAGAAACACUUUUUUUUGUUUCUGUUCCCAGGAACAAAAAAGAAACAGAAUUGUUUCCAUGCGCAGCCUAUAUCUCCUGGAUGAAAACUGGCCUUAAGUUCUCUUGGGAAGCAACUUCCACAUGUCGCUUCUUGGUGGCCUGUGUUCCUCGAACCACUAUCAAUCCUUUUUUCGCUUCUUUUUAGGGUUUUACUGUCAAGCAUCUUUGCCUCGAUCACCGCGUAAUCUAUUUGUCCUUUUUUCAGACUAUAAUGUUAUGAAUAUCUUCAUAGGAUUCCCAAUCGAUAAAGCUCUGUCAUUGGAAAAAAACCAUGCGCGUUGCUCGGGUCCACAAGAUGCAAUAAUUUGACUAGUUAUUAGAUAUAUGGGGUGUCCCUACUCCCUCUCGAGUCCACAUUCAUAUAGUUAAGGUUGUGAAUGUACAUAUUAUUGUGUUCUCUCAUUCUAUGUGCUUAUAUUAUGGUCUUUCAUACUUAUAUGUUACUUGUUCAAAUAUGCAUGUGGAUAGACAAUUCUCUUUGUAUUCUUCAAGGGAUAUAUUGAGGGAAAUAAUUGAAUCACAACUUUGAGUCAUUUAGACAUCAUGCACGAUGAGAUUGAGGAUUCAUCCCAUCUUAUCAAAAAGAUGAGGACUAAAUUACAUUUUCAUUUUUCUUUGUUACAUUCAACUGCAAUCACAAGAGUUUGGUAAAGUUGCUUGUAGUUUUAUAAGUCCUUUUUUCCUUCAUAUUGCCAUCUUUUAAUUGUUGUUUAAUUAAAUCACAUCUUUUAUAAAUAGCAAGUACUUGAAAAUAUGAAUUCCUAUCAACAAUAAGCAUUGCAUGGUGAACGAUUUGAUUAUUAAAGUUACUGUUUUCAAGAAGGCAGCGAUGCAUUAUUACCACCGUCCCAUGAUUGUACCAUGCUUGCAAAAGUGAGGUCCAUACGUACUCUUUUGUCUAAUAGAGCUUUGUGGUUGGAAAAUAGCUUUGCUCGUUCCUCGAACCCCUCAUCACUCCUUUUGUCACUUCACUUUAGUGACGCAUGGUCAACCAUCUUUGCCUCUGUCACCGAGCAAUCUGUUUGUCCUUUCUUGGACUUUAAUGAUAUGAAUAUCUUCAAAGGAUUCGCAAUUGAUUGUCCUGAACCAAUCGUAAUGAAGUAUACUAUACAUGAUUCAAGUUUCCACAACAUCCUUUCAACCAUUAUCUACUAUUCUUGAAAGGAAGAGUAGUCGCACGGAUACAAAGAUUUAAACCACAAAAAUUAAUGCAACAAAGUAAUGGGCUCAAAGUUACUUGUAUGAUCUCAGCCAUUGAAUGAAAAAAAAAUUGACAUCGAUUGUUGGAUUUGGCAUGACCAUUUUGUCCUACCAAACCCUGCAGCGCGUAUCUGACGCCAAAAGUAGUAAGCUACGUUAUAUCACCAUUAUGCUAAUUCAAUUUGUGAACCAUAGUUUGGGUUCUCUAGCUUUAACCUUCUGAAAUGAGGCAACUACAACUAAAAUUCAAUGCACAGCACACUGCUUAUGAAAAUUGAUAUUAUCAAGUUGCAGAAUUUAAAACUCCAUAGUUUUCUUCCUCUCUUUUUUCUGCACUUUGGUUUGACUAUGAGUUAUUGUAUAAUAAAGAAUUAAUUGAAAAAAGUUUCUUGAGAAGCUGUGGAAAUGAUCUCUCCAACUCAAUGCUUUUCAAGGCUCUGGUCAGUUCAACCGGGACUGUAAAACUAGAAAAGCAAAACAAUAACAUCUUCUUAUUGUGGAAAGGGUGUCCGGGAUUUACGGAGCAUUACUCCAUUGGUCAUGUUCAUCUCAUAGUUUUCAAAUAUAAAGGGAACUCCUCUUUUCACCUAAUAUUAUUCAACGAGAGUGUGUAGAGAUAUUAUGAUGAUAUACAGCUGCACAAAAACGCAACUAAUUUAAACUAAGCGUGCAAUUCAGUGAUAUUGUGAACAUUCUCAUGGCUACUUAAUACGUGCAUGAGUUCAAUCAAACAUCGGCAUGGCUUUGGCGAUUUAUUAAAUGAGAUUAGCAUAGAUUGACAUGUAGCUCCAAAAUUAUGGCACCCCAUCAUUCAAUUUCACUUCCUACAAGGUCAUAUUAGUAUAUAAAAAAUAGCAAUAUGGACUAGUCACAUAAUGAUAUGAAAAAAAUUAAUUGAAAUAUGAAGAACAAAAAAAUGUCGUAACAAUUAGCCUUGUCCUGGUCACGGAUCAGGCUCUGUCCAGUUGUGACUCAUCUAGUCUAGUGAUGUCCAUGAUAUGAAGGAAGUUCUUAAUCUCUACGCGCAAAAACUAAUCGAUAAAAGAUAAGUCUUCGAUCUCCAAAGGAUGCGAAAACAUGAGUUAGACUUUAAAUUUUAUUAUUGGUCGAAAGCUAGACUUUAAGUUAAUGAUGAUUUGAAAGAUUUAAACAAUAAUUUAUCUAGAACGAGCGACUGAUCUGAAGAUAUCAUCUAGAAUAAGACGCGAAAAGGCUCCAAAUCCUCCUCAGAUCGAUUGUGCGGCUCCCUUUUUCCUCUCGAUGUGUCUUUUCCCCCUUGGCUUUUCUCGGAUUCCCUUUCUAUUUCGGUGUCUGCAUAAGGCCGGUCGCGUCUCCCUAAGUGAAGAGGUUGAUUAGUCUAUUCAUGCUAGGAUCUCUGCCUUCAUUUCCUUGAAAUGGACGAGAGAUCUUUUGAAUCCCUUGCACGCGGAGCUGAAUGGUGCUUCUUACAAUUGCCAAUAAGUACGUUCCGCGUAUAGUAAAUAAUUAAUGGAAAAUCAGGAUAGUCCGCUGAACACAGUUUUUUUUUUUUUUUUUGGUGCUUCGAGAAAACGUGAAGGCUUCAUUCUUUUUUUCUCUUUUUGCCAGAGAUCCCCGGCUCUCCCUUCAAUUUUAGUCAAACCUCUUACUCAUUCUUCCCCUUUGUCAAUUGCAUGAAAGUUACUCCCUUCCUUUGUCAAUUUCAGCAUCCCCACGUCCCACAAAUGCCUUGAUUCAAACUCUGCUUAAGCGAGGAAUCAUGCCCAAGUAUGGUAUGAUUCCUUGCCAAUAUGAUUCCACAUUAAUCCGUACCAUAAUGACUUAAAAUUCUUGCUUGAAAUUUUGAGUUUAUUCUUACAACUAUUGUUGGCAAAAAGAAAAAAAAAAAUGAAAAAUGAAACAACUUCAAAUUUUCCUUAUAAACCAAGUUUUCCUUCUAUUUAAAAGCGUGAUUUGAGGGGUUCUUCGUCAAAUAUGUGAAAAUUGGAGAGACAAUACAUGAAAAGUCAAGAAAGGGUUUAAUUAGUCCAAGUCAAAUAUGUCAAUAGGUAGAACACUAUCAAAAUUCAAUAAAUAUAAAAUAUAUAUAUAUAUAUAUAUAUGCAUAUAACAUGGCCAUUUUAUGUUUUAUUAAGUGUUUUCUUUAUUUUUGAUUUAGAAUUUUAUGUUCUUUUGAAAUAAAAAGUCUAACAACAGAAGUUUCCAAUCGAUUAUAGCAUUAGGAAAAGAAUAUCAAGCAAUGUCUAAUUUAUGACAUGUAGCAGCUCUCUAUAUGGUGGUGGGAUUAUUACCAGAAUAGUAUGGAACCUAUUGCAAUUAUGUGAAUCAAUUCUAAACUUUUUUUUUUUUUGAUAAAUUCAGUCCCAAACUUUUUGAAUUUGUGCCACUUCAAUAUAUCCAAGCAAUUUUAGCCGACCGACACCGACAUGAACUUUCUUAAAUAAUUGUUUAAUAAUUUUUUUUAUAUUUUUAUAUUUUCUUUUCUUAAAAUUUCCCCCCUUUCCCUUAAGGCCAUGACAGCCUUGCUCACCUAGACUGGGUGAGGGUUGGGACGCCCUCGUCCAAUGCUAGUGAGUGCAUCUCGGCCAUCACCUGCUGACCCUUGCUGGCCCUAAGCUAUGUAGCACGGACACUCUCCGGAAAGUUUCGUGUUGUGUCCGACACUCCGACACAUGUCCGACACGCUCCGACACGUGGUCAAUGAGUGUCGAAAAAUCCAACAUGUCGUCAACUCUCUCCAACACACUCUGACAUGCGAGUCCAUAAUUCCGACACUCGAUUCCGACACGCACGGGGUUAAUUUUAAAAAAAUUAAUACUUGAGGGGUCAAAAUAUAAAUAUACACAAAAUAAGUAAUAAAAUUGCUAUAAAUAUACACGCAUGAGGUCAAUUUUUUUUUCAGUUUUUUUUAGAAUUUUUUAUUUUUUUAAAAGUCUUUUACUAUGAAAGAAGUAAUAAAAAAUGCUAUAUGUGAUAAAUAAAUAAAUUUAAAAAUAUCAUUUCAGCAUUUUUCUUUAAACAAUAUUUUUUCCUCUAAGUUUUGUGUAUUAUUGUAACAAAUUAAAAUAAUGAAUGAUAUUAUUUGAUAUUUUUCGUGUAAAUUAAUUCUAGGCUGUUAUUAUUAUUAUUAUUAUUAUUAUUAUUAUUAUUAUUAUUAUUAUUAUUAUUAUUAUUAUUAUUAUUAUUAUUAUUUAUGUAUUUAUAUAUAAAAAUAUAUUUAAUAUAUAAUGUGUUGGCGUGUCGUGUCGUGUCUUGUUAUGUGUCGCAUGUCCAUGUCGGUGCUACAUAGGCCCUAAGUGAAAGGGGAAAAAAUUAAAGAAAAGAAAAAUGAUAAAAGAAAAUUCAAAAUUUAUUAAAAUAUUAUUUAAAAAAGUCUACGUCAGCGCUGUCAAUGCCAUGUCAGCACCAGUUACCAAAAUUGGCUAAAUGGAUUAAACUGGCACAAAUGCAAAAAAAAAUUGGGAUUAAAUUGACUAAAAAAGAAUUUAUGAUUGAAUUGACAUAAUUGCAAGAGGUUUAUAAAUUUUUUUUUUAUAGUUUUCUCUAUAUAAUAUAUAGUAGAAACUAAAGGCAUGUAUGACAAAAUUUUUGGAACAAAAAUCAAUUUUUUGCCAGAAAUUGAUUUCUCAAUUUAUAUUCCCUGGACAAGUUUCUAAGUAGAAAAACACGCUUGAUAAUGAUUCAAAAUUUCUAUUUCUAGAACAUAAAUUCGUUUGAUGACAUAAUAAAAUUUCUAUUUCUAGGGGACGAUGAUAGGCAUUUGGUAGUGGGCAGUUGGUAGCUAGCGUCUGGCCCGGCAACUGGGGAUGGGCGUCUAAUGAUCAACGUUCGGCGUCAAGCAAUCCGGAGUCAAGCAAUCCAACGUUUUGAGGCGGCCGGAUGGUCAGCGACGAGCUUCCUGCACUCCACGGGCGGCGGGUGAAUGUUAAGCAGUAACGAGAGUGAAUGAUGAAAAGAGUUUUCAUUUCUCAUUUUUGUUCUAGAAAUAGAAUAGUUAAAAAAAUUUAGCUUUUGAUUUAUGCUCCAUAUCUAUUUAUGAAAUAAAAAUCAGUUCAAAAAAUCGAAAAAUGAAGUUACAUUAACAAAUGAAUUUCUAUUCUAAAACUAUUUCGAGUAAUAGAAAAACAAAGAAAUAGAGAAAUGGAAAUAUUGUCAUGUAUUUGAUGAUGCUUGUUCCUUAUGUAGGCAAUGGUAUGAUGAUAGCAUUCGAAACUCUUACUCUAUACUUUCGUUUCCUAUGAUAUUCUUUUCUAAAUUAUUAUUUCCAAGAAACUAGCCAUGCAUUAUUAACCGAAUCCCAUGAUUAAACCAUUCAUGCAAAACUGGAGUCCACAUGUAUUCUAUUGUCAGAUGGACUUUGUCAUUGGAAAAAUGCUAUAUGUGUUGCUCAAGUCCAGGAGAUGCAAUAAUUUGUCUAGAUGUUAAGUAAAUGGGGGUGUCCCCAUUCCCUCUCAUAUCCCCAUUUAAUGAAGAUGGUGCUGGAUCUAUUACUACCUCAUUCAUUAGUAAUUUGACUUGAGAUUAUAUUAUGUGCCAAAUGUAUAGCCCAAGAGCACAAAUUUUGAAAGUCUAAGAUAGAUGACUUUCAUAUUAUGCACCCUAUCAUAUAGUUAAGGCUGUGAAUUAUAACUCUUGAAAGUAGCAAAUAUUGUUAAGUGUCGUGAAUAUAUAUAUGUAUGUAUGUAUGUAUGUAUGUAUGUAUGUAUGUAUGUAUUGUUGUGUUCUCUCAUUCUACGUGCUCAUAUUAUGGGCUUUCGUAUUCAUACAUUGCUUGUUCAAAUAUGCAUGCAUACAAUUCUCUUCGCAUUUUUCAAAGGAUAUAUUGAGAAAUAAUCGAAUUGCAACUCUUAGGCAUUUAGGUAAAUCGUGCAAGGUGAAGUCGUAGAUACACUACAUCUUGUAAAAAAAAUGAGGACUAAAUUGCAUUUACAUUGUUCUCUAUUAAGUCCGAACAAUCACAAAAGUUUAGUAGUGUUGCCUAUAGUUUUAUAAGCCAUGCAUUUUAAUUGGUGUUUCAUUAAAUCACAUCUUUUACAAAUGGUAAAAGAUGGUAGCAUUCAGUAUUUUUAGUCUAUACUUUUGUUUUCUAUGACAUCAUUAUUAAAGUUAUUAUUUCCCAUAAGGCAGCCAUUCAUUUGUUACCACAAUCCCAUGAUUGAACCACGCAUGCAAAAGUGGGGUCCAUAAGUACUCUUUUCUCUGAUAGAGCUCUCUUGUUGGAAAAUAGCUAGGCAAGUUGCUCAAGUCCAGAUAAAGUAAUAAUGUAACUAGACAUUAAGGGCGCCAAUAGUAAUCAUUAUAUUCUAGAAAUAAGUUUUUAUUCCAGAAAUAGAUUUUCCUAUUUCUACUCUCCGAAUGAAUUUUAAGCACAAAUAUGCAUUUGAUAACAUGAAAUUUCUAUUUUCAAAAUGAAAAUUCGUUUGAUAUCGAUACAACAUUUUUCCUUCUUAAUUGGCAGUAGCGAAGGACAAACGUCAAACGGCGGACAGCAGCGACAUCCAGUAGAUGUCGAAUGGCGGACGGUCAUCAACAGACGAAGACCAACGACUUGCAGAUGGCAGUGGUGCGACCAACAAUUGGUAGCGGCAAACAAUGACUGGUGGUGGUGGACAACGAGCAGCGAUAGGCAGGCCGCUAUCUAGUAGCAAUGAGGAGCGAUAAGAAUAAUUUUUAUUUUUCAUUUUUAUUCUAGAAUUAAAAAAGUAGAAAAUUUUUAUUUUUCAUUUCUAUUCCAAACUUAUUUCUAGGCUAAAAAUUUGUUUUAGAAAUAGAAAAAAAAAGGAAAUUAUGUUACCAAACGGAUGGUUAUUAUACGCAUCCUAAAUCGUGGUAUGUCCGAUCUCCUCUUGAGUCCAAGAUGCUUUUUGAAAAUGCUAAAUAGACGAAAGUGGAGCAUCAAACACGAGAUUUUGGCUACAAUGUGGAAAUAAAUUAAUAAAUUAAUGAUAAGCCAAGAUGGUUAUAACGAGAUCUUUGGCGGCAAAAUGUGCAGUGAAAUCAUGAAAGUUUGAUUGUUAGGUCCAAGCACGCCUCAUGUAGCAAGCAACCACUCAGACCCUAUCAACUUUUUCCAGUAAAAAGUAGGUAUGUUUUGACGCCGCCCUUCCUUCUUCGUCUCUCUUCGUCCUUGCUCUAUUUCACUCGUUCUUCUUCUCGGCACAACUAUUCUUCCUCCUCCUUCCUUCUUUCUCUUCUGCAUCUGCUCCUCCUUCCUCCUAUUGUCCCAAUGGCACGAUAGACAUAUGACGCGGGCACAUUUCGCACUAGACAAUCUACAGUCCUAUGUAUAUGGUCCACAUCAUCAUCAACUCCAUUUACAUGUUUGACAAAAAGGAUUUGAAAGAAUUAAGUAAAUAUAUAUAAUAUAGGUACGCAAUUGGAAGAAAAAAAAGUUCAAAGACCUACUGAUAAUUUUGGCAAAAAGUUCAAUUACUACUAUGCCUAAAUCCCUUAUUAAGUAUCAAAUACUGCUUCAAAAUUAGUUCGAGCAAUCAUCUAUUUUUUUGAAAAAUGUAAUUAAGACAACUAUUUCUUUUAUAUAAAAUAUGCAUUGCAGCUCACAAGAUAUUACCAUCGUUUGAGGUACACUCGUUUUGGUGAUGAAGUGUCCAGAAUAGCUUUAUUUAACAUGUUGCCUUAUUGAUUCGUGCCCAAUGCGCAGAGUCUGCAAAGUACUACUUUGCGGGCCAAUGCCGACACAUGUCCCUCUAACCUCCGUUGAUGUACCAUCAAGUUCCUAUCAAUCUUCACCAAAGAAGAUGAGUUUGCCCGAGAAUCCUCAAAAGGUGCGCCCAUGAGAGGGCAUUGAGUAUAUUCAAAGGAUCAAUAAUAUGAUUCUAGCGGAUCCAUCGGUAGAGACUUUUGAAGAGUGUGAAAUGGAAUAGCUCGUCAAAAUAUUUAAAAGAGAAAAGGACAAAAGUUUUGACAGCUCGACGGGUACUUCGAGUGAACACCAACACCACAUUGUGUGUACCGUGCAAGGCUUCUUGCACGGUGCCUUAGAAGCCUAUUUUAUUGAGUCCACUAUGCAUUAUUGGCGUGAGAGUUGCUCUCUUUCUCUGAAGAAAAAUCAAAGAAAAUUGGCCAUCGAUGUUGCUGUUCCAGAAUAAUAGGAAAAAUUACAUUAAACUCAUAUCAAUGACUAAUUUUUGAAAUAGCAAUAACAAAGAGACAUUAACAAAAUUCCAACCAUAUCAUCGUAUGGUAAUUUUAUGAUAUUUAUUUCACAUUCUAAUAUGAUAAUUAUGGUUCGCCUAAGAAUUAAAUAACUUCAAUUUGAUUUUGUCAAUUGAGUUUUUUUUUUCAAGUAAAGAGAAGCCUAGAGGGCCUUUCUAUCAACAAAUCUGCGAAAGAUUAUACAUGAAAAGUCAAGAUUUAUUUCCAACUAACGGUUAAUAUUAUUAGACAUAAGGAUCUAAGUUAGCCCAAGUCUAAUGUGUCAAUCACAAGAACAUUAUCAAAACCUGCUAUUCAAUGUAUAAUCUCCACAAUGGCAAAUCAUCGAGAGCAACUCAUCUCUUAAACUCUUAAGGGGACAUCACAUAUCCUCACACAACAAGGGUUAAUUAAAGUGAAGGGAAAGCUUGUUCAUUUGGGCCUCAUCAAGAGAGUUGUAAGUUUUAGCUUGAUAAUUGGUGACUCUUUUGCUUAAUGGAUCAGUGAUUCAUUGCCCUGCGAGGAGAGAAGUGGGAAAGCAAUGUUUCUUGACAGUAAAAGGACAGAGGCCAGACAAGUGAAGGCACCCGAUCAGUUCAUGCAUUUACAAAUACUUAGAUGUUUGUCUGGUAGUUGUGGACGAAAGGACAUGAAGGUAAACAUUGGUGAUGGUGACUGGUCGAGUAAAGGAACAGUAAAAUGCAAAAAUCCAUCGCAGCCUCUACAACUACUCUCUCUGUAUCCCUCUCCCACCACUAACCCUAAUUAAACCAAUCUUUUGUAUAUUUAGACAGUUGUCCAUGAGCAGUGGAAGAAAGGACAUGUAGACUUGGACACUAGUGAUGGUGACUAAUCAGGAAACAGUAAAAUGCAAAAAAAAAAUCGUCCAUUUUUCCAUAUAUAUGCUUUUUAUGAGUCAUCUAUUUCUAUCACUGAAUCUUUUAUCGGUCUAUUAUCUUUCUUGUCUCGAUGAAGUGACUGACAUAUGGUGGCCUUUUUGUAUUUUUAUUUUUGGCCAGUGACGACGUGGGGGUAGUCUGCUCAUCACUCUACUUCCCAAGUGGAAGCUCUGUCCAUACCCUAUCUCCUCUUUCCUCCUUGGGUUUUUGUAAGGUUGAUCGGUUCCUGGUUCAGUCCGGUUCCAAGGUGGAAUUGGGAACCGGACCGGAAGAAUCGGUUCCCAAUUUUGGGAACCGUAGACCGGACCGUUGGUCUUAGGACCGAGAACCGGACCGGACCAUCGGUUCCGGUCCGGUCCAGUCCGGUCCAAAAGAAUUGACACUUUAUUUUUUCACUAAGGAAUGAUCAUUUACUAAAGAAUAAUCAUACUCCGGACCGAUCAAUCAAAUUCGGUUUCCGAGCAAUCUAAUAAAACUACUCACACAUGUUUCCACGUGCAAAAUAUUCAAACUUCACUUGUGUGAAUAUUAAUCAUAGUUUAUGUGUUUCAUGCUUAAUUUUAAGCAUAAAACCCAUAAACAAUCUGAUUAAAGGUUGUGUUUGGUUUAGGUUUUAUAGGCAAUCUCUUUUCUAUAUUUCGAAUGUUUAGUCAAUAUGAGACUUUUUAAGGUUUGAAGUGCCUUGUCGUUUGCAAGUGAAGGGAGCAAGAGAGAGAGAGAGAGUGAGCAUGAGGAGAGUUUUAUCUAUAAAUAAAGAGUAACAACAAGAGUUUUGGUAGUCUCUUGGCCACAUAAGAGGUUGUUACAUAAAUUGCAAUUCCGAUUGCAAUAAGUUUUAUAUAUAAUAUUAAUAUAUUAUAUGUGUUUAUAUAUUAUAUGAAUAUAAAUUAUAUAUAAAAAAAUUUGGUCCGGUCCAGUUGGUCCGGUUCCCACCUUGGAACUAGGAACCAGACCAACCGGCCGCCGGUUCCAAGAUUAGGAACCGGGAACCGGACCACCGACCAUGGGAACCGCCCAAAACCGACCGGUCCGGUCCGGUUCGGUCCAGUUCCGGUUCGGGCGGUUUCCGUUGCACACCCCUAGGUUUUUGAUUCAUUCCCAAAUUUUCAAAUAGCUGGAUAGCUAGUAUUAAAACUCAGCCAUUUAUUAUAAAUUGUCCCAGCAAAAUGUUGCUGUUUUUAGACGCUACCAAUCCUUCAAAAAAAUUAAAAGUGAAAGAAAAAUUAAGUUUAUAAAUUAUGAAAACCCACAUAACUUUACUUGGCAAUAAAUGUAUGUUUUUGAAAGUUUUUAAAACCAAUUUGUGAUUACUGCAAUAUUUAAAAAAUACAUGUUAAAAGUGUAAGACUUGCCACAUAUCCCAAACAUCUAAGAGAAAAGAGGGAAACUCUAAGAAUGAGAGACCACAAAACAAUGUUAGUGAUCACUCGAAUUGUUUCCUAUAUUAAUUGUGUUGUAAAGAGUAGCAUUAUUAAAAAAAAGUAAACUGAUUUAAAUUGUUUAAUCUACUUAUAAAUUUUGAUCUAACAAUUCUAAACGAAGAUGCAAUAAUUUAACUAGACAUAUGAUAACGGUGCCUCCACUCCAUCUCAAGUCCACUUUUACCAAAGAUGUUCUAAAAGAAAAGCCAAAAAGACGAAAGCAUUGAUUUUUCAAUAAUGACUUUGCAUGAGGAGCAUCACACAUGAGAGACUUUGGCUACAAUGUGGAUUUGAUAGUUAUACUUGUUUUUUCUACUUUUGCUAUGAAACCUUUUCAUAAAAAAUGAUUCGGCAUUUAUCUGUUGAUUAGCGACUAUUCCUGCAAAAAAAGUUGCUAUGCGAUUAUUUUUCGACACUAGCUUUCCUUCAUCCACUUCUCUACUGGCUCCAUGAAUUUGUCUUGGAUGCUUCACUGAGAAUUGCUUCAUUAAACUGAAAGCAAAAAUUCACAAGGCUAUAAGAGAUAUAUUCCUCUCGUGAGCCUUCCUUCCCACCAGAACCUUUGAAAAAUAGUGAGGAAAAUCUUCUAAAGUCAACUAUAUAUAUAUAUAUAUAUAUAUAUAUAUAUAUAUAUAUAUAUAUAUAUAUAUAUAUAUAUAUAUAUAUAUAUAUAUAUAUAUAUGGACACACAUUUCUCACCCCAAUUUAGUUUAAAUCACAUCCCUUUACGUAAGCUGGCCAAAAUAUCCUCCACACGCAGGUGUAUCCUCAAGCAUUAACAGAUCCGCCUUAUUUUUUUUCAAAAAAUAAAUUUGCCUUUUUCAUUUUCUCUCAAAUCUAUUGUCUUGUAUCUUUUCUUAUUUACUGUAGAGAUUCUGAUUUAAAUCUUCUCACUUACUCUUCUGAUUUAAGAAUUUUUUUUAUAUAAUAAUUUAUCUAAAAAACAUCUUCUGCCUAUUAAUCACAAAAAAAAUGGCUGAUUUAUUUCAAAGAUUGGAGCAUAAGCAUGUUCCGGAUUAUCAAAUUGCAUUUACGCUUUUGUUGAACUUUUGCUAUAAUUUUUCAUAAACAUCACGACCAAAUCUUCGGUUCUUAGAUUCUUCACAUUUGAAGUUUCAUCAUUUUGUAGAAGAGGUCGCCUCAACUAGUUAACUUUGUGGGAGAUUUGCUUUAUAUGAGUUUAUAGGUUGGUGAAUUUAAGAUAAUUCUCUUCAUUCAAAUGGUUAUGGCCAAUGGUAUUGAGACAUUUAAAAUUUACUUAAUUUUUAUAGCUAAUUGAUUAUUUUACGUUUUAAUGCUAGAAAAUUUGGGAGAUCAUUGGAUGAGUGUUUCAUUUUGAGGAUUUUUUAUUUUAAGUUUGGUUUCUCUGCAUCUCUACGGUUAUUUUAAGAACGAUAGUUGUUGCUAAACAUAAGAAACACGGAAGCUCGUUGUUUCAUUCAACUUGUUGACUAUCUAAAAUACAAUUUCGUGUUGAGUAAAAGAAAUCAACAGUUUAUAAAAUAUGGAUUUUAUAUUGAAAAACUAAUGGCCACCUAGGCUCCACCUAAACUAAUAUUGUGCACUCCUGAUUAGACAGGUUACUUAUAUAACAUAAUAUUCUAUUUACUCCAUAUUACUUUUUUUAAUAACGGGUAUCGAUGCAUUGGGGAUAAAGUGACUAUCAUAAUCAAAUUGCUUUUAGAUUGCGUUUUCUUUUAGAUAAAACAUAUAAAAAAAAGAUAAAAAGAAAAGGAUAAAAAAAUCUCAUUUGUGUCUAUAGUAGGAUUACUUUUAGGGAUUAAUUUGAUGGAUGUUUUCGUCUUUAAUAUGCUAGAGAAUUUUUUAGUAGAUAAUUUUCUUUAGCCGAAAUUAGAUUUUGGCUUUUAUUUUUAGCUCACAAGAUAUUCAUGUCUCGCGGUUUAAUAUCGAUGAAAAUGUUAAUAUUAUAAGAAAGAAUAGAGAUGCCUUCUCAUGUAUUUUCCAAGGUGCCACUUGUGCUUUUCUGCCGUCGUAUGUGGGGCGCAUUAAAAAUUGAGUUAAUGGCAGACCGUGUAAAGUUACAUGUCACGUGUUCAAUUUGUCAAAAGGCAAAAUGUGGUAAAAGUUAGAACUCCGUGUCACGUGGGUGUGGCCAGUCCUCGUCCAUUGAUUUUAUUUAUUCCGAGGGCGAUGGUUUGAGUGGAAUCAUUUGUUUACAACUUCAACAGCUGAUAAUCAUCUCCUUCUUUCUCCAUUCGUUGCUAUUCGACGCGCUCCUUCCUUCAACCUGCUUUCGCGCUCAAUCUCUUCGCCUUGUUUGUCUCUCGCUCCGUUUCGAUCUUUCUUCACCUCGGCUCAACCAUUCCUCAUCCUGCUCCUCCUCUUCUUCUUCUUCAGUAUCUGUUGCUCUUUUUCAUCAUUCUCUCUCUGGCUCUCUAUUUUCUCGCUCUUUCUUUCUCAAAAAAACAAAAAAUCAAAUAAAAAUGUCGGCCGAUUCUGUCGUUUCUAUUGUAUGGGAUGUCUUGAAGAUGGUAGUUGUUCCCAUCAAGCGUCAAUUCGGAUACGUGAUCUCAUCCGAGAACUUCGCUGAGGGUCUUAGGAAGGAAAGCCAGAAUCUGGAGAACAAGGCUGAGAGGCUCCACAAUGCCUCGGAAGUGGCCAGAAACAAUCUCCGGAAUUUCUACAGGGAGUUCACGGAGUGGGAGGCAAGUGCUGAGGAGGCUUUGAAGGAGGCAGGAAUCCUAUUGGACGACUUCGAAAAGGCUACCAAGACCUUGCUACGGGACUCUUCCCGACCCCUAUUGGCGCUAUCAGUUCAGCAGGAAGGCCAAGGGCAAGAUCGAGGUCAUUAAACAACUCACUCAAAAAUGCAGUGAAUUCAAGGAAUCGAACAUCUCCUUCACCGAGCCUGCUCCGGGGAAUUUCACUGCUCUGACAUCUCCUUCAAUGUCGAUUAAUUUUAGGGACGAUGCCAUCUUCGAAUCCAGAGCUCAAAUCAUAAGGGACAUCAAGGAGGCUCUUGCCGAAAAUAGCAAUAGCGUGGUUGGGGUUCAUGGGAUGGGUGGGCUCGGCAAGUCCACCCUUUUAGAGGAAGUCAGAAGGAUAAUAAGCAAAGAGAAGUCGUUUGACUGGGUCGCUAAGGCCGACGUGUCGAAAAAUCCAGACAUCAAGAGGAUUCAAGGAGAGAUUGCGGACGCGUUGGGCCUUACUGACAUAAAGAGUAAAGAGUCCCUUACCGGGCGAGCGGAACUUCUGCACAGUAGGUUAAAAAAGGAGGAGAGGGAGAAAAAGAAGGUGCUCAUAAUACUGGAUAACCUGUGGAAGGAGCUUGACUUGAAAUCAGUCGGCAUUCCUUGCAGACAUGACAACAAAGUCACAGGAUGCAAGUUAUUGUUGACGUCGAGAGAUCAAAAAGUUUUGCAAGACAUGCACAGUGACGAGGACUUUCGCCUUCUGGGACUGUGGGAGAAAGAGGCAAAAAGAUUGUUUGAGGGAAUAGUGGGAGACGAAGUUCAUGAGGACGAGUUCAAACCCUGGGUGGAAGUAGCACUCAACAAAUGUGCAGGUGUGCCUUUCCUAAUUGUCGCAAUGGCAAAACGCCUUAAAAAUGCUGCUUUAUAUGAAUGGAAAGACACUUUGAAAAAUAUCAAGAAGUUUCAAGAUAAAAAAAUCAAUGACUUGAUAGAUCAGAUGUUGCAAUGGAGUUAUGAUCAAUUAAAAGAGGAGGUGAAGUCAUUAUUACGACUUUGUGUUGUUUAUCAUAUCUCCAAGCCUUCUCUUGAAAACUUGGUGAGGUUUUGCGUUGGGUUGAGGUUAUUUAAAGAAAUUGACAGCAUGGAAGAUGCUAGAAAUAGGUUGAGAUCACAUAUCUAUACUCUUCGAGCCUCCUCCCUUUUGUUAGACAGUGAAGAUGUUGAUGGUUUCAAGAUACAUGACUUGGUUUGUGAGUUUGUUACCUCAGUCUCUUCAAGAGAUCACCCUCUUCUCAUGUUGAAAGAUAAAGUCAAGUCAGUAACAGAGUUGUUGAAGGACAAGCCCAAUAAUUAUAGGGCAAUGUGCUUUCCCUUCGUUGACAUGGAGGAGCUUCCCCAGGAGUUAGAUUGCCCUGAAUUGCAGGUUUUUUUGUUGUUCACAAACAAUAAAUCUCUUCAUGUUCCAGAUUCAUUAUUUUACUCUAUGAAGAAAGUCAUGGUCUUAAAUCUUACUGGAAUACGUCUCACUUGCUCCCCUUCACCGUUUCAAUUAUUGAAAAACUUAUACACUUUGUGUCUUGACAAUUGUUCAAUAGAUAAUGUAUCCAUUCUUGGCGAGCUAAAAGGGUUACAAGUUCUUAGCUGUGUGAACUCCAACCUUAAAAAAUUGCCGAAAGAAAUUGGGCAACUGACAGAGCUAAGGUUGUUGGACUUGAACCAUUGUUCACAUCUUCAAAUAAUUGAACCGGGUGUGCUUGAAAGAUUGAUCAAAUUGGAGGACUUGUAUAUGGAGAAUAGCUUUAAACAAUGGAAUGCCAUGGAGCAAACUCAACCAACUAAUGCCAGUUUGAUUGAGUUGAAUUGCAUGAAAAAUCUUUUCACUCUACAUGUCUCCAUUCCCAAUCCGAGUAUGCUCCCAAAUGACCUAGAUGUUGAGAAAUUAGAAAAGCACAAAAUCCAAAUAGGAAAUGCAAGGCGCUGGUGGAAGCACAAAGGAUUGAGGAUUUUGGACCUCAAGUUGGAUCCAAAAAGCAAUGUUCUUCGAAAAGGAUGCAUACAAAGUAUCUUAAGAAAAAUUGACGAUUUGUUUUUGGACAAGUUGAAUGAAAUUGAGCAAAGUAUUUGCGCAUUAUCUCAAGAUGGUUUUCCGAAAUUAAAGCAUCUACUAGUCCAAGAUAGUCCCUCUAUCCUUUACAUCCUCCGAUGGCAUUCCUUUGGUGCUUUUGAGAUGUUGGAGUCUUUACUUCUCAUAAAUCUCAUCAACUUGGAGAAGAUAUGCUAUAGCCAUAUUUCCUCCUCCAAGUCCUUAGGUAAAUUAAAAGUAAUUCAAGUCAAAAGUUGUGACAAGAUGGAAGUUUUAUUUCCUCUUUCGUUACUAAGAGGACUUCCACAACUAGAAGAGAUCAAACUCGUUGAUUGCAAGUUAAUGCGCAGCAUUGUGGAAGUUGAUGAUUGUGGCAAAGUGGAAUUGCAUAAUUUGCAUGUAUUGGAAUUGCAUGGCUUGCCAAAUAUCAAGAAUUUUUUCAUAGCCCGGACAACUCCUUCAAGUAGUACAUUAGACGACCAAGUUGGCACUCAAAUUGCAUUCUUCAAUGGGCAACAGGUAACUUUCUAUCAAAAGAAUAUAAACUGUAUUAUUUUUUCCUACCUUUGCUAAUUAGAUGCAACACAUCUCAUGUUACUUAUUCAUUUUGUUAUUUCCAGUUCAUUUUAAUCCUAAUUACCUUAUCCGUUCAUGCCAUCUCUGCAAUUAGAUAAAUCAAUCUUCUGGUUCUCUCCAUUGUGUAGAAAUCCAACCAAUUGUAUGAAAUCCAUGUAAGCUUAUUUUGUGAUAGGUUUUGAGUUAUUUUCAAUUUAAAUGCUGCAAGUGUAUCUAUAUUAAUAAGGUUUCAUAAAGCAAAACCGAAGGGAAUUUCGGCACUAAAGUAAUUCCAUAAGCAAUUUAAAAUCUUUUGAUAUGGAUUAAUUGAAUUUAUUUAUCCAACUUUGUUAUUAUCCACAAAGUAUAUAAUAUAGGUGACUCUCCUAAAAACCAAUACGAAUAAUGGGAAUGAGGACUGGGUUUUUUAAUAAAAGCAACAUGCUAAUUUGAUUGAUGCAUGUGUUUUGUGUAUUGUGUUUAAAUAAAUGGUUUGUCAUUCCAUAGAACCCAUAAUUAUAAGAGUACAGAGUUUUUUGCAUGUUUAUGCAUGCAUGUUGUAUAUAUACUUUGUACGUACUUUUGGCAUCACAAGCACAAAUCCAUAAUAUGUGUAUAUCUUGUUAAAUUGGUUAUUGAUAGUGAUUUACUAACAUUAAAGAGAAGUUCGCAAACUAAGGAUGAUCGAUUGCCCAACUAAGAAAAGCACAUGGCUACUUUGCACGGGGGAAAAUUUUGCUGCAAGUGGAGCCUUUUUGUUGACUAGAUAAGAUGGCCUUUUGUAGUGGCACAAUUAUCACUGGAGUUGAUCAUGGGCCCAAGACCCAAAAAUAGAUUAGCUCCUGUCAGUAAAGAGUGGAAGUAAUUUAAGUUGAGGGUCCGACACACUAGUGUGGGACUCAUCUUCUUCCCCUUCUUUGAGCUUCCAUGGAGAGAAACCUUUCAAAGAUAAUGGAACGACAUCGGGGAAAUUUUAAAAGAGCCUUUGUGGCUUUGCCUUUUUUUUUUUUUUUUUAAUAUUGUAAUCUUGUAUAUUAGAUCCUUUUGAUAUAACCUUUAUACCAAGUUUUAAGAUGACGACAAAUCAUUCAAGUUCAACAAUGGGAAGCAAUUAAUCAUUAGGGUUUGUUUAGUGGUCACCCUUCCUACAUGGAAAUGGGGAGAUGGGAGGGUCAAAUCCCUACUUUCUUAUUGGAAUUGAGGUGUGGAUGUUUUAAUUUUAUCUGUGGGUUUCAACUUCUACACCCUACAAGGAGGGCAAAAGUUUAAGAGUGAAUGUUAGAGUAGGAAUAUAGUAGUAUCGAUUAAAAAAAAAAGUAGUGCAAUUACAAUGUUGAUAAAUUAGAUUGUCACGACAAAAACUAAUGGCAUUCGAUUGAAAUUGAGGUCGAUUAUUUAUAGUAUAUUAAAUUCUAGACUCGUAGUGGAGGAAACAUAGCUAACGGUUUAAGUAGCUUUAGUAAUAACAUUUAAUAGGAGAUCCUUUUGGUAUAAUCUUUACACCAAGUUUAAAGAAGAUGAAAAAUCAUGCAAGUUCAAAAAGGGGAGCAAUUACAGGCGAAAUUUCCUUUCUUAUUUGUUUUUAUCAAUAAAAAUGACGUUAGGCUGCUGUAGAUAUAUGUUAUGGUCCGAUCUGCACUUCUACGGAUGGUAAUUUACUAAAAUGAAAGAGAAUUAGUAAAUUAAGGAUAAACAAUGGCCCCAAUUAAGGAAAAGCUCGCGGCUAUAUUUUAUAUGGGGGAAAACUACUGAAAGUAGAGGGUUUUGUUUGAUUAGACAAGGUUGCUCUUUUAUAGUGGCGCGGGCCCGUGGCUCAUGCCAUAUGUUAGUUUCCCUGUUGAUAAAGAGCGGUGGAGAUAUAAGUGGUGGGUCCCACAAAUUGUGAUGUUAGAGUGCGACUUUUCUUCAACGCAUGCUUUGAGCUCCCAUAUAGAGAGCUUCCUUUCAAAUAUAAUGGAACUAGAUCAGGAAAUUUUGCAACGAGCCUUUGUGGCUUAGCCCCUUCCUUCUUUUUUUUUUUUUUUUGGGCGGUAGUCUUUGGGGCUUUUAACUUUCUAGGAUUCUAAUUCUUCAUAAAAGAGUUACUCUUGCCUUAGUACUUCUUUUUAUUUUUAUUUUUUUUGCAUAAAACCUAAGUAUGCAAUGCUCCAUGGGUUUAUAAUGAAAUGUUACAUAAAACUUAAUAAAUCUCCUCCGACAUUAUAAAGCAGUAGCAGCCUACAAAAGUAGUAGCCUAAGAUUGGCUUGUCGGGGAUGACAAUAACCUAAUGAACGAAAGACAAAAAAUUUAAACUUGUUUUAUGGGUGGGAGCGAGAGGUGAUGAUGAGAUAGCGCAAGCAACUUUGCAAAUGAAUAAUUUCUUAGAGUUAUAGCAAUGAACUUUUGGGGAAAAAAAGAAGAAGAAAAUAAAGAAAAUAAAGUUUUACAUUGUCAUCAGAUACAAUUGGAUCCCUUCAAGCUCAAAUGUUAUGGUUUCAAACAUGUUCACUGUGGAUUUAGACUCACCUUAAAGAAAUUACGACAACGAGGACUAUCAAUUAAGAUAGGCUACACAUGCACCUGAAUUUAAAGGAACACUAGAGGUAGUUUACAAGGUAUAGGAAAAAAGAAGUCCAAAUAAUCUUAAGUGAUUUACUAAUUUUCGAGGAAAGUUGGGAUCUUAGCUAGUAACUAUGACUAAUGAGUACUUAGUUAUCGCGAUACCACAGCUGCUGACGUUUUCCAACCAAAAAAAAAGACCGCUAACAUGUCCAAUUUCAUGUUAUUUCGGGCAAAGUAGUCCCAUUUUGCCUAAUCAAAUCGGAGAAAUUGAAGACACUUAAGACGAAAAAGACAAAGAAAUGCCCGUUUUGUAGGAUUUUAUCAAGAAGCAGACAAUUUCAGUGUGUGACAAGUCAUCUUGACCUUGCGAACCAAAAAAAAAAAAAAAGAGUCCUCUUGACCUAAAUGGAUGAGGAAUGAUGUCAUGUCCGGCUAUCAACUCCCUACGGUCAUAACUCUUAUUCAUAUACCAUCAUUUGUCUAAGGUUUAAUUUUUGAGUUGUGCCUGUAACAAGAUGAUAUAUAGAUAUAGAAGGCUUGAUCUCGUCGAGAUUAAGGGGACAUGAGCUGUAUAUAUCUCCAUCAAAUUGAUAUAAUUAGAUAGAUAUUUUGUGCAUCAAUUGAUUGUCAUUAGUAACCGAAAUGAGUGCUAAUUCUUGAUGAUUGCAAUUCCUGAUUUUUGCUAGUAAAAUGCGAGCAAAAUUUAAUCGUAACAGCAUCCCUUGUAAUAUCGUAACUAAAAGGUAAAAUUCAUUAGUUGUCUUUUGAGGUCAUAAAUUAGAUUUUGUUUAUGAUGGAUUUCCUUACAUGCAAAAGGUAUCGUACAGGUUGCAUAUUAUCUUGCUUGUAAAUUUCCUUUAGCAAACAUUUAUAAUACCUGCUAUAUCGCGUAAAUUUCCCUAUUGUCCUUUGUAAUUGUAAAUGCUAUUUUUGAUGGAUUUGUCUAUCAGAUCUCAAUCCCAUCCUUGGAGUCAUUGACAAUGAAAGAACUUCCUAAUAUGGAAGAGAUAUGGAGCAAUGAAUCUCCACCGGAGCUGAGCAAUCUCCGAUCUCUCCAAGUGAUGCUAUGCAAAUCUCUCUCGAAGGUUAUCAACUUUGGGUCGCUAGUAAAACUACACAAGUUGCACUAUUUAUGUAUAAGAGAUUGCAAUUCGGUGCAAGAAAUUUUUGAUCUUGACAGACCAAAUGCUAAUGGAGACGUUAAGACUUUGUCUUCGGAGUUAACCACCUUGGAAUUAUAUAACUUGGGGAGCUUGAGGUGCAUAUGGAAUAAGAAUCAUUGCGGAAGAGUGAGUUUCCUUCAUUUAGAGAGGUUGGAGGCGCAUGUUUGUCCCAACCUCAAGUUUAUGUUUUUCCCAUCCAUGGUUAAAUCUCUCGGACAAUUGAGAGAUCUAUCAGUAAAACAUUGCAAUAAGAUGGAGGCAAUCAUUAUGGAGGAGUUGGGAUUGGAAACAUCAAAAACUAUGGUAUUCCCAAUGCUAACAAACUUAAAUUUACAACAUUUGGAAAGUUUGAUGUGCUUCUCUCGUGGAAAGCGUAAGAUUGAUUUUUUUUGUUUUCGUCAUUAAAGAUCUUCUUAUAGAUAGAUUUCAGCCUUGCAAUACAAAUGGUGACAUUCUUUUCAUCCAAUGAAAAACUGAUGACAGGUUCACGAGAAGCUCGAAGUCAAGACCACAUCAAAUCAAGCUCCAAUGCGCUCUUUUGUCAACAGGUACAUGAUUUACGUUAUGUCAAAAUAACAAAUAUAACAAAAGUAUUAAAUAUGCGGGAGAUCAAGCAUAGCCAAAAUAUUUUAAAAGCAAACGAGUAGCAUACAUGCAUUAAGUGUUCAUAGUUGCCAGCAUAUAUGAGUUGCAAUGUCUUAUUUUUAAUUUCUAUGGAAAUAGUUUUCAUAAAGGUUGUUGAGCAUCUCUCAUGUUACAUGCACAAAGAAUGAUGGCCAAUACAACUGCCAAGCAAGAUCUCUCAGAGCUUUUUAAGAUUCAAAAGAAUCUUAGAUCUCUCAUGAGUCUCACAUGUACGGCUUAGCCAUUGCAUACAAGUACAUUGAAAAAACAAUCGAGAGGAAAGUGAGCAGUAAGGUUUGAGAGGUUGGAGACGAAGGGCCUUUGAAACACUCACUUGACUUCAUUUGCACUUACAAGAUCUCUCUCUCUCUUUUAACUGCACCAGCAAAAGGAAUCUGAGCCUUCUCAGUCGCCAAACUAAGCAAGAUCUCUAGGGUCCAAGGCUUUAGAAAUCACAAUUUUAAUUUUUACAUGAACCACAAGACCAUUCUAAUGAAAUUCUUGUUAAAGAAAUAAAAUACACUUUGCAAAUUAUCCAUUUCAGUUGAACCAUCUGACUUGUAGAGUGAAUAUCGGAAGAACGCUUGAGUGGAAAAUGAAAUAGACUAAUUUACGAGGGUUCACUUUGACUAAACUAAAAGCAAUAUAGGCCGUUCACCUAAAAUGAUGUUUUUGCUGCCAAAGAGGCUUUGAAAAUGUGCCCUCCCACAAGAUUAAUACGUCGACUUUCUUAAAUAAUUUUACUUUUCUAUAAUGAGAUAUUCAUGAAAAUCUUUGACUAUUUGAUUCGAGUAUAUGUAAAAUCUGUUGUUGGCAUCUAACUAUUGGAUUUUCACUGAAUUUUAAAAGGAAAAUUCAAUCGAUUAAGUAUAUUGGAUUCUUUGAAGUGGAGAAUGAUGUGAGUAAGAUUUGGUCGUCUAACACAAGCGAUUCCUUUUUCAAUUGCUUUUUCUUAGCCUCACUUUUUAAUUGAUUUAAAGUGAUAUAAUAUUGAUUAGAGCCAUUCUGUAUUAGAUAAAAUCACACCUGCUACUAUAGUGCACCUUUUGAUGGCUGAUUGGUGAGCUUUUUAAUCUCAAUCUCUCUGUCAUUUUCUUUCUAAUUCUAAUAUUCUUCCUCAGGCCAUCCUCAGCUUCAUUUUUCGUUCACUACAUCAAUUUAGUGACUUCUAAGUUCUAAUGUUAAUUACCCUUUUGACGUGGUUCUUGUUUCUUUAAAUAAAUUCUUCCUCAUCUCUAAGAGAUUUAACUAUUGCUACAUAUACUAGCUAAUCCAUUAUUUUAGGGAAGUAACUAAAUUGAAGAGGGAGAGAUUUUAUUUAAAUUCGGGUUCUAUGGGAAACUAUUGUGAUUAUAAUUUUUUUUUUUUAUGAGCAUAUCCAAAUUAAAAUUUUGUCCAUUGUCAAUAGAAUCUGGUCAGAAUAGAAUUCCUACUUUUUUAUUUGUCUCCAAUAAUUCCAAUAGCCUGCUCACCAUAGAGUCAUCGACAAUAGUAUGAAGAUUUUUUUUACUACCUUUUUUUUUUUCCUUUUGUGGAACUUAAGACAUAAUCGACAGUUCCACAAAUUCAUAAUUUACAUCUUGGAAGUUCCUAAUUAACUGAAUUACUAAUUCUGUGAUCGAAUAUCGUAGGUUGUGCUUCCUAGCUUGGAGACAUUAAAUAUCACUGGCUUGGACAACAUUGAGAUGAUAUGGGACAAUCAAGUUGCUGCAAAUUCUUUCCCCAAGCUAAAAUCGCUUUUUGUGGAUAAAUGCAAUAAGGUUGUGACAGUUGUUCCUUCUUCCAUUUUGGGACAGCUCUUGUGCCUAGAAAGUUUAAAGGCAAACACAUGUGGUUCAUUGGAAGUUGUUUUUGAACUUCGGCCACUAAAUUCUAUAGAUGGACCUCAAGUUGCUGUUCCGUUAAAAAAGCUGAUGGUAUCAAGAUUACCAAAGCUAAAGUGUGUAUGGAAAAAAGAACUCACCCAUCAAGUUAACUUCCAAUGCCUACAUUCUAUUAGCGUUUUCGAUUGCAAGAGCCUCACCUCUCUAUUUCCAGCCUCAAUAGCCAAAGAUCUAGUCCAACUUGAGGAGUUAGAGAUCAAUGGAUGUGGCAUUAUGGAACUCAUUGAAAAGGAAGAAGGACUAGUUCCCACGUUUGAUUUCCCAAAGUUAACCUCCCUCAAGCUUAAGCAUCUGACAGAGUUGAAGUGCAUCUACACCGAAACACAUGUUUUACAUUGGCCAACAUUGAAGACCUUGCAAGUCUAUGACUGUAACAAAUUGGAGAUCUUUGCUUUGCAACUUGAGAAUGAGAUGCUACUUCAUAAACAACCCCUCUUGCUGAUAGAAAAGGUAAGACCUGAGAUUAUCUGUGUUUGCUUUGAUGGUGAAUAUUUGAAGUGAUGAUUAGCGUCAACCAAGCAUCUCAUACAAGCAGCUCUUACAUGCGAAGAUGUAAAUUGUACGACUCUCCUUGAAUCCAUAGAAAUAUUACAACAUUGAAACGUCAUAUGUUCUUCAAGUAUUAACUGAAAAUUCUUGUCAAUGUCUAAUGUACCGAAGGAAUACUCGUUGAACCCCUUUCAAAAAAGAUUUAGGCUAAUUUCGAUGGUUCUCUCUCCUAAAUGCCACAAAGAUUGAAAAAACGUGGCAUAUGUCGUGAUAUUAACAUGGUACAAGUGUAUUUGAAUCGUAAGAGAUUAAUGAUAUUAUGCUAAAAAGGGAAAGAUGGGACAUUAUUGUUAACAUUAUUGUUAUUAUUCACAAAAUGUAUAAUAUAGGCAACUCUCUUAAAAACCAACAUGAAGAAUGGAAAGGAGGACCAUGUUUAAAAAAAAAAAAAAUACUAUGCUAAUCUAAUUGACGCAUGCCUUUUGUAUAUCAUCUUUAAACAAGCAAUUAGUCAUUACAUAGACCUCAUAAUUAUAAGAGCACGGAAUUUUGUAAUAUGUUCAUGCGUGCAUGUAGUAUGCAUAGAUAUAUUUGUACGUAUUUUUGGCAACACAAACACAAAUCCACAAUGGCUGCUCGAUAUCUUAUUAAAUUUGUUAUUGAUAGCGAUUUACUAACAUUAAAGAGAAGUUUGUAAGCUAAGGACAAACAAUUGCCUGGAUAAGAAAAACGCACGACUGUUUUGUCCAACGAAAGUUGACGCGGCGGGAGAGUGGGGGGGGGGGGUGGUGGGGGGCGGCGCGGGGGGGAGGGGCGCAAGACUCCCUCAAUAUGUUAAUUUUUCCUCUGGGUCUGGGACAUAUUUGUUAUGAGUCCCACGAAGGUGUGUGUGUGCCUUUGCGUUUUCGCUUUUUCUUAACCGCCUCUUUGGGGCUUUUAAUUUUUGCCAUUGUUCUCAUUGGACACUAGCAAUAGAUAUCAGUUGAACUUUUUUUUGGGCUGAAAUUUGAGGUUGAAAGUGUUGUCAAGUUUGCUUCAUUAUACAGAGAGAGAUAACUAGUGCUCCACUCGCUAAUCCAUUUUUGAAGGAGAAAUUAUUGGUAUGGAAUAAAACUAGCUCAUCAUCAAAUUAAGCUCAGCAUUGCAAGUUUUUUUUAGCUAAGAAAAGACUGAAAAUCAGAAACAACGUUAGUAUGGAGAUUUUUUUUACUCUGUUUUAUUGUUUUAUUCUCUCUUAUUUUUUUCCCUUUUGUGCAACUUAAUAAUUUCUCUCUCCCCUUGGCACUCGUGUAUAUUUACAUCUUGAAAGUUUAUGAUUCAAGAUUUAAUUAAUCACUAAUUUCAUGAGCAAAUUCUAUAGGUUGGCUUUCAGAGACUGGGGACAUUAGAAAUCAGUGGCUUGGAUAAUCUCAAGUUUUUAUUUUUCCCAUCCAUGGUUAAAUCUCUUGCACAACUGAAAAAGCUGACCAUAUCAAAUUGUGAGAAGAUGGAGGCAAUCUUUAUGGAGGAAGAAGGGUUGGGAAUGAAAACAUCAGAAUUUUUGGCAUUCCAGAUGUUAAUCAUUUUACACUUAGAACAAUUGAACAGUUUGACUAAACUAAAAGCAAUAUAGGCCUUUUACCUAAAUCGUUGUUUAUGCACCCAAAGAGGCUGUGGAAACGGGCCCUCCCACAAAAUAAAUACAUCGACUUUCUUAAAUAAUUUUAAUUCCUAUAAUGGGAUAUUCGGGAAAACCUUCGAUUAUUUGACUUGGGUAUAAGUAUGAUCUAUCCUUGAUAUCUAACUAUUGGAUCCUCCAGCAUGGAUAAAAAAAUCAUUGAAUUUUAAAAGGAAAAUUCAAUCGAUUAAGUAUAUUUAGUUCUUUCAAGUGGGGAAUGAAGUAAGUGAGAUUUGUUCGUUUGGCCCAUUCAAUUCCUUUUUUAAUGGCUUUCUCUUAGCCUCACUCUUUAAUUGCUUUAGAGUGAUAUAAUAUUGAUUUGAGGCAUUUGGUAUCGGAAAAAAUUACACGCCUUAAUGUAUUGCACCUUUUGAUGGAUGAUUGGUUGGCUUUUUAAUCUCAAUCUCUCCAUCAUUUUAUUUCUAAUUGCUAAUAUUCUUCCUCGAGCGAUCCACUGCAAUUUUCUUUUACUACAUCAAUUCCCUAACUUCUAACGUUGAUCACCCUUUUGACAUGGUUUUUGUUUCUUUAACUCAAUUCUUCCUUGUCUGUAAGUGAUUUAAAGUACGAUCCAAUAUUAUUUGUUUUGCUUUGAUGGUGAAUAUUUAAAGUGAUGGUUAAACCAAGCAUCUCAUACAAGAUGCUUGUACAAGCGAAGAUAUAAACUGUACACCUCUCCUUGAAUCCAUAGACAUAUUGCAACAUUGAAACAUCAUAUGUUCUUUGAGUAUUGAUUGAACAUUCUUGUCAAUGUUUGAUGUGACAAAUGCAUACUCAUUGAUCCCCUUAAAAAAGAGGCUAAUUCCAAUCAUUUAGCUCUCUUUUAAGUACCACAAAGAUUAAAAAAACACGUGGUAUGUGGUGUGAUCUUACCAUGGCACAAGUGUGUUGUCUAAUUUGAACCCUAUAAAAAGUGUUGAUCUUAUGCUAACAAAGAAAAGAUGGACAUUAUUGUUGACAUUAACGAUUGAAAUUAGUGCAAUUGUGACUAUAAUUGAUGCAGGAGUUAUUUUCACAAGGCAUAUAUCUUUAGAAAUGUGAAUUUAAGGAGUUAAUCAAGUUCAAAUAUGGAUACAAGUCAAAUAUAAAAUAUCAGCGAUAAUGUUUGUUUCAUGAGGGCACAUUUCUUUCCAUUGAAUCACGAGACUCGACAUUUUAAAAUGCAAUUAUUGUGCUCGAUAUGCAGGAUUCAAGAUAUAUUCAACAUCUGCAAACUCUAGAUGUGUCACAUUGUGAUGGGUUAUUAAAUAUGUUCACACCGAUAAUUGCUGAAAAUUUGGUGGCACUUACAAAAUUGAGGAUAAGUAAUUGUAGAAUAUUGACAGAAGUCAUUAAUGAUGAGAAAGGUGGGGAUGUCCGUGUGGUGGCUUUCAAUCAAUUGAAGUAUAUGGAGCUUGAUGGGUUGAUAGGGUUGAGAAGUUUCAGUUCGGGUGGAUACACUUUGAUGUUCCCGCUCUUGGAAGAUAUCAUUGUGACUAGAUGUCCCAACAUGAAGUUUUUCUCUUAAGGACCGAUGGAGGCAUCAAAGUUAAAGAGAGUUCAAGUAUCAAAGGAAGUGUGGUUUUGGGCAAGAAACCUCAACAUCACCAUCCAGAAUAUGUUUGAAGAAAUGGUACGCACUAGUUACCAAAUUCCAUGUAUUUUGAUGGUUUUGAUCACUAGAUGAAUAAUAGCUUUUUGCUAGCUAGAAGUUUAUGCUUAACGAUGCAUUUUUUUCAUAGGGCACGUUUGCUGGAGUAGAGAAAAUGUUGCUAUCUGAGUUCCCUGGGUUGAUUGGAAAAUGGCACAACGAACUUAAUCCCAUCAAGUCGUAUUGGCAACUAAAAUCAGUGGUGGUAGAUAAAUGUCCAUUUAUUAACGCUGUUCCAUCCAGAUUAAUGCUUGUCUUAGACAAUUUGAGCUAUUUGCAAGUGCGUGAUUGUGAGUUGCUUGAAGAAAUAUUUGAUUUGGAAGGGCUGGAGGUUGUGGAAAGCACUCGAGUACUGCCUCAGCUACGGGAAUUGAACUUGGUCAAUCUACCAAAAUUAAGGCGACUGUGGAACAAAGAUCUUCAAGAAUCGCUAUGCUUCAAUUCUCUAAAAAGUCUCAUCCUUUAUAAUUGCAGCAACUUGGGACAUGCUUUAUCUCCAUCAAUGGCUCAAUGCCUUGCCAAUCUUGAAGUAAUGGAAAUAAAGGAGUGUGGUCAAAUGGAAGGAGUGAUCGUAGAGGAAGAAGCAAAGGGAAGCGCAAUGAAGAAGAUUACAUUCCCAAAGCUCCAGUGGAUGAUGAUGGAAUACUUGCCCAAUUUGACUUGUUUCCUCUUGGGAAAAAAUCAUAUACUGGAAUGCCCCAAAUUACAAAAGAUGAUAAUUGCCCAUUGCCCCAAGAUGGAAAGUUUGAUUAGGCAAUCUCAGAUGGAGGAUGACCACAGCACCCCUUCAUUUUUCACUUCCCAGGUCAGUCUUUCAAAUAAAUGCGUCUUUGGUGUUUCAUUGGGACUUGUUCUCGUAGUAUUGGACAAUGCACGAUAUGAUGCAAAUUUUGUGCUUGUGCCAAUUUAUAUACAUAAUCUUCUAAUAUUUAAGAUGAAGAUUAAAAAUAUUCUAAUCCUCAAUAAAUAUUACUAUUAUAUGUACAUCUCCAUAUCCUAUUAGAAGUGUUAAGUUGGUGUAAGUUUAUGAAAUCAUAUCAUAUGCAGUACUUUAGAAUUAAUCAGCGAGGUUCCUAAAAAAGUUAUCACAAUAACCAUAUAAAAACAUUUGCUUUUUGCAAUUUCAAUUAUAAAGAACUAAAACAGAAAACAUAGAAUGGCAUCUAAAAAUGGCAUAAAAAAUAUUAAGUAUCGCCCCUUCAUAUUUAUUUGCGUGGAAGCAAACUAUUGUCAUUCUAUUAAACAUGAAGAAAAGGGAAAAGUAAAACUUCAUAAUUGUAAAAGCCAAUUUCACAAAUUGUUUAACUAUUACAGCUCAUUAUACCAUAAUUAGUGGAGCCAACUUUUGUAUUUCUUAAUAAUCAUCUAUGCUUGAGCAAGGUCUUGAUAAUAAAAAAAAAAAUAAAAAUAAAAAAGGUCAAUAUGCAUGAAGUGGUUUGCCUUCCUUGUUCGUAAAUCAUAUUUGAAUAGCUAUACUCCAACAACCUAUCAAAUUAUGCACCUGUAUUAUACAAUAAAUUUUAACUUUGGUUUAUCAUAUUGAGUGAUAAUUAGUGUGAUAUUAUGCACAAUCUAUAUUUAGUAGGAGAAAAUGCAGAUUACUUUUUCCGGAAAAAGAAAUGGCUUAAAAAAGGAAAAAAUAAAAGAGAAAAAAGGACAUCUGGAUAAAUAGUAGCAAUUCCAAGGGCGGUUGCUGACAUUGCAAGUCUUAUUUCAUAACUAGAUGACAAUAUUUAGUCAAUGUCCUAGUUAAAAUGAAAAUAUUAUAAAUCAGAAUAAAUUAUCCGACCAACAACACCACCCAAGGGAAAAUAUUAGGGGCAUUAAAUACACUGCAUAGGAUUCGUAUUGAAUCAUCCGCAGACUGACACGUGGCAACGCCGGACCCACUUGUCAGUUGAGCGAUUAAAAUUUUUGCUCCCCCUUUCUCUUCAAUAACAGCCCAUCAUAGGGGAAGCUCUGCUCUCCGCAACAACUUGGGCGAAAUGAGGUUCUACCGGGAAACCAUGGAUUUUUUAGUUUUCGCCAUUGGUUACUGGUCUGCUCUCCUCCUCCUGGUAUGGCUCUGCUCCCUCUCUCUUUCCUCCGCGAAGGUGCAUCUCUAUGCGUGAACCACACCACAGCCUUGGCCUCCAUUAGUUGCUGUGCGCUCACUGGACAGAGGAAAAAAAAAAACCAGAAAAAGGAAAAAAUUAGACAAAGUCUAUUUGGUGUUUUAGACUUCUCCCCCCUUAAGAAUUGUUCUGUCUCAGCCAUUUCGGUUCACCUUGAUCCUCUUUUUCGCAACAAGGAAAAAAAAAGUGAACCAAAUCUUAGAGUCAAGUAACAGUAACUCUUCUUUCUUCCCCUCGCUCCCCUUCCUCUACUUUCUUUUUUUGGGAAGAUUAAUUGGGUGGUCCGUCCAAUGGUUGAAUCGGAAGCUUCGGAAUCGCUUCUCUAAAGCUCGCCUCCUCUCUGCGCGCGUGCAUGCGUGGGUUCCGAGCGAUUACGCGAACCGAAGCUUGUUGGUUAUGGUGGUGGAUCGAGGUGGAUCUCCGAUGCGGAAGCGAUUGCGGCGUCAAUUUUGUCGGGGCGUUGAUUCCCGGCAAAGAAAAAUUAAAAAAAAUCUUCUCUUCAGCCCUCUCUUCCUCCUCCUUCGUCCACAGCUGUCCGACCUUCGCUCCUCCUCCGCCGUCGCCAACGGCGGAGUCACCAGCACCUUGAUUAGGCUGACCCUUGCUGUGUCCAAGCCGAGCAUGGCCGUCUUCCUCUGUUUUGUCCGCCUCAUCGUUCUAUAGAUCUCGAAAUCUGGCCGUCCAUAGCGACGGAGUUGCAGAUCUGGAAAUCAACCACCGUCGCUUGUAGCCAUGGACGAGCCGCUGUCGCUGUAGCCAUGGUUGCAGAUCUGGAAGUCCCGUCGCGAGUAACGACGGCUUAUGGACUGCCAUUGUCCCCUCCGUCGACGCCCACGGUCGGCUCGUGGUCGGCCCCGUCCAUGGCCGAGCCACCCCUCCAUCGUCACAACUGCUCGUGGUCGUUGCCCGUUCUGAUCUGGACUGGAGUCGUGCCUCCAGAUCUGGUUUCAUCCAUGGACGCAAGCCUAGCUCGUCCAUGGCUCGCGAGGAGGCUCCCCCACAAAUCUGGCGACCACUGCUUGUCCAUGGCCAUGAGCCUUGACGGCGAGUUUGAGAUCUCGACGGCUAUGGACUGCGAGAUCAAACAGCGAAAGAAAAAAUAGAGAAACAGAUGUCAGGGAAGAAUGGCCAUGGAUGAGAGGGCCGGAGCUUGAACGCGGCCAUGGACGAGCGGCGUCAUGAACGGGCAGACCACAAAGACGACGGAGAGGGUUGGAUGCCAAGCAAUGGUCGCCUUGGACGCGGCGCCGGGAACUCCGCCGGUGGCGACGGCAGAGGGAGGCGGGAAGGUUGGGCUUAAUGUGGAUGGAGAUGGAGAUGGAGAAGGAAAGUGAGGUGGAUUGAGAUUUUUAAUGUUUAGUCAAUGUCCUGGCUACAUAAAAAAUUAAAAAUAAUAGGAAUUGAUCAUCCAGUCAACACUUUCAUUCCGUCUCAUGAAGUUCUUCUCCUCAUGUGAAGACUAAACGCAAUAAAUGACAACCUCCUCCGGCACUUCUCUUUUUUGGGUCGAAUCCUCAGGCACUUGAAAAUGCGCGAUGUCGACCCAAAUUUGAUUGUUUUGACCUUUUUUUUUUUAUUACAGAUUCCAUGCAAGUUUUGUUUUGUUUUUUUUUUCCCUGAUGGAGGAAUUUUUUUUAUUCUCAUAAUUCUGCGCAAUUCUUUCAAUUGUUUUAUGUGAGUAGAAUGUUUAAUUAUAACAAGUAUCUACACAUUUGUUUACUUUUUAAUUGUAAGAAUUAUCACUAAUUAUUUAUUUAUACUGUCAUUUGCAUGUAUAAGUUAUAUAAUACCCAGCCCCGCAUUCUAAGAAUAUUUCAAAAAGUCAUUAUAACACUCAAUCAACAAUACUAAUAAAUUUGGGAAAGUAUGAAAAUAGUCAUCUAAUCUUUUGGUAGUGAUAAGUUGUAAUAGCGCUAAUUUCAUUUUUAUAUCAAAUAUGAGCUGUCAUAUACUAAUUGAUAGAUUUAAGGAAGUGUGGAAAGUCAAUUCUUUUUUUUUUGGUGACAGAUCGUAAUUGCAUUAAUUAUAUUGUAACCAAAUGAAAAAUAUCAAUACUUACUUUUCAAUGAAUAAUUCAUUGGAGGUCAUGAUGUAGUAAAAAAAAAAUCUUGAUUUUCUCCAUACAAACAAAAUACGAUCAGCGGAUGCACACCCACUUUUUGCCAAGGGGUGGAUCACUCGGUACACUGCAAGAUUCUAUUUUAUUUUUCCACCUUAAAUUUUAAUAAAUAUUAUUUCAAGGAUGUUAUUAAUGGUCCAAUGUAAAACUAGUAAAUUGACCCAACUUGUUUUUGCUGAGAUCAUAACAUUAUGUUAUUUAUUCAAGUCGUUAUGUUACCCAUGCCUAUUAAGAAAUUAUUUUCUUUCAAUACAAAAAAUUUCCAUGCAUAAAAAAGAAAAAGGUUGUGAACAAUUGAAGUUACUAUAAUUUUUUUUUUUAUAUCCGGUUUGCCAUAUAAAUUUCAUGACUCUUCUCUGCAGUGAAUUUUAUUAAUUUGAGGAUUCAUAAGUACUGUUCGCAAUUUAGUAUGAAUAAUUAGCAGUGCUCAUGGUAAAUAAAGGAAAUAAUGUUGAGCCAAGCAUUAGUUUCAUCCAUUCCUUAUUCAAUACAUACACUACUUAAGUUCUUCACACCCACUAUUCAUAUCCUUAGUUGACUAGCUCAUCAACACCAUGCCCUUGCUUUUUCUCUAAUUGUUAUGCAUGUUCACCUUGAAGCAAACAAAUCUAAAACAUAACCGAUCUUUGCCGACUAACAUAACGGAAAUUUUCAGCUUGUAUCACUGAAUCUAAAUGUUGCUCUUUUCAAUAGUUCUAUCGGACUGCCUAGCAAGCUCCCUAAACUUUUUGCCAAUCUUCGUGCUUAUUCAUUACAAAAAUACAACUUGUCAUGCCUCCAUGGAACCAACAUUGUUUUGCGGGAUUCAUAUUCUGUUCUUCUUCGUCUUUGUCCUCAUUUAAUUGCAUAGAGAAACAAUUGAGUGAGCUAUCAUUGAUGUUUAGUCAACGGCUCCAUUCAUGCAUUAGCAUAAAUAGGAGGGCUCUCAUUUCUCUCUCUUUCAAUUUUGCAUUGUAGGUUUUCUUAUGCUUUAGAUGCUCUUGCAUCCAACUGGAAAAUAGCGUCUCUCUCUCUGUGAUUGUGACAUAAGAGCUACUAUAAAAAAAAAAAUGAGGACUUAGGAGGAGGGGGAUUAGGAUGAAGUUGAAAGGUACAGAACCAGUCUUAGCAACCAUUUGAAUGAACCCAAGUUCCAUGUCCAUAAGGCCUAUCAACCUAAUUCCCAGACUUUUAAGUUAUCGCUAUGAUUUGCCGAGUAAUUAAGAAAAGUCAACAUUGUCUGGUCACUCCAAAAUCUUAUAAAUGCAUUUAUAAUUUCAUGUUUGUUGCAAUGCAUUAUCUCUAGCCUUAGUCUUCAAUCAACUUGUAUAAAGGCAUCAAUCAACCCCUCUCUAUUUAUGUCACUAAUGAGAUCUUGACUUCUCAUGAUUUGUGAGAAUGAGGGAAGUCUGGAAAUUUCUUCUUUAAGGUCAUAACUCAAUGCAAUCACAUUCAUUGUGUCAUUUUUUUUCUCAAUAUGGCAGGUACAAUUUCCUCAACUUAUACGGAUGGAUCUUUCCCACAUGGGCAAUUUAAGCAAAAUAUGGACUGACGGUCCUCUAGAAACUCUGACUUUUGAUUGCUUACGGGAAGUGAAGGUUCUUAAUUGUAAGAGCCUUGCAAAUUUGUUUCCAUAUUGGGUGGCUACAAGUUUAACCCAACUUGGAAAACUUCAAGUGGAGUCUUGUGAGAUUGAGGAAAUAGUCGCUAGUGGGGAUGACACUCCAUGCUCCAAUACUACUCAAGAUCUUUUCCCAGAACUAACCUCUCUGGUGUUACAUGACAUGCCACGACUCAAGAGCUUUUGUCCUAACUUGCCUUUGAAUUUGCCAUUAUUGAAGCAAUUACGAGUGACUCAUUGUGAAAAACUAAGCAUGUUAUCCUUUGUGGCAUCCAUGAACAGAUGGGUUCAAAGAGAUGAUCAACAAGACCUUUCAGAUCAAGAAGCACACUCUUCAUUUGAGAGGGUAUGAUUAUAGUUGCUCUCCCUUAGUUUCCACUUUGUUCUUUAAAGCAGUCACUAAUAUCAUAUCCAUUGCAUAUCAUGUCGCGUUAUGAUGUUAUAGAAAACAUGAUCUCCCCUACCUAUUAGUUUGUCGACAACAUUAAGAUAUUUCUAAUAUCUUACGUACACUUCCAUUUGUGGACAUGCAUAAGAUAUUCCAUUACCGAGAGUUACAAAAAAAAAUUAUAGUAUUCUAUUGAUAACAGAAUAUAUUCCUAAUCUAACCUAAUGGUGCUCUUGGGCGACAUCAAUAAGGAUUUGCCAAGAGGUCCUCUCCAUUAUUGACACGUGUUGCACACUUGAACUUUUCUUCUCUAUUUCAUUUUCUACAAACUCUAAAAAAAUCAAUUCAAACAAUUUUUUUUAUAACAAAAAUAACAUUAGUACCUUAGUGCACUAUUUUCUACUGUAUUUUUUAAUACACUAGUCGUCGUGUUAUCCUGUUAUAAUACUAUAGAAAACUAGAAUCCCUUUCCUAUAAGUUUGCAGACAACAUAAGAUAUUUCUUAUAUCUUAAGCAUACUUCUGAAUUUAUGGACCCCAUAUGUUUUAGUGACAUCUUGAGUGCAUCCCGUUACAUAAGAUUCCAAAGAAGAUAAAUUUUUGUCAACAAGAUAAGAUAUUCCUUACAAAAGAUGAAUUUAGUGAGUGCAGGGAUCUUGAAUUUAGAUUCACUCUAUCCACUUGACCAGACCAACCUCUACAUGAGACUUUUAAAAGCUUGAGUCUUGAACACAAGGUUCUUGAGAUAUAAUGAACUUUAAGAAGAGGACCACCUUCCAUGCGAAUCAUCUUAAUAGGUUUACCUUUUACAGCACGUGAUUUAUUAUCGAAACUUUGUUGAAUUUACUUCUCUUGUUGUAUUGGCAAUUCGACAGGACUUUCCCAACUUGGAGAGACUUUUAUUAGUCAAUAACAAUAUUCAAAUGAUACAAGAUGGAAAUUUUUCGGAUGACAUGUUUAGCAAGCUAAAAGCACUAACACUAGCAUACUUUCAUGAUAAAAAGGCUGCCUUUCCUUCCAUAUUCCUCCUAGAGAGAUUUCAGAAUUUACAAAGCCUUGAAGUCUUCUGUAGCUCAUUUGAAGAUUUAUUCUCGAACGAAGGGCUUGUUGAAGAAAGAAAACAUCCGGUGCUUGAAAAUUUAAGAGAACUUAAGUUGAACAAGCUACACAACUUAAAGUGUGUGUGGAGAGAAGACUCUUUAGUGUCGAAAAUUCUUCAGAGCAUCGAAACAUUUGAGGUUUGGGAUUGUCCCUGUUUGACAACAAUAUUUCCAACCGAGACAUCCUUCCAGAAUCUAACAGAUUUAGUGGUGAAGAAUUCCUCUGGAUUGGUACAUCUAGUAACGACUUCAGCAGUCACAAAUUUGGUACAUCUCACUUAUAUGACUAUAAUAGGAUGUGAAAGAAUGAAAGAAGUAGUGGCCGACGAUGGAAACAGAGAAGAAAAAGUGAUUUCUUUUGAAAAGCUAAUAUGGUUGACACUUGAACAUCUGCUAAACUUAGAAUGCUUCUCUUCUAUCCCAAGUUGCAUCUUUAGGUUCCCAUCCUUAUGGAAUAUUAAAGUGGAAGAGUGUCCAAAAAUGAAGACCUUUUCUAAGGGUAUACUAAACACACCAGAACUAGAACAUGCGUCAUUGUUCAGAUACAAGUGGGAAGGGAAUUGGGAGAAGGGUGAUGAUCUCAAUACAACCAUACAGAAGUUAGCAGCAUAAAUCAAUGCACAUAGAAUUGGAAAAUUCAAUUGAUGUCAUUCUCUCAUCCAUUUUUUUUUUCUUUAGUCUUUCGGCAGCGCCGCAACUUUUUAAAAUUUUUCUUUUUGUGACUUUUCUAUUAUUGAUUUCGUCAAAUCAACAUGACCGUCAACCCUAUCGAUGGAUCUCGGCUCAUCCUUAACUGAACAGAAGGAAGCAAAGCGGGUCUCUCCUUCUCCUUCUCCUUCUUGACGCCAAAGGCUCUUUCUCCAUCUUUCUUCUUCUUCUUCCUCCUCUGUGGAGCGAAAUUGGGGGAAGCCUCUGCUGCCUUCACAAAGGACGGAGCAAAAAUGAAGCAUCAGGAAUUGCCAGGACUGCCAGAAGCGAAGCUGCAAUUAGCCGAGCGGAGCCAAGUAGAUUCAACCAGACGCUGUCGUUGUCGCCGUCGUCACCGCCGGAGGUGGCACAACCGAGUGUGGACAGUUAGUCGUCCACUCACUUCAUCAAAGAAGAAGAAGAUCACACUCUCUCUCCGCAUCUGUAUCCGACAAAUCGUAAGUUCAUGUUUCUUCCGAUUUUGGUGUCUUAUUGCGCGUGAAUUAGGGCUCUAUUCUUCAAAUUCAUUCCACAUUCGAGUCUAAAAACAGGAGUUACUCAAACAAGCAAUAUAUUGCCCUUAAAUCUACAUCUUCUGUACUUCCCUCCCGAGCAUUGGCGAGAUUUCUGCGUGUUUGAGCUCUCAUAGAUGGAGAUGAUAUAUUGUGUUCAAGGUCUCAUGUUGAAAUUUCUUUAGGUAGAGAUAUCUCUGUAACAUCAGGUACAAAUUUCUACCAGGAAAAAGGGAGAAAUCAUGGAACUUGAAAAUAUUCCGAGAAUUGCAUGCCUUGUCAAAAAUCUGAAAAGUCACUUUUACGCCUUGAUCGUAAUAUAGUCUGGACCGUCUGAGGAAUCACUUGUAAUCUUGAUUGGUUAAGUGAUGCUGGAAGGAUAAAAUUUAUUUCCAAUUUAUGCUAAAAUCUUUUUCAUAGCAAGUCAAACUAAUGAAGUGUACUUAAACUAUCUCUAAAGUUGUCGUUUUUUAAGUACAGGCAGGUCCAAACAUUCGAGCAGAUUGAGGCAUCCUGAGCUGGUUUUUUAUGGUCCCAUGCGCCCAAGGCCUCUCACUGCUUUUACAUCGGCCAACAAAUUUCAAAUGGAGCAUCCCUUUUCCAAAGGUGGUGAUGAGGCCUUCUUAUGUUAAGUUUGGCUUGGUAUGAUCCCAUGCUUGUUGAGUCGAGCUCAUGUCUGAAAAUCAAACAUAUCUUAGCUUAUACUCUGGUUUAUAUGCAAGUUGACUUAAUGUAAUAAACCACAUGACAUGUUAUUUUCCUUGAAUUGUUCAUGGGUGUAUGUUUCAAACCAGGUAUAUAUCUUAACAACAAAGUAGUUGAAGUAGGGAAAAGAAUGAAAGGACGGUUAUCGGGACAUAAGCUGGUGGUCAAGGUUUGAAAAGAUAACAAUUAUCUCCUUUUUUGUGGAUAGAUGUUUUGGAAAGCAAUUGCUGGAGCAAGUGUUAAGAAUUAGAAUCCAAGUACUCUUAUAUGGAGAAAUUUGACAAUGUUAUUCAAUGCUGUAAAAGUAGUAAUUAUAUAAAUCAUACAAGGGGACCAGUUGAUACAGACAAUCAAAUUGCAAAGAAUGUUGCUCCCUCCGUGGCUCAAGGGAAAGACCUAAAAGAUAAAAGGGUGGCUAGUUAUGAUUCUGAAGUUUGAUCGUAGAUCUUGAUGACUCUUAUUAUUAAUGUCAAACAGGAGAUACUGUUUUAUUCUGUUAUAUUAAUAAGAUAUUUGAGGAAAAAAAUAGAUGAGUUUACUUUGUCGAAUUGAAUCUGUAGUUUGAUAAAAUUCGAGCUGCAGUUGAAAGAAUUGAACAGCUUAGAUUGAAAUUUUCACUUCCAUCCAUGUUCCAGUCAUCGAUGUCUUUGCCUUUUCCCCUGCACUUGUGGUUUGUGUGGCUGAAAUUCACGGUCUCAAAUAUACAUAGGACAUGGAAGGCCUUUUCUAGUUAUGUACGCGAUCGCACUCCAGGGGCAUAUAUCUUGACAUUUGACCUUGGGUUGCAAGUUGAGAUUGUUUACUCGUAUUAUAUGGUUUAUUUUCAAUUAAAACUCCUGAAACUAGCAACUACUGCCUUAAAUUCGUAUUGUGUGAUUAGAUUCUCUCAUUAGUGUAUGCUUAUGUUUUGGUCUUUCUUCACCAUAAAUUGGUUUUUGACCAUGUAAAUGGGGACUCUGCUCCUGUUCAAUUCAUCAGGCAACAUAAUCUGGAAAAAAUGUAAAUUGCAACUCUCAGCUAUUCAGACAAGUCAUGGACGUUGAAACUCAGGAGCCAUGGACGUGGACACAGGGGGGCCUUUUUUUCUGCUGGUUGGCCCACAUUUGCUAGAGAAGCUCAUCUGCAUGUAGGAGAUGUUUGUAUUUUUGAGCUAAUUGAUAGUGAGGAUGUGUGUUCAGAGUCUACAUUUCCACUAGAGCUGGUAAGGACUUGGUUUACAUUGAUUGAAAUGAACUAUGGAAGUGUCAUUUUCGCUCAUCCAAAAUAAAUCCUGUAUUCAUCGUCAUUUCUUCUUUGGUGGUCUUGGUGAAUCAAUGAAGUAUACUUCUUCCAUUCCCGUUGUGUUUGUGAGGUUCGCAAUAAUCCAGAUGCUCACUUAUUAAUCUGCAUCCCAAAUCUAAAUGAACCAAAAAGGAUGUGAUUCAAGAUUAGAGCAAAAGUUAAAGCCUGAAACGCUCGUCAUGAGAAUUUAGAGAGGCGUGACUUGUUGGUUUCUAAGUUAUGUUUAUGUGAACAACGACACAUUCUUUUUCUUAUUCUCUCUCAAAAUUUGUGAAAUUCUCCUAAUAAGCUUUUUGUAUAUUGAUUUUGUGGCAUUAUGAUUUAGGAGGUGCUAAGGGUAGUAAUCAAUUAUGUCUAAAAUGCAGAACAUGUAGACAUUAGUACCAUGAUCACAAGUACUGAUGUUUAGAUCAUUGUAACUCAAUACAAUGUCGACAGUGGUACCUGCGAGAAUUUUCUUUUUUCUUUUGUGCCUAUCGAUCUGAACAGUCUAAAUGUCAUGUAGCCCUCCUGAGCAGGUUUUGUAUGGUUCCACGUGUCCAUGGCUGGCCACUGCUCUUGAAAAAACUAGAGAAUUUGAAUUUGAGCAUCCACUUUUGAAAUUGGUGAUUUGGCCACUUUUAUUAAAAAGAGAAUUGCAGUAAGGGCCUAUUUCCUUUCAUAAUUGGCAUAUCCCAACCGUGAUGCCAUCUACAUCUCGCCCUGUAGUCUACUAUUUUCCCAAGUGGUUUUGCUUUUUAUUGGAGAUGUUGUUUUCUUUGAAAUGUGUAUGGCUUUAUGUGUAAAACUAGGGCAGUUUUGAUUUUGAAUUUUUUUUUUUUUUUUUAAUUAUGGAUUCAGAAGAUUACAGAUUCUUAAAUAAUAGAUUGUACUUUCCUCACUACUCAGGUGUAAAGAAGAUUGCUUUUGUUCAUUGACUAAGAGGAUGUGGUGAGACAAUCAGUGUUAGCACACCUGAAGCGUUAUCAUGAGAGUUCAAAAAUAGUGUACACUAUUGUAGAGUCUAUGAGCACUGUAUCGUGACAUUUUAACAUCAAAUUGCAAGUUGGGAUUGAAGACUUCUAUUUGUCAGUUAACACUGUUAAUUGAAUUUACUGAAACUAGUAAAUACUAGCAUAUAUUAACAUUUUGUUUGCCUUGUCUUUUUAUUGUUUGUUUGUAUUUAAUCUUUUCCUCAUCAUGCUACAUUGGCGGAGUGUUCCUUGUGAAUUCAUCAAGAAGUACAUUCAGAAGAACCAUUAGAUUGCUACUCUUAGGUAUUUGAACAAAUCAUGACCAGUGCAACUCAAGACCUAUCAACACCAUUUUUUAGCAAACAUCUCUGUGGUUGGCCCAUGUUUGUGAGACAAGCUUAUCUGGAUGAAGGGGAUGUCUUCGUGUUUGAGCUCAUUGAUAUGGAUGAUUUUAUGGUCAAAGGCUCCAUCUCCAAUUAUGCUUGUAAGGACCUCAUUUAGGUCGAUUGAGAUGAACAUUGGACGCAUCACUUGAGGCUGUAUAUUAGUGAAGCAAUUCCUGCCUCACUUAUUCAGUUGCGACAAAUCAAUUGAAAGUGCGCUUACUUUUGGCUUUGCUUCUCUCUCUUGACCUACUUAUAGUCUUAUCAGAAUUCUCUUUUUUCUUUUGUCCAGGUCAGAACAGACAAGUCUGAAUGUCCAGUGAGCCCCUCCUAAGCAAUUUUUUCAUGAUUCCAAGUGUUCGAGGCCUCUCACUGCCCUUGAGAAAGCUAGAGAAUUCAAAUUGGAGUAUCCCUUUUCCAGACAGUGAUGUGGCCAUCUUUUCUUAAGAAAGAAGUGGUGGUAAGGCCCAGAUCUCCAUUCAUAACUGACGUCUCAAUUAUGCAUGCCACCUAUUCUAUAUAUGCGCCCCACUGUGCAAAUUUUUCCCACGUUAAUUUGGUUUUUAUAGAAACACAGGACAUGUUAUCUUCUGUGAAGUGAUCAUGGUUAUAUGUUUUAAACAGGAAUCUUAACAACUGAGUAAAGGGACUAGGAAAAACAAUAAGUUGGGACAGUAAUCAGGAAAUAACCUAAUGACAGGGGGUGCGGAGACAGGAUCAGAGGGUUGGGAAAGGCAAUAACAACCAUAAGUUAGCAAUUUAAUAGUUUCUAAUUGAAGUAUAAGUUCCUCCCAAAGAUGACUACUUGGUACUUUCUCAGGCUGCCUAGGCUUGGGAAGAAGAGGUGACACGAAAUGUCCAGCUUAAGCCAUAGCUACUGCAACAGGCCUAGGCUUGGCAUGACUGAGCUCACUGCAACAGCAUGGCAACACUAGUCAGAUAUUGCUCACUGGCAACAAAUGGUUUACAAGAGCUACCAUUGCAAGCAGGUUCAAACUUGCAAUCGAAAAUGAAGGGAAGCCAAUGUGGCCUAGACCUCAAAAAUUAGUGCCACCAACUCGAUGGUAUGAAACGAAGAAAAGAAGCUCACUUCUUUUUGGCCAGGCAAAAGAAGAUCACUUACUUUCUGUGCUUGUGUGUCCAUUUAGGUCCCUAUGUGUAGCUUUUCAUGUUUAUUCGAUGCAUAUUGCAAUGUAAGAUUGGUGACUCAGAUAUUCACCAGAUUCAACUUGUCUCUAUAUUGAUUACACGUACUUAGUGUAGAAUCUAAGAGCACAGGAUUGUGAUAUUUUGAUUUCAGAUUGCAAGUUGUGAUUAAAGGCGAUCUCAUCAUGUCUUUUAGACUGCUAAUAUGGACUUUGGAAACUAACAACUACUAGCAUAAAUGUACGUUUUGUUUGCCUUUUCGCUUUAGUGUAUGCUUACAUUCCUAUGUGUUAUCAUAUAUUGGCUGGUCAAAUGUCUUCAUGGGUAGAGUGUUCUUAUGAAUUCAUAAAUACAUGCAUUCAAGAAAACCAGCGAAUUGUGACUCCUGGGUGCUCGGACACAUUGUGGCGGUGACCAUAAGGACCUAUCGAUGUUGUAGUGAACUUCUGUGUUGGUUGGUCCAAGUUUGUGAGUCAAAGUUGUCUUGAGUGAAGGGGAUGUCUACGUGUUUGAGCUCACUAAUAGGGACAAUGUUUAGGUUGAAUUGGGAUGUAUUUUGGAAGUCACUUUACUAGUUGAAAGCAAUUUCUGCCACUAUUCUGUUGUGAUGAAACCGGAUAAAAGUGCACUUAUAUUUGUAACCGUGCUCUGUUCAGGUCUAGUUACGAUCUUAUCAUUUCUAGGCUUAAACACAUUUUCUACCUUAGGUAUCUCUCUUGAGCUUGUCGCGCUUUUAUCAUCGCCUUUUUGGAAAGGAUCUCUGGUUCAGCACUCGCCCUGGUUACUGAACCUGGUUUUGUAUUACAAGAGAAUGUCAAAAGUGACGUGCUUUAGUUCUAGAAAGGAUGUGGAAAUUUAUGCAGCAUACCAUGAUGCAGCAUACCAUCCCUCAUGGUCACUUGUUAGUUUUCAAAUAUGGGAAAGACAGCCUCUAUACUCAUGUAAUUAUAUUUGAUAAAAGUGUUUAAAUAGAUACAUUAUCCCCAAGUAGUGAUGAAAUUGAAAACCCAGAGAGUGAAUUCCAUAUACAUCUUGCCCUAUAGUCCGCUGUUUUCCCAAAUUGUUUUGGUUAGUCAUUGGAAUCACAUGGAUAUUAUUUUCCUUUAAGUGUAAAUGGCUACAUGUGUAAAAUUUUGGUUUUGAAAUUGCAUUUUGUUAAUUUAUGGAUUCUUAAGAUUACCAAUUUUAAAAUAAAAGAUCGUAUUUUGUUUUAAUACUAAUCAAUUGUAAAGAAGAUCACUAUUAUUCAUAGGCUAAGAGGACGUGGUUGAGAGGAUCAGUGUUAGCAACUCCUGAAGUGUUAUCAUGAGAGUUCAAAUAUAGUAUAUACAAUUGUAGAGUCUAUGAGCUCUGUCCUAUGACAUUUUGACUUCAGAUUGCCGGUUGAGGAUCAGUUAAGACUGUCGAUUGAAACUCUUGAAGCUAGUAAAUACAAGCAUUUAUUUGCAUUUUGUUUGCCUUUUUCUCUUUAUUGUUUGUUUGUAUUUAUUCUUUUCCUCAUCAUAUAUUGGUUCACAAAUAUCUACCUCGCCAAGAGUGUUCUUUGCCAAUUCAUAAAGAGAUACAUCUAGAAGAACCAGCAAAUUGUGACUUAGGUAUUUAAACAAAUCAUGGUUGGCGCAGCUCAAGACAUCUGUUAUCCAGCAAACAUCUCUGGUGGUUUUGCCCACGUUUGUGAGAGAAGCUUGUCUGAAUGAAGGGGUUUUCGUGUGUUUGAGCUCAUUGAUAGCGACAAUUUUAUGGUCAACUCUUUAAUUUGACCGUAAGUGAAAUCUCCGCAAGCAAUGCAAUGCGACUGUGCCAGCCACGCUCCCUGGUCGAAACUGGUGCAGUAGUUAAAUCCCCAGGUUGUAGUGUUAAGACCUCACAUUAGUCAAGACUUGAUCCAAGCGUAAUCAUCUGUGAACCGGACGCCGUUGCAUAUCUUGGACAUAAGCGUCACGUCCGGGUUGCUUCUUACAAGACUUGGACCCCCACAGAAGCCCAGUGAACAUAAGGGUGAGCGCAUGUGAUGUGGCCAUGGUCAUCCUAGAGCCCUUUUUUCCUCCUUUUGGCUCUCUUUGGUUUGCUACAGAGAGACACACAAUUGAGUUUGGCUAUGAUAAGGGUUCGUCUUCAUGGCGCACUCCAUUUAUUUGUUGCUCUUGGGCUAAGUCAGUCCCAAUUUUAGUCAUUUAUGACGUCACGUAAUUUUUUUUUAAUCAUUUAUGACGUCACAUAUUUUUUUUUUUUUUAAUAACUUCAACGGUUGUUUCUCCGGAAUUUUUUUUUUGUCAGUCCUACUCUAAUCUUACUCUACGCUCAUUCUCAGACUUUUGUCCUGCCUCUUGCAGGGCGUGGAAGUCGAAACCCACUCCUAAAACUCACGCAUCCCCACCCCAUCCCCUCCUGAGAAAGUGGAGAUUUGAACCCCUCACCUCCCCCUUCCAUGUUGGAAGGGUGGCCACUGGGGGCUGUUUCUAUGGAUUACUCACCCAUUAAUGUACUUUGUUGUUGCCAUCCUCACAAACCAUAAUCUCAUAAUUUUCAAAGAAAUAUUUCCCUCUCUCUCUCUGACUAUGCAUGAAAAUUCAAAAUUGAGAUCCUCUAAGUUUAGGAAAUAAAUUUACGCUACGAUAAGGGAGUGAAUAAUAAUCAUUUUGUUCUAGAAUUCGAUUUUUUGUCAUUCCUUGGACGAAUUUAUGAACAAAAAUAUGCAUUUGAUAACGACAUAAAGUUUCUGUUAUUGAAAUAGAAAUUCGUUUAACAUAAAAUUUCUCCCUCCUAAGCAACUAGCAGGUGGCGGCCCUAAACAAACCAUUUCACUUUUAUUUUUUAUUUUUAUUUUUUUUCAAAAAUAGAGAAGUAUAAAAUUUUUACUUCUCAUUUAGUAUUUCUAAGCUAACAAUUUGUUUUGGAAUUUGAAAAAUGAAAUUACAUUAUCAAACAAAUUUUUGUUCCGAACUCGUUCCUAUAUCAGAAAAAUAACAAAAUAGAAAAACAAAAUUGUUGUCAUGCGAGUACCCUAAAUGACCCACUUCACUAUUAUUUUCUUCUUUCUUCUCCUAUUUUGCACACACGUGUUUGCUUCACAUAUGAGUCUCGAAUAUAUUUCUACAUGUAACAUUGUAAGCUUAGGUCAGGUAAUUAAUGGAGUUUGUAAUACUUUUAUAAUCCAAAUAACACCAUACUUUUGUUGCUGCUAACACUACUACUAAGAGUAUUAAAAAAGAAAAAAAAGAAGCCCAAACACCUGGAUUGAACCACCCGAACUAGCCUGAUAAUUUUGGGCUCAAAUAGUCUCCGGCCCGGCCACUAGGCCUCAAACUAUCCAUGAGUUUGGGACCUGAAUGAUUGCCAAAACCAACCCGAUUCAUAGAUCGGAAACUGUACAUAUGUAUGUCCCCCUAUGUCAAUUCCCUUUCACCUGUUGAGGGCUCAACUUCUCUCAUUCGCUCAUUUCUCACGUUGAUCGAGAUCUGGCUGCCACCAAGCUGCCAUCGUCGCCACGGUCAAGCCCCAGCACUCGCCAUAUGGCCUCCGUCUAAUAUGUUUCACUCACUCCCUUAGUCCCUUUUAUGCUUGUUCGCAUCUUGAUCUCCCUUGCGCUCCCUCGCUCUCUACUAGUAGAAAACUGGCCUUACUAGCUUGUUUUGAUGUCUUAUGGUUUUUUAUUUUUGUACAUGCUAUUUGAAAUUUUUAUUUGAAAUUUUUAAAUAAUAGAUAGUCCCUCUUUAAAAAGAUGCAAUUACCUUUUUAUUAUUUUUGUUUCACAAUUAAUUAGUUACGUUUAGAUUGUGGAGAGAAGUAGAGAGUGGCCAUAACUGACGAUUUUCAUUUUUUAAUUACAAAAUGACGAGAAUCGCCCCCGAAUUCAUUUAAAAUUUAAUUGGAGUUAUUAUGAUAAUAGGGUUUUUGAGUUAAUUUAAAUUGAGAGACAUAAGAGGAACCUCUCCGUUAAAGAAUUGACAAAUUUGUUGAUGUUUUAACAAAUCAUAGCCAACUAGUGUUAGCACAAGAUAUGAUCCCUCAUCGAGCUAAUUGAGUUGGGAAAAUUGUUACUUUCACCUGGUGCAUACUCUAUUCAAGAAUUGUUUGAACUCGGGUUGAUGAUUUUUCGAGAAUUAAUAUCUAGUCAAGCUCUAACUCAAGCUACUUGAGGAUCUUGCAAAUUGAAAGCUUAAGUUCGCCACUACUCGGCUCUUAAAAUUUUGUAAGCCUAAUUCAAAAUAUUUGAUUGGUAUGUAAUUAUACAUAGACAUCCUCAUCCACACACAAGUAUAUUUAGUGUAUCGACUUUUCGUAUGAAUCAAGCUCUAGCAUAAGCAUGAAGUUAAUACUUGGUCAAGCUCAAAUCAAACACUGAGUAAGGAGUUGAGCCAGUUUCGAGUUUGGCACUGUGGUGGCUUGAUUAGACCCCUAGGUGCUAGCCGUUUUGACAUCCAAUUCGAUUAAUAGAAGCCAACGUGUUCAUUAAAGCGAUUAAGAACUCUGACGUGCAAAAUUCGAGUGCAAGGUUAUUGUUGGGAAAUCUCAUUAUUCAAGAUGCACUCAUGAUUUUCGCAAGUUUCAAUCCCACUAUAAUUUUCAAUCCCUAUAUUAACCGAUAGGUCAAAUGAUAAAAGUAAGUGAACAUUAAUAAAUGUAUGAAAUCUUCAAAAGUCACUUUUCCGAAGUCCUAGCUGUAUUAUCCAUGGGACGUAGCUUGGCUUCACAAAUCCUUGUUGUAACUUCUAUCCGAUAAAAUGGCACUCAAGUUCCAUUUACUUGGUAAUGUUUAUUGAAAACUGGACUUUUGCUGCAAUUUUUGUCACAAUUUCCCUUUAAUUUUCAAUAACCAUUUGACAAUAGCAAAAUUCCUCGACCAAUAAGAAAUUUUAAAUAUCAAAUAUCCUCUUGUUUAUUUUUCAUAAAUUAACUCAAAAUGUACAUAAAAAGAUCCUUGAUAAUUUUAACUUUUGAAAUUAUUUGGGAAAUCAUUAAAUUUGCGUUGCGUCAUUUCCUCUUUUAACAAAAACUUCCUAUUGUUGAAAGGAAAGUUUCGCUAUUAUUUUUUGCAACUUAAAAUCCUAACAAUUUUUUAAUUUUCCCAAGUUUUUAGCCGAAAAAUCAAAUUUCAUUCCCAAUUAUCAAUAUAUAUCAUCAACAUAAACUUAAAAAAAAAAAACAUGAUAAAUGAAUUUCCUCUCCUUGAAGUAAAUAGGGAAAAAUAAAUAAAAUAUCAACAAUUCUUUACAUCUGAGAAAUUAGAAAGGGCAGAAGAAGAAGAUCCCCUAGGCUUUCCAGUUUUGCGCUUCAAGCAUUCGAUCCCCCUCUGCCUUCUCUCUCUCCCCCCAACCCUUAGGCCGAGCUGCACCGCCGUGUCGCGGCCUCGGACCCCCCGAGCUUCACCCCCGGGGGCCCCCCUGGGGGUGGGGGGGGGGGGCCCCCCUUUUUUGGGCUUUUUUUCCCCCCUCCCCCCCCCCCCCCCCCCCCCCCCCCCCCCCAAAAGAAAAAACCUAGGUCCCUCGCUUCGGUUCUCCGGGAUUGCUCGAAGAUGGACGAGGACCAGGAGAUGGAGAGGCUCGGGGUGGACAACGAUUACGACGACGGGGAGUUCUACUACCGCAGCGGAGGGAGAAGCGCGCGCAGACCAAGGACGACGCACUCUACGGCGUCUUCGCGUCGGGGGACUCCGAUUCGGACUACGACGACUCCUCCAAGAGGAAGCAGAGGAAGAACAGGGACCUCCAUGGUAAGGCCGAUCUGUCGAAGCCCGUGAAUUUCGUGUCCACCGGCAUGGUCAUGCCGAACAGAGAGAUUGAUGAGAACUCGAAGACGGAGAAUGAGGAUGACGAGUCCGCUGACGUGGAUGAGGAUAGGCCGGGCUUGGGGGUUGGUGCUGGGGUGGGUUUGGGGUUUAAUAAGCGAGACGAUGGUUUUGAUGAGAACGGCGAGGAGGAGGAUGGUUUCUUGCCGACGGCAUUUGGGCGGAAGAUCAAGGAGGGAGCGGAGAGGAGGAGAGAGCAAUCGAAAUUGGAGAAGAAAGCGCAGCAAGGUGGGGCUAAAAGGGAUUCUUAUGAAUCGGGAAACGUGGGUGGCUUCGAGAAGUACACCAAGGGAAUUGGAAUGAAGUUGCUCGAGAAAAUGGGUUACAAAGGGGGUGGUCUUGGGAAGAAUCAGCAGGGGGGAUUGUGACACCCAUUGAAGCAAAGUUGCGUCCUAAGAAUAUGGGUAUGGGUUUCAACGACUACAAAAGAAAUUCCUGCAAAGGCGCCUGUUGCCUCGUUGGAGCCAGAGGAAAAAAAGCCAUCACCUGAUGUGCCCGGUCAGGAGAAGCUUUGGUCUAAGCAAGUGAAGAAGGCGAUGCUGAAAAACAAAGCAAAAUAUAUUACAUCAGAAGAGCUGUUGGCGAAGAAGUAGGAUCAGGGUGUUGAAGUUGUGCAAGAGGUACUCGACAUGCGUGGACCUCUAAGGUUAGGGUGCUAGCUAACUUGGAGAAUCUGAACGUGGAAGAGAAGGCGAGGGAGAGCGAUGUUCCUAUGCCCGAGCUCCGGCAUGAUGUAAGGUCGAUUGUGGACCUGGCUGAGUUGGAUAUUCAGUAGAUCAUUACGGACCUGAGGAAUGAGAAGGAGAAGUUGCAAGCUGAGGCAGAACACCAGAAGAAACAACUAAAUUACGUGGAGAUAAUGAAUACACUAGACCGGAUUGAGGAGCAAAAGUCGAUGGGAACAUUGACGUUAGACUUGCUAGCCAAGUCUUUUGGUGACAUGCUAAGAAGGUUUCCUGAUGAUUAUAAACUUUGCAACUUAUCCUGCAUUGCUUGCUCAUUUGCACUCCCUCUGUUUAUCAGAGUAUUUAAGGGAUGGGAUCCUCUUCGGAAUCCCUCACAUGGGUUGGAAGUUGUUUCACGGUGGAAAUCUCGAUUGCAAGGACAUGAAUGUCUUGAUAUAUGGGAUUUGAGAUCCCCCUGAUACCCAGUUGGUUACAGAAUUUGUCUUGCCUGCUGUGUGAAUAUCAGGCAUUGACACUUGGGAGGCAGGGAAUCCGAAGCCAAUGCUUUGAUUUCUUGAAGAUUUUGUGAUCAGUCUUCUCGCAUGUGGGCGUAAAUUCAAGUUUAUCAGUUUCUUCUCAAGUGAAGAGCAUUUGGAAUUCAUUUAUUUAUGUUUUCAUAUUAACUGAAUGUUGAUAUUAAUGACAAAAGCAAGUAUGCUGGCAUCUUUUGCGUCGCUGUGGCAUGACUCUUCUGCAGUCUCUAUCUCUCUCUCUCUCUCUCUCUCGACAAACACAGCAGCCGAGCCUCCGGCAGUGGCUUUUUGUCUUACAAUCGGCAACAUCCCGGCGCUCUUGAACUCGAACUUGCUCUCCCCGCUGGAUAAAGCUCGCUGAUUCUCUCUUUUUAUCUCUCUUCCUUGCGAGAGCUCGAUACCUCAUCCAAAGUGUAAUCAACGGCAAUGAAAAUUUGGAAGAUGGCGAGAGGAUGGGAGAAAAUGAAAGCAAAACGGAAAUCAAACAGACGAAAUUUGGAAUGAAUCAAAGACAAUUUUAGAGUUCGAGAUGGAACGUCCCGGUAUUUGUUGACUGUUGAUUAAGGAAACUCCGUGGUCGAGUUCUGCUGCCACGGCAGCGAGGCGAGCGGCAUCUUCAAACCGGUAGCGACACUUUUUGUGCUUCGGUCAGUGCUGGAAGCAACAAUCGUCAGAGAGCUCAGUCUCGAUGAAUAGUUGGUGGGUACUCCGUUCGCGGUUGGAUUCCCUCUCUCUCUCCAGAUUUUCUCCGGCCAGAUGUUCUUUUGCAUAUUUUCUCUCUCUCACUCCGGAUUCUCCUUAUUCAUCUCCACCAAUUCAGAUCUAUCUCGCUUCAGAUUCGCACAGUGAACGACACCAUCAGAUUCCACAUUUUGAGUCGUGGCCACACUAAUUCCACUCUGAUUUUGUGUCAUCGCUUUCGUGUCCUUGCGCGUGUCUGGACCAGAUUUAUAUGUGGCCGGGCCAUCUCGAGCUCAUGCCGCCAUCGCUGCCAAACCAUCGUCAAGGGUGUUUCAUAUCCAAUUGAACUUCUGAGUCAAAAUUUCGAUUCACUCCAAAAUAUGUUCUGUCGAUUCUUGCUUCUUUCUGUUCACUCCCACUUCAUCGCAAUCUUUCGAAUUCCUUUGUUUCGCCCAUCUACGCCUCGUGCAAAGGGAAAGCGGGGUGGUGUUCACUGCUUAAAAGAGCUUUAUCCUAUUGCCAAGGCUGAGGUUGGAUGGAUCAUCAUCAUCUGGACAGGAUCUGCCGAUUCGAAGGAUGAGAUUCUUCGGGUUCACUCCCGGCACUCCUGCCGGUCCGAGGUCGUUUCAUCAACCAACCGCAACAGAGGGCAAUCUGAGUCAUCAAAAUCAUCCGAAAAGAUACGCCAAGCAUGAAGAUUGGCGGUGGUGAGCACGGAGAGAAAACAAGGAAGAAUAAAAAGUCUCGAAGCGAAGCGAAGCAGUGGAUGGAGAUGAUUCGGAUUUUGCGUGGGGACUGUGGGGAAAACGGGGCAAACAAGGUGAAGCCGGCGGUGGUUCUUUGGAUGAGAAGGAAGUAAAGUGUUGAAAUUAAAAAAAAAAAAGAAAUAAAAGAAAUAAAAGACGAAAGGAAAAUAUAGAGAGCCCAUGAGAAAUCGGUCAAAAGGAAGACUUGCACGAAAAAUGUAAUUCGACAUUAUAUCGAGCACCUUCAUUGCAAACUCGAUCCCUCCUCCACAGUGCAAUCGACGGCAAUGGGAAUUUGGAAGACGGCGAGAUAAUUGGAGAAAAAUGAAAUGAAAUAGAUAUCAAUAGACGUAGUGAGUAUGGAUCGAAAUUAAUUCUAGAGUCGAAUGGGAGAUGAAAUGACCUGGUGGUGAGUACGAAUAUUGACCUGACAGAUAUCAUCAUUGUUACAGAAUCGUCUCACUCUCGAUUUCUCUUUGGGGCAGCUCAACGAACACCUUCCCUAAUGUCCAUCUUCAUAUUUCAGCAAGUCUUCCUCCAUCAGGGUCGUUUCCUAUCCGAUUGAACUUCCGAGUCCAAUUUCGAUUCAUUCCGGUAUACGUUCUGUCGAUUCUUGCUUUCCUUCAUCUCCGCCUUUCGGAUUUCAAAUGACGUUGCUCGCGUCCUUCGUUUCGUCUCUCUAUGCCGCACACAAUGGGGAUGUCUGGCUGGUGGAUAGGAUCUGCCGAUUCGAAUGAUGAGAUUCUUUGGGCUCACUCUCGGCCCUCCCGCCGCUUCAAGAAGCAGCAAAGACUUGCACAAAAGAUGGAAUAUCUUGAGAGGAAGAUUCAUCCCAUAACUCAGCCAUCAUUUUCUUUUUCUUUUCCUUGAAAAAGGCAUCAAAAACUCCAAACGACGCCAUCAAGGACGCCCAUUGCGUCUCUUCGCUUCAAGUACCUUUAUUGGAUCUCUCCCUCCAUCCCGACGCGCUCCCCGGCUCAGUGAGUUCCGAGUCGCUCCACCAUCACCCUCGCUAUCUACUCGCCUCGUGAUCGAUUCCGUCGCUCGCUGUCUUUAGAAACUCCGGUGAUCCUCUCUCUCUCUCUCUCUCUCUCUCUCUCUCUCUCUCUCUCUCUCUCUCUCUCUUUUCCUGUCCUUCUUCCGGUUGGAAUCAUGCAUUCGUUUUGUGGAUUCUUAGGUGUUUUGACAGAGGUUUGAAUCUGGUGUCCUUGAGUGAUGUUUAAUGCUAUUGUCGUUUUGCUCAUCAAUGGAGUUCAUGUCGGAUUUUUUUUUUCUUUUUUUCCUUGUUUCCGACCGUGAAUCCGAGACCACUUGGAAACGAGCGAUGAUUGAACUGAAAACGUCCUGAGAAAUCGCCGCAGUGAGCGAAAGUUGUGCAAAGUUAAGCUCGGUCGAACAGUGGUUCGGUUUUCCUCUAUUUUUUGGCAUUAUAUAAUCACUUCUGGAUUCAGUUGUGGUGCGAGGGUGACUCGCUAGCCAUUCCUGAUCGGUCCUUCGGUUAACGCUUUUCUCUGUAUAGAUUUCCGAGUGGCUUGGGACUUGGAGAUGGGAGUAGCACCGAUGAGUUAUGACAUGGAAGAGGGGACGCUGGAGAUCGGCAUGGGUGAGCUUUCGGCCCUCUCCGCUUUCCAAAUUUUUUUUUUUUUUUUGGAGCUACGGACAAUAAAAAUCUGCUGGGAUGCUUAAAUCUCGUAAUUAAGUUUUGUCUGUAUUGUGGGGAGUAGCUUUGUCUCCUUGUUCGUGGCUUAUUAUGUCUUUCGCCAUCUAAAUUUCACCGUGCUUGGAAUCAGAACUUUAGUCAUAGGAUAUUGUUGUUUUCUAGGCUUUCCAUAUAGCUUUCUCGUUUCUGAAAAGUUUAUGCUGCCCCUGUUAUGACAACGGUUAAUACAUUUAUUACUUAGAUCUACACAAUCUCUAUCAUUUCGUAUAUAUUGGCUGAGAGGUGAGGAAUGAUUUAGCUCUUGUCCGAGUCAAAUGUUUAGCAUGCCUUAGUCGCUGGGUCUUAGUUAUCAGUUGUUCAAACAAUUGCUUUGCUGCUUGCAGAGGAUAGGACCGUCUCUGGUGUUGCUGGGCCGUUGGUUACACUCGACAAAGUCAAGGUAAAUUUCACUGGUUAUAAUUUUACGAGGUUGAGUGAACUCCUAUAUGGACAUGUUGGAUUAAUUUUAUUGUAUAUCAGGGACCAAAGUAUCAAGAGAUGGUAAAUAUCCGCUUGGGUGAUGGAACGACUAGAUGUGGGCAAGUCCUUGAAGUUGAUGGAGAGAAAGUUGCUGUGCAGUUUCAGUCUCAGUUGCCAGCCUCUUCUUUUUUCCUUUAGCUCUCUUGAUACUGCAUUUUUGUUGUUUGGACUGCAAUACUUGGGUCAACUUUGUGUGCAAUACUUUUCAGCUGAUGACCCAGUGAAUUCUCUGUCAUUCAUUGCAAGCAUUAGAAAAAGCAGAACAUGAAGAGUAUUAUCUUAGGUAUAUGUGAUGAAAUGUGAGAACAUCAUAUGGGAUGAUAAUUGAAAUGUGAUUGAAUUUCUUGAGAACAAUGUUAAGAGUCUAAUUAGCAUUCCGUUUAGGCAAUUAUAGAUCCUCUCUGCUCUCGAGUGAUGGAAGUCUAGUCAUGGUGUGACACCCAUCGAAGCAACCAGCAGGGGAUUGUGACACCCAUCGAAGCAAAGUUGUGUCCUAAGAAUAUGGGUAUGGGUAUGGGUUUCAACGACUACCAAAGAAACCCCUGCAAAGGCGCCUGCUGCCUCAUUGGAGCCAGAGGAAAAGAAGCCAUCACCUGAUGUGCCUGGUAAGGAGAAGCUUUUGUCUAAGCAAGCGAACAAGAUGAUGCUGAAAAACAAAGUGAAACACAUUACAGCAGAAGAGCUGUUGGCGAAGAAGCAGGAACAGGGUGUUGAAGUUGUGCAAAACGUACACGACAUGCGUGGACCUCAGGUUAGGGUAUUAGCCAGCCUGGAGAAUCUGAACGUGGAAGAGAAGGUGAGGGAGAGUGAUGUUCCUAUGCACGAGCUCCAGCACAAUAUAAGGUCGAUUGUGGACCUAGUUGAGUUGGAUAUUCAGAAGAUCGAUAGGGACCUGAGGAAUGAGAAGGAGAAAGCUCUGAGCUUGCAAGAGGAAAACAGAAGCUGCAAGCUGAGGCAGAACUCCAUAAGAAACAACUGAAUAAUCUAGCAACUAAAUUGUGCACAUGGAACAGCGGAAGCACAAUCACGGUAGAGUCUGAUUCCGUUAGUCUGUACCCCACCUGAUGACGCCAAAUUGCGCUGAGUUAGCAGCAUGCGAUUGGGGAGGGGUGACCCAUAGCGCCGGAGGUGUGCAAGAACAUAGCUACAUCCGAGGGAUCAUUGACAACUGUGGACAUCGAGUCGAGGCUCGGCUCGGCUCUACGUUGGUCGAAGAGAGUGAUUUUGGUAUCGGCAAAGUGAAGAUUGGCGGUUAGGUGGGGGAUGUUGAGCUUGGAAGCAGCGGAUUGAGCCCGUCGGUUUCCUUCUUGCAGUGUCAAUAGGAGCUUCGGUUCUGAGUCGGAAAGGUAGAACUCGAGCACCUUAGCUAUGUAGAAGGGAUUGAGCGGAGCUACAGUGGCUCGGCAAUGGAUUACCGCUGGAAAUAGGAUCACAAACUGCAAAACGAACACAUUUUCCAAUAAGAAAACUAUCACACCAGUCCCUGCGGAUUGGAGAUACACACACAUAUGCAGGAUAUGCAGACAACUAGUUUGUCAACGUUUAAUUCAUUAAAACAAUCCAUCUCCUUUUGAAAAGCGUUGACUUUGUUUUACGAUGAAUCGGUGCUUGUACGUCCCAGAAAACAACCCUUGGACCCGACAGAAAAUUCUCUUCAUGCUUUUCCCAUUUCAAUUUGUUCCUGUUCAAUUUGCACCACGCGCUCACAGAAAUUUCAUGCCUCAGAUGCAAUUUUUUCAGUAGAAAUCGAUGCCAUUUCCGUCUCUCUGUUCUCGAAGUACUGUAAAACUCCAAGAAACAUCUACCUCUUUCUUUUCCAAGCUAUUUCCCAGUCGAUGUUUCGCAAGUCAUUGAUCUCAUCAUUAGAAAUUCAUCGUCACCGCAAUCUUCCAGAUAUUGUGUUCUCGAAUUUAAACGGCAUCAUCCAUACUCGCGAACAGACCGAGAUGACACAGACAUACCUCGAUGUUGUUGAGGAAAGUGAGCGCGACGGUGUCGGUGUGAGGCAGUGAUGAGCGCGGUGGUGUGGUUGACAAGCUCUUGCAGCUGCAUGUGCGUCAGGUCGAGCUCCUCGCAGGCGGAGACGGCUCUCUUGUUGGGGAAAUCCGACGUUGCCUUCUUCAAUAGGUCCGUGAGCGUAAGUUCUCCCAUCACUAACCACAGGGAACGAAUCGACAGCAAUCGGCUUAAGCUGAAACCGAUCCCCGAUCGAACUGAAGAGGGGCACCACAAUCGCUUGGCAAGACGAGAACGAAGGAUCGACAAGAACAGGAAUUCGCACGUAUGCAUAUGAAAUGGAAAUGAGACCAGAGGGAGGGAGGGAAGGAAGUUGAUGCAAUCGAGGUGGCUCCGCGGCCAGUGCGAGCUCGGUUAAGGUGGCGACGGAGACUUAAUGGAUCAAAGGCUGUAACUAGUCUCACUAAUGUCUUCGCAAGAAAAUGUUUCAAUAAACUAAUGAUAGCCACCUAAUCAAUACAUUUGUCCAUUCAGUGGACGACAAGUGGCACUAUGGGGGCCCGCUCUAUCAGCAAGUCUGCAAGUCCAUUCUGCACGACAAAACAAAUGUCGUCCAAGUUUGAGAUAAGAAAUGAAAACCGCAGCAUCAGAAAAGUUCAUCACCAAAGGAUUAAAAUCCAUUCCAAGUUUGCGGCAAUGGCGUUUCUUGCACAGAUUGUAUAAAUGCAAGGAUCAAUGGCGAUUCUGACAGUUCAUUCUUUGCACGCACACACGCAGAUCUCCUGCUCCUUCACAACAGAAUACAAAUUUAACUCGAUUCUGUUCAUACAGAACACUUUAACUCGAACCAGAGGAAUCAGCAAGCCACGAGACAGCAAUUUUCAUGUCAUACGCCGAGCAUACGAGACGAGAAUACUAACACUAUUUGACAAAUGAGCAUCCUAUUCUGACAAAGUCGGCCAUAAUAAGUAUUCAAAAAGUUGAGAACAAAUCAAAUUUAUGUAAUAUGAUUUUGCGGUUCAAGAAUUGAAUCGAAUUUACACACCGAUCUAGUUCGAGCAUUUUAUCAAACAAGUAAUGUGCAUUUAACCAAGGAGCUCAUACGCCAAUGCAAAGCAAGGAUUGACUUUCAGAUCAUCACGAAAAUAACAGUACAAGUCCGAGUUGUUAAAUAAAGCUUCAAUAUCAACUGAUUUACUCACAGACAUUAGCUAAAGCUAACCGGCUCUGUUUCGUUCAUGAGCAGCAGAAACAGAGUGCGUGGGAUUUACCUUGAUGAGAGUGAGUUUUUCACUUCGGCCCGUGAGCAGAUCGGAGAAAAGUUAAUGGAGCUCUCCACGUCGACGAUUGAUCUCUGGCUCGUGCACGUUUGGGCGGCGUGACCAGAAAACAGAGCAGAAGGAGAGGAGGCCUUGCGGCAACGGAACCGGCAAUGGUGGAGCCGCUAUGGCAGCGUUUCGACAGUGUCUAAAGGACGAUGGAGAAGGAGAACCGAUGAAGGAUCCUCUAGAAUUCCGAAGAGAGAUGGUUUCUUCGUGAGCUUCGGUGUGUGCGUUCUAUCGUGUCAUCGCUGAGCCUGUGGUGGCCGUCGAUGGUGGUGCGACGGUGGCUGUGGUGAUUGUAGAUGGGGGACGGUGGUCUAGGCUGCGCCUUGUGGAUAAGGUCUGGGCUACACGAAUUAAACCAGGCCCAACAAACCGGACCAGGUCCUUUCGAUUAUGAUUUUUUCUUUCUUUCUUUUUCUUUCUUCGUUUGUUAUUUAUUUUUAAUAUUAUUUUUUAUUUAUUAUUUAUUUAUAUUUACCCAAAUGCAUGUUCAACUUGUUGGCAAAAAUUCAGGAGUCGAUAGGAGCAAUAUUCCAUCAUUUGGCCUAAGAACAACUUCACACCAAACUCAAUUACAAUUCAUUAAAUGUGAUAAUUCACUAUAAUUUUUCAAUUAAUAAUAUGGAUGAAACCUAGUUAUACCAUAAAAACCGUGAUAGGGUAAGUUCCAGAGUAUGCAAUGAGUAUUCUAUGUUCUAAAAAAUUAGGAAUAUGUUCAAACGCGGAGGUUCAAAAUUCUAGAUUAGGGGCCAUGAGUCAUUUGAUCUUUCCAAACAUCAAUGAUAAUUUUUUAUAAGGGAUUUGAUAAAUUUAGAACUAGGAGACAAGUCGGGAAGGAGUGGAGGUGGGUCGAAUUUUUUUCUUUUAUUCAUUUUAUUGACAGUAGAUUGAAUUGGAGAUUUGACAAUAUUAGAAUGAAAGUGAAACAUAAGUGGAUGUUGAAGCGGCAAAAAGUCAAUUUAUAAAAAGUAGCUAGUUUUCAAUCCCGCGUACUGGGCAUGAUGUAUUUCACAAUUUCUCUAUAAAAGAAGAUCGACACAAAAUGCAGAAUGUUUAAAGUAUUAUUUUUACUAGCCUACGUAUAUUAUAGAUUUAAUAGUGGUUUUAUAAUUUUUUUCCCUUGACUUCUAUGUCAAGAGUACUAGAAAGGUUAAUUGACUUGUAAAUCACAUUUGACCUUCUCACUUUAGUAAUUAACCUAAAGCUAGGCAUCAAGAGGGGGGAGGCAUGAGAGAGCUUCCACGAAAAUUUUCUCUUUUGUGCCUUGACUUUUGUCUUUUAAAAAACUGCAUAAAAAAAAAGAAAAAAAAAAAGACUUGCGGAAUUUCGUAUGUCAGUAUUAUUCAUGUACGAGGAUAUUAAGGCGCUUUUAAGCAGCUGGCGAUGAGGAAUUAAAGGGAAGACCGAGCUAAAAAGGUAAGCGUGGAAGGCAGUUCGGUCAAUUCGGGCCGGGGGAUUCGGGAUUCGGGGAAAAGUUGUUGUGACUUCUCCACGUCGCGCAUUCCCCGCAUUAAAUGAACAACAGAGUUUGAAGAGGGCAUGUCCCUGUUCUGCCUUCUCUCUUUUCUCUCUCUAUUGCGCAAAUAAUUCUGAGAAAUUUUCUUCCUGAAUCUGGAGAUCGUGCGACGUGGCUCGCCCACUUCGCCCCUUCUCUCUCCGCAACAAAUCAAAAUUCAAAUCUCCUCUCUUUAUCUCUCUCUAGGAGAUCCCGUACGCGAGAGCGAGACGAUGAAGUGCCAGAAACACCAAUUCUCUCUACAUUUCUGCAGUUGGCAUCGCCACCUUCGCUGCCCCGUACGGCCCCCCGCAUCGUCAGAGGCGUACCCUCGUAUCUGCGAGCCGAAAUCCCGCUCGGGCCUCGGGUCCCGCCGUACCUCCGCUCGGCGGCCGGGGAAGCGAUCUCCACAGCGGCGGCCGCGGGGGGCCCGGCGUCGAACGCGCCGAAUCGGGGGCGGGACCAAGCCGGGUCGGCGGCGCCGGGGCCAAAAUACCCGUCGUCGUCCCGCCUGACGUGGGGAGGGGCGUAGAAGGACCCGCCGGGGGGGCGACCGGGCCGGUGAGCCGGCUCGCCAAACGGCUCGUUCCACGCCAUCUUCUUAGCGUUCACCUGCAGCGUAAAGCUUCACCCGGAGGAACAGGCAGACCGCCAAGAAUGGAAGCGAAACCCUAGAACGAGGGUACGCCUCUGACGAUGCGGGGGGCCGUACGGGGCAGCUGCAGAAAUGUAGAGAGAGAAUUGGUGUUUCUGGCGCUUCAUCGUCUCGCUCUCGCGUACGGGAUCUCCUAGAGAGAGAUAAAGAGAGGAGAUUUGAAUUUUGAUUUGUUGCGGAGAGAGAAGGGGCGAAGUGGGCGAGCCACGUCGCACGAUCUCCAGAUUCAGGAAGAAAAUUUCUCAGAAUUAUUUGCGCAAUAGAGAGAGAAAAGAGAGAAGGCAGAACAGGGGCAUGCCCUCUUCAAACUCUGUUGUUCAUUUAAUGCGGGGAAUGCGCGACGUGGAGAAGUCACAACAACUUUUCCCCGAAUCCCCCGGCCCGAAUUGACCGAACUGCCUUCCACGCUCACCCUUUUAGCUCGGUCUUCCCUUUAAUUCCUCAUCGCCAGCUGCUUAAAAGCGCCUUAAUAUCCUCGUACAUGAAUAAUACUGACAUACGAAAUUCCGCAAGUCUUUUUUUUUUUCUCUUUUUUAUGCAGUUUUUUAAAAGACAAAAGUCAAGGCACAAAAGAGAAAAUUUUCGUGGAAGCUCUCUCAUGCCUCCCCCCUCUUGAUGCUCACUCCCUCAUGGUUUCGUAGAGAGAGAAAGAGAGAUUCUUCUCUGAAUUUUGGACAUCUUGUUCUUUUCUCCUCUCUCUCCUUUCUUUUAUUUGCACUUUUGUUAUUUCUUUUUAUUUUGUUUUGUGUCUUUGAUUUGUAUUUUAUAAAUAACAAAAGUACAAGUAAAAUUCAGCUUCUUCAAUGAAGGAACUGAAUUUUAAUAUUUUAUCCCCUCUUUUCUUUUAUUUGUAUUUUUGUUAUUUAUUUUUUAUUUUAUACAUCUUUAAUUUGCCGAUAAAAUUAAUGAUAUAAUCAAAAAGUUAAAGCUAUGCUCCGAUACUAGAUGGGCAUCACUCUUUAAUUUGGUCAUAAGCGAAAUCCAUGCAAGUAGCACGUUCCAACUACUCGAAUCCAACGAUGCAUGCUCCCUGGCCAAAGCAUUGGGCAUCACCAUAAGAACCACCGGCAUAGUGGUCUAAUCCUCAAGUCUCAAUGUCAGAUUUUCAAAAUAUCUUUUAGUUAGGCCCAAUUUAGGAAAUUUGGAUUUUAGUUAAAGUUGAGAUGGCCAUUAUCCGCUUCAUUUGUAAUUUAGAAAUAAUGUCUUAUUUUCCUUCUCACCAAGCCUCUUUCAUUUUCCCCGAUCUCUCGUUCUCUCUUAUCUCAUGAUCAUCGAGUCGUCCAGUCCCCACCAACCCGCCACCGGGCCACCUUCGAGCCCUGAGCCCUGCUACUCACCGUAUGCUUGCUCGGUCAAUCUUUUCUCUCUGUCUUUCUUCUCGUGUCUCGUCCACAUGUCAGCGAGUUACAAAGCGAGUGAUGGGACGGACUCACUUUUUUGCUCGUGUCAUGGUCUCCCUCCCACUCCCCCUCUCUCCAGCAAGUGGCAAAACAGGUUUUUACUAGCCUGUUAUGAUGUCUUCAAGCUUUUUGAAUUUAGGACGUGCUAUUUGAAUUUCUCAUGGAGAGCAAAAGCAAAAAAUAAAAUAAAAUAAACAUAUUUUUUUUUAUAAUUUCGGGCCGUGCCAGACCCUUGGAUCUGGGCCAUAUGGCAUGGCUUCAGUCCGGGCCAGGUCCUCAGUCACACAUUUUUGGACUGACCCCCAAAAUAAGAAAAAGGUUUUGCUCCGAUCCUUUGGCCACGAGGCCUUUAUUGGCUUCCACAGCUAAUAGGUGGUCCAGCGAAUGACCGCGGAGCCGUUGGAGAAAAUAAGGGACGAUAUUCUUCCAUAUCAGCUAACCUCACAAGUUUUCGGAGAACGGUUUGGUUUCGCCUCUUCUCUAUGUGUUUUUCCCCUUUUUGGGGUUCCUUUUUUCUCUCCCCUUUCUCUCAGCAUUGUGUAAUAUCAGCUCAUGCGAGCGAGCCAAUCGUGAGAAUUGCUUGUAAUUUUCUUGUUUUUCGUUUCUUUUCUUGGCAAAUGAAGCAACACCUAAAACUCCAAUCGCAUUUCAUUAAAUUGGGUAUCAUUCAUCCGGCCAAACCUACAACUUGAGGUGAGUUGUUUUCUCUCGUAACAAAAGCGGGAACACUAGCAUCUUACUAGUCGAAAGUUAAAAAGACUUUUAUCAAGAUACAAUAGUUGGAGCUAUAUAAUUCGUGAUAAAAUAUCGUGCUCUUCUAUUUCCUAUCGAUCGAGUGACAUGCAAAGACUAACAUAAUUUCUAAAAUAAAGGGUUUAUUGUUAUUAGCCCGUGAGAAGACCCAGGAAAAGGGCGAAACAAGAAUUGAAAACUUGUCAAAGAGGACAAAGGAAGAGCAAAUUCUUAUCUGGAUGUGGGGAAUCAUGACCAAAGGGGUUCUCAUCGUUGUCGUUAACCGUUGGAGCCCCGCACGUGAUUAACGGCUCGAUCUCGGGUGCAUGAAUUUGGAUCCAAGGCGAAAAGAGGGAAAGGGCCCCGUCCUGAGUGAUGUUUUUAUGUGAUGGGCCUAAGUUGGCCCGUCCGCCCAUGUUGGGCCUAAAAGCCCGGCCCACAAGAUUAGGACCCAUGGAUGGAGGGAUAUGAUGAAGGGGUACGUUUCUAUUUUGGAGGAGACGUAUAUAAGGGAGGAAAGAGAGGGAGGACGCACCUUUUGGCAUUUGUACGUAUGUUCCUCUCUCUCUCUCCCUCCAAAAGAAAAACUAAGGCUAAAGGCGACGUUGUCUUCCCUUCAAAGCCAAUCGACGUCAUCGGAUCGAACGACAUCGGUUUUCUCUUCCUCUAAUAGGCGUCGGUGUUUAAUCUGUGGCUAACAAGGUACGCUCGAUUCCGUGAUGUGCUUUAGGAUCUGUGAUACAUGUUUUUUUUUUUUUCUGGGCUCGUCUAUCGUUUUAGCGGUUUGAUUUUGUGUCGAAUCCGCUUUUUGGGAAUCCGACAAUCCCAACAUUGGUAUCAGAGCCCUAGUUCAUGUUUUCCCGAACCCUUUCAUGUUUAUGAAUGAUUUUUGAUUGAUUUUUUGUGAAAAUAAUCGGCUGACAUGGAUCAGGGCGAAAAAUCCCGGCACCCGAGCACUGUUCAUCCAUUUUUUCGAGUUUUUGUAAGUUGAAAUCGAUUUCUGAUGGCAUAAGGUGAAAGAGCUCAUCGAGACGAGUCCGUCGAUGGGUCGAACGUCGCCGAGAGACGCCGAACGCGCCCACACGCACGGCCAGAAGCCGCUGCGCGUGGGCGCCACGCGCCUAAAGCGUUGGCACAGCCAGCGCGUGUGCCGCACGCGCUGGUCGGCGAACCGGCAAGCGCCAAUCGGCGAAUCGACGCGUGAUGACGUCACCAUGAUGCACCAUGAUGUCACCCAACGGUCAGUAACCGUUGGGAUGACGUCAUCGAUGACAUCAUUGAUGGCGACAGUUGGCCGACCGGUCACCGACCCGACCCGACCGGCGAACCGACUCAACCCGAGACGCAACCCAACCUGAGAUCCGACCGGUCGCUCGUGCGUGCGAGGCACGUGCUGGGUCGGUUCGUCCGACCCGGUCCAACCGGCCCAUCCGAUCCGGCGACCCGACCGACAACCGUUGACCGUUGACCGUUGACCAUCGUUGACCAUCGUUGACUUUUGACCGUUAACGACCGUUGACCAUUGACAAAAAAAAAUGAAAAAAAUGUGUUUCUUUUUCCCAAUUAAGUCUAUGUGGAUUAUAUAUGAUCCCUUAUUUGUUCUGCAUUUGUUGCAGGAACAAUGCCUCCCUUGAGGUUGGGCACACCUAUUCGCACAAUUACCGAUGAACAAAAGAAAAUGCUUUCUAAGUUGAUAGCUAAGCUGACUGAUCAUCGAUGGAAGAGUAGUGACUUAAUUGAUCACGUCCUUGAAGUCAACGGGAAAAUUCAAAAGAUCAUAUGGAAUGGUCGUCCUAUGCCACAGUCUGAGAUGGUGCGUUUUUUCAUGAACACCCUUCCACCAGAAUGGCAAGGAGUGUUGAAUCGCAUAUGAGAUGUCAACAGAGCUGCUUCAUAUAAGAAAAUUGUGAUGGAUUUUAUAAAUGAAUAUUAUUGGAUUGUUACAAAGGAAAAGAUCAAGAAAUUGAACAAAAGAGGAUUGUUCCCAGUUCGUGUAUUGACUUGGUGUUAGUUGUAUUGGCUGAUCUUUGUUAGGUGUGCUUUGUGGACAUCUUAUGUUUACUACUUGAUUGUUGUUGAUGUAGCAACCAAUAUGUUAGUUGAAUUAUGUGAAAGCAUUAUUAUUCUAUUGGUUGUCAAAUAUUAUUUGCUUUCUGUUAUUGUUGGUUGCUGUGGGUAGUUCAUAGAAGUUUUUGUAGCUUCAUAAACUUUAUUUUGCAUAAGACAAUUAUAUUAAUGAUAGUUUUAAGUUAGGAUUUUUGGAGGACGAUUAGAAACAUAGUGACCUUUUGAUUCUGAAACAUUACUUGAAAUUGUUCAUUAAUAUGAUGGGUCUGUGCAAAAUGGAUGCAUAAAUUAUAAGCAUUAAUAAUUCGUGCAUAUAUGUCUGAUGUGUUCAGAUCAAUGACUUUAGCCACAAAGAGCAUAGUUGCCAAGCUGAACAAAGGUGAAAAGCUCAAUGGCGACAACUAUGAAAUCUGGCACAUGAAAAUCCAAUAUGUGCUAGAAGAGCAAGAGGCACUAGAGGCCCUUAACUUGACCAUGGUUGAACCUGAAGAAGGAAACACUGCACAGCACAAAAGAGAUAAGGAAACAUUCACUGCAUGGAAAAGAAAGAACUCUCUUGCUCGCAUUACGUUGCUGAGCAGCAUGGAUAAUGACGUCAUGCGAGAGUUUAGGCGUUUUGACAAUGCCAAGGAAAUGUGGGAAACAUUGGCAGCAAGAUUUGGUCAUAUUUCGGUGACCAGACUGUUGACACCUAUUUUUAGCAAAUCUAGGAAAAUAAGGAAAAUAAAAAUUGCAUUUUUUGGACAAAUAAAAAGAAAAAAUGAAAAUGGGGUAAAUUGAUUUGAUUGAAGUAUGCAAGGAAAUAUAGAAUUUUGAUGGAUGUUCGGAUUUUGUUAAAUGCAGCAAUAAUUUUAAAAUCAGGUGAACAAAUGGCAAUGAUUUUGAUAAAAUGGAAGGAAUCGAUGCAAAAUCGAGCUGAUUGCGAAAUCAUGCUCCGAUUUGCAUCCAUGAUUUAAUGCAACAGAAGAUGGAAGUUUAAAAUUUUCCCUAAAAAACGGUCGAUCGAAAUCACUAUAAAAGGGGUUGACCUGCACAAAAAAAAAAAAAUUGAGAGAGAAUCCGCUAAAAAAAUUCGUGCAAGAGGGAGAGAUUUUUCGAAAUUUUGGAAAAAAGAAGGCGGGAAAUUGUGAGAUUUUCGAGGAAAAUUGAGGAGCGAAAUUCGAAAAUGAGACAAGCUCCCUCCGUUGAUCUUUAGCCGAAAAGAAAGUGAUCUUUCUUUUCUCUUCUGACAGGCUGCAAAAGAAAAAGGAAAAGUCAGCCACUACAGUGAGGGAGACGUGAGGGACGUGUGAGGUGAGUUAAAAAAAAAAAAAAAAUCAAAAGAAGGCCACUGUUUGUCUUCCUCGUGCAGCCCCCACUUCGACGCCGCAGCACCUCCAGACGCUGGCAUCUCCCUUUGCCGGCCACUGUUGCUCUGCUUGCGACCCAGCGACGCCGCUGCCGCAACCUGCGACAGCCCGCGACCCCCUCGCGCCGGUCACGUCGUCCCGCUAGCCGCCGGAGAUCCCUCUCACCCACGAGCUUGCGCCACCACCUCACCCGCGAGCUCGCACCGCGCCCCCGCCAACGCCUGCAACUCCGGAUCCGCUGCCCGACGCCACCGGAGACCACACCGCCCCUGCUCCCCUCCGCCCGAGUGCCACACAUCCUUGCUACUGCACCACCAGAGCCCGACGCCUCCGCCUUGCCUCGGGCGAUCCGCGGCCAGGCGCUGCGACCCAAGCUGCGCCUCCCUUGCCGAGCGCUGCUUCGCCCUUGCCGGACCUCCGAUCAGCCACCCUUGGUCGGCCCUACGGCUGCCAAGCCCAUUUUGAGAAAAAAUAAAAAAAUAAAAGAGAAAACACAUUAGGUAGUUUUCUUUAUUUUAUUUUAUUUUAUUUAUUUUAUUUUAUCUUGCUCUUUUUAGUAUAAUUAGCCUUUAAUAUAUGAUUGGAAAUUCCAACAUAUCACCCGAUUCGCAACCGCGCCAGGGUUUUUUUAUUUCAUCUAUAAGGCCUUAGAUGAAAUAAUUAAUUAAGCGGGAAUAAAAUUGAUAUUUUGAUCUUUAAGGCUUAAGAUCAAUUUAUCGAUUUUAUCAGCGAAAUAUUACCCAUUGAUCUGAACGACGUGUGAUAUUUUUUAUGAUUUUGGAUGAUCUGUUUUGUCCUGGUUGUUUUAUUUAUCUUGACAUGUGUUUGAAUUAGAAUAUCGCAUGCUUUAGGGUAAUUUACAUAUUUAGACUAAGCAUUUUAUUUAUUUUGAAUUUUCGAAAUAAAAAAUAUACCAAAAACAUGAAUUUGGGAUGUUAGAUUUUCAUUUCAUUAAUUUGAAUUGCAUGUUUAAUUAUUUGGCAAUUAUUAAUUUCGAAAUUAAACAAAAAACGAAAAAUCAUCAUAUACAUGUCAUGUGGUGUUAAAGCAUAUUUCGCACGUCAUUGCAUAUUAAGACUAAAUUGCACUUAGUUCAAUUCUAGAUAAUUUUUUUCCUUAAUUUGUUAUAAGUUUAGGUAUUUUUUUUAGAUAUAUUGCAUUUUAGGAUUAUUUAGGUUAAGAUAAUGUUUUAGUUUAAAUUAGGAUUUGGCUCAACCUAAUUCCUAAUAUAAAUUAAAUAGGAUCUUAAUCUAAUUAGGCAAUUUUCACAUUUCACCUGAAAAAUAAAAAAAAAAUGUCAUAGGUUAAAUUAGUUUUAUUAUUCAUGAUAAAAUGCAUUCUUUUAGGAAAAAGAAAAAAUGUCAUAUACACGUCAUUAGGGCUAGAUUCACUGGGAUGCAUGUCAUUUAGUAUUUUUUCUAGGCCUAUUUAAUUAGAAAUUGCAUGUUAUUAGAAUUAGGUCAUUUAGUUAAUAUUGCAUUGCAUAUUGCAUGAUUUUUCAUUAAUUAAGUGAAAACAAAAAAAGAAAUUGCGUGGUAAUUAGAAACCAUAUCUAGGGUUGUUGAUGCGGUUUUUAACUUAACAUUGCAGAUGCUUUCGUUGCUUGGAGGUAAGUUUUUGCAAUUUAUUUAUUGUUUAUCUGGGUGUUAAAUUGGUGAAUUGCGCACCCGCAUGAUCACCUCACAUGUUAGGAAGUAGAUUUAAAAUUAAUCCGAACUGCCUGCAAAAAUAUAUUUUGAAAAUUAAUGGAAAUGGUACCGAAAGGGCAUUAGAAAAUUCUAGUGUAACCAAGUUCCCGUACCCUUAAUCUCUGGUUCGUAGGAGUAAAAUAAAUCUCCCUUUAUUUUACUUAGGUGUCUAAUCGACCUACCAUAAACUGAUUAGUGGCGACUCUUAGAUAAUAAUUUUUUGCAUGUUAAGAAACUUGAACCUUUAAGUCGCGAAUUGGUAUGGGCCUGGGAGAGCCCGAGCUAAGUUUGAAGACUUAGUAGUCCAUUAACCUAGUUUUAGGUGGUGCGCCAAAAAAAAAAAAGGCUGCGACACAGACUGAGGCAGCUCACUAUUAGGUUUGACUCUUAUAAGAAGUCUCAUGAUCAAACCAUGAAGCAACAUCUUAGAAAGAUAUCAAACAUGAUAAAUGAGCUGAAAGAUGCUGGCCAUGUCCUGACAGAUGAGCAGCAAGUGCAAGCAGCGAUUCGUUCCUUGUCUUAGAGUUGGGAGCAUAUGAAGGUGCACCUGACCCAUAAUGAUAAUAUCAAAACCUUUGAGGAUGCAGUGCGUCAUCUUGAGCUGGAAGAGAACCGCCUCUUGGCGGCUAAGCCGGAAGCUGAAAUCUAUCAUGCUGGUUCUAGCUCACAUGGAGCUUCGAGCUCUAAGCGCAAACGUCCUAACUGGUUUGAUAAAGGGAAAGACAAGGAAGCAGGUCCUUCAGGGAAGAAACCCAAGCUUAACCAACAUGAAAGAGGAAAGCGCCCUCAAAUGAAGAAGCUUACAAGGGUGAAGUGUUACAACUGUGACAAGAAUGGUCACUAUGCUCGCGACUGUCGUGAGCCAAAGAAGGUAAACACUCCUUGUACUUUUCAGAACUUUACUUUUGUGUCGAGUUCUGUAUUCUUAACUGAGUCUAAUCCUUUGUGGACUGUAGAUUCAGGAGCGACAGACUAUGUAGCGAAGGAUAAAGAAUCUUUCGUGGAAUUUCGACAAGUACCAACUGGAACUAAGUGGAUCUAUGUGGGAAAUAACUCCAGAGCUGAAGUAAAAGGAAUUGGCACCUGCCAACUGAACAUGCGUGGUGGACGCACUUUGUUCCUACAUGAUAUAUUGUAUGCUCUGGAGAUUCGUCGGAAUUUAGUGUCUGUUUUGGUGUUGGUUAAACUAGGUUUUAAUAUGAACUUCCAUAAUAGAGGUGUGGAUUUGUAUUUGAAUACAAACUACUAUGGUUGUGGUUAUUUUCUGGAUGGUUUCAUUGUAUUAGAUAUUGAUUAUGUUAAUGCAAAUGUGUGUUAUUCCAUUCUCACGUCUACUAAUUCGUAUGAUAAUGAUGUAAAUGUGUAGCAUGCUAGACUUGGUCAUAUUGGCUAAUAACGUAUGAAUAGAUUAGCCAAAGAGGGCUUGUUGGGCAACAUUGAAAAAGUCGAUUUGCUCAUAUGUAAGCAUUGCCUAGAAGGGAAAACAACAAGGAAACCAUUUGGAAAAAUGUCAAAGAGCUGAAUUUCCUCUACAUUUAAUCCAUUCUGACGUCUGUGGUCCAAUGAAUGUGAGAGGAAGGCAUGGGGCUGUUUAUUUCAUCACUUUUAUAGAUGAUUAUACUCGAUUCGGAUAUGUCUAUUUGAUUUCUCAUGAAUCUGAAGCAUUGAGUUGUUUCAAAAGAUUUAUAAACUUGGUAGAAAAUCAAUUAGACAAGAAAAUAAAAGCAUUGAGGUCCGAUCGAGGUCCGAUCGAGGUCGAGAAUAUUUAUCUGAUGAGUUCAGAAAAUUAUGUGAUGAAAAAGGAAUAAAAAGACAGUUGUCUAUUCCAUAUACUCCUUAACCAAACGGUGUUGUAGAGAGAAGAAACAGAACCCUACUGGAAAUGGUUAGGUCCAUGAUCACUUUUUGGAGUGAUGCGUUGUUAAUUGCUGCCAUAUACUUAACCCGGUGCCUUCUAAAUCAGUUACUUCCACGCCAUAUAAGUUAUGGACAAGUAAAAAACCGGACUUAAAUUUUCUUAAGCCAUGGGGUUGUGCUGCCUAUACUCAUGAGUCCUCUCACAUGUUUGGAAAAUUGGGUCCCAGAGGAAAGAAGAGUAUUUUCAUAAGAUACUCCGAACACUCGAAAGGGUAUGUGUUCAUAGGUGAGCAGGAAAGUAGGAAUAUAACUGAAUUUGAAUCACAAGAUGUCACAUUCUUAGAGGAUGAAUUUCCUAAGAAGGGCGAAAUAUGGGAAGAUUACUCCCUAUUUGAAAUCUUGGAUCAAGAUAAUGAUAUUAGUGGAGUUCGUCCAAGUGGGAGUAAUAUGAGAAGUGAUGAAUUGAAUUCAACUUAUUCUCAAUUGCAACCACAUGAUGAGACAACGUCAUCAUUAUCUAAUCCAAGUGGGAGCAUAAUGGGGAAUGAUGUGCAAAGUGUACAAUUUCCCAUACGGCGAAUAAGUCGCAAAAGUAUUCCUUGUCGACGUUUUGACAUUGAAAAUGAAACUUUUAUGAUUGCUCUACAAGAUAAGGAUGAGCAAAGAAAUAUUAACGAUGCUCUGAAUUGCCCUAGUAAUGAGAAAUAGAUUCAUGCAAUGGAAGAGGAAAUGGAGUCAAUGAAAUCAAACUAAGUUUGGGAACUGGUUGAUCUUCAAAAAGGACGCAAAGUUAUUGGGAACAAGUGGGUUCUCAAAAUAAAGCGAAAGGUUGUUUGCUCGAUAGAAAGGCAUAAGGCUCGCCUUGUGGCGAAGGGGUAUAAUCAACAAGAGGAAGAUAUGAAGAUACAUUUUCUCCUGUAGUGAGAUUUACCUCGAUUCGCAUUAUUCUGGCAAUAGUGGCUAGUAUGGAUCUUGAAUUACAUCAAAUGGAUGUAAAGACUGCUUUCCUCAAUGGAGAAUUAGAGGAAGAAAUAUAUAUGGAACAACCUACUGGUUUCAUAAUGAAAGGCCAAGAAGAAAAGGUAUGUCGACUUUUGAGGUCGAUAUACGACCUUAAGCAGUCAUCAAGACAAUGGUAUAUACGUUUUCAUAAUGCCAUAAUGGCAUAUGACUUUACAAUGAUAGAUGAGGAUCAUUGUGUAUAUUUAUCAAAAGAUCCAAGGAUCAUUUUGUGAUCAUAUCAUUAUAUGUUGAUGAUUUACUAAUUGCCGGAAGCAAUAUGGAGCUUGUUAAUACUGUCAAGAGUUGGUUGUCUUCCAACUUUGAGAUGAAGGAUAUGGGUGAGGCUGCAUACAUUCUUGGAGUUAAGAUUUCAAGAGAUCGUUCGAAGAGACCAUUAUCUCUUUCGCAAGAAACAUAUAUAAACAAGGUUCUUGAACGAUUUCGUAUGUAAGAUUGUAAAUCUAUAAACACUCCUAUUGCAAAAGGUGAAGGAUUGAGCCAUAGACUGUGUCCAAAGACUCCACAAGAGAAUGAACAAAUGAAGUAUGUUCCUUAUGCUAGUGCUGUUAGGAGCUUGAUGUACGCUAUGAUGUGUACAGACUUGACAUAUGUUUUGCAGUUGGAAUGGUGAGUAGAUACCAAUCCAAUCCAGGUCUAGCACAUUGGAAAGCCGUUAAGAGAAUACUAAGGUAUCUGAAGCGAACUGCUGAUUACAAGUUGAAUUACCAAGGAAAGGAUCUGCGACUUGAAGGCUAUUCAGAUGCUGAUUGGGGAGGAGAUUUAGAUGAAAGAAAAUCUAUCUCUGGAUUUUCUUUCUUAUUGAACAAUGGCGCCAUAUCAUGGAGCAGUAAGAAGCAAACGUGUAUAGCCUUGUCAACGAUGGAAGCUGAGUUUGUGGCAUUAUCAGCAGCGGUACAAGAAGGAGUUUGGCUUAAGAGAUUUUUGGAUCAUUUAGGUGUUAUUGAGAAAGCUGCGAAUCCAUUAUUGGUUAACUGUGAUAGCAAGUAGCUAUUACGUACACUAAAGAUCCAAAAUAUCAUGGCAAGACCAAAUAUAUAGAUACCAAGUAUAAAUUUGUCAAAGAUACGAAAGGAUGUGAACUUACAGUACAUAUCUACGAAUAGAAUGGUAGCAGAUCCUAUGACAAAGCCAAUAUCUAGAGAUGUGUUUUGCGGUCAUGUAAAAUCUCUAGGAUUGCGUAAAGUUUGAUAUACUGGAUUGUAAUUUCCCUGAUUUGUUCACAUUUAUGAACUUGUGUUUUUCAUUGUUAAUGCCUAUGAAUCUUUGUUUGAUCUUUAUGCAUCUUAAUGCUCAGUGCAUUAUUUUAAGUUGAGAAAAUAUGUCGGACAUAUAUAAGAUUAGCCUACUUACAUGGGUAAUCGCCUCUAUUUACUGUGUGAUAAAUAGAGAUGAGACUGUUUUUAAGCUUAUUAUCUAGGUGAUAAUCGAGAGCUCAAGUAUUUUAUUUUAUCUGUCUAUGAUGUCAGAUGUGAGUUCUGAUGAAUUUUGUGAAUGAUUAAAUACGUGAACUCAAGUUUGACAUUGGGUAUGUCUGAAUUAUCAUAUGUACGGUAUUGAAAGGUGUAGACAUACGCUCAAUGGGAAAUGAGUUAAUACCGUAAUACGUAUUUCAUACUACGUAUGCAUGAGCCGACCAAUAAGAGUGUCAAAAGUUUGAUCUCAACUUUUAUGCCGUAUGAGACUCUUGAGGAAAAGAGUUCCUCAAUUUUAGUGCCCUCAUGACUUUUACUUAUUCUAAAGAUUUCUAUUUAGUGUUUGCUAUCUUAGGAUGUUGCCAAUGGUCAUGAGUAGAUUCAAUCUAAUGGGACAUUUCUAGAAAAGCAAGCUAAACUAAAAUUGAGAGUUUGAAGGAAAGAGGAAGAUCGAAUUUGGAGAAUCACAUUGUGUUUUUGUAUUCACUGGUCGACCAAUUAUGACUGUCUCUGGGAUAAUCAAAUUGAGAUAGAUAUAUAUAUCAUUGUUUAAAAGAGAUCAAGAGAGAUAUAAAUGUGAUCGAUCGAUCUAGGGUACUGCAUACUAAAUCUACUCAGAGUGUGAUGCCCAUUAUGAGCUGUUAUAUAUUCCUAACAGAUGUAUAGCAACGAGCUCUCAAAGUAUGCUGGUCGCACGGAUUAUUCAUUGGUAUGAAUAUUGAAGUGAGGUAAAGAGGAUCUUGUUCGGCCCACCAUGUGCGAGUGGGAGAUGAUUUUUUUUUAUGUGAUGGGCCUAAGUUGGCCCGUCUGCCUAUGUUGGGCCUAAAAGCCCGGCCCACAAGAUUAGGGCCCAUGGAUGGAGGGAUAUGAUGAAGGGGUACGUUUCUAUUUUGGAGGAGACGUAUAUAAGGGAGGAAAGAGAGGGAGGACACACCUUUUGGCAUUUGUACGUACGUUCCUCUUCCUCUCUCCCUCCAAAACAAAAACUAAGGCUAAAGGUGACGCUGUCUUCCCUUCAAGGCCAAUCGACGUCAUUGGAUCGAACGAGAUCGGUUUUCUCUUCCUCUAAUCGGCGUCGGUGUUUAAUCUGUGGCUAACAAGGUACGCUCGAUUCCGUGGUGUGCUUUAGGAUCGGUGAUACAUGUUUUUUUUUUUUUCGAGCUCGUCUUCCGCAUUCGUUUUAGGGGUUUGAUUUUGUGUCGAAUCCGGUUUUUGGGAAUCCGACAAUCCCAACACUAAGGAUGAUCAGGCGCGGGAGGAGGGAGGGAACACGGUAAAAGCGGUGAGGUGGCGGGGCAGCGGAGUGCACCGGCAGACUACUCCUGUUCAAUUUCGAUUGGGUUUGUGAGGUUAAUAAUAAUUCAGACGCACACUCAUUAAUGCCACAUUCCAAGCCUAAAUGAACUAAAAAGGACGUGCUUCUGGAUGUCCUUAUCCUUUCUCGUUAUGUUGUUCUUCAUUUUGAAUUUGAAAUAAAGGGUCAUGACCUAGUUAAAAUUAUGGGUUUUAUUUUUCCCACGGGGAACACCAAAGAGGUUCAUGAGAAAAUAUAAUGAGAAAUCUUCCAAUGGCUUGUGGAAUUGGAAAAAUGUGAUGAGAUGGUUUGGUUAUCAAACGGUUGGGAUGAAUUCGUAGAGCAUUAUUCUAUCUGUGUGGGACAAUUUUUGCUCUUCAAAUCUGAAGUGGACUCCAUUUUCAUGUAAUCAUAUUUGAUAAAAGCAAGUCCAAGAUAGAAUAUCCGCCAAUAAAUGCCAAUGGGACGAACCGACCCUCAGUAGUUGGGCAUUUGUCUGGCUGAAAGUGGAAGAUGCCGACGAUUUCCAUGAUGUUUCGGUCAAGCUUGAAGUCUAGGGGGAAGAAUUGCAUUCACCCAAGUGUCCUCGGCUUUGUAAGGGAAUGGAAUCAGAUCGGGUUUGCGAAGUUCAUGACGGUUCCUAUGCACACUCAUCAGCACGGAGUUUGCGAAGAGAUGGAAGUUCGAACUGCUUAUCAUGAGAUUUUCGAGGUAUGAAUCUUAGUCUAUGAGCUGGUUCUCCAUUUGACUAUGUUCUCGUGUUUGAUUCCAAUUCCGUAUUCCAUAUAGGAACUCUCCACGUGAUUUGGCUAAGAGAGGGAGCGUUAAAGAUAAUUCAUCCUUGUAGUGUUUAUCUAUCUCUAGCUUUCCCAUGUGUGCAUAUGUAUGUUUUAGGGGAUCUCAUAAAUGUCAAGCCAAUGGAAACAGGCCGAAUGAGUCUUAUCGGAUUUGAUUGUGCUGAAAAUGACAUUGGUGUGCAUAUAGGCCUCGAAAGCUAGACCAUUAGAAAGACCCAGAUCCAUCAAAUUGGGGUUGAUGUGUCGGGAAAUAUGAAUUUCACAUAAUAAGAAUAGCAUAUGCCUAAGCUUUCUUCAUGUUCUAAUUUGCGACUGUUGCAGAUAAACUGAAACAACUGGGCUUGCGCAGAGUUGUCAAAUCGGCCAGCAAAAUUAAACCGACCACAUUGCGGUGAGGUCAAUAUAUCUAAAGAAAAGCAAUGUGGUAUGAUCCUCCUGACAAUGACAACACUUGAAUUUAAAUCACAGAGUCGCUAAACUAUAUUUGUGACAUCCUGAAAUUCGACCCCAUUUCGAUAAAGUGAAAUGGACAUUUCGUCAACGUGCUUAGGGUCCUUUUUCUCUGAACUGAUCACUCACGAGUUAACUAACCAAUUGGGUGAAGCCGUUAAGGGACGUAUCUGCAGUAAAAUCCCUAAAAGCUACUCAAUUUGUUGGAUUGGACUAAAAUCACGUUUGAUCGAUUUUUAACCACGAAAUUGAACUCGAUUUCGGGAAUCGAAUUUUAAGCGCGUCAUAAUUCUUAUUUUUAGGAUCCUGUCUCAUCGUUCGUCAAUUUAUUGACGAGUCCGAAAUUUCAAGAAAGAAAUUAUCGGAAGAAAAAUUAAAGCACGAAAGAAAAUAAAAAGAGAAAGAGAAGAGAAAAUAAAAUAAGAAUAAUUAUAUUAGUUUUACUUUAUUUUUCCCUCUCUCCCUCUCUCUUCUUUUCUUUCUUUUUCUUUCUCUUCUCUUCUCUCUCUCUUCUCUCCCCUCUCCCUUUUUCCCCUCGUGCAAUUCCCCCACCGCCUACCUUUUCUCUCUCUUUUCCCUCUUUGACCGGUCAAUACCUAUCCUCUCUGUCUCUCUCUUUCUUUUUCUUCAUCUUCCUCCCCGUGCAUCCGAAGAAGCGUACCAGAAGAGGAAGCUUGAGCAGAAGCCGCUGCUCACCGCCCGUCCCGUCGCUCGCACCCGCGACGCCCGCCCGCGCACGUCGUGCGCUCCGCCCCGCGUCCGUCGCCGCUGCCGCUCCUUCCUCGCGCGAAUCAGCCCCUGCUCAGCUCGGUUCCGUCCCGACCAGCCCCCGUCCGGCCACCUCCAGCCGCCGUUCGACCUCGCCGGACUUCCCCGGCGUCCCCCUCGUCCUCCGCCGGCCUCCCCUCGCCGUUUUGGCCGCCGGAGCAGCCCCGGCCAACCCCGACCAGCAACCCACGAAAUGGAUUUCUAGCGGCUUUAGGCCCGCUUUGAGCCGUUCCGAGCCCCGAACCCGAGCCGUGCUUUGGAGUUUGUUAUUCCUCGUGUCGCCCCCGUCUGAUUGAUCCGAUUUGCACGCGAUUUGGUGAGUAAUCUCACUAAUCUGGAUUAGUUGGCUAAUUAUGUUUAAGGUUGGUUUAUUUUUAAUUAAUUAUGUUUAGGUUGUUAGAUUAGAAUAAAUUAGCAAUUAUUAGUCAAUUGUGAUGCGAUUUAGAUAAAUUGAUUGCGUAAUUAGCAAGUAGACGUGGUCUACUAAUUAUUGGAAGUAUCUCGGGAAUUUUCCGACCCAUAAUCGGGCUUCAAUUUGGCGAUUCGGACCUAAGUGGGAUUUUUGGCAUUUAAAUAUUAUUUUUCGGAAUUAAAUUAAUUUUUUAUUUAUUUUCCGAAAAUUCAACUGGGAUGGUCAGUGACCGGAAUAUUAUCUUGAUGACUGUGGUGAAGUCCGUUUAUUUAAUCGCGCUUUAUUUUGAGCUAAAUUGAAUUUUUAAUAUUAAUUAUUUAAUUUUCGAAAUUAAUUAAUUAUUUAUUUAUUUCCUGAAAAUUCAACUGGGAUGGCCCGUGACCGGAAAUUUAUGCUGGUAAUCGUGGUGCAGUCCGUUUAUUUAAUUGGGCCUUAUUUUGAGCUAAACGGAAUAUUUAAUAUUUAAUAAUUAAUUUUCGAAAUUAAUUAAUUAAUUAAUUAUUUUUCGGAAAUUAUGAUUGAGAUGGUCGACGACCGAAAUCUCGUGCUGAUUGUCGUGGCACAGUCCGUUUAUUUAUUUGAGCUUUGAAUUGUGCUGAAUUGAUUUAAUUGUGGAUAUUUAGGAUAUAUUCCUAAAUUGAUUAUUUGGGUAAGUUGAGUACGAAUUAAGGUUGUGUAUAAUUACUUUAGAAAUGUGAUGAAUCAUCAUGAAAGGCACGUGGCUCGGUGAAUAGUACAUCAUCUCGGAGAAUGCACGUGGCUCGGCGAUUUGGUAUAUCGCUUCGGAGAAUGCACGUGGCUCGAUGAUUAGUACGUCGCCUUGGAGAAUGCACGGGGCUUGAUGAUUAGAUAUAUCACCUCGGAGAAUGCACAUGGCUCGGUGAUGAAGUAUGUCGCCUUGGAGAAUGCAUGUGGCUCGGUGAUUAAGUGUGGCAUCUUGAAAGAGACACGUGGGCUCGGUAAUUUGAUGCAUUACCUCGGAGAAUACACGUGGUCUCAAUGAGUACAUUUGGCAUCUUGAAGAGACACGUGGGCUCGGUGACUUGAUGCAUUGCCUCGGAGAAUGCACGUGGGCUCGCUGAUUCAGAAUGGCAUUUUAAAGGGCACGUGGGCUCGGUAAAUUAAUGCAUUACCUCGGAGAAUACACGUGGCUCGGUGAUUGAUUCUAUUAGUUAUGACUAUAUAGCAAUGACUAGAAUGACCUAGAGAUGGUCCGGCUGACAUGUAAUUGACUAGGUCGAUUGAUCAUUGCUUUGAUUUGACGUCGUGAAUUGAUCGACUGAUUGGGAAUGACCGUGAGUGGUCUUGUUGGCAUAUAAUUGACUAGGUCGAUUUGAUCGAUGCUUCGAUCUGUGAUGUGAUUUCUUGGGUGUCUAUUUGAUCUGUGCUAACAUGCAGGUGGGAUCUGAGGCCGAGGUACGUCUUCUGCCCUAUGCGUGUAUAGGCAGCCUAUAGUAUAAUGAUUUACUAAUCGGGCUUAGUGGGGUAGAACUCGCUGAGAUGUAGUCUCAUCCCAGUUUGGGGAAAACAUUUCAGGACUUCGAUGAGGAGCUGAGGAGGAGGAGUCUGAGAAUGAGAACUCGGAGGUGAAACCUGAGGAGAAGGAUUUUUUUGAAAGAAGAAGAUAAUACUGAGAGGAGUCUUAAAUAUGAUGUGAAUAGAAAUAGAGUAAAAAGUUGUGAAGUACUCUGGUUUGUGUUUUGUAUAAAAGGUUUGGUUAUAAGGUUCAAUAUGAAAAAUAUGACCCUGCUUUUCUAUCCCAUUGUUUUAUUGUCUGGGGAUUUAUAACUGCUUCCGCAUGUGCUUAAUAAAUGAAAGGGUCGGCGAUACAUUGUCCUGGGAUAUCGCAUUAUAAAAUCGACCAAGUGAGAAGGAUGUGUGCGUGCCCGAGGAUCGGGGCGUGACAAUAUUAGCUCUAGAUUGAUUGUGCAUCGGGUCAUUAAUUUCUGUUUUUAUCCUUGACAUGCUUUGAAAAGGAUCCUCGUACUGUCUUGGUUAGAAAUCGUUGGUUGUCUUCUUCUUUCUGAUGACAAAACUGCCGAACGUGCGCUUGAGCAAAGAGUUCCCGGUCCAUUCCCAAAGAUGCACUUCAAGAAAAGCCUGUAGACUGUGGCUCUUAUAUAUCAGGACAAAUCGUGGCCGGUGAAGCGCAUUAGCCACGAACAUUAUGGAAAGUCAUCUAUUGGUUGGGCUACUUUCUCGAGAGAAACUUCUCUGAAGGAGUGAGGCUUGUGCAUGUUCGAGUUCUAUUAGAAGGGGCAACGUCGUGUUCAGAGUAUACAUCUUCAAGACCACUAGCCAGAGGUAGCUGAAAAAUCCUAUGCAAUAGGACACGGCAAAGGAAGCAUCACUUUAGCUCAGAAUUGCUUGGCUAAAAUCUGCUUCAAAUUUGACAAAUCAGAAAAAAGCAUGAGUUUUAUUCUAAUGAAUGGAAAGAUACCUUUAAUCGAUCCUAGCGUUACAAUCACCAUGUGGGGAUGAGUCAUGAGUCAUGAGACGGAGGAAGCUAAUUGCAUCUAGUACAAGUCACACAGCCUCAUUUCCUUACUCCUCCCAUAGUAGAUUUCCGUUGUCAUCGGACCACUCUCUAUACUUCAAAACACAAAAGGAAAUUUAUAUUCAUUUAAGCAAAGAGAGAUAAUAAAAGGAUGUAAAAGCCGUCCUUCGAGUCUAUAUUAAUCAAAAUAUUUAGUGCUCUCUUGCAGUUAAUACAUAGAUUCUGAUUAUAAUCGGACAUCUACUGAGCACAACCGAAGAAGAGUUCUAUAAGCCAGCAAUGACAUAAAAAAUAGUUCCACAAGAGGGCUCAACCUCCUCGACUUAUUAAAUGAAUCACAAGGCAAGGAAAAGAGAACUUGGGCAAUUAAUGGCAUUAAACACAAUUAAUGCGAAUUAUGCAGGAAUUAUUAGAAUUAUAGUGAGCUGGGGCUUAGAUGGUGUUCCUUACUCAUGUCAAUUGAUGAUGAUAAAGAAAAGUAACUAUGUGAAAGUUACCAAAACAUUUAAAAAUUUAGUGUCACUUUAAAACUUACAAAAUUUAUUAAUCAGAUAAAAAAAAUUUACAAAUUAUGUACGGUUACAAAUUACUUUCAAUCUGCGGAACGUUACUUACAAAUUUGAAAAACUCUUUUAUGCAUGUGACACUCCAAAUUCCAUAUGGAUUGGAAGAGGGAUAAUUGACCAAUAGAUAAGUGUGAACACGAACCACCCCCGCUAGAUAUUCAUCCCCGCUAGAUAUUCAUCUCCCGAAAAACUUAUUUAGGGGCUUAAAUCAUAACAAACCGGAUUGUUAAUAUUAGAAAAUUUCAUGCCUGACUUAUAGCUCGAACUUGCACAUUAAUUAAAGAUAUUUAACUUUUACUAGCCGAGUGAGUAGACAAAUCUAGCGAGCAAUUAUCUACUUGGUAUUUGGCUCAAAUAAAGGUUGUACUCUACAAUGUUGACUUAAGAAAAGUAUAUAAUUCUCUCAAAUUAAGAUAGGUAAUUUCACACAAAAAUUGUUAAGCGUGAUUGUGGUUGGUGGAGGAGAAACACCUAUGUAGAUAAACCAAGAAAGCGAAUCUUCUUAAUACCAAAGUAAGUUAUACUAGCCAUUUAACUUAAUUCUCCAAAAAAGUAUCAACUUUAUCUGGAGUAUCAAUUCAGGCAUAACCUUUUUUUUGUAACAAAAAAUCAUCAACUUCCAUGCCUAAAUCUGACCCCGAUUAGCUUUCCAUCAACUAUUGGUGUUAAAUGUUUGAUGCAUCAAUUUCACGUCAUUAUCUUUUUCCAAGUCAGAAUUCAUAUAUAUAUGCUGUCUUCUUUUUUCUUUUUUUCUUUUUUCCAUUUUCCUUUUUCUUUCUUCUUCUUCUUCCUUUCACUGGACGAUAACCUGACCACCGUGAGUCAGCCGUACGAUCCAAUCGGACGAGGUCACAUGACUUCCUCUUGGUUAAGUCACCCCAAACAGGGAGGCCAAUCUGUAGUUUCAACACUCUGAAUCCCUUUCGAGUGACAUGUACCAUGAUCUCAUGAAGGUAAAUGGAGUAACGCAAAUUGAGAAGAUUUCAAUCUAUUUUGUAAAGCUCUGGCCACCCAGAAAGAGGACAAGAGAGAAAGAGGUUCAUUUCAAGAACCAUCAUCAGAAGGAAAUUGAAUAGCUACAGUACAAACUGUUAUUCUGAUCUUAUUAUGUGGAUCAAAUCAAUGUACAAAGAGCAUUAGGAUACAUCAUCACGGAAUUGAUAUUCUCGCUCCCUGCUACAGAGAAAGCAAGUUUCCUAUAGAUAUUCUAAUAGGUCUUGUUGACUCUCCAGUUCCCAAAUCACCGCUUUACCAUCCAAUCCUGUCAUUUAGGGAUUGGAAAAUCAGUUGGCCUCUUUAAAAAGAAAGCGAAAAGAUAAUCCACUUCAAGCAUUAAGAAACAUGAGAUAAAAGUACGUUUGUUUGCCAACCUGAAAUGUCGAAGCGUGUUAUGGUCGAACUUCCAGCCUCCCCAAGUGGCACAAUACAACUGCAGUCACACAAAAUUAAUCUUGCGUAAGUCAUUCAUCCCAUGAUAUUGGCAUUUUACUCAUCAACUCUCCUAAUCCACAUCAUCUACUGGACUCAUGUUUGGAAAUGCCAGAAGAAAAAAAUCUGGAGAAGAGUUCAAGCUUAAUAUACAUCGACGCAGGCACGCAUGCAGUCCAAUUAGCACAAGAAAAACAGCUGUAAGAUGACUGUCAUCUUUAUAAUGUAAAAAGGAAGAAGUGAUUGUUAUCAUGUUGAUAGAUACGUUAUGCAGUUCUCGUGAACCCCUCCUCGCUGUCUUGAAUUGUCAACGCCAUCAUACGUUAUGCAAAACGGCGUCGUUUUGGGUUCCGUUCGCCGGAAAAAGGCCACAUCGACGUUUUGGCUGAAUUUUGGCCGGAUUGGCACUCAAGUGAUCCAUUUUACUCCGAUUUUGGUACUUAAGUGUACCUUUCGUAAGUUAUGGCACUUAAGUAUCCCUUUGGGCAAAGUUAAGGCACUUCAGGGGUCCGCACGUCUUAGGAUAUCCAUUGAAAAUGACCAUGAACCUAAUUUAAAGAUUCACCCACAUAAAGUCCCAAUCCCUUUAUCAAUUCAAAUUAUUUUUUUGAAAUUCUUUACCGUGGAGACUAUGGGAGUCUGGAGCAAAAGUAAGUGACAAUGGAUGUCGGCAUCAACUUUUUCCAGUGGAAAAUAAAGCAUGCUUUUUUUUUUUUUGGUAUAGUAUCGCCGAAGGCAUAAGGCAGGUUCAUCAAAUGUAUGGCACUUGGUCAAUUAUUUGGUUACCCACAAACUUUUUAGACGGUUGUACAAUUCCUUACUAAAAUUAGAGAGUAAAUGUGACUUCAAUCAGUAAGGUAAGGUUUUAAAGAUUUUGGCAUUUUCACUUAAAUAAGUAUGAAAGCAGAGUACAAAGAUCAAGAGGAUGUUUCAUCUUUCAAUUGAAAAUUAAAACUGUCCGAGCACUAGAAAUCGGACCUUCAACAAGUCAGAGUACCACGGCUGGAAACUAAACUUAAUCUAGAAAUCGCGCAUCAUGGGGACCUCCAAAAGAAGGAAAAAAGCACGGAAGAAACAAUUGGUGAAAGCGAACGGUGAACCGACCGAACAACCUCUACAUAUGCAUAUAUUUCCAAAGAAUAACCCCGUCUCACUUAUAGGGAUGAUUAUGAGGGGCUCUCUUUCAAAAAAUCUGUGAAAAAUUGAAAGACAAUACAUGAAAAGUCAAAACUUAUUUUCAACUAAUGCUCAACAUUACCUUAGUUGGGUAGAAGGCUCCAAGUUGGCUCAAGUCAUAUAUGUCAAUAAGUAGAAUAUCAUCAAAGUUGCCCUUCAAUAUAUAAAUCAAUAACACGGCCAUUUUAAGUUUUAGAGCUAUUUUGAUUUGCAUACCAUUUCAAAAAUAAAACCUCAAUUUUUUUUCCCUUUCAGUUAGCUUGAUUAUAAUUUUACUUCUCUAUUUUUUAAUAUGAUUUCAUGCCAACACGAGGAGUGGGCUUAGGAAUAGUACCUAAUCCUUUUUUGCGCUCAAAUCUCUUUGCCUUCUUUGUCCCUAAUCAUUCUUGCUUUGUUUCGCUCUUCCAUUAUUCUCUGUCUCUUUGUUUUUGUUUUUGUUUUUUUUUUCUGGGUUUUCUCAACUAAAAAAAAAAAAAAUCAAAGAAAAAUUUAAAAUCGAUGAGACUGUUGAGAAAAAAUGGGAAACAUCACAUUAAAUUCAUCUCAAGAAGUAUUUGUGGUUAAAGAGCAAGAGCAAAAAAACAUUAGAAAAAUCUCAAUUAUAUCAUCAAAUGAUAAUUUUUUUGAUAAUGUUCUGCUUGGGCUAUGAGUGCAUCAACCUCGAAAAUCCACGUCUAUGCUGGCUCCAUCUAUUUGUCUUCUUGACUCCUUAAAAAAGGAAGUCAUGAUAUUUUUUUCUUGGAUUGCUACAAAAUUUAACAGUUAAUACUUUUGACAUUUCACACAUAAUCAAUGAUGAUAUGGGCAUGCAUCUUCAAUCUUCCAUUACCGCUUUAUUGCACCGAAAGGUGAAUUCCCAAGACUGAAAGAGAAAGAUUCCUCUGGUGGGCCUUCCGUUCCACCGAAACCCUUGAAAAAUAGUCAAGAGGAUCUUCUAAAGUCGUUGUGAUGAUUUGGUGUAUACAUGCAUAUUCACACACAUUGGGCGAGGCUAUUCACUCUCCCAAUUUAGCUUAAAAUCACAUCCUUUUAAGUAAACUCAAUUAUUAAUAGACCUGCAUUUUAUUUAAAAAUAAACAAAUCUGCCUUUUCCAAUUUCUCUCUCAUCUAUUGCCUGGUCUAUUUGAGAGUGCUAGUAUGAAUACCUAGAGGGGGUGAAUAGGUGUUUAAAAUAAACCUUGGCAAAUAUAUGCGGAAUAAAAUAAACUUCAAGUAAAAUAAAGGAGUUAAGGAAGAGAAUAAGAACACAAUGUUUAUAGUGGUUCGGCUUAAUCCAAGCCUACGUCCACUCUCCCACGCUAACAGCCUUCUUGGCUGGAUUCCACUAUGCAAUCAACAAGAGAUUACAACUUUGAGUGCAAACACUUAGUAGUAGAUCACACUAUCUCACUAAGUCACUCUUUUGGUAUUUCUCUCACGAUCACAAAUGUUUAAGCUCUCCAAAGACAAGUGUAUGAUCGAAGGUCGCUCAGACUUUGGAAUUAUAAAUUUUACGCUCCGUCUCUUACUUGCUCAUCGGUCCUUCAUCUCCUUAAAUACUCCUCCACUUCCAAACUAGCCGUUGGACAAUAUCUUGAGGAUCGUCUUCCAAUAUACCCAUUGGACAGCUCUGUAUCUAGAAGAUUUGGUAGCCGUUGAGUGACAAAGGUAAAAUCCCAAAUUAAUUCCAAUCGCCCAUACAAACGGAAUCUUGGUUUCCAUAAGUAAAGCUUCUUCGUAUAGAAAGAUCUUAUCUUCAAGAUCCAAUUGUCAAUCAAAUAGAUUGAGUCAAUCAAAUCAAUCUUGAUGUGGAAUCCAAACCAGAUCACUAGCCGUUAUAUGAUUGGGCUUGAGUUACGUUCUGUCAAGUUCUGGAUAUAAAGUCUGAGAGUAAUAGACUUUACAAUCUGAGUCUGAGUGUGAUAGACUUUGCAAUCUGGGUCUGAACAUAUUCUGCUUCUGAACAGAUUUAGCUUUAAGGUCUGAGUUCAGCUCCAACAUAGAGUCUGUCUUAUGGUUCAGCUUCAGCAUAGAGUCUGUCUUCUGGUUCAUCAUUCACGUUCAGUCUGGAAUUUGUUAGAAUGAGCAGACUUCUGAUGUAGAAUAGACUUUGACACUAAAGUCUGGCAGUCUUCAGACUUUGAGUCUUGAGUCUAGCAAUCUUCAGACUUUGAGUCUUGAGUCUGGCAGUCUUUAGACUUUGACACAGAAGUCUGGAAAUCUUCAAAAUAUACUCUAGACAUAUGUUACAUUCAGUCUUCUGGCCGUCUUCUGACUUUGAUAAUAUCUUCUAUAUGUUCUAACAUCUGCAUGGUCUAUUACUCAACCAUCAAACAUGUUAGUAGCCUUUGAUUUAUUUUGUCAUCUUCAAAACAUCAUAAGGGAUUUCCCUAACAAUCUCCCCAUUUUUUAUGAUGACAAAACAAUCUCUGAAUAUGCAAAUUUGUAAACAUGCUUUUAAAGAUAUUAAUUUAAAUCAAAGGAUAUCAGAAGAUAACAAAUAGAUUGAGCAUAAUAAUAUAUAGAAAAUAAUCGCAGCUCAAUAUUAUGCAAUAAAUAAUAUCAACAAAUCAGCACAUAUGCAUAUUCAUAUCUUCUCCCCCUUUUUGUCAUAAUCAAAAAGCGAUUAUGAUGGAAAAAGUAUCACAUAGAGAAUAGAGAAUGAUAACAAAUAUGUCUUGCAUAAUUUCCAAAAAUAAGCUUUUAUAAGGUAAAUCGAAUAUUAAAAAUAUGCAGUAUAGCUCACUUCGAUCAUAUCGGCAAAUAUCCAAUAAAAAUCAUGGAUGCAUCAUAACUUGCACGUACCCUUUCCUUCCAUCCAUAAUAAGAUCACGAUCAAUCCAAAAAGAUUUUUCCAUAAUUGAUCAAGGCUCCCCCUCAAUUUGUUGCAUUUUUGAGAUGAUCACGAUUCUUUCAUUUUUCUUGGAUUUGCUUUCUCCCCCUAUGAUCAUGGCAAUAUUUGCGAAUAGAAACAAUUGUUGCUUGUUGUCGCGACCUAAAUUUUUAGGGUGGGUGAACCACCUAGGGUUUGGCUAAUGGAUUACUAAGUCUUUAAGCUUAGCUCGAACCCUCCCAAGCCCAUACCAAUUCGCGACUUAGAUUCAAAUUUCUUAACAUGCAAAUUGAUUUUAUUUAGGAGUCGCCACUAAUCAGUUUAUGGUAGGUCGAUUAGACACCUAAGUAAAAUAAUGGGAGAAUUACUUUACUCCUACGAACCAGAGACUAAGGGUACGGGGACUUGAUUACAUUAGAUUUCUCUAAUGCCCUUUCGGUACCAUUCUUUUUAUUUUCAAAAAUGUUUGGCAAUUGAAUUGAUUUUAAACUAACUUCCUAACGUGUGAGGUGAUCAUACAUGUGCGCAUACCACCAAUUUAACACUCAAGAAAACAAUUAAAUAUUGCAAAACAUACCUAGGAGCAACGAAAGCAUCUGCAUUGUUAAAUCAGAAUUCACAUCAGCAGCCCUAGAUAUGAUUUCUAAUUAACAAGCAAUUACUCAAUUUUUGUUUUCACUUUAUUUAAUGAAAAUCAUGCGAUGCAUGCUAAUAAUCUAAUAUGACGGGGCAGCAUGACCUAAACUAUAUGACAUGAAGAAAUGGAAUAAUUAAAUGCAAUCUAAAUGACCUAAUUCUAAUGACAUGCAAUGCGAUGCAAUGACAUACAAAAUUAUUUAACCUAAAAUGACAUGCGACCUAUAUGUCAAGCGACAUUUAUUAAAUGACAUAAUCUAAUGACGGGCAAUUUCUAAUUAGAAAUGAACCUAACAAUAAUCACUAAAAUGACGUGCAUUUCAUGGACUUAAUUUUAUAUAACGUGCACAUGAUUUUUCUAUUCUAAAAAAUGAAAUCUAUUCCUAGAAAUUGCAACUAAUUUAUCCUAAGACAAAUUUUAUGAAAUUCGAAAUUUAAAAAUGCAAAGGUGAUCUAGCCAAAUUAAGAUUCUAUCCAAUUUAAACUAGGGAUUAAGUUAUACCAAAUCCUAAUUUAAACUAAGACAUUAUCCAAAUCUAUGAUGCAAUUUAUCUAAUAUGCAAUGACAUGCAGAGAAUGCCCUAAUUCUAUAUGACAUAUGCAUGAUAUUUUAUAUCUUUUGUUUUUUUAUUUAAAAUUCAAAAUUUAAAAUUGCCACGUAAUUAAUCAUGCAAUUAAAAUCCUAACUUAAUGCAUUUUUUUAAAUAUUUUUUUGAACUAAAAUUGCUAUCCUAGAUAUGCAAGAUAACAAGAAAUAUUCUAAAACAACCUGAAUCUUGAUUCAAAAUUUUUUUGGGUUUUUUAGUGAUCAAGCACUUAUCAACUAAACAUUAAAUCUAAACAGUUAAUAUAAUCACUCAAUAAAGGAUCAAGAUAAUUGAAAAAAUAACCUGUCGUCUCACAGGUUAAAUUAACAAUUAUUCUAACCCUAACUAUCACAAAACUCAAAAUAAUUAAAAAUCUAGUCCGAAGUCUUACGGACCAAAUUAAAUAAUUAUCAUGAUUUAACAAUUGAGAUUCUACCAAAAAGCCCAAAAAUUAAAAAUAAUUAGAAAAAUGAUCCGAUGUCUCUCGGAUCAAAUUAAUAAUUAUAUUAAUUUCGGACAAAAUCCCUACGGAUAAUGCAUAUUAAAGUCACAAAUAUUAACAUCAAAUAUUACAAGUUAAAUAGAUGAACUAAAAAUGAGAUAAAAUAGAACAAAAUAAAUAAAAGAAAAAGCUAAACCACCUAAAGAAAGAGGGGCUUGCUGCAGCGUUGAUGGGUGCCGGACGGAGGAUGGCCGGCGUCAGAGCUCCGGCGAGGGCACAGCAGGUGCACAGUGAGGAGGUGUCGCAGGGCGCGGGGCCUGCUGUCGGGCACCGAGGAGACGUGAGCAACAACGAUGUGGGCUCUGGCGGUGUUGGGUUGCGGCAGGAACAGCAGCACGGCGGCGGCUAAGCGUCAGGUCUCGGCGCGGUUCGGCAGCAGUGUCGGCGACGCACGGGUCUUCGGCUCCGAGUAGCAGCAGGCGGCGGUGAAGAGAGUCUCCAGCGGCAACGGGUCACCGGAAUCGUGGGUCAGCGCGGCACGAACAACAGAGGAGAUGCGGGCCGGUACGGGGGCUCACUCGGCGGUGGAACGACGACCAGCUCGGAUCUGCGAUCGUCGGGGCUCUCGAGUGGGCAGAUCAGGAUAGCGGUGGUAUCGCGGAGAGGCGGAGACGCGGCGUGGGUGGCAGGGUGGCGACGGCGCAGGGGCGGAGGUGCGUUGGAGGCUGGCGUCGCGGUGCCGGCGCAACGCACGGUCGGCGCGUCGGGGUCUCCGCGAGUUGCAGCGGCGGCAGGUGAGGAGUGGCUCCGGCGUCACGAACCAGCGCGGAUUGGAGAUGAGGCGGAGAACGCGGAUUGGUUAGGCAGCAGCAGAAACCUGGCUAAAAGCGCCGGCGAUAGGGCCGGCGUGGGUGCUCACGGACGGACACUCCAAAAGGAAGGUCCGGUGUCGUCGGAUCUUGGUUGCAAACGAAAUUGCAGAAGUGGGGCAGCAAUUUGGGGAAGAUGAUGAACAGUAAAGGUCAAAUCAACCUUUACUGUUUCAGCCGCUUCCCCCUCAAACUCACUUCUCUCUUUUACUUUUUUUUUUUUUGGUACUUUCUGCAGGAAAAUUUUCUUUUCUUUCUCCUUUCUUUUCUGAAUUUUUUUCUAGAGAAGCCCCCCCACAGAAACUCCCCACGGAUGGCUUCUCUCUUUCACUUUUUCUGAAUUUUUUUUCAAAGAAGCUCCACACACGGAUCCUCGUACACGGUUGCUUUUAUAGGGGGUAAGAGAUAAGCCUUCAAUUUCCCCUUCAAAUCUAUAUCCGUGAUACAUUUUCACCAACCGAUCACUACUGAUAAAAAUUCAAGAUUACAAUAAAUAUUUACUCGAAAUCCAAAUCUCGCAAAAGAUAAGUCGCAAUAUUUUUUCACACAUGUGCUCUAUCCAAAAGAUUCAUAUCCCGGAAUAAUUUCAAAAUUUUUAUUUUUCACGAGAUAAUUAAAACACAUGGGCUUGGGCCAACCAGCUUGCUUCGUGGGCUUAGUCCAACUAAUUUGAACCCAUUCGCAUUGAUCCGAUAAAUAAAAUGCCAAAUGCAAAUAUAAAUCUAUAUGCUAUAAAGUUUAACUCCUAAUUUCCUAUGCAAUAAAUAAAUAAACUAAAUCGUCAAAAUUUAGGUGUCAACACUUGUUAAACAUAAUAAUUUUUUUUUUCAGUAUUUCCUUUGUAGCAACAACAUCUGCAACGAUCACUUGCAUUUUGAAAUUCGAGGCAAAAAUUUAUUUUCUUCAAUUAAGCUUUUCUCGAAUUUAACCUGCAUCAACUUAACAAAUUUUUUCACAAAUAAGCUGUAAUAAUAUCCACGUGAUAUAUAAUACCAUUUUCUUCAAAUAGAUAAAUUGAAUAGCAUAUAUAAAAUUAUCAAAUAUUAAAAUUCAAAACUAUUCAACAUUUUGUACGAUGCAUAAGGGAUUUCUUCAACAAUUUGCAAAAAUUUGCACAAGGAAUAGAAUAUAGAAUCUCCAUGAUUUUCUGAUUGAGUUUUCCAAAAAUCCAUAUGGAAGAUUCUUUUGUGACCUGCAAAUUCUUAUAUAACAGAUAAUAAUCUUUGCAAGAAUGUCACGUAAUAUCUUCCUUUGAUUUGUGGAUCAAACUUGCUAGAUAUAAUAUAUCUUCUAAGAAUAUAGCAAGAAUAUCCAUGAAUAUGCAGUAAUAUCUUUCGAGAUCAAAGAGAUUUCCUUGAGCAUAAAUUUCAGAUAUGCAUUUUGCAAAAGGAAAAUAGAUAUUUCUGUCACGUGCCAAAAUUGCAAUACCUUAUAUUUAUGACAAAAGAUAUUUGCAAUAUAAUAAACAAUCAUCCAAAAUGCACGUAGAAAUUUAUAAAGCGGGAUGAUAAAAAAAUAAUUCUCUUACCCAGGUAUAUGUUUGAAAUAUACCAUUGAAAAUAAAAAUCAUUACCAAUCUUCAUAGGAGAUAUUUUUCUGAUUGCACCAAAAUUUGUGUAGAUUUGUAAUCAUUCUUGCCUUAUUGAAUUUCCUGCAAUCAACUCAUUUUCUUUUUGGUAUCCAUUUGGAUCCUUCCAUGACAUUAGAGCAAAAUAUAUAAUCUCCAAAUAUUCUUUCUUAAUUCAUCAUAACAGAGUACUCAGAGAAAGAAUAUUAUGCACAAUGAUAUAAAUUCUUACUUAGUCAUGGUACGAUAAAAACAGAGAGAAUAAAAUCUUUGAAUAUCUAAGAAUAUCUUGCAUCAUCACGUAAAACAGAUUUUCACUUUGCAAAAUAUGAUUAAAUCUGAGAGUAUAAAAUUAGACAAAAUAAUCUGAAUUAUCUCAAAUAAUCACACGUACUAAAUCAAAUCUCAACUCACAAAUCAAAAAACAAAUCAUACGAUUCUUUCUUCCAUAAAGCAAAAUAUGAUCAUUAUAAAAUCUCAAUCAACCAAGGAUAUAUCGAAUAUGAGAAUUAUGUUCCCAAAUCAAAUUAAAAAUUUACCUUCCUUACCAAAUUCUCUUUCUUCUUUCUUCUUUAUAUCCUGCAAAAAAAAAAAAAAUAAUAACUCAUCUUUUCUUUGGUACCCAUUUUUUCUUGGGUCCAUGAGAGUUAGUAGAGUAUGCUGUUUUUAUCCAAUUUUUCUUGAUAGGUCUCCAGACUUUAGGACAUUCUUUCUCAAAGUGAUUUGAAUCUCCACAAUUUGAACAUUUGAGGGCAUUUCGACCAACGGGUUUUACAAACACUUUUUGAAAAUGAUUUUUAUAAAAUGUCUUUGGAGGUCUUUGUUUAAGUCUCUCCUUGACUUUAGGAAAAUCAAUUAAAUAAUCACUUUCCUUAUUGAAACCAAGUCCCGACUUAUUAUAGUAAGGAACUUGUAGAGAGAGGAUAUGCUCUAAUGUUUUUGAUCCAUUUGAAAAUCUUGUCGAAAUAUUUGAAAAUUCUUUCUUCAAAGAAUCAUUUUCUUUGACAAGUAAAUCUCGACUUUUUUUUGUUUGUAGAAAAUCUUUUUGCAAAAUUUCAAAAUUUUCUUUUUGAGAAAGAUCUUGUUGCCUAAGUCGAGAAUUCUCCUUUUUAAGUUCGAAAAUCCUUUUAAGAGAAGAUUUGAGAUUUGAACAAAGCUCAUUUAUAUACUUUGAAACUUUGAAAGGAAUUGCUGAAUGACUUACCUUGAUUUCCUCAUCGGAUUCUGAGUCUGAUUAUGAAUCAGACUUUGAUUCUGAGUUUGUGUCUGAGUCAGACUCAGAUUCUGAAUGUGCCAUCAAGCAUAAAUUUCCUUUCUCAUCAUCUUCUUUUAUUGUUCUUGUCUGGCCAUUCUGCUUGUAUUUUCUUCCAUCGAAUUUCCUUCCUUUUCUACUCAGCUUUUUGAAUUUCUUGACCAUAAAGGCAAGUUCUUCAUCGUCCAUGUCAUUUUCUGAGUCUGUUUCAUCAAAAACAGCAUUAGAUAUUAAAGCAAUGGACUUCUUACCUUCGGGAUCUUCAUCGUUGAUUUGUUCCACUUCAUAGGACUGAAGAGUGCCGAUCAAUUCAUCAACGGUGAGUAGCAUAAUCCUUUGAGUCUCCCGGAUUGAGGUCUUGACAUGGUUCCAAUCUUUUGAGAGACCUCGCAAGAGUUUGUUGACCUUCAUUGGGGCAAAAAUUUGAUGACCUUGAUAUGCUAAACCAUUUACAAUUUCUGUAAAACGGCUAAACAUAUCUCCAAUCGAUUCUCCUUGCUUCAUCUUGAAGGAUUCAUAUUUGCCAAGCAAGAAGUUUACUUUUGUCUCUCUUACACGAUCGGUCCCUUCAUAUGUAACAUGAAGUUUAUCCCAAACUUCUUUUGCUGUUUCACAUGAAGAGAUUCUAUUAUAUUCAGUAGGAGACAAAGCACAAUAUAAAGAAUAAAUUGCUUUCGCAUCAAGCGCUUCUCUUUUGGACAUCUCCAUCCGAGACAUAGGAUCGGGGGGUUUGCUUUCUUUGUCUUUGCCAUUCUUAUUUGAUGUAGACGGAGCGAUGGGGUUGAUUCCUCUUUCCACAACAUCCCAUUGCAAGAGAUCUCUGGAUCUUAGGAAUGCUUUCAUUUUGUUCUUCCACACGUCGUAUUCCUUUCCAUCAAAAUAUGGUGGCCUUGUGUUGCUUUGUCCUUCCAUAAGUCCUGGUGCCAACAUACUAGCCAUGGAUCUUUAACUCUGAAGUAAAACACUUCAAACAAAGUGAGUACACAGGCUCUGAUACCAAAUGAGAGUGCUAGUAUGAACACCUAGAGGGGGUGAAUAGGUGUUUAAAAUAAACCUUGGCAAAUAUAUGCGGAAUAAAAUAAACUUCAAGUAAAAUAAAAGAGUUAAGGAAGAGAAUAAGAACACAAUGUUUAUAGUGGUUCGGCUUAAUCCAAGCCUACGUCCACUCUCCCACGCUAACAGCCUUCUUGGCUGGAUUCCACUAUGCAAUCAACAAGAGAUUACAACUUUGAGUGCAAACACUUAGUAGUAGAUCACACUAUCUCACUAAGUCACUCUUUUGGUAUUUCUCUCACGAUCACAAAUGUUUAAGCUCUCCAAAGAUAAGUGUAUGAUCGAAGGUCGCUCAGACUUUGGAAUUAUAAAUUCUACGCUCCGUCUCUUACUUGCUCAUCGGUCCUUCAUCUCCUUAAAUACUCCUCCACUUCCAAACUAGCCGUUGGACAGUAUCCUGAGGAUCGUCUUCCAAUAUACCCAUUGGACAGCUCUGUAUCUAGAAGAUUUGGUAGACGUUGAGUGAUAAAGGUAAAAUCCCAAAUUGAUUCUGAUUGUCCAUACAAACGGAAUCUUGGUUUCCAUAAGUAAAGCUUCUUCGUAUAGAAAGAUCUUGUCUUCAAGAUCCAAUUGUCAAUCAAAUAGAUUGAGUCAAUCAAAUCAAUCUUGAUGUGGAAUCCAAACCAGAUCAUUAGCCGUUAUAUGAUUGGGCUUGAGUUACGUUUUGUCAAGUUCUGAAUGUAAAGUCUGAGAGUAAUAGACUUUACAAUCUGAGUCUGAGUGUGAUAGACUUUGCAAUCUAGGUCUGAACAUAUUCUGCUUCUGAACAGAUUUAGCUUUAAGGUCUGAGUUCAGCUCCAACAUAGAGUCUGUCUUAUGGUUCAGCUUCAGCAUAGAGUCUGUCUUCUGGUUCAUCAUUCACGUUUAGUCUGGAAUUUAUUAGAAUGAGCAGACUUCUGAUGUAGAACAGACUUUGACACUAAAGUCUGGCAGUCUUCAGACUUUGACACAGAAGUCUGGAAAUCUUCAAAAUAUACUCUGGACAUAUGUUACGUUCAGUCUUCUGGCCGUCUUCUGACUUUGAUCAUAUCCUCUACAUGUUCUAACAUUUGCAUGGUCUAUUACUCAACCAUCAAACAUGUUAGUAGCCUUUGAUUUAUUUUGUCAUCUUCAAAACAUCAUAAGGGAUUUCCCUAACACUAUUUUCUUAUUUACUAGACACUUGAUGAGAGUUUCCGGUUUCAAUCUCGUCAUCUACUCCUUUGAUUUCAAAAUUUUGUUCAUGUAAGAAUUUACCUAAAAAACGUCUUCAACCUAUGAAUCAUAAAAAAAAAAAAAAAAAGUAGAGGCUGAUUUAGCUGAAAGAUUGGAGCAUAAGCACGAUCCGAAAUAUCAAAUUGCACUUAUGUUUUCAUCGAGCUUUAGCCAUAAUUUUUCCAAUUUAUUAUGAUCAAAUCUUCAGUUCUUUGAUCUGUCAUGUUUGAACUUUCAUUAUUUUGUAGAAGAGAAUAUUUCAACGAGUUAAUUUGGUAUAAGAUUUUAUUUAUGAGCUUAUAAAUCAGUGAAUAAUUAAUCCUCUUUAUUCAAAUGGUUAUAGACAAAGUUUUUGAGACAUUUAAAGUUAUUUUUCUUAUUGAUAAUUGGUUUUUCUAAAUUUAUCAUGCUAGUAAAUUUGGGAGAUCAUUGAGUGAGAGUUUCAUUUUGAGCAAUCUCAAUCUUUUUCCACACUGCAUCUCUAGAGUUAUUUCAAAGUGGUGGUGUGGCCGUUUGAUAUGAAGAGAUUCGUGGAAAGGUCCCGAGCUUAAUUCAUUAGUAGCAUGUUUUCAAAUUGAAAAGCUUGCCUCAUAUUUUUAGUUUGUUUUUGAGUUUUCACUUUGUUUGCUUUAUUCCUUAUACCUGUAGCUAGGACUUGAGAUUAUAUUAUGUACCCCAUGAAUAGUUCAAUACCAUAAAUUUUGACAGGUUAAGAUUGAUGUCUUUUAGAUUUCGCACCAUAUUAUAUUGUUAAGGUUGCUAAUUAUAAUUCUUGAAACUAACAAACUAUCAAGUGCUGUGAAAUAUAUAUAUUGUGUGUUCUCUCAUUUUGUGCACUUAUAUUAUGGUCUUUCAUAUCCAUACAUUGCUUGUUCAAAUAUGCAUGUAGGCAAACAAUUCUCUUUACAUUCUUCAAGGAAUAUAUUGAGGGAAUAAUCAAAUCACAACUCUUAGACAUUCAGACAAAUCGUGCAUAGUGAAUCCAAGGAUCCAUCUCAUCUUGUUAAAAAAUGAUAAAUUACAUUUACCUUGUUCCUUGCCAAGACCGAAUUGCAAUCACAAGAAUUUGGUGGUGUCACUCGUAGUUUGAUAAGUCAUGUUUUGUUCACAUUGUGUUGUUUUUAACUAGUAGUUAAGUCACGUCUUUUACAAAUGACAAGUAAUUGAAAUUAUGAGUUCCUUCGAAUGAUUUACAUGACGGAUGAUUUGAUGAUAGCAUUCAGGGCUCUUAGUUUAUACUUUCAUUUUCUAUGACAAUUUGAUUAAAAUUAUUAUUUUAAAGGAAGCAGCCAUGGAUUAUUACUGGAAUCCCAUGAUUGAACCAUGCAGUCAAAAAUGGGGUCCAUAUGUCAUUAGAAGAAAGCUAUGCACGUUGCUCAUGCUUGCCUAUGGUCAUUCACUCGUGAAAGGGUUAAUAGUAAGAGAGUGGCUAAAACAGCCAAGAAUAUGCAAUAAUUUGGCUAGACAUAAAAUAAUGGGAUGUCCCAUCUCCCCCCUUGAGUCUACCUUAGUAUUAAUAUUACAAAAGCAUUGAUUAUUCGUCAAUGGCUUGGUAUAAGGAGCAUCAAACUCCCAAAACUUUUCUUACAAAUCUCAGUUGAGUUUUUCUUUUAGAAAUCAUAACAUUCAAAUAAUAAAAAAAGAAGAAGUUAUGACACUUAAUUUUUUUUUUUAGAAGUCAUGGUACUCAAAUAAUUGAAAAAAAAUAUGUGAGCACUCUACAGAAGUCAUGAUACUUGUGGUAUUUUUUUGUGAUUCUUUUUAGGAUUUUCGUCCUAUCGUUUUCUCAUCUUUCUUUCUCAAAAGAAAAACAUCGACGGAUGCUGCCAUCGAGAAAAAUGGGAAAAAUCACAUUAAACUCAUAUCAAGAAGUAAUUGUUGAUUAAAGGGUCUAAGUUAUGGUUAAAAGAGCAAGGACAAAAGACAUUAGGAAAAUUUCAACCGUAUCAUCAUAUGGCAAUUUUUUUCAAUGUUCUACUUGGACCAUGAGUGCAUCAGCCACGGACAAUCCACUUCUCCAGUGGCUCCAUCAAUUAAUCUUUUGACUCCUUUUUAAAGGGAAAGUCGUGAUGGGUUUUUCUUGGAAUGCUACAAAAUUUAAUAGUAAUUACUUUUUGGCAUUUGACGCAUAAUCAAUGAUGAUAUUGAUAUGCAUCUCCUAUUUUCCGCUGACAAUUGCUUCCUUGCACCGAAAGGUGAAAUUGUCAAAGACUAAAACAGCAAGAUUCCUCUGGUUGACAAAUAGCUGUUGGGAUGAUUGGUGUGCUCACACACAUUUGGUGGAGCUAAUUAUGCACCUAUUUUACACGUGAUACUUUGUUAGGGUCAUUCCAAAUUUGUCUCUACGUAAUAUUUCCGUAAGAGAACCCAAGGACAAAAUGCUAGAAUAGCCAACCUCUUAUAUUUCCCCUCAUUUCACAUUUUUAGCUUGCCAUCACCUUUCUUUUGUCUCCUUAAUUUUUCCGUUUUCACAUGUAGUAUCUCUCUGUUGGAAAGGGCUUUGAAUUUGAUUAUGCUUGGCAUUGUGUAUGUUGGAUGUAAAUUUUCUUUUUUGAAAAAUUAUACUUUUGAUACAAAAUUAUUCACUAGUUCACGUACAAAAUCAACAUGAGAGUCAAUAUCUAUAUAAUUAUGCAGUAACAGUAUCUUCUCUGUGCCCUGCAUCUAAGUUUGACACAUAGCAUUCUAAAUAGCUAGAAGAGACUUCUCCUUAUUUUAAGAACUGGAUUCGCAACGUUCUCCAUUAAAAAAAUGUGCCCACUUAGACUCCACCUAGGCUAAUAUUUUGCAAUACUGACUAGAUAGAUUAUUCAUAUAUCAUGAUGUACUUAUAGGCACUAAUUCCUUAUUAGCUACGUGAGUAUGAGUUCUACUCAAUCUAAUUACAAGGAGAAUGUCUCUCAUGACUUUAAAUUGUUUCUAUUUAGUCAAAAUGUUUUCAAACGGUCAUACUUCAUAUAUGGGAUUAGGGGUACAUUGACAUUUCCAACACAACAAUUUUUUACGGGCAAGUUUGUCAUGUGAAACUAAUAAAGGGAAUUUCAGCCAGCUUAAUAUUCAAAACAGAUCAGAGACCAAUAUUAUGCCUAUCUAUCAUAUGAUACUAUUAUUUUAACGUUAUACUUACUUAGCAUCUCUAUCUUGCACUUAUUGAAUGUUAUUAUAUGAUAAUUUUACGCUAACGUUGUCAUUUUCUUAAGAAAUGGUUCGGAAUAGAAAAUAUACUACUCUUUACUAUAAAAAUUAUGCUUACAUAGCCUCAAAAUUGGCGCAAUUGGUUGGGUCACGAGGGAUUUCCAACUUAGGAACUAGAGAUCGCUAGUUUGAAUCCCACAAACUACAUCCAAACUGCUUUGGGUUAUAGUCACCUACAUAGACCAAAGAUAUGAGUUUAGCUAGUUCAUGGAAUUGGCACAAUAUUUCAUGAGCUUCUAGGUAAAUGGCUCUCCACACCUAUAUUACAUGCGCUCACACACACUCACUUUAGGAGAAUGCUAACUUUACAUGGUGUUACACUUACUUUAGGAGAAUGCUAAUUUUACAUGGGAUUUUUCAUAUGCACUUAUUCCUCAUAAAACUAGGUAGUCAUUAUGCAUAAGAUCUUAGUCAACUUAAUUGCAAAGAGAACAUUCCUCAUGUCUUUGAGGAAUAUUACCCAUCAAUCCUAAACAUAUUGUACGAAUGCCAAUUUAAUUCUAAACUUUUCGAUUUUUUCAAUUUAGUGAUAAACCUUUGUGCAAAAUUCCAAUAUAGUCAUUUUGGUCAAUUUCCGACAUUGAAAUGGCCGUGUGUUACUUAGAAUGGUUAGCGAUGACUGGACUGCCGCAUCAAUAAUUUCAAGCAAAAAUUCAUCAAAAGGGUUUUAUUGGAACUUUCUGUAAAUGUGUAAAAAUUCAUCAAAGUCAAUGUCGGAAUGCACUCAUCCGAGGAGCUAUGCUUAAUGACUCAGCAAGUUGCAUAUGAAGGAAACGCCUUCAUAGUUAGUGGAAUAUCCCCUUUCAACGAGAUUCACGUGGCACUCGGCAUAACAUUUUGUUGUUGUUCCAUAUGAUUGUCAUGAAAUAGGAACACGCAAGAGUGAUUUUGAAAAAAUUCCACGAUUUCCAUAGUCACUUUGGUCGACUCUAGUUCUAUUUGCUUACACUUAUAGAUAAAAAAAAUAAAAAAUAAAAAUCUGCAUUUUGCUCUCCCUCGAGAAAAUUAAAAAUGGAAAAUAAAAUAGGCUUCAUAAAUUAUGAAAAAACAUAUAAUAACUCUACUUGUCAAUAAAUGUAUCUUUUUGGAAAUUUGAAAAAUCAAUUCCUGAUAACUGCAAUAUUUGAAAAAGAAAAGAAAAGAAAAGAAAAGAGGGUUUUGGCCCCUUCACGGGGGGGGGGGGGGACUUCAAUAUGAAUGAGAGCCCAUAGAGCAAAGUUCCUUGCUAGCAAUGAUUUUGCGUGUUAAUUUUGUCAUGUAAAGAGUAGCCAUGGUCAUUUUGAUUGUGUAUUAAUAUUAUCAUCUAAAGAGUAGUAGUGUUUGAGAUAGUAAACUAGUAUAAAUGAGAGCCCACAGAGCAAAAUUCCUUGCUAGCAAUGAUUUUGCGUGUUAAUUUUGUCAUGUAAAGAGUAACCAUGGUCGUUUUGAUUGUGUAUUAAUAUUAUCAUCUAAAGAGUAGUAGCGUUCGAGAUAGUAAACUAGUAUAAAAUGUUAAGAGGAUAGCAAAAAUUUAAUUUCCUUAGAAGUUCUAAUCUAACAAUUACAACUGCAGUUUUUUCUAACCUAGCAAUCAUAAUUGGCUUUAUAAUCUAACAAUCGGCCUAAUUAUCAUGUUAAUUCUAAAUUUUUAACGUUAUAUCAUGGAGCAGCAGAAUGAGCGGGGUAGGACUAUUACCUAACCAAUGUUUGUCCAUCACACGUGGAGGAAAAACUAGAUGCCUAAAUUAUGUUUGUCUAAAGCGGUGAAGGAAAUGAUAGAUAUCUAAUCAAUGUUUGUCCAUUAGCAUUGGAGGAAAGGAUGGUGAUUUCGACAUUGGCGGUGGUGACCUGCUCUAUGUAUUAAUAGAUAUUUUAUUAGACUACCAUCAUUGUCUUGAUUGACGCGACCGACAAGGUCUUUUUUAAAUUUUUUUUACUUUUGGCUAGUAAAGGCUUUUAGGACUUGGAGCCCUUUGCUCCAACUUUUCAGCUUCCGAAGGAAUUGAGUGGGUUUUAGUUAAAGUCUUAAGUGAGGUUAGAUUACCGAGCUCCAUAAUCCAUACCCAUCCCAUCUUUCUUCCUCGUGAUUUGGGCCUUUGUGAUCUUAAAUCAUUGGAACACUAGUAGUACGUCUCAAUCGCUGUUGCUAAAAAAUUCCAGCAAAAAGUUACCGUCUCUUUCUCCAUUGAUUGCUCUUUGACGCUCCCCUUCCUUCAUCUUUUCUCGCACUCGUGUCUCUUCGCCUUUCCGUCUAUCAUCAUUCUUGUCAGGGGUGUGCAUGGUUCGGGCGGACAGUUCCCGACUUAGAACUGGAAACCGCCCGUUAAAGACCGGUUCCAAAAAAUUGAAACCGGAUCCACCCGUUUAUUGCAUGGAUCCACCCGGAAACUCGACCGGACCGAUGGUCCGGUUCCCGGGUGGAUCCAUGGAACCGAUCUUGAUGCGAAAUAAUUUUGGUUUUCAAUAUAGAAUGACUACGUGACAUCAAAGUAAGCCAAAGAAAGAAAAAUUAAAUUUAAGUACGUGGAGAUGCGGAUGGCGGGAGAAGUAAAUGUAGCGAAAUGGCGAUAGGAUUAGGACCCAAAGACGAAGGGAGUGAGAUGAGAUCUAGGGUUUUUUUUAGUAAUUUUUUUUUAAUAUUAAAAAGGUUCCGGUCCGGUCUGGGUGGGUAGGCGGGCGAAUUCGCCCAUGGAACCGGGAACCGGACCAGUACCCACCGGUUCCCAUAAAUUGGAACCGGGAACCAGACCAGUACCCACCGGUUCCCAUAAAUUAAAACCAGGAACCGGACCGGUUCCCUCAGGAACCGCCGAUUCCGGGCGGUUCCGGUCCGGUUCCGAGCGGUCCGGGCAGUUCCCGGGUAUUUUGCACACCCCUAAUUCUUGCUCUUUCACACUUUUUCUUCUCCUUGCUAUAGCCCGACUUCGUACUCUUUUUCUUAAGUGUCUAUGACUCUUUUUCAUCGUUCUCUCCCUCCCUCUCUAUGUCUCUCUGCUUUUCCUUUUGAGGUGUUUUUAUCCGAACAUUAUCUCGCUCUUUAUUUUUUGGAACAAAAAUCAAAGAAAAUGUCAGAUCGAUGCCACUGUUGAGAAAAAUAGAAAAUUAGAUUAAACUCAUAUCAAUAAAUAAUUGUUGAUACAAGUAUUAAGAGUAUGUAGAAAAAGUUUAAUCACUUUAAUCGAAGAGAUUAUCAAGAAAAAGCUCAAGUUUGAGCCCAUUAACAUAUUCAGUUAACCAUUUUUACUAAAAAACAUUAGUUAAAAAGCUAUUGAUCAAUUAUGAUAUAUUAAUUGUUUAAUACGAUAUCAAUUCUUUAUUGUGAAACUUUUCUAACCCAAUUCACACAUUCAUCUUAACAUUCGGCUCUCGCAUGUUGGCUUAGUAUUAUGUCUGCUUCCACUUAAUUCAAGUAUCAUUCACCAUUAACAUGACUCAAUUAGAAUCUCCACUUUCGUGCAUGUGCUAACUAAAAUAACAACAACGCCCAUAUUCAUCCCUAGUCUCUUUAUCCAAAUUGAAUCAUGAAGGUUGUCAUCAGGACCACAUUGCUACACAACAACAUCCACCUUCAUUCCAAGUCUCUUUUGCUAGAUCAAACUAUGAAGGCUGCCCAAAAAUCGCGUUGAUCACAGGAUUCCUUUCCUGAGGUAUUCUCCAAACAUCGGUAUACUUGGGAUUGGCCAUUAGCUAUCAAUCAUUGGCUCUGGCAUAAUUUCUUAGGAGUGUCUAGCAGAAAUUUGAUACCUUUAACCAGAGAGAUCACCAAAGAAAAGCCUAUGUCUGAGUAGGCCAAUAUAUUUUAUUGAAGCCAAAUUUACUCAAAAACUAGGAAAUAUUAAUUGCUCCAUACCAUAGCAAUUCUCCGGUAUAAGACUUUCUAACAUAACUCACAUGUAUAUGUCAAUAAAAAAGGAUCUAAGCAAUGAUUAAAAGAGUGAGAACGGAGAGAUAUUAGACAAACCCCUACCACCUCAUCACAUGGCAAAUUUUGAUAAUGUUCCACGCGGAGUAUGAAUGUGUCUACCUCAAAUAAUUCACUUUUGUAGUGGUUCCAUCAAUUUGUCAUUUGACUCCUUUUUUGAGUGGAAGUCAUGAUGGGGUUUUCUUGGAUGCUACAAACUUUAACAGUAAAUGCUUUUAGCCUCUAGCGCAUGAUCAAUGUCGAUAUUGAUAUGCAACUCCAAUUUUCCAACGAGAAUUGCUUCAUCAAGUGACUAGUGUGGGACGUUAACAAAGAAGAGUUCUGCUAUAGCGUGACCGCACUGUCCCUUCCAAUAGCGAGGGCGCAAAUGGGACCGCAAGUUCUAUUUAUGUAAUGCCAACCUGAUUACAACUUUAAAAUGGGAAAUCUUUACAAAUAUCUUUAAAAUAACUUUUAUCCCUUUCUGAUUGAAAUGUCAGUCAAAAUGCCUUCCCUCCAAAUUGAACACCAAGUAAAGUCAUCAAUCAUUUCUUUUCGUUACUCUUGAAAGCAUAAAACAUUCAGUAUAUAUACUAGUGUGCAACUAACUUAUAACUGCACAUAAUCUCGUCAUGACUAUGAAUGUACAGACGUAAAUAUGUAUGCAAGCACACAUGAAUAUGUCUAAAAGUAUGUGUAUUUUAAUUACCUCUUAUUUAGUUAGAUAUACAUCUUGAUCACAAAAAACUUUUUUUUUCAAAGAAUUGGUAACUAGAUGAGUUUUGAAAUGACUUUAGAAAUGUUGUGAUCUAUAUACUCUUUUAUAUUGACUGUGGACUAAAAAAAGCCUAGAAAUGUAUUUAAAUUAUUUUUUUGUUCAAAUUUUAAAUUUUAUAUGAGUAGUGCUUUUCCACUUAAAUUAUAAACUCAAUCUGAAAUUUAGAUCAAUUCUAAAUAUGUUGACCUAAUGUUAUGGGGGGACAAACAUUUCAGAAGUCCUAAAAAAUAAAUUGGGCUUAUUAUGGACACUUAAUUGAGAUGGCAGUCCAACUUUACUCCUUAUGCUUUUCAUUUAGGUUUUUGGCCCGUUCGGAUUUCAGAGAAAAAUAAGCACCACAACUUUUUACUUUCUAAUAAGAGCCUCAAAAUCGGGUAAAGUAAGAUGCAAAAAGGAAUCAUUCAUUUAAUUACAAUCAUUAUGGUUUUCAAAGCAGAAUUUAAUAAACAAAAACCCUUGAAAGGCACAAAGAUACAUAGAUCAAAGCAGGGCUCGGCAAAUAACAUAAAAUUUAAGCAAAGUUCACAAUAACUGGAAUUACGUGAAAAGUCAUAACAUUGGAUACCACACACACUAUAAAUAUAUAUAUAUAUAUAUAUAUAUAUAUAUAUAUAUAUAUAUAUAUUACUUUAAGUAUGAGUUUUAAUCUAUUUUGCCAUUGCUCAUACUUCAAGUUAAUUAUUCACAUUUUUAUUGAAGGUGUUUAAUAAAUUUGAAACCCCAACCAUCACCUCGUCUCGAUUCCCACAAGUACCCAUACGCACAAACCGAUGAAUAUAUUAAUAUUGUGAAAAGGAUUAAAGAUGCCACUUAUCACGCGCGCAUGGGGUGUGCGCAGUCCUUGUCCGUUUGUUCUCUUUAUUAAUUACACUUUGUUAUAUCGAUAAUGGCAAACUAUAAAAAGUAGUUAUUCCGGUGUCGGGGUUUUGGACUAGCCUCUCCUGAGAUUUACAUCUAAAUAGCGACUUGCGGUAAAGUCUGACAAUCUGGAGGGUUGUGUAAUCCCUAAGGCUGCGUUUGGUAGUCCGGAUUUGAGUUCGGAUAGGAUAACCGGAUAGGAUAAUUUGUUAUCCUAUCCGAUGUUUGGGAAUGUCCACUGGAUCGGACAAACCUGGAUAUAUCCGGAUAAAACGCCGGAUAAAAAAUCCGGGGGAGGGGGUGCAAUAAGCCUGAAUUGGAUAAGAUUUUUUUUUAAGGAAAGAAAGAACUUAACAAAAAGAGAAGAUAUCACUUGUCAUUAUCAAUGGUGGCCACUGCGGAGGUGGCCACAAUUCCUAGAUCUAGGGUUUUUCCAUGGCCUUUAAUUAAUUGAAUUUUCUAUUUUUUAAUUUUAUAAUUUAAAUGAAUAUCAUAUUUAUUUUUUAAUAUUAUCCUGAAGUGCACCAAACACUUGAUCAGAUUAGAUAUGUCCGCCUUUAUUAUCCAAAGGAUUUAAUAUCCUACUUUAUCCUAUCCUAUCCUGAUCAUUAUCCAGACGACCAAACGUAGCCUAAAGGGUAAUCUCCAACAGUUUCUCGGUUAUAAAAAAAAAAAAAGUUAUUAAACUCGUGAUAACCCUAGUCGAAUCAUUUUCUUACUUUAAAUUUUUUUCAUAUUUUUUCUAAGCCACUUGAUGGAACUGCAGUGCAAAGAAUUAAAUUGAAGUUCGCAAUUUUUUGUCUUGAUUGAGGAGACCGAAAGAGCAGUCAUUUUUUAUAUUUAUUUUUGGCCAAUGACAAACUUGAAUAGUGUGCUACCAAUUUUUCAGCUUCCCAAAGAUUAAAUGAUGCUUAGUUAACUUAACUACGGUUACCUUUCAGAUCUCCGUAAUCGACAACCAUAUCCUUCUUCUUUCGAGUGGUUUGGAUUUUUGUUAAGAUUAUCAAUCGUUAGAGCUCUAGUACUAAAUCUUGAUCGUCAAUAGGUAGAAUAUUAUCAACAAUUUCUAUUCAAUAUACAAAUCUAUAACACAAGCUCCCACAUACAUAUAUCGAUGAAAAUAUUAAUAUAAUGAAGGGAUUAAAGAUGCUACUUACCAAAAAUAAUUUUUUUUACCUUACCAAAAAAAAAAAAAAAAAAGAUGCUACUUACAACGUGCGUGUGUCGGUGUAGCCUGUCUUUGACCAUUUGCACUCUUAAUUAAGUUUUGUUAUAUAGACAGCGACAGACUAUAAAAUGUCCUUAUUAAAUAAUGGAUGAUCCAAGUCGAAUCAUUUUCUUACUUGAACAGCUCGUAGUCAAUUUCUUUAACCCACUUGAUGGAGCGGCAACUCAAUUUUUAUGGUGUGAAGAAAUCAAUUUAAUUCCACAAUGGAUUGAGGAGGACUAAGAGCAGUCAAUUAUUUUUUAAUAAAUAUCACUAAAAUCCCCAAAUUGGUCCAUUUAUGACAAUUUAUCCCCGAACUAAUAUUUUUACUAUAAAAAUCUAAAACCGAUACAUUUAUGAUAAAUUUUACUCCAAAUUAAACUUUAAAUUAAUACUGACAAUUUUGUCAUCCGUUAGUUCCUAUUAAAUAGGAUUGCUAUCACGAAAAUACACAAACUAAUAUACUUGUAAUAAAUGAAGGAUAAAAUUUUAAACUAGUACAUCUGUCAACUACUAUAUGUUAUCCAAUUUAGCAAUUUAACGGUAAAAUUUAACGAAAAUUAAUAUAUGGUAAAUUUGUUACAUGCGUACAAGUGAGAAAUUUUUUAUGAUCAAAAAAUUAAUUUGAAAUAAAUUUAUUAUAGAUAUAUUCAUUUGAGAUUUUUCAUGAUAUUAAUUUUUAUUUUUAUUUUAUUUUAUUUUAGGCAAGUAAGGACUUGGAGCAGUGUGCUCCUUACAGUUUCCCUAGGAUUUGACCGGUGCUUAUUAACUAGAGUGAGAUUACUGAGUUGCAUGGUUCUUACCGAUCUUCCCUUUCUUUCUCGCGGUUUGAGUCUUUGUCGAGGUUUUGAAUCCUUGAAUCUCUUGUACCGAAUCUCUGUCGUUGAUGAUACAAGAGCGUCUCACACCCAGGGCCCUAUUCUACUUCGUAUCAAUGUGUCCAUCGUCACUUGUCAUUACCAGACUUUGGCUCUAUAAAAAUAUGAUUCAACAAGCGCCGCCGCCCCACCAACCACCCCCCAAAGAAAAAACCAAAAAAAAAAAAAACCCAAACCUGACUUAAUGGAAAAGGCGAUAGUAGUGCUCUAGUCUAAAGACUCAUCACGUAUCUCUCUCUACCGCCCUCAAUUGAAAAAAAUAGCAAACAUUAUUGUAGCCGCUUCAUUUGAAUAAAUCUGGAAUGAGGCCCCAUAGUAGAGGCUUGGUGUUCAUAAAACAUAUCAUAAUACCAUCCCCGUUAAUAUUCACUACAUAGGAAGUGUAAAAAAGACUUCCAAGUCACCCCUGAUACAAUUAUCGACUGACACCAAGGGCCACGUUCUAUUUCGUAUCAACGUGUCCAUCGUCACUUGCCAUUACUAGACUUUGGCUCUAUAAAAAUAUGAUUCAACAAGAGCAGCAUUUCGCUCUUAUAGAUACAUACCUAUAUAUAUAUAUGUAGGUAUGUAUCUAUACAGAGAGAGAUGAAAGCUGUCAAUCAAAAUGAAAUCAACUUUUUAUCUUGCAAAAAGGGCAUUUCUCAAAGAAAUCAUCGUAUGCAAGUUUGGAAGAAGAGGCCUCGUGUGCACCGUCUAGGAAUAUAAAUAAAAGUCCAUAGACUAUAUUCUCACAUAGUCUAUGAAUUAAAUUGAAUAUGUAUUAAAAGUUCAUAAAUCAUAUUGAAAUUAAAAGCUUAUAGACGAUAGCGCGCAUUGAGCUAAAGUUGAGAAAGCACAUUGAAUAAAUUUAAAAUUUAGAGAUCUCCUUGAAUUUUAUGGACUAUUUAUGUUUAUGUCAACGGUAAUUAUGUAUGAAAAGCACAACUGACAUAUAAUCACAAAGGAUGUUCCUAAAAAAGUCCCUACAAUAACUCAUUAUUUUGAUACGAUAUGUACUCUAGAGAGGCAACUGUUGUGCUCAAAGAAUUUGCACAUCAAUAAUAUAUGGAUAAACAUUUGUAGAACCAUCCAUAUAAAUAAUAACUUUUAGAAAAAUGAUUCUCAUUAAAAAAUAUUAAAAAAUAUUUUUUAAAUAUGGUAAAGUAUGAGUAUUUGGAUUAGAAAUUCCGCGCUUGAGUGUAGAAACGGUAAAGUUCGUUUCCGAAUCCUUGGCAGCGAAGUUGAGUCCAUAGACGCUAGAUCCUAAACCUCAAUGCUCCGGUCUCCGAUUUCUGAACCCACAUCUAUCGAGGCGGGGCCCGCGACAUCCGUGCCUUCUACCUCGGUAUAUGAUGAAUCUGUAGGUCUUAUAUACAUUUCAAAUUCAAAUUCACGCAAGUGAGCGCAGGCAAAUAUCGAUGAAAAUGUUUACCAUCAUGAGGAAGAAUAAAGGUGCCCUUUAAUGAAUUUUCUUAAGUACUCUGCAAGUUCCGAGGGUCGACUCCUGCUUUCUUUCUGCCUCCGCCUUGGUAUAUGGUCCACAUACUAAAUUGAGUUGACGACAGACUGGGUAAAGUUGCAUGUUACGUGUUCUCUUGGUCAAACGGUGCAAUGAUCGCCAUUCUACGCCACGUCACCUGGAUGGUUUAAGACGAAUCGUUUGUUUACUUUAUAACAGCUGAUAAUCAUCUCUCUCUAUCUCCACUCGAUUGCUAUUCUACGCUCCCCUUCAUCCGUUUCUUGCGCUCGAAUCUCUUCGCCUCGUUCAUCUAUCGCUCUGUUUCGCUCUUUCUUCAUCUCGGCACACCCAUUCUUCCUCAUCCUCUUCCUCCUGUCUUCCUCCUUUUUCUGUGCUCAAAUCUCUUGGCUUUGUUCGUCUCUUGCUCUGUUUCGCUCUUUCUUCUCGUCGGCUCAACCAUUCUUCUUCCUCCUCCUCCUCCUCCUCCUCCUCCUCUUUAGUUUCUGCUGCUCCUUUUCAUCAUUCUCCCUCUCCGUCUCUCUUUUUUCUCGCUCUUUCUUUCUCAGGAAAAAAAAUCAUAGAAAAAUGUCGGCAGAUCCUGUCGUUGGUAUUGGAUGGGAUGUCUUGAAGAGCUAUGUAGUUGUUCCCAUCGAACGUGGAUUCGGAUACGUGAUCUCCUCCAAGAGAUUCGCCGACCGUCUUCGGGGGGAAGUCCAGAAUCUGGAGAACGAGAAUCAGAGGGUCAAGGUUCUUGUGGAAGAGGCUAGAAGGAAUGUUCGGAAAUUCCUCGAUGUCUUCACGACGUGGGAGGCUAAUGCUGACAAGGCCUUGGAAGAGGCGCAAGAGCUGUUGGACGACGAAAAGGCGACCAAGACUUGCUGCUAUGGGACUCUUCCCGACCCCAAAUCUCGCUACCAGUUCAGCAGGAAGGCCGAGGGCAAGAUCGAGGUCAUUAAGCAACUCACUCAAAAAUGCAGCACAUUCAACGGAUUGAACGACAUCUCCUUCAUCGAUCCUGCUUUCACUUAUUCUGCCUCGACGUCGAUUAAGCUUGGGGAUGAUGGCGUCUUCGAAUCCAGAGCUUUGAUGAUACGGAACAUCAUGGGCGCUCUUGCCGGCAACAGUAAUAGUGUGGUCGGGGUUUAUGGGAUGGGCGGGAUCGGCAAGUCCACCCUUUUAGUGGAUGUUGAAAGGAAAAUAAGCGAAGAUAAGUCGUUCCAUUGGGUCGCUAAGGCUGACGUGUCGGAAAAUCCAGACAUCAAGACGAUUCAAGGAGAGAUUGCGGACGCCUUGGUCCUUACUGAGAUAAAGAACAAAGAGACUAUCAGCGGGCGAGCGAAACUUCUGCACGGGAGGUUGAAAGACGAGGAGAGGGAGAAAAAGGUCCUCAUUAUACUGGACAACCUGUGGGAGGGGCUUGACUUAAACAAAGUCGGCAUUCCUUGCGGACACGACAACAAAGUCAUAGGAUGCAAGUUAUUGUUGACGUCAAGAGAUCGUAAUGUUUUGCGAAGUGAAAUGGGCUGCGACAAGGACUUCCCCCUUGGUGGGCUGGAGGAGGAAGAGGCAAGAAGUUUGUUUGAGAGGCUGGUGGGAGACAAAGUUCAUGAUGGCGAGUUUAAACCCUUGGCGGAUGAAGCACUAGCCAAAUGUGCAGGUGUGCCUUUCCUAAUUGUUGCAAUGGCGAAACGUUUUAAAUAUGCCGAUUUAUCUGAAUGGAAGGACACUUUGAAGAAAAUCGAGAAGUCUAAAGAUAAAAAAAUCAAUGAUUUGAUAAACCAAAUGUUGCAAUGGAAUUAUGAUAAAUUAGAAGAGGAGGUGAAGUCAUUAUUACGACUCUAUGUUGUUUAUGGUAUCUCCAAGCCUUCUCUUGAAAACUUGGUGAGGUACAGCAUUGGUUUGGGUUUGCUUCAAGAAGUAAGCAGCAUGGAAGAAGCUAGAAAUAGAUUGAUCUCCCACAUACAUGCUCUUCAAGCGUCCUCCUUUCUGUUAGACAGUGAAGAUGUUGAUGGUUUCAAGAUACAUGACUUGGUUCAUGAAUUUGUUGUUUCGGUCUCUUCAAGAGAUCACCCUCUUCUCGCGUUGAAAGAUAAGGACGAGUCGAUAACAGAGUCAUCGAAGGACAAGCUCAAUAGUUAUAGGGCGGUAUGCUUUCCGUUUGUUGACAUGGAGGAGCUUCCUCAAGAGUUAUAUUGCCCUGAAUUGCAAAUCUUUUUGUUUUUCACAAACAAUAAAUCUCUUAAGGUCCCAAAUUCAUUAUUUCACUCUAUGAGGAAGCUCAUGGUCUUAAAUCUUACCGGAAUACGUCUCACUUGCUCCCCUUCAUCACCAUUUCAAUUCUUGGAGAAUUUACACACUCUAUGUCUUGACGGUUGUUCAUUAGAUAAUGUAGCCAUUCUUGGCGAGCUGAAAGGGCUACAAAUCUUAGUUUUGUGAACUCCAGUAUUUAUGGAUUGCCAAAAGAAAUUGGGCAAUCGGCAGAGCUGAGGUUGUUAGACUUGAACUAUUGUCCACAACUUGAGAUAAUUGAAUUGGGUGUACUUCAAAGCUUGAUCAAGUUGGAGGAGUUGUACAUGAAUGUUAGCUUUAAUCAAUGGAAUACCGUGGACCAAACUCCACCAAUUAAUGCUAGUCUGAUUGAGUUGAAUCACAUGAAAAAUCUCUGCACUUUGCAUGUGUACAUUCCUAAUCUGAGGAUGCUCCCUGAGGAUCUAAACGUCGGGAAAUUAACCAAGUAUGAAAUCCGAAUAGGUAAUGUGUGCUAUUGGUGGAGCGAGUGCAAAGGAUCAAGGACAUUGGAGCUCAAGUUGGAUCCAUUAGGCAAUGUUCUUCGAAAAGGAUGCAUUCAAAGUAUCCUAGGCAAAAUUGACAAUCUGUUUUUGGAAGGGUUGGACAGAAAUGAGCAAAGUGUUUGUGCGUUAUCCCAAAAAGGUUUUCCAGAAUUAAAGCAUCUACAGGUCAAAGAUAAUUCCUCUAUCCAUUGCAUCCUCCAAUUGCCAUCCAAUGCACAUUUUACGAUGUUGUAGUCGUUAAUUCUCAAUAAUCUCAUCAACUUGGAGAUGAUAUGCAAUAGCCAUAUCUCCUCCAAGUCCUUUAGUACAUUAAAAGUAGUACGAGUCAAAAGUUGUGAGAAGAUGGAAGUAUUGUUUCCUCUUUUAGUGGUGAGAGGACUUCCACAGCUACAAGAGAUUAAAGUUGCCGGUUGCAAGUGAAUGCAGAGGAUUGUAGAUGCCGAUGAUGGUGGCAAAGUUGAGUUUCAUAAUUUGCGUGUAUUGGAAUUGCAUAAUUUGCCAAAUAUUAAGAGCUUUUUCACUAUAGGGAUGGCUUCUUUGAGUAGUAGAUUUCACGACCAAGUUGGCAUUCAAAUUGCAUUCUUCAAUGAGAAACAGGUAACUUUCUGUCAAAAGAAUAUAAUACUUAUUACUAUUUCCUUCCUUUGCUUAUUAGAUGUAACACAGAUUAUGAUGCUUAUUUAUUUUGUUAUUUUCAGUUUGUUAUCUUCCUAAUUACCUUAUCCGUUCAUGCCUUCUCUAUAAUUAGUUAAAGCAAUCUUCCGUUUAAGUUAAUUGUGUAGAAAUCCAACUAAUUGUACAAAAUCCAUGUAAAUUUAGUUUGUGAUAGGUUUUAAAUUAUUUUCAACUAACAUGCUGCAAGUAUAUCUAUAUUUACAGGGUUUCAUAAGGCAAAAUUGACGAGAACUUCAGCAUUAAAGCAUUCCAUAAGUACAGUAAUUUUUAAUCCUUUGAAAUGAAUAUCACUGAAUUUAGUUACCGAACUUUGUUAUUAUUCACAAAAUGUAUAAAAUAGGCGACUCUCUUGAAAACCAAUAUGAAGAAUAGGAAGGAUGAUUGCUUAUAUAUAUAUAAAAGCAACUAUACUAAUCUAAUUGAUGCAUGUCUUUUGUAUGUCGUGUUUAAAUAGGCAUUUAGUCAUUGCAUAGGCCCAAAAAUUAUAAGAAUACAGACUUUUGUGCAUAGGUUUUUUCUUCUUUUUUUUUUUUUAGUGAAAGUACGCCUUGGCAAUUGUAUGACUUUUUGUGCAUGGUUUUUUUUUUUUUUUUACAGACUUUUGUGCAUAGCUUUUUUUUUUUUAAUAGUGAAAAUAGGCCUUGGCAACUGUGUGAUUUUUUAUUAUGCCGCAUCAAAGUCAUCAUUGCAAAUUUGAAAUUCUUGUUGUUGGAAUUCCAAAGUGUUACAUUUCUCUACUCCAUACGGCGGUAUUAAGGCCAAGUUGUUACAAUAUCAAAUGAUGGAACUUGAUGCCUUGAUGGAAAAUCCACCAUCUUAAAGUCCAACUAGUUUUAGAGAGACUCACUUCAAAUGUUUUGAUGGGCCUAGUAUUUUAAUUUGGCACUUGGUAUGUCUUAGUUUAAUUUCCAAAGGUUCAAGUGCUCCACAAUUUAAUCUUCAAGAAAUUUGUGGCGAAAUUUGAGUUUUCUUUUUGUUGAGUCCAUCCAAUUUAGAUUGUGAAUUUUAUGUAGCUUCGAUAUCUUAUCAAGAAAAACCGGUGGGGGUUGCCCAAUCUCGCGAGACCUUAUGUAAUCAUUGCGGUUUCUCUCCAUGUUAAUUUACAAAUCUAAAUACUAAGUCCUUUAAGUAAAUGUCUUCACAUUUGGCCUUUAAAGUAUGUAUAGAUAUAUUGGUAGACAAAUCCACAGUUUGUGUUUAAUAUCCUAUUAAAUUGGUUAUUGAUAGUGAUUUAUUGACAUUAAAAGAAGUCAAGUGAACUAUGGAUAAACAAUUGUCCAAUUAAGGAAAACACGCGUCUAUUUUACACGUGGAAGUAGUUGCUGCCGGUGGAGCCUUUUGGCUGACUAGACAAGAUUGCCCUUUAAUAGUGGCUUGGUUAUAGCUGAAGUUGAUGGUGGGGCCCAAGACUCGGGCCAUAUAUUAGUUUCCCCUUAGUAAAGAGUCGUGGAGAUUUUAGUUGAUGGUGGGUCCCUCAAGGUAGCAUGUCUAAGUAUCUCCACUUCAACCUCGACUUUUCUACUUCGCAUGCAAUAGAGGAGUUAGAUUGGGAGGCUAUGCAAAGAGGCUUUUGGGCUUCUAACUUUCAAGGGUUCUAAAUCUUCAUUAAAGAAUUUUACUCUUGCCUUGAUGCCUUCUCAUUUUAGGCAUGGAAACUAGAGCUGUGAAGAUCUAUGAGAUUAUAAUGAAAUGUUUUUGUUAACUAUAAUAAAUCUCUUCCAACAUUGUAAAGAGGUGGAGCAGACGAAAAUAGCAAUGGAAGGUUGGAUUGUCGAGAAUGACAAUAGUCAAACAAAGAAACGUAAAGAAGUUAAACUUGUUGUAAUAGAUGGGAGUAACAGGCAAUGGCAGGUAGAUGGGAGAUUUCGAGUAACUUUGCAGAAGAAGGGUCUUCCCAAGUUGAAGCAAUGAACUUUUAAGAAGACUAGUUACUUUUUGCCAAAAAUAAAAAAGAGAAGAAAAUAAAGCUGUCCAUUGUAAGUUAUCCUUCAGAAGGAAUAAAACUUGCUCACUAAUCAAAUUAAGUUCCGCAAUCAUUUUCCAAGUAAAGAUUGGACUAUUUAGCAACGACAAUAGUAUAGAGAUUUUUUUCUCUUUUUUUUUUUUAAAAAAAAAAUUCGUUUUUUCCCUUUUGUGGAACUUAAUAAUGCCCCCUCUCUUCUUGGCACACGUAUAUAUUAACAUUUUGGAAGUUCCUAAAUUCGUGAUUUAACUAAAUCACACUUCCAUGAGUGAAUAUUGCAGGUUGUCUUUUCAAAAUUGGAGACAUUAAAUAUCAAGGGCUUGGAUAAUGUCGAGUUUUUGUUUUCCCCAUCCAUGAUUAAAUCUCUCGCACAACUGAGAGAUCUACGAGUAUCUUAUUGCAAGAAGAUGGAGGUGAUCAUUACGAAGGAAGAAGGGUUGUCAUUGGAAAUAUCAAAAACUCUGGCAUUCCCGAUGUUAACUAACUUAAACUUAAAUUGUUUGAAAAGUUUGAUGAGCUUCUCUCGCGAAAAGUGUAAGAUUGAUUUUUUUGUUUUCAUCACUAAAGAUCUUCUUGUGGAUAAAUUCAUCCUUGCAAUACAAAUGGUGACAUUCUUUUCAUCCAUUGAAAAACUUAUGAUAGGUUCAUGAGAAGCUUGGAGUCAGGACUGCAUCAAAUCAUGCUCCACUGCACUCUUCAGUCAAGAGGUACAUGAUUAAUGUUAUGCCAAAAUAUUAUUUAUAUAACAAAAGUAUUAAAUAUGCAAAAGAAAAAGCAUAGCCAAAAUAAGAACUAACUAAAUAACUUACAAAGUGUACCUUGGUUAAAAAUAUUUUAAAGAAAAUGAGUGGUGUACAAACAUAAGUACUUAGAGUUGCCGACAUGUAUGAGUUGCAAUUUUUUUAAUUUUAAUUUCUCUAGAAAUAGUUUCCAUAAAGAUGGUUAAAUAUCUCUUAUCAUACUUGCACAAAGCAUGAACGAGCAAUACAACUGCGAAACAAGAUCUCUAAAAGCUUUUUGAUGUUCAUAGGAAACUCAAAGCUCUUAGCAACCUCGCAUGUAUGGCAUCGACAUUGCACGCAAGCACAUUGAAAGCAAUUUAAGAAACAAUGGAGAGGAAAGUGAUAGUAAUGUUCAAGAAGCUGUAGAUGAAGGGCCUUUAAGAUAGUCACUUGACUUCAUUUGCUCUUAAAAGAUCCCCUUUUUUGCCGUUAAUUGAAGGAAGCUUUAGUCUCCCUUAAUUCCACUAGCAAAAGGUAUUGAGCCCUCUCCGUCGCUAAACUGAGCAAGAAUCUAGGGUCCAGGGCAUCCGAAAUCACUCUUUUAAGUUUUAACAUGAAUUGGAAGACCAAAGUGAUCAUUCAGUGACUUCUCUAAGUGCACUGCAAGUUCAUUUAAUUAUUUCAUCCAUAUUGUAACUUAAAUUACCGUUUCUAAGUGAUUUAACAAAAGCCACGUAUACUAGCUAUUUCAUUCUUGGGUUAGCAAAAAAAAAAGCACCAAUUGUGAUUUGAUUAUUCUGGGAAAUUGACUAAAAUCAAGAGAGGGAGUGAUUUUAUUUAAAUUUGAGAUUAUGAGAGAUAAAUGUGAUUAUAUGAUAGUUCAGGAGCAUAUCCAAAUUACCAUUUUGCCUUGUCAACAAAAUCCGGUCAGAAUUCUCACUUUUUGUUUUGUCUGCAGUAAUUCCAAAAGCCUUCUAGAUCAACAUUUUUUUUUUUUUGUCAAAGAGUCAUCGACAUUUUUGUAUGGACAUUUGUGCAACUUAAGACAGACUCAUUAAUUUCAUGAAUUCGAAAUUUACAUCUUGACAUUCAUCUAUCUUGGAAGUUCAUGAUUAACUCAAUCAUCAAUUCCGUGAGCGAAUAUCGCAGGUUGCAUUUCCUAAAUUGGAGGCAUUAGAAAUCAGUGGCUUGGAUAAUUUUGAGAUGAUAUGGGACAAUAAAGUUGCUGUGGAUUCUUUCCCCAAGCUAAAAACCCUUUGUGUGGUUGAUUGCAAUAAGCUUGUGAGUGUAGUUUGUUCUUUCAUUCUAAGACAGCUCUUGAGCUUGGAAAGAUUGGAUGCAAGAAGAUGUGGUUCGCUUGAAAUUGUUUUUGAACUUCAGACAUUGAAUCGUCUAGAUGGACAUCCUAUUGCUCUUCCAUUAAGAGAACUGACGGUAUCAAGAUUACCAAAGCUAAAGUGCAUAUGGGAUAAGGAAAUCCAUUGUCAAAUAAAUUCCAGUGUCUACGUUCUAUUAGCGUUUCAAGAUGUGAGAGCCUCACCUCUUUGUUUCCAGCCUUAGUAACCAGAUAUCUAAUUCAACUUGAGAAGUUGGCGAUCAAUGAAUGUGGCAUUGUAGAAACCAUCAAGAGUGAAGAAGGACUAUUUCCCAAGUUUGUAUUCCCAAUAUUAACCUCCCUUGAGCUUGAGUGUCUGAGAGAGUUGAAGUGCCUCUACACAAGAACACAUACUUCCCAUUGGCCGGCAUUGAAGACCUUGAAGGUGCAUGGCUGUGACAAAGUGGAGAUACUUGCAUCGCACUCUGAGAAUGAGGUGCAACUUGAUAAACUCCCUCUCUUCUUGAUAGAAAAGGUAUGAUCGAAGAUUACUUCUUUUGCUUUCACAGUGAAUAUUUAAAGUGAUGAUUAGGGUCACAACCAAGCAUCUUAUAUAAGUAGCUCUACGUAGGAAGAUGUAAACUGUAUGACUCACCUUCAAUCUAUAGAAAUAUUUCAACAUUGAAACAUCACAUGUUCUUCAAUUGUUGACUGAACAUUCUUUUCAAAUGUAUGAAAUGCAUUUUUAAUGAUCCCCUUUUAAUAAAGGUUUAGGCUAAUUCCGAGGGUUUAUUUCUCUUCCAAGUGCCACAAAGAUGAAAACACAUGGCAUGUGUCAUGAUCUUAGUAUAGUACAAGUGUCUCAUCUAAUUUAAAUCCUAUCCUGCUAAAAACAGAAAGAUGUGACAUUAUUGUUGACAUUAAUCACUGAAAUUUGUGCACGUGUGACUGUAAUUGAUGCAUAAGUUAUUUUUGCAAGGUAUUUAUCUUUAGAAUCGUGAAUGUAAAGAGUUACAUAAGCUCAAAUAUUUAUACAAGUCAAAUAUACAGAUCAGUGAUAAUGUUUAAUUGAUGUAGGCACAUUUCCUUUCAUUGAAUCACAUGAAACUCAAUAUUUUAUAUAUAUAGUUACCGCGCGCAACAUACAGGCCUUAUAUCCUGAUACAUGAAUGCUCUUUUAACUAAGCUGGCUUUAAAUUCUAAUUUGACUAUUUUCUCAGGGCGCAUUCCCUAAUCUCCAAGAGUUAACGUUGGAUUUAUCGGAACAGAUGGAGAUAUGGCAUGGACAUUUUAAUGAUAGAGAAUUUUUCUGCAAGCUUAGAUUGCUUAAGCUUCGUCAUCUCUCCCAUGAGUCUUCAAUAUCCAUAUGUCGUUUUGUUGAGAGUUCAACCAAUUUGGAAGAGCUAGUUGUAUGUGAAUCUUAUCUAGAAGACCCAAGCAAUAAUGAGGAAGCCAUAGAAGGCACAAUUCAUGACAUGAAAGUAAUAUUACCCUUUUCAAGAUAUAUUCGACAUCUGCAAACUCUAGAUGUGUCACAUUGUGACGAGUUAUCAAAAAUGUUCAGACCGACAAUUGCUGAAAAUUUGGUGACACUCAUUAAAUUGAGGAUAAGUAAUUGUAGGAUAUUGACAGAAGUCAUUAAUGAUGAGAAAGGUGGGGAGGGGUGUAUGGUAGCCUUCAAUCAACUUAAGUCUAUGGAGCUUGAUGGGUUGAUAGGGUUGAGAAGUUUCAGCUGGAUACACUUUGAUGUUCCCGCUCUUGGAAGAUAUCAUUGUGACUAGGUGUCCCAACAUGAAGUUUUUCUCUCAAGGAUCGAUAGGGGCAUCAAAGUUAAAGAGAGUUCAAGUGUCAAAGGAAGUGUGGUUUUGGGCGGGAAAAUUCAACAUCACUAUCCAAAAUAUGUUUGAAGAAAUGGUAUGCACCAAUUACCAAAUUCCAUGCAUUUGGAUGGUUUUGACCACUAAAUGAAUAAUCGCUUUUUGCUAGCUAGAAGUUUACGCUUAACGAUGCAUUUUUUGACAGGGUACGUUUGCUGGAGUAGAGAAAAUGCUGCUGUCUGAGUUCCCAGGGCUGAGUGGAAAAUAGCAUAACAAACUUAGUCCCAUCAAGUUGUCUUGGCAAUUAAAAUCAAUGGUGGUAGAUAAAUCUCCGUUAUUUAUUAACGCUAUUCCAUCCAGAUUGAUGCUUGUCUUAGACAAUUUGGGCUAUUUGCAAGUGUGCAACUAUGAGUUGCUUGAAGAAAUAUUUGAUUUGGAAGGGCUGGAGGUUGUGGAAAGCACUCGAAUACUACCUCAACUAUGGGAAUUGAACUUGGCCAAUCUACCAAAAUUGAGGCGACUGUGGAAUAGAAAUCUUCAAGAAUCAAUGCGCUUUUAUUCUUUGGCUACUCUCAUACUUUAUAAUUGCAAUAACUUGGGACAAGCUUUUACUUCAUCAAUGGCUCAAUGCCUUGCCAGUCUUCAUCAAAUGGAAAUAAAGGAGUGUGGUCAAAUGGAAGAAGUGAUCGUAGAGGAAGAACGGCAGGGAAGUGCAGUGGAGAAGAUUACAUUCUCGAAGCUCCGGCAGAUGAAAUUGGAAUGGUUGCCCAAUUUGACUUGUUUCCUCUCGACAAAAAAUCAUACGCUGGAAUGCUCCAACUUACAAGUGCCGAGCAUUAACCAUUGCCCCAAGAUGAGAAGUUUGACUGGGCAAUCUUGGAUGGAGAAUGACCAUGGCACCCCUGCAUUUUUCACUUCCCAGGUCAGUCUUUCAAACAAAUGCAUCUUUGGCAUUUCAUUUGGAACAUGUUCUCAUAGUACUGGACAAUGCACGGUAUGAUGCAAAUUUUGUGCUUUGUGUGGGUUUAUAUACAUAAUCUUCUAAUAUUUAAUAAUAAGAUUAAAAAUAUUCUAAUCCUCAAUAAAUAUUACUAUUAUAUGUACAUCUCUAUAUUCUAUUAGAAGUGUUAAGUCGUUAUAAGUUCAUAAUUCAUAUCAUGUGCAGUACUUUAGAAUUAAUUAGUGAGGUUUUUAAAAAGGUGAUCACAACAACCAUAUAAAAACAUUAACUUUUUGCAAUUUCAAUUAUAAAGAACUAAAUAGCAAACACAAAAUAGCAUCUAAAAAUGGCAGAAAAAGUAUUAAGUAUUGCCCCUUCAUAUUUACUUGCGUGGAAGCAAAUUAGCGUCGUUCUAUUUAACAUGAAUAAAAGGGAAAAAAACUUCAUAUUUAUAAAAUCCAAUUUCCCAAAUUGCUUAACUAUUACAGCUCAUUAUACCAUAAUCAGUGAGUUGACUUUUUUAUUUCUUAAUAAUCAUCAAUACUUGAGCUAGGUCUUGAUAAUGAGAUAAAUAAAAAUAAAAAGGUCAAUAUGCAUGAAGUGGUUUGCCUUCUCCAUUCGUAAAUCAUUCUCCAUUCGCUAUACUCCAGCAACCUAUCAAAUUACGUACUUGUAUUAUAGAAUAAAUAUUAACUCUAGACUAUUAUAUUUAGUGAUAAUUAGUGUGAUAGUGCACACAAUCUAUGUUAGGCAAGAGAAAAUGUAGAUUACAUUUUCCAGAAAAAGAAAUGGCGAGAAAAAGGAAAAAAUAAAGAGAGAAAAUGACAACUGGAUAAUAAAUAGUAGCAAUUCCGUGGGCGAUUACUGACAUUGCAAGUCUUAUUUCAUAACUAAAUGACAAAAUUUAGUCGAUGUCCAAGCUAAAAUAAAAAUUUGAAAAAUUUAUCAAAUCAACAACACCACCGAAGGGAAAGUAUUAGGUGCAUUAAUUACAUAGCAUAGGAUUCAUAUUAAAUCAUCUGCAGAUCGACGCGUGUCAAUCGAACCAUCAAAAUUUUUGCUCCCCCCUCUCUUCAAAUAACGCCCCGUUACUGGAAAGCUCAACUCUGCUCUUCCUAGUGUGGCUUUUCUCUCUCGCUCUCUUUCCUCUGUGAAGGUGCAUCUCUAUACAUGAACCACACCUCGGCGUUGGCCUCCGUCGGUUGCGGUGCGCUCGCUGAACAACGGAAAAAAAAAACAUAAAAAGGAAGAAAUUAGACGAAGUCUAUUUGAUGUUUUAGCUUCUCUCUCCUUAAGAACUGUUCGCUCUGUCAUUUCGUUUCACCUUCCUCCUCCUCUUCGCGACGAGGGGGAAAAAAGAAAGUGAACCAAGUCUACACAGUCAAGUAACAAUAACUCUUCUUCCUCCUCCUUACCCCCCAUCCUCUACCUUCUUUUUUUGGGGCGAUUGAUAGGGUGAUCCAUCCAAUGGUUGAAUCGGAAGCUUCGGAAUCGCUUCUCUGAAGUAUGCCUCCUCUCUACACGCGUGCAUGUGUGGGUUUUGAGCAAUUACGCAAACUGGAGCUUGUUGCUUUUGGUGGGCCAAUGGGAUCUCCGAUGCGGAAGCGAUUUCAGCAUUGAUUCAGCUGGGGCAUUGAUUCUGGCGAAGAAAAAUUAAAAAAUCUUCUCUUCAGCCCUCCCUUCCUCCUCCUUCGUCCACAGCAGCCCAACCUCCGCCCCUCCUCCGCCGUCGCCCACGGUGGAGUUACCGGCACCUUGAUUAGGAUGACCCUCACUAUGUCUAAGCUGAGCAUGGCCGACUUCCUCUGAUUUGUCCGUCUCAUUGUUCUACAGAUCUCGAAAUUAGGCUGACCCUCACUAUGCUUGCGUUUUUUCUUAUUCUAAUACUUUUGCAUAAUUCUUUCUAUUGUUGCCUGCGAGUAGAAUGUUUAAUUAUGAGGAGUAUCUAUAUAUUUGUUUACUUUUUUAUCGUAACAGUUAUCACUAAUUAUUUAUUUACUUCUAAUGUCAUUUGCAUGUAUAAGUUGUCAUGUAAUAAUAGGUAUCCCCGCACAUUUUGAGGAUAUUUCAAAAACUUAUUGUUACACUGAAUCGAGAAUACUAAUAAAUUUGGGGAAGCAUAAAAAUAGUCAUAUGAUUUUUUGGUAGUGACAGGUUGUGAUAGCGUUAAUUUCAUUUUUGUGUCAAAUAUGCGCUGCCUGUAAUACUAAGUUGCUCCCACAUUGUUAGAUAAUUUCAAAUACUCAUCAAAAUGCUCAAUUAAGAAUAUUAAUAGACUAAGGGAAGUGUGGAAAGUCAUUUUGUUUUUUUGGUUGUGAGAAGUCCUAGUUGCGUUAACUUUAUUGUAACCAAAUGAAAAAUAUCAAUACUUUGCUUUUUAGUGGACAAUCAUAUUGUGGUCAUAACACGGUAAAAAAAGAAAAGAAAAAAAAACACAGUUGAAUUUCUCCAAACAAACGUAUUGUGGUCAUCCGCUUCUUUUUUCAGUUCUUUUUAUUUUUCUUUUAGUCUCCAACACCCGAACAAAACUCCAAAAUCCUCAAGACAAGGCAUCAAUUAAGGAUAAGAAAUUGGUUACCAUUUUUUGUGAGUGGUUGGCCCGCUAGCCCACUGCAAGAUUCUACCACAAAAGUGAAUAAAUAAUAUUUCAAGCAAAGUUAUUAAUGGUCCAAUGUAGAAUUAGUAAGUUGGCCCAACUUGCUAUUCUAUGAGAUCAUAAUAUAUGUUAAUUAUUCCAAUCAUUAUAUUGUCCGUGCCUAUUACAUAUUUAUUUUUUCUAAUACAAAAAUUUUUCUGCACAUAAUAAAGAAAAAACUUGUAAACAGUUGAAGUAAUUAUUAUUUUUAUCCGGUUCACCAUCUAAUUUGCAUGAUGCUCCUCAUUUGUGAACUUUAUUAAUUGAAGAUUCAUAAGUAAUGUUCGCCUAUUACAUAUUUAUUUUCUUUCAAUACAAAAAUUUUUCUGCACAUAAUAAAGAAAAAACUUGUAAACGAUUGAAGUUAUUAUUAUUUUUAUCCGGUUCACCAUCUAAUUUGCAUGACGCUUCUCAUUUGUGAACUUUAUUAAUUGAAGAUUCAUAAGUAAUGUUUCGCAAUUGGUAUUAGUGCUGAAUAAGUAGCGGUGCUCAUAGUAAAUAGAGGAAAUAAUUUCUAUCGCAGGAAGACACAUUUGAUGAGUGUCGGACUUGAGUUGCCAAUCAAUUGUAAGUGAAGAUGCACAAAUCUCACUUGUGCUCCCAUUCCAUGGCUUAUUGAUCCCAACCAUUGAUCUAUUUAAAAAGUUAUUUCUAGAAUUUAUUACUCAAUGCAUCAAUGAUUGAUGAUGAUUAAGGCACCAUAUGGCGAAAAAAUGGGUUAGUAUAUCUCCAUCCUUUCCAUAUAUACAUGGACAUACUUAUAUAAUCAUCUUCCAUGCCCAUGCUAUUAAAAAGCAAAUAAGCAUCAUUGUACAAGAUUUCUUAUGUCUGUACAAAUAAACGCAAUGUCCAUGCAGCUGAUUCACUUUUGCUAAUAAUUUUUUGAUUAUUCUAAAUCUACUAGAGAUGAAAAUGGGAAGUUAAUUUCUUUUAAUUGAUAAGAAAUAGAUGUAGAACCAGCUUAUACCUAUCGCUGAAGCAUCAUUAUAAUGCACCUAUCAGUGCGGCAUUGGAGCCAACAUAAGAAAGAGAGAGGAAUGACAUGUAUGCAUAUCUCGAUUGGAUUGCAAUGUGAAGCACAUGCAUCAAAGCUUCUUUGAACCAUGCUUCAGCUACAUUCAUUCCUUGAACCGAAUAAAUUUAAGAAAUUCUUACCUUAUCUAAUGUUGCAUUAUCAAAAAAUCAGUGCAAGCAACUUUGAUAAUGAUCAAUGCAAACAAAUGUGAAAGUUGGAGAAUCCAAGUAUUCAUCAUGAACUUUCCAAAAAUUAAAGGGAGAAGGUAUUGCUAGUAGUAAAUGUCAAUUGAGGCACUUAAAAUUCAAUGCUCAAUGUACUAUUGAUUAUAAAUGCAUUUAUAAUUUCAUGCUUGUUGCAAUGCAAUAUAAUUUGCCUUAGUCAUUAGUCAAUUUAAAUGAAAGCAUCAACUACUCUCUUUUUUUCACUAACAAGCUCUCGCAUACUCAUGUUUUGUGAGAGUGAGGGAAGUUUAGAAAUUCUUUCUUUGAGGUCAUAACUCAAUGUGAUCAUAUUCAUUAUGACAUUUUUCUCAAUAUGCUAGGUACAAUGUGUCCAGCUUAGGUGGAUUGUUCUCUCCCAUAUGGACAAUUUAAGCAAAAUAUGGAGUGACGGUCCUCAAGAAACUCUCACUUUUGACAAUUUACAGAAAGUGCAAGUUCACAAUUGUGGGAGCCUUGAAAGUGUGUUUCCGCAUUGGGUGGCUACAAGUCUAACCCAACUUAAGGAACUUCAAGUGGAGUCUUGUGGGAUUGAGGAAAUAGUCACUAGUGGGAAUGAGACUCCACAUUCCAAUACUACUCAAGAUCUUUUCCCAGAAUUAACCUCUCUAGUGUUACUGAUAUGCCACAACUUAAGAACUUCUGCACCAACUUGCCCACUUUGAAAUGGCCAUUCUUGAAGGAAUUGCGAGUGACUCACUGUGGUAAAGCAAACAUGAUGUCUUCUGUAGCAUCUAUGAGCAAUUGGGCUCAAAAAGAUUAUCAAUGGGGCCUUUCAGACCAAGAAGCACACUCUUUAUUUGAAAGGGUAUGAUUUCAGCUGCUCUCCCUUAGUUUCUAUUUUGUUCUUUAAAGCACUCAUUGAUCUCAUAUCCACUACAUAAUCAACCCACGUUAUAUUGCUAUAGAAAACAUGAUCUCUCUAAAUUAUUAGUUUGUUCACAACAUUAAAAUAUUUCUAAUAUCUUGAGUAUACUUUUCAUUUGUGGACACCCAUAAGAUAUUUCAUAAAUUAUAAUUACAAAAAUAAUUAUAGAUUUUUGUUGAAGGCACAAUAUAUUCCUAAUCUAGUCUAGUGGUGCUCCUUGGGGAAAUCAAUGAAAAUUUGACAUGAGGUCCACUUCAAUGUUGACACGUGUUGCACAUUUGAACUUUUCUUCUCUAUUUUGUCUUCUAAAAAAUCAAAAAAAUAAAAUAAAAAUCAAUACAAACGUUUAACAAAAAUAAGAUUAGUACCUUAAUGCACUAUUUUCUAUUGUAUUCCUUAAUUGAUCUCAUCUUAUACAUAGUCAUCCUGUUGUAUCACUAUAGACAACCCAAAAUUCCUUACCUAUGAGUUUGAAGACAAUAUAAGAUAUUUUAUUAUAUCUUAGGCACACUUUUAAGUUUAUGGACCCAUAUGUUUCAGUAAUAUCAUAUGUGCAUCCCAUUACAUAAGUUUCCGAAGAUGACUAAUUUUAGUUGACAAGAUAUUUCUAAUAAAAGAUGAAUUUGAUGAGCUUGGAGGGAUCUUGACAAGUUCACUCUAUAAACUUAACCAUACCAACUUCUAUUUGAGACUUUUAAAAGCUUGAGACUUGAAUGUAGGGCUCUUGAGAUAUAAUGAACUUUAAGAAGAUGGCCACCUUCCUUGUGAAUCAUCUUAAUAGGUUUACUUUUUACAGCACAUGAUUUAUUGUCAAAACUUUGCUGAAUUUACUUCUCUUGUUGUAUUGGCAAUUCGACAGGAUUUUCCCAACUUGGAGAAACUUUUUUUAGUCAAUAACAAUAUUCAAAUGAUACAAGAUGGAAAUUUUCCGGAUGACAUGUUUAGCGAGCUAGGAGCACUAACACUGGCAUGCUUUCAUGAUAAAAAGGCCGUCUUUCCUUCCAUAUUCCUCCUAGAGAGAUUUCAGAAUCUACAGAGCCUUGAGGUCUUCUGUAACUCCUUUGAAGAUUUAUUCCCGGACGAAGGGUUUGUUGAAGAAGGGAAACAUCCAAUGCUUGAAAAUUUAAGAGAAUUUAAAUUAAACAAGCUACGCAACUUAAAGUCUGUGUGGAGAGAAGACUCUUUAGUGUCGAAAAUUCUUUAGAGCAUCGAAACAUUAAAGGUUUGGGAUUGUCCUCAUUUGAUGACAAUAUUUCCGACCAUGACAUCCUUCCGGAAGCUGACGGGCUUAGAGGUGAAGAAUUGCGCUAGAUUGGUACAUCUAAUAAUAGCUUCAACGGUCACAAAUUUGGUGCAUUUCAAAAGGAUAACUAUAAUAGAAUGUGAAAGAAUGAAAGAAAUAGUAGCUGACGAUGGAAAUGGAAAAGGAAAAGUGAUUUCUUUUGGGAAUCUUUUGGAUUUGACACUCCAACAUCUACCGAGCUUAGAAUGCUUCUCCUCCAUUCCGAGUUGCAAUUUUACGUUCCCAUCCUUAUGAAGUAUUGGAGUAGAAGAGUGCCCGAAAAUGAAGACAUUUUCUAAGAGUAUGCUAAGCACACCACGACUAAUUUGGGUGAGACUAUUCAGAUACAAGUUGGAUGGGAACUGUGGGGAGGGUAAUGAUCUUAAUACAACCAUACAGAAGUUAUCAGCAUAAACAAACGCAUAGAAUUUGUAAGAUCCAAUUGACGUCAUUCUCUCAUCCAUUUUUAUUUUCUUUUUAUUUAUUUAUUUUUGGCAGUGCCGUAAGUUUUGAAAAAUUUUCUUCUUGUAACUUUUCUGUUAUUGAUUCCGUCAUAUCAGCAUCACCGUCAACCCUAUCGAUCGAUCUCGGCUCAUCCUUCACUAAACAGAAGGAAGCAAAGCAGGGCUCUCCUUCUCCUUCCUGACGCCAGAGGCUCUCUCCAUCUUUCUUCUUCCUCCUCGGUGGAGCAAAACUGGGGGGAACCUCUGCUGCCUUCACCGAGGACGGAGCGAAAAUGAAGCAUCAGGAAUUGCCAGGACUGCGAGACUGCGAGAAGCGAAGCUGCACUUAGCGGAGCGGAGCCAAGUAGAUUCAGUCGUCCGCUCACUUCAUCAAAGCAGAAGAAGAUCACACUCUCUCUCCGCGUUUGCAUCCGACAAAUCGUAAGUUCACGUUUCUUCCGAUUUUGGUGUCUUAUUGCGUGUGAAUUAGGUUGAAGCCGGAAGUUGGUUUCGUAGAGACCUUCCUCAAUCCUCGCCUCCUUCUUCUAUGGCUAGGGCCCUUUUCUUCAACCUAGCAAUUUUAUUGCCCCUAAAUCCACAUCUUCUGUGCUUUCCUCGCGAGCAUUGGCGAGAGAAACGCGUCUGCGUAGGACAUCUCUGCAUGUUUGAGCUCCCAUCGAUGGAGAUGAUAUAGGGAGAGAUAUCUCUCGAGCAUCAUGAAACUUGAAAAUAUUCAGAGAGAAUUCCAUGCCUUGUCAAAAAUAUGAGGGGGUCACUUUUACGCCUUGUUCUCAAUGUACUCCAGACUGCUCAUCCUCAUGAGAAUUUCUUGUGGUUUGACGUGUCUUUGUUUCUGCUUGCGUAACUCUCUUUCGCAUUGUUCUUUUCAAAUUCUAGAAUAAAUUUUAACAAGCCCUUUUACUUUGUCUUGAUUGGUUACGAGAUGCUGCAACGAUAAAAUUUGUUUCCAAUUUAUGCUAAAUAUUUUCAUAGCAAGUCAAACUGAUGAAGUGUGCUUAAAUUGCCUCUUCACAGAACUGUCCCUCUCGGUGCUUUGCUUGCCAUCCUCUUGUGGUCCAAUCCAGGUACAGUUGAGGCGCCGUCGUUGUCUCGCGUUUCUUUUAUGUAGAGCAAUAACAUGGUUUUAGCUUCAGUUUUCAUUCGGUUCCUUUCAAAUUUAAUUCGUACCUAUUCUGCUUCUGCAUUCUGCAUGUCUGGUCAAUGGGAGGGAACUCCCGGUGUUCAUCUUUUUUGUUGGGGGAAUGGUUAUUGGAAAAAGCGAAGGGUGUCUUCGAGCUUCUACCAUUGAGAAGGAUAAGGUUGUGUUUUUAGAUGUGCAUCCAUUACACAAGGUUUUCGCGGCUUGCGGUACUUGUUAUGAUAAGCUUUUGGAUAGUGGAUGCAUCUAGAGUUAGGUGGUCCUAUUGAUCAAUCGUUCGCCCUUUUUGAAGUCGAUGCAACUAGGAUGGUCAUGUAAGGAGUGUGCUUCGUUUCAUUGGCUAUAAAAGAAGAUGUCAAUGCGAGUAGAACAAUGUCGACAGUCUUUUUGACGCCUUGUUCUCCAUAAACUCCGGACUGCUCAUCAUCAUGAGAAUUUGGAGGGGUGACUUGCGGUUUAACAUAUCUUGUUUCUACAUUCCUAACUCUCUUUCUGUCUUUCUCUUCAAAUUCUAGAACAGUUUCUAAGAAGCUCUUGUUUUUAUCUUGAUUGAUUACUAAUGAUGUGGGGGAUACUUUUGACUUCUGAUCUAUGCUGAAUAUUUUCAUGGCAAGUGAAAUUUAAGUUGCCGUUUUUCAAGUACUAGGAGGACCAAACAGUUAGCGGAUUAAGGCAUCCUGAGCUGGUUUUUUUAUGGUCCCACUCACCCAAGGCCUCUCACUGUUUUUAAAUCGGCUGAUAACUUUCCCAAUGGAGUACCCUUUUUCGAGGUGGUGAUGAGGCCCUCUUAUGUUAAGCAUGGCUUGGUAUGAUCCCACGCUUAUUGACUCAGACUGGCAAUGUCCGAAAAUCAAAUAUAUCGAUGCUUUUUAGAUCUUUGCUUAUAAUCUAGUGUAUUUCCAAGUUUACUUCAUUGUAUAGUAUACCACACGAUACAUUAUUUCCUUGAAGUGUCUGCAUUUCCAAGUUUACUUCAUUGUGUAGUAUACCACAUGAUACAUUAUUUCCUUGAAGUGUCCGUGGGUGGUUGGAGGUUCGAAAAGAUAACAAUCGUCUUCUUCUUCUUGUUGGAUAGAUGUUGUUGGAAAAGCAAUUGCUGAGGCGUCUUAAGAAUAGAAUCCAAGUUCUCUAAUAUGGAGCAAUCGGACAAUGUUAUUCAAUGCUGUAAAUUUAGAAUAUAUAUGUAAAUCACACCAGGAGACUAGUUGAUAUGGACAAGCAAAUUGCAAAGAAUUGUUGCUGCCUCCAUGACUAAAGAGAAAGACCUGAUAGAUAAGGGGAUGGCUUGUUAUGAUUCUGAAAUUUCAUUGUAGAUCUAAUGAUUGAUAAUUUUGUUUUCAAAUGGGAGAUACUAUUGUACUUCGUUAUAUUAAUCAAAUUUAGGGGGGAAAAGAUGAUUUUACUUUGUCAAAUUGAACCAACGGUUUGAUAAAAACCUUAUUUGAGCUGCACUUGAAAGAAUCAAAUAACUUAGGUUUAAAUUUUCAAGUCUAUCGAUGAUCCAGUGAUCAAUGUAUUUGCUUUUUCCCCUGUGAUUGUGAUUCGUGUGUCUGAAAUUGAUAUGUUUUAAAUAUAUAUAGGAUCUGGAAGGUUUCUUCUGAAUGUAUACCCUUUUGCAUUCUCGGAGCAUAGAUUUGACCUUGACUUUGGAUUGAUGGCUUUCGUUAUAUGGUUAUUGUCUAUUAAACUCCUGAAACUAGCAAGUAAUGCCUUAAACUCACGACAUGUACGAUUUGAUUCUCUCAUUAGGGUAUGCUUAUGUCUUGGUCUGUUCUUCACUAUAUGUUGGUUUUUCAACCAUGUAGAUGGGCAGUGUGCUCCUGUUCAAUCCAUCGCGUGACAUAUUCAGGACAUUAAGCAAAUUGCCACUCUCGGGUAUUUGGAUAGGUCAUGGAUGGUGAAGGUAAGGAGUUGUAGAUGAGAAUUUUUUUUUUUUUUUUUUUUUUUUUGGGGUGGGUGGGGGGCAGGGGUUUCUUUUUCACUGGUUGGCCCACAUUUGGAAGAGAAAGUCAUCUGUAUGUAGAAACUCAUUGAUAGGGAUGAUUUUGUGUUCAGAGUCUAUACAUAUUUACUAGUGCUGGUUAGGACUUGACUUACAUUGAUUGAGAUGAAAUCUGGAAUUGUCACUUUUGCUGGUCCAAAGGAAUUCAGUAUUCCAAAUAAUAACCCCUUUAUAUAGUCUUGAGGAAUCAAGGAAGGGUACUUCUAUGCCGAUUGGGUUUUAUGAAGUUGAUCAUAAUCCAUAUGCACACUCAUUAAUGCCACAUUCCAAAUCUGAAUAAACCGAAAAGCAUGUGCUUCAAGAUGUCCUUUUUGGUUUAUGCAUUCUUGUUAUGUUGUUCUUCGUUUUGAAUUUGAAAUCAGGACUCAUAGGCUUAUUAAGAUUAUGGGUUUUAUUUUUUCCACAGGGAAUACCAAAAAGGUCCAAGAGGACGCUUUUGAGAGAAUGGUGCAAUUAUUUGGCCUGUGGAAUUGGAAAAAAUGUGAUGAGAUGAUUUGGCUAGCAACGGGUUGGAAUGAAUUUGCAGAGCAUUACUCUAUCUAUGAGGGCCAAUUUUUGGUCUUCUAAUCUGAAGGGGACUCCAUUUUCCAUGUCACCAUAAUUGAUGAAAUAAUGUCCGAGAUAGAAUAUCCAUCAAUCAAUGUCAAUGUGAGGAACCGAGCCUCAGCAAUUGUGGAAUUGUCUUGCUGAAAGUGGAAGAUGCCUUCGAUUGCUGUGAUGUUUCAGUCAAGCUUGAAGUCUAGGGAGAUGAAUUGCAUUCAGCCAAGUGUCCUCAGUCUUGUAUGGAAAUGGAAUUUGUUCAGGUUUGCAAAGUUCAUGGCGGUUCCUAUGCAUAUUCAUCAGUAGAGUUUGGGGAGGGACAGAAAUUCGAACUGCUCAUCACAAGAUUUUCCAGGUGUGAAUCUUAAUUUAUAAGCUAAUUCUCCCCUUGACUGUGUUGUUCUUGUGUUUGAUUCAAAUACUGUACAGGAGCUGUCCAUGUCGUUAGGCUAAGAGAAACUGCACUAGAGUUAAUGCUACGAGAAACUGUGUUAGAGCUAAUUCAUUUUCUUAGUGUUUCUCUGUCUCUAGAUCUCCCCUGUGUGCAUAUGUAUGUGUUGGGACUAAAUGUGCCGGCGAUUGCCGUGAUGUUUUGGUUGAGCUUGAAAUCUUGGGGGAUGAACUGCAUUCAGCCAAGUGUCCUUAGCUUUGUAUGCCAAUGAAACUUGAUCAGGUUUGCAAAGUUCAUCACAGUUCCCAUGCACAUUCGUUACCAGAAAGUUUGGGGAGGGACAGAAGUUCAAAUUGCUCAUCAUGAGAUUUUCCGGGUGUGAAUCUGAAUAUAUUAGUAAAUUCUGCCCUCGAUGUGUUGUUCUUGUGUUUGAUUCGAAUUCCAUCAGGAACUCUCCACAUUGUUAGGCUAAGAGAAAUUGUGUUGAAGCUAAUUCACUCUCGUAGUGUUUCUCUGUCUAUAGUUCUCCCGUGAAUAUGCAUGUGUUAGGGGAUCUCAUAAAUAAUGGAAACAAGCUAAGAAUCGUAUUGGUGUGCAUAUAGGCCUUGGGAAGCUAGACCAUUAGUAAGACUCAGAUUGAUUCAUUUAGGGUUGCUGGGUUGGCAGAUACGAGUUUUACAUAACAAGAAUAAGAUACAAAAGCAAAAGCUUUCUUCAUGUUCUGUUUGUGACUACUGCAGGUAAGCUGAAAAAGUGGCGCUUAUGCAGAGCUCUCGAACCAGCCAGCAAAUUUAUACUCGAUUAUCCUUUCUCUGAAAUUGCGGUGAGGUUAAUACAUCUGAAGAAAAACAAUGUGGUAAGAUCCUUGUAAUAAUGACGACUCUUGGAUUUAAAUCACAUAAAGCAACCUCAUACUGUCUUCCUCAGAAAUCCUUGGUUGUUUUCUUCUUUGUAAUGACAAAAUUGCGCAAUUUUUACUUGAGCAGAGAGUUCCUGGUUCAUUCCCAAAGACACACGUUAAGAAAAGCCUGCAGACCAUGGCUCUCAUAUUUCAAGAUAAAUCAUGGCCGUUGAAGCUCAUCAGCCACGAGCAUUAUGGAAAGUCAUCUGCCUGCACGAGAGAAACUUCUCUGAAGGUGGAAGAUGUGUGUGUGUGUUCAAGCUUUAUUGAAAGGGACAAAUAUCGGGUUCAGAGUAUCCAUCUUCAGAACCACUGAUAAGACUUGGGUGUAUAAUAAUACCAUGCAAUACGAUAAAGCAAAGGAAGCAUCGCCUUAGCUCACUUUUGGUGAGAAUAGAACUUACAGAAUUGCUAGGCUGAAUUUUGCUUCCGGUUCAGCAAAAUGGAUGAAAGCAUGAGUUUUGUUCCAAUGGAUGGAAUGGUCUUGAACGUGUACGAUACCUUUCCUUGAUCCUGGACUUAGUGAUCACCAUGUGGGCAAGAGUCGUGAGUUGGAGGGAGCUGAUAACUAAUCUGUAACUUCCAUUUCUAGAGAUGAUCUUUCAAAUUUGGUGCUUCUUUGAUGUUUCCGGUGGCUCAACCUGACCUUUGAAAUUGUCAAUGGUAGUAACGAUAAUUUUACAAGCUCCGGUGAACUUACAUCAGAUUCUUUUCGUCGUCUCUUUUCGAUUUUCUGAAGAUUUCGUGAUCAGUCUUUUCAUAUGUAAGUUUGUUAGUUUCUUCUCAUGUGAAGGGCUUUCAGAAUUUUUUUUAUUUCUAUUUUUUCAUAUAAACUGCAUGUUGAUAUGCAUGACAAAGCAAAUAUGCUGGCAUCUUUGCGUCACUGCAGCACGACUCUUCCGGAGGCUCUCUCUCGACACAGCAUCCGAGCCUCCAAUAGUGGCUUUUCGUCUUAGAAUCGGCAACAGCUUGGUGCUUUCGGACUCGCUCUCGCUGCCAGAUAAAGCUCUUCAAUUCUCUCUCUCUCUCUCUUCCUUGCAAGAGCUCAAUACCUCCUCCAAAGUCCAAAGUGCAACCGACGGCAAUGGAAAUUCGGGAGACGACAAGAGGAUGGGGGAAAACAAAAGCGAAACAUCCUGGAGAUGGGACGUCCCGGCAAUUGUGACUGUUGAUCAAGGAAACUACUCCGUGGUCAAGUUUCGCUGUCGUGGCUGCAAGGCGACUGGUAUCUUCGAAUCGGUAGCCACACUCUUUGUGCUUCCGUCGGUGCUGGAAGCAACAAUCGUCAGAGAACUCAAUCUCGAUGAAUCGUUGGUGGGUGCUCCAUUAACGGUUGGACUCUCUCCAGAUUUUCUCCGACUAAAUUUUUUUUGCAUCUUCUCUCUCUCUGGCUCUGGAUUCCCCUGAUUCAUCUCCACCAAUCCAGAUCAUCCCCACGGUGAAGCACACCAUCAGAUUCCAUAUUCGAGUCAUGGCCACUCUGAUUCGAGUCGUCGCUUUUCCUGUCCUUACCCAUGUCUGUCGCUGGGCCAUCUCAGGCUCACGCGGCCAUCACCGCCGAACCAUCAUCAGGGCCGUUUCAUGUCCGAUUUAAGUUCCAAGUCAAAUUCCGAUUCACUCCAUAAUACGUUCUGUUGACUCUUGCUUCGUUCUGUUCCACUCCCACUUCAUCGCCGUCUUUCAAUUCCAUCGUUUCGCCCAUCUAUGCCGCGUGCAAAGGGGAUGCUGAGUGGUGUGUUCACUGUUUACAAGAGCUUUAUCUGAUUGCCAAGGCUGAGGUUGGAUGGAUGAUCAUCUGGAUACGAUCCACCGAUUCGAAGGAUGAGAUUCUUCGGGUUUAGCUCUCGGCUCCCCCGCCGGUCCGGCCUCGCUUCAUCAACCACAACAGCCGAGGCCAAUCUGGGUAGUCAUCAUCAUCCGAGACGAUAUGCCAAGCGUGAAGAUUGGCGACGGUGAGCACGAAGAGAAAACAACGAAGAACAAAAAGGAGCGAAGCAGCGGAUGGAGAUGAUUUGGAUUUUGCGUGGGGAUUGUGGGGAAAACGGGACAAACGAGGUGAAGCCGAUGGUGGUUCUUUGGAUGAGAAGGAAAUAAAGUGUUGAAAAAAAAGAAAAAAAAAAAAGAGACGAAGGGAAAAAAUAGAGUGCCCACGAGAAAUCGAUCAAAAGGAAGACUUGCAGAAGAGAUGUAAUUCGUCAUUCCAUCGAGCACCUUCCUUGCAAACUCGAUCCCUCCUCCACAGUGCAACCAACGGCAAUGGAUCUUUGGAAGACGGCGAGAAAGAAUAGGAUAAAAACGAAUGGAAACAGAUAUCAACAGACGAAGUCAAAGCAUGUCGAAAUUAAUUCUAGAGUCAAAUCGAAGAUGAAAUGACAUGGUGAUAGGAACGACCGUCGAUCUGACAUAUAUUAUCAUCGCCUGAAUGUCAGCAAGGAACGGGCUAUCCAUGGAUAUUUCUUAUGGUGCGAUCUUCGUUCCUCCGUCUGUUGUUACAGAAUCGUUUCACUUUCUCUGUCUCUCUAAGCGCAAUUCAACGAACACCUUCUGCUCAGAGGACGCAGCACAUUCAAUGACCAGGAAACUCCGUGUGUCAAGUUCUUCGCCAUGCAUCGUUUUCUCUACGUCCAUCUUCAUUCUUCACCAAGUCUUCCUCCAUCAGGGUCGUUUCCUAUCCGAUUGAACUUCCGAGCCCAGUUUCGAUUCAUUCUAGAAUACGUUUUGUCGAUUCUUGCUUCGUUCUCUUCUCUCCCACUUCAUCGCCGCCUUUCGGAUUACAAAUGCAGUCGCUCGCGUCCUUCGUUUCGCCCGUCUAGGCCGCGCACAAAGGGGAUGUCGGGCUGGUGUAUAGGAUCCACUGAUUUGAAGGAUGAGAUUCUUCGGGUUCACUAGCGGCCCUCCUGCCGGUCCGAGAAGCCCGUUGAAAGGAAGACUUGCACAAAAGAUGGAAUUCCUUGAGAGGAAGAUUCAUCCCACAACUGAGCCAUCAUUUUCAUUUUCUUUUCCUUAGAAAAAGGCAUCAAAAACUCCAAACGACGCCAUUACCGCGUCUCUUCGCUUCACAUACCUUUGUCGGAUCUCUCCCUCCAUCUCGAUGCACUCCCUCGCUCAGUGAAUUCCGAGUCGCUCCACCAUCACCCUCACCGUCUACUGCUGCCUUGAAACCGAGUUGCACUCACCUAUUUCCAGUGCGAGCCUCGUGAUUGAUUCCGUCCCUCGCCGUCUUUAGAAACUUUCGGUGAUAAUUUUUUUUUUCCUUCUUCCGGUUUAAAUCGCGUUUUCGUAUUGUGGAUUCUUACGUGUUUUGACAGAGGCUUCAAUCUGGUGGCCUCGAGCAAUGUUUAAUGCUCGUCAUUUUGCUCAUCAAUGGAGUUCGUGUCAGAUUUUUUUUUUUCCUUUUUUCCUUGUUUCCAAUCGUGAAUCCGAGACCACUUGGAAACGAGCGAAGAUUGAACUGAAAACGUCGUGAGAAAUUGCCACAGCGAACAAGAGUUGUGCAGAGUUAAGCUCGGUCAAACAAUGGUUCCGUUUUCCUCUGUUUUUUGGCAUCCUAUCCUAUAGUUACUUCUGGAUUUAGUUGUGGUGCAAGGGUGACUUACUAGCCAUUCCUGAUCAGUCCUUCGGUUAAUGCUUUUCUCUAAAUCUCGACUUGAGGAAACCUCGGAACAUAAGUUUUUGCACUUCCUCAAAUAAUUUCAGUAGUUUGUCUCAAUAUUUUCCGUGCUCAGCUAGCUUCACAUUCUAUAUGGAAUCCAUCUACAAUGUAAUAAUCUCUUCUACUAUAUGUGAGAAUACCCUAGAGUUGUGUAAUGCGGUCGAUGGUACGAAAAGUGCUAGGUAUAAACAAUCGGUCUACCAACUUGGUGUGCAAAUGAGAUUUUUCCCAUCAUGUAGUCUUUUUGUACAAUCAAGUUACUAAACUUUGAUUUCAAUUGCCUGAUGCACUAACAUUAUUUUUCCCCCUAUCCAAUCAAUGCAUUAUGAAGACUUUUCAAACAAUUUUUCUACGCAUUAUUGACGUGGUGUCUUACAUAUCUGAUUGGAAAUGCUAUUACAACGACAUGAUGCCAUAUGGGUCUCAAUUAAGAAAAAAGCCAAAAACAAAAAGUUUAAAAAAAGAGAGGGUUACGUGGCCCUUGUGUUACGAGGGGAGGUUCUCAAGGCGUAAGCCGAUCAAGAGGAAGCUAAAGUGAUCAUAAGUAUCUAAAUCCUUUUUUAUCCCCAUUAGAUUUUUAAAGAUUUCUUUAAUUGAGUCCAUAAUUACUAUUUUCAUUUCAAUAAGUGAUUUUAGAGUCAUGAAAAAUCUAGUUGCUAGAAGCAAGCCAAACCAACACAAUGGUAAUUUCGUCACAUAUUUUUACCAACACAAUCGUAAUUUCAUCACAUAUUUUUACGCUCAAGGGCAUUGGUUUAUUUACUAAAAUAAUCAUUACUUAUUGAAGUUUGCCUCCACUAAGAAAAAUCUCUAGAUGCAUCCAUGGAUCAACCAUAAUUUGGUCGGGUUUCGAUUAAGUUACAAUUUCUGAAGUUCAUUCCGCAAUUGAAAUGAGAAUUUAAUGAUUGAUUGCAAAAAUGCGCUAUAUAAUUCAGUCAUCACAAUUGAUUUACCCUAAAUAAGUAGGUCUUAUAUUUUGAAGGUCAGUCUUAGUGCGUUUAAUAUUGUUCUUUAAGUAAGUAAUAGUAAUAUUUGUGUUCUUUUGGAUAUAUAACGCAAUUCCAACACAAGUCCACACUUUAACUUCUGGCCUAGCCUCAUCCGAUCAAACUUUCGCAAAAUUCCCAUCAAUCAAUCUCCUUUUCCUCUUCAACCGAGAGGCCAUUCGUAGCCACAAUCACCGCCUUCUCCCCAUCUUCAGUUGAAUGAAAACCUGCUGAAUGAGCGUCAUGCGAUCUUUUGCGGCCAUUUUGGCUCAGUCUUUGAAAGUUGAGCUGAAAACUUUUAGGGAAUAAAUAUCUGAAAUCAUUUGAUAUAGGACGACACACUCUGCUUCUGCUUUGGAAUCGUAGGUUAGUGUUAGUUUUUGAAUUUGUAUGUCAGAGAGAUGAGCUAGUCACGUAUCCAUCUUCAACUGUUGAAGUUUCUGCUGUAGGCAAAGGUGAAAUCAAGACUUGAUUAUGUGCAAGUGUUCUGCCUGGGUUUUCUCAUGUGAAAUCUAGGGAAACCAAACAACCUCUAAGCUGUGAUUUCUCCUAUUAUAGGUCUAGGAGAAAAUAGAAGAAAUGAUAGCGUAAAAUAUAUAUAUUUUUUCCUUUCGGGCGUUCCGAGAAAUUACUCAGAAGAGCUCUAUCUUUUGACCGGUGGUAAAAAAUCUGCCGUUUUAACCUGUGCGCAAUCCCAGAUUUUUAACUAGUACCAAUAUACAGGAUGUGGUGGCUUCUCAAAGGUGUUGUAGCACUUCUUUGUGUUCUCAUUUUGACAUCUAUCAAGCUAAAGUAGAAUGUGAUGAAUGGAUAUUCACUAGCGUAUCUACAGUUUUCUUUUUCUUUCUUUCUUUCUUUCUAUAACAUUUCAAACUCAUUCGUUUAUGAUUGUUUUCUGCAAUUAUGUUUGUCUCCCAGUUUCUGAUUAAUGUCUCUUUUUAUUUUAAAUGGACUGCUGUGAACGGACUCUUUUUGUUUUCUCUUCCUAUUUUGGCUGGAUCGAAAAGUCUUCUACUGUGUUGAUACAGCUGUAGUGUCGCAUGCUCCAAUAUUUUCGGACUUGCUGAACGGUAGUUCUUCAAUUUAUAGCGUCACCCCACUUCUUGCAUUGUAUCAAAUUAGGUGCUUUGAUGGUGGGUAUCUACUAUUCAUAACUGUCAAUUUAGUAAACAUCAAUUUUGUCACAAGAUGCGUACUAUGUAUGCUAGUGCUUCAUUCUCUCUUUCUUCGGUUCUAGUAGGUAUGGGUGGCUGCUACUAUUGGUGCCUUUUACUUUGCAUAAACAAAAGGGAUACACGCUUACUUACUUCGAUUAACUCCCACCUGAAGUAUCCUUCUCCCUCCACACUCCGACCUCGUUCUUUGUUUAUCUUCCUAUUUAUACCAGUUUCUCAAUUAAGAGUAUUUGAAACUAAGCAAGAAUAGACUUGUGGUGACUCUUGAUGGUGAUAUUUUGUCUAAUCCAUGUCGUACCACAUCAUUAGUACGCUUAGUACUUCGUCAUGAAGCAACCGAAAACAGCAUAUAAAAGGGACAUCCUUAUUAAAGAAGGAACCACAAGGACACUUCAAGGCCAGUAUCGCUAGUGCCAGCACAGUAGAAGGAAGAGAACUAUAGAAGGUAUAUCUAGGAAAUGUUCCAAUAUUCAAUGAGGUAAACCCAACAUAGCUAAGAAGUUCACCUAGACUGCAAACCUAGAACAUCUAAAAAGCAAUGAAUGAUGUACGUAAUCUAGCCUUUGUAGUAUGUAGCGUUCAGCAGGAAAGCUAUGUCUAGAAAUGAGAAGCCCGUAGAAAACUACUUUAAUGAACAUGCCUCAGAUGGACAGCAAAGCUGAAUGAUUGCUUAGUUGAGCAGAACAUGCCUAUGUGAUCUAAUAAAUUGCACAAUACCAUGUUAGGAGGGUAAAGAACCCAUGCAUGAACAGAAGUUAUAUGCCCUAUACACUUAAAACAUUUAGUGGACCGGUGAACCUCCCCGUUUGUCAUGAUUCUGAUCUUUUUUUCUUUUUUUUAAUAUGAUCUGCGUGUGGAAUGAGCUACGAAACAAUUCUUGUUCAAUUGAUCUUAUUGAUGAAUUAUCCGAUACUUCGGUUUGGCAGCAAUCCUGAUGCAAAAUCCUGCUGCAAUAUCAUCACCAUUUAAAAGAAAGGAAAAUGAUAUAAACAUAAUGGAUUGAAUCUAGCAUCAAUCGAAAGUCAAUCAACAAAUGUCCAAUUCCAUGACCUCAAUUUCACCUCAGAAGCAGCUAAGAAAACUUACGGGAAGAGGAGGGAGGAGCUAUGCGGUGAAAAGAGGAGGAACAGCUUGCUGUAGGAACUACAGUGGCAUUGCCGUGGUGGUACUCAAUCCCCAGGUACAUUGGAGGUCGCACUUCCACCCUGUUCUUUGCUUCAUUUUUCUUUCAAUUUAUAUCAGUUUCUCAAGUAAGAGUAUUUGACACUGAGCAAGAACAGACCUGUGAGCAUGAACAGAAUGAUAGCCCAUGGGGUGGUCACUCUUGCUGGCGAUAUUUGUAUAAUCCACGUCAUACCUACAUUGUUAGUACACUCAUUACUUCCUCAUGAAGCAGUCAAAAAGCUACAUAUGAAAGAGACUUCCUUAAAAUAUAAAAGAAACCACAAGGGCACUUUGAGGCCGGUAUCAUUAUGCCUGCAAAGCAAAAGGAAGAGAAUUAUGGAGGAUAUAUCUAGGAAAUGCUGCAAUAUUAGAUGAGGUAAACCCAACGUGGCUAAGAACUCACCCAAACUGCAAACCUAGAAAAUCUGAGAAGCCAUGGAGGAUACAUAACCAAGCCUCCGUAAUAUGUAGCGUUCAGCAGGAAAGCUACGCCUAGAAAUGAGAGAAUUUGCUUUGAGGAUUGGAAGCACAUAGAAAAGUGCUUUUCCAGAUGUGCCUCGGAUGGACAUCAAGUUGAAUGAUUAGCUUAGUUGAACACCCCUCUGUGAUUUGAUUCCAAUCAAACUAGUCAAAACACAUUAAUAACUUCCACAAUGCAAUGUUAGGAGGGUAAAGAACUCAUGCAUGCACAGGAGAUAGAUGUUCAAUGCAUACAUUUAAAACGUUUAGUGGACCUUGUGAACCACCCCGUUUGUCAUGAUUUUGAUCUGACUACAUCAGCAAUCGAACACACAUUAACAUAUAAGUAAACAGGAUUACAUGAUACAACCUCUUGGUUGAAGUGAUUCAUGUAGAACCAAAACAUACCCUCCAAGUUCUCAGUCUGUUCCUGUUUGUAAUGCCUAGCAUGGCAAUCAUGAAAAUGGUGACUACAUUCCCACCAAACACCACAAUUGCGGACAGCGUUAAGGAGAAGCCAAUCCAAGAAUAGUGAAACUGCCAUACUACUCCAUUUGAACCAGAAAAGACAAGGUAUCAAAUUUAAAGGAUAUAUAUUACUAAAGCAAUCGAAAAAUCUAUUUCCAUCCUACACUUGAAAAGCCACAAACGGAGCUGCUCAAUCAAAAUCCCCUAAAACAACAGAUGCUCCAUUAACUAGUUAACGAACGAAUGAAACUACUUAAACAUUAAUCAUCAUAUUACUUAUUUCCAUAGAGAAUGGGCCAUAGGGACGAGAGAGAAGUGUGCAGUGAAAGCUUGUUUAAGUGGAGUCCUGUGAUCAUUCUUUUUCUCUACAGUUGUAAUGGAACUUCGCACUUGUGGAUAUAUAUUAAAACCAGUAAGUGUGAGAGAUAGCUCGAUGAUCACCGAGUUGAAAUAAAAGGCCUUAACCAAAAAUUUGAAAGGUGAGAGCAUCACGUGAUCCGUUCUAAAUUUGGCAUCAAAAGUCAUUGCAUCUGACACAUAUCUAAAGAUACAGAAAUUACAUGCCGAGAAAAGAUUCAUUGAUGAAAAUAUGUAGAUAGAAGCCCCGAUCAAGACAAUGGCAAAAGAUCAGAAACACCACAAGCGCAAGGCGAAAGUGAUUUGUCAAAACCACUAUGGUUUGCGAGUAAAGCGAUCGGAAUGAGCAACAGAACAAUUCUCAUUCAACCGAUCUCACCGGAAGAGUUUUCCGAUACUCCGAUUUGGCAACAACCCCAAUGCGGAAACCUGCUGCGAUAUCAUCACCAAUUAAAAGAUGCAAAGGAAAAAAAAAUGAUAUCAAUAUAACGGACUGAAUCUAGCCAUCAUCGAAAUUCAAUCAAAAAACGUCAAAUUCCAAGAUCUCAAUUUCGCCUCAGAAGCAACUAAAAAAACCUACGGGAAGGGGAAGGGGCAGGAGCCGCAUGGUGUAAAAAGGAGGAACGGCCCACCGUAGGGACUACGGUGGUGAUGCCGUGGUGGCUCUCAAUCCUCGGAUACAUCGGAGAUCAGAUAUCCCAACGACGGUGAUGGCUUGGUGUGAAACGGAGGAGAGGAAGAAAUGGAGGAGUUUCCAAGAAGUGCAACAGAAGGGACCGGAAAACAUGAAAUUGAAAAGGAAAAAAGUAAUCCUGAUUCAUUUGGGAAUUUUUUAAAUUUUUUUUUACCCAAUAACAAAAUUUCCUCAAUUUAAAUCGCUAGAAAAUGCCGAUUGUAGUGAACAUUUGUCCGGUUGACGAGUUUAAAUUCUUAUUUAAAAUGAAAUCCAUUUUAAACUCAUUGUUAGAAAAAAAAAAUUAUCUCAUUUUAGAUUUUUAUUUGAAAUUUUUCUUAAAUUAUGUAAUGGCUAUUUUAGCGAUAAAUAAGUCCUCAAACAUGAAAAUGAAAAGGGUGAGGGGGUUCUGGUGGUGGUCCCCAAUAUGCUGAUGUUAGGAAGCUUGACAAUAUAAAAAUGCAGGAGCUGGACUUCAAAGAUUUUCAUAAAGGUUUGUUGGGCGAAAAUUAUUCAUCUUAUUGUCUAUCAACAUGCGGUGAAAACCUUUACCAAAAAAAAAAAAAAAAACAUGCGGUGAAAAUCUCCGUACUUUUUUUUUUCUUGAUUUUAAGCUUCCCUGGCAAUGGAGGAGCCGGUUGCACAAAGACUCGUGGACCUCGACUUGGAAAAGCUUUUGGACUAUUAUCAAAGAAAAAAUUGUUGGAUGAUGAUUAUUGACCUUUCAUUAUUUCCAUUUUGAAGAGUUUUGAUAUUCUAUAUGCUUAUUUAUCCUAUAUUCUUCUUCUUUACAAACGAAAUUGUCAGCAUGAAAUGACGAUUCAUUACAAAAGAUAUUUACCUGUAAUAAUUCUUUCUUUUAAUCAAUAUGAGAACUAAUAAGAUCCAUCCGUGUGAUCUCAAAUCCAACAAGAUUCCUUUUUUUUUUUUUGGGCACAUCAUCUCCAUCAAAAUUGAUGAGAUUUUAUUACUCAUUGUUAAGUUGCAAAGGUGGUAAUUUAACAUGUGUACAGCGGAGAGAUUAUUGUUUACUAAUUUAUUCGUGUAAUCUCCCACAUUUAAGUUUAUUAACCAAAUCGAUCCAUUACGAAAUAUGCAUGUUGGACUAGGUUGGGCUUUUUGAGGAUAACUUAUUUCCUAAAUCUCUCCAUUUGACAUCAAACCUAGUGAAAGGGCGUAAAAGGACAGAUAGAGCAUCCAUGCCUAUAAUCAAAUCCAGUGAACACGAAUCUAGCAACCUAAUGAGUCCAUCCAUUAUUUGUGUAAAGUUAAGACAUUGUAAGGAGAGGCCCGAGUUAUAUAUUGAAAAAGUAUCAACGUCAAGAAUGUGAAAAAUCCUCGAAGCUCAUUUCAUUAUAGUUCAAAGUAUCGAAACUCCAUACAACUACGGAAAUUUAUUAUAGGAAAAAAAAUACUCGGCAUUUCUAUUGGGCUUCAACUUGUCUGACAAAGCCCAGGCUGUCGGAGGGCCCGAAUAUAUACCAAGCCUAUUUUUCUGCCCAAGGCGUAGUUUCGAAUCUCGGUCCCAGCCCAAGCACGAAACUGAUCCAUACGGUCUAGCCCUCAACAUAAGGUAAGUUGAGGUCGUUCGUAAAGCAUGCUCGUUUGCGGGCGUGAAUUGACAAUGCAAUCCGAAGGAGAAAUUGGUCCAAAAGCGAGACUUGCCCUACUUGAUAAGCAAGCUUCGCACCCCCUAUAAUUACAUAAGUAUCGUUGCAGAGGAAUGGUGCCUUAACUUUAACACAUUUUGGCUCUCUUUCUCAUUUCACACCCCUAUAAAUACACUUAUUCUUUUCAAUAAAAAAAAAGAUUAUACUUACUUAACCUCUCUAUCUUGCAAUUAUUGCAUAUUAGUGAUCACUUCAUGUUAACAUUGCCAUUUUUUUUUCUUUUUUAUUUGUUAAAAAAGAUUCAAAUUGCAAAAUACACUUACUCUUUACUAUAAUAAAUUAAGCUUCCUAAACCCCCACGAUUGUAAUAGUUGAUUGGGGUGUCAGGGAUCUCCGAUUUGAGAAUUAGAGAUUGCUUGUUUGAAUCACAAAUACUGUAUGCAAGUUAUUCUGAGUUAUAGCCACCUAUACAGGUCAUAGCUUUAAGCUCAACCUAUUCAACUUGUAGUAUUUUUGUAAUGGGCUUUAAGUAGAAGAGUCUCCCUGCCCACGCCCAUGGAUUAUUAAAAAAAUAAAAAUAAAAACAUACUCUAGGAGAAUACUAAUAUAAUAUAGCAAUUUUUUUAUACGCUCUUCUUCCUCAUAAACUAGGUAAUCAACUUGGUUACAAGGAGAACGUCCCUUGGGACUUAAUAAAUCAUAUAUAUAUACACACACUUAUUUAUUUUCAUAUACAUACUUAUUUAUUUUCGAUUAGAUAUCAGUCAUCACCUUUUUGAAUAGGCAUAUUAAAUAUAUGAAUUUAUGAGCAAUUUGACAUGGUGUUCCAAUAAAUGAGGUUGGCAAGAAAAUUAAGCAACUUCAAGUAUACCUUUUGAACUGAGCCUUUUUUUUUUCACUUAUAGCGAUCAUUAUGAGAGCUUCCUAUCAAUAGAUCCAUGAAGAUUUGAAAGAUAAUACAUGGAAAGUCAAGACUAAUUUUCAAUUAAUGGUCAACAUUAAUUAGAUAAGGGGGUCUAAGUUAGCCCAAGUCUAACCUGUCAACAAGUAGUUCAAUAUCAAAAACUGCAAAUCAAUAUAUAAAUUAACGACAAGGUCACUUUAGAACUGUGAAUCGAAUGAUAUUAUGAUUACCAUCACUAAAAACAUAUCAAACACUCUGUAAUUUAUGACAUGAAUCAAAAUCUUAAUAUAGUAAAUAGGAAAAUUACCGGCUAAGCAGUUGAAUCAAUAGGAUAGGGCCACACAGAAGCACACGAGUGCAUACUAAAAUUCGGAUUUGACGAAUUUGUUCCUUCCAAAACUCAAGCAAAAAGGAAAACGAAGAAAAGAUAAAGAACCUUUACAGACAAAAAAAGCACAAUCAAUGCUUUGGAAUUUUGAUAAUGCUUGUUCCUUACCUACGGAAUGUUUCUGGCACUUUAAUACAAACCGUUCGAUUGAUAUUACUAAUUCUCAACCGUCGAUUAUCAGCUUUUCCAAUUAAAGGUUGCUGUGUUUCGACGCUUCCGUUCCUUCACCACUUCUUUGGGUGGGUCCGUUAAUUUGUCUUUUGACUUCUUUUUUUAAAAGUACUUAUUCUUUCGUCCACUUGGUAAGAUUCUAAGCGUAAUUCAUCGAAGGCAUCUUGAUAUCAAGCACACGAAUACUAUCUAUAUCUUUUCUCGUGUUCUCGGGUAUUGAUAAGUUGAUGUGGUUAGUGGACAAGAAGGUCUAGAUAAGUUUGUAGUCAUUUUAUAGAGCGGAAUCUACUCCUUGAAGAUAUGAGUACUCGGUAUUCAUUUCCAACUUUUCCGCUUUUGAAAAGUAAAAGAGUGAUAAAGGGCAAUGGGUGUCAACAAUACCCCGGGCAUUACCAUGGUCUAAAACUAUGGUAAGGAGGAGCUUCCAAACUUUACCGUUGGAACCAAAACCCCAUAUAUGUAAGAAGUCAUUUUCUCACUUCCUUGUUUCAGUUUACAUUUGUAAAUGAGACCACAUUCGAGUGAGCAAAGUCUAUUUUUGUUGGUUUGGGGCGAAAAAUUCUCUUAAGGUUUCCGGGCUUUGCACUUGAGUAAUUUUGACAUCAAUAUUGCAAUCAUAAUAUAUGUAGCACGGGCACUCUCCGAAAGUCUUUGUGUCGUGUCCAACACUCCGACACGCGGUCAACGAGUGUCGAAAAAUCCGACAUGUGGUCAACUCUCUCCGACACGCGAGUCCAGAAUUCUGACACACGAUUCCAACACGCACGGGUCAAUUUUAAAAAUUUCUAAUACUUGAGGGGUCAAAAUAUAAAUAUACACAAAAGAAGUAAUAAAAUUGCUAUAAAUAUACACGCAUGGGUCAAUUUUUCUUUUUAGUUUUGUUUUUUUAUAAUUGUUUUAGUUUUUUUAAAAGUCUUUUACUAUGAAAGAAGUAAUAAAAAAUGCUAUAUAUGAUAAAUAAAUAAAUUUAAAAAUAUCAUUUCAGCAUUUUUCUUUAAACAAUAUUUUUUUCCUCUAAGUUUUAUGUAUUAUUGUAACAAAUUAAAAUAAUGAAUGAUAUUAUUUAAUAUUUUUCGUGUAAAUUAAUUCUAGGCUAUUAUUAUUAUUAUUAUUAUUUAUGUAUUUAUAUAUAAAAAUAUAUUUAAUAUAUAACAUGUCGGAACGUGUCGAAAUUCUCCAUUUUUAAGAAAUGAUGUGUCGGCGUAUCGUAUAAUGUCAUGUCGUGUCGCGUGUCGCGUGUCGUGUGUUCGUGUCGGUGCUAUAUAGAUCGUAACAAUCAAUUGGAAGAAAACGAUUAUUAUGAUCAUGGCAUUGGAAAAAGAAUAUCAAGCAUUGUCUAAUUUCUGACGUGAAUUGAAGUUUCAACAUGGUAAAAAGGAAAACUUACCGCUGAAGUACUUGAAUCAAAAGGACGGGGCCUUGAAGAAAAGCACACAAGUGAAUAAGAAGUUUUGGAUCUGAUAAUCGUUCAUUAUGCAGCUCAAAGCAAAAAGGAGAAAAAAGAAAAAGAAAAAGUAAAGAGCCUCAACAUUCCAAGUUCUUACUUUACGGUCUUUUCUUAUGACAUCCUAUAAAAGUUAUUAUUUCCAAGAAAGCAGCCAAACAUUAUCACCAGAAUAAGAUGAUUGGACCAUUCAUGCAAAAAAUGGGUUCGAUAUGUAUUCUUUUGUCCGAUAAAGCUCUGUCAUUGGAAAAGAAAAAAAGCAUUGCAUGUUGCUCACGAAUAAUUUAACUAGACUUUGGAUAAUGGGGUGUCCCCACUCCCCACUCCCACUCCACUUCUACCAAAGAUGUUUCAUAAGAAAAGCUAAAAAGAUGAAAGCGUCAAUUAUUCGAUAAUGACUUGGCACAAGGAGCACCACACACGAGAGACUUUGGCUAUAUAAUGUGGAUUUGAUUAUUAUACUUGUUCUUUCUACUUUUAUGAUUGAAACAUUACGUAAAGAAUGAUUCGGCAUUUUAAUACCAAAUCUCAGCUGUUGAUUGUCGACUUUUCCAGCAAAAAGAGUAGCUGUGUUUCAACGCUACCCUUCCUUCAUCCACUUUUCUAGUGGCCCCGUCGAUUUGUCCUGGAUGCUUCCCUGAGAAUUGCUUCAUUGAACCGAAAGCAAAAAUUCACGAGGCUAUAAAAGAAAUAUUUCUCUAGUGAGCCUUCCAUUCCAUCAGAACCUUUGAAAAAUAGUUAAGAAAAUCUUCUAAAUUAACUAUACAUAUAGACAAACACACAUUUACGCUCCCAAUUUAGCUUAAAUCACAUCUUUCAUGUAAGCUGACCAAAAUGUUCUCCACACAUAAGUGUACACUUAAGCAUUAAUAGACCCGCCUUUUAUUUAAAAAGAAUAUAUUUGCCUUUUUCAUUUUCUCUCAAAUCUAUUGUCUUGCGUCUUUUCUUAUCUAUUGUAGACUCUUGAUAAGAGAUUUUGAUAUGAAUCCUCUCACUUACUCUUCUUAUUUCAGAAUUUUUUUUAUACAAGAAUCUAUCUUAAGAGCAUCUUCAGCCUAUGAAUCACCAACAUCAAUAAUAUCCAUAUAAAUAUUUAUAGAACCAUCCAUAUUAGUCAUAACUUUCAGAAAAAUGAUUCUUUUUAAAAAAGUUAAAAAUUAUUUUUCAAAGUAUGAUAAAGUAUGAAUGCUUGGAUUAGAAAUUCCGUGAUUGGGUACAGAUACUCUAACGUUGGUUUCCCAGCCCUUGACAGCGGGAUCGAGUCUAUCGAGGCCAGGUUCUAGACCUUAAUGCCCAUGCCUAGGUCGUUGACUCUUGAGUCCAAAUCUAUUGAGGCGAGGCUCGCGAUUUCUGUGCAUUCUGCCUUGGUAUAUGUUGAAUAUGUAGGUGUUAUAUACAUUUCAAAUUCAAAUUCACGCAAGCGAGCGCAUGCAAAUAUCUAUGAAAAUGUCUACUAUCAUGAGGAAGAAUAAAGUUGCCCUUUAAUGAAUUUUCUCAAGUAUUUUGCAAGUUCCGAGGGUCGACUCGUGCUUUCUUUCUGCCUCUGCCUUGGUAUAUGGUCCACAUGAUAAAUUGACAUGAUGGCAGACUAAGCAAAGUGACAUGUCACGUGUUCUCUUUCGUCAAACGGUACAAUAAUUGCUAUUCUACGUCAUGUCACGUGAAUGGCUUAAGUCGAAUCGUUUGUUUACUUUUUAAUAGCUGAUAAUCAUCUCUUUCUUUCUCCAUUCGAUCGCUAUUCCACGCUCCCCUUCAUCCAUUUUUGGCGCUCGAAUCUCUUCGCCAUCGUUCGUCUCUCGCUCUGUUUCGCUCUUUCUUCCCCUCGGCACACCCAUUCUUCCUCAUCCUCUUCCUGCUCUUCCUCCUCUUCAGUAUCUGCUGCUCUUUUUCAUCGUUCGAUUGCCUAUUCUACGCUCCCCUUCCUUCGUCCUUCUUUGGCACUCGAAUCUCUUCGCCUUGUUCGUCUCGCGCUCUGUUUCGCUCUUUCUUCUCCUCGGCACACCCAUUCUUCCUCAUCCUCUUCCUCCUGUCUUCCUCCUUUUUCUGUGCUCAAAUCUCUUGGCUUUGCUCGUCUCUUGCUCUGUUUCGCUCUUUCUUCUCGUCGGCUCAACCAUUCUUCUUCCUCCUCCUCCUCCUCCUCCUCCGCUUCCUCUUUAGUUUCUGCUGCUCCUUUUCAUCAUUCUCCCUCUCCGUCUCUCUUUUUUCUCGCUCUUUCUUUCUCUGAAAAAAAAAAUCAAAGAAAAAUGUCGGCAGAUUCUGUCGUUGGUAUUGGAUGGGAUGUCUUGAAGCGCUAUGUAAUUGUUCCCAUCGAACGUGGAUUCGGAUACGUGAUCUCCUCCAAGAGAUUCGCGAACCGUCUUCGGGGAGAAGUCCAGAAUCUGAAGAACGAGGUUCAGAGGGUCGAGGUUCUUGCGGAACAGGCUAGAAGCAAUGUUCGGAAAUUCAACGAUGUCUUCACGGCGUGGGAGGCAAAUGCUGGCAAGGCCUUGGAGGAGGCGCGAGAGCUGUUGGACGAGUUCGAAAAGGCGACCAAGACUUGCUGCUACGGGACUCUUCCCGACCCCAGAUCUCGCUACCAGUUCAGCAGGAAGGCCGAGGACAAGAGCGAGAUCAUUAAUCAACUCAGUCAAAAAUGCAACAGAUUCAACGGAUUGGACGAUAUCUCCUUCAUCGAUCCUGCUUUCAGGAAUGUCGCUGCCCCGAAUCCGGCCAGGAGAGAAGGCAAAGAUGUUGUUCACUCGACCACUGCAACAGCCUCUGCUUCUUUUGUGUCAACGUCAAUGAAGCUUAGGGACGGUGGCGUCUUUGAAUCCAGAGCUUUGAUGAUACGGAACAUCAUGGACGCUCUUGCUGAUAACGGCAAUAGCGUGGUUGGGAUUUACGGGAUGGGUGGGGUUGGCAAGUCCACUCUUUUGGCGGAUACCGAAAAAAUAAUAAGGGAAGAGAAGUCCUUCGAUCUGGUUGCUCAGGCCGACGUGUCCGAACAUCAAGACAUCAAGAGGAUUCAAGAAGAGAUUGCACACAAGUUGGGCCUAAGUGACCUAAAGAAUGAAGAGUAUGUCAGCGUGCGAGCGGAACUUCUGCACGGGAAGUUGAAAGUCGAGGAGAGCAACGAAAAGACGGUCCUCAUAAUACUAGACAACCUGUGGAAGGGGCUCGACUUGAAAUCGGUCGGCAUUCCUUGUGGACCUGACAACAAAGUCAUGGGAUGCAAGUUGUUGUUGACGUCGAGAGAUCGCGACGUUUUGCGAAGGGAUAUGGGCUGUGACAAGGACUUCCACCUUGGUGGGCUGAAGGAGGAAGAGGCAAAAACAUUGUUUGAGAGGAUGGUUGGAGACAAAGUUCACGACGAUGAGUUCAAACCUUGGGUGGAAGUAACACUCGACAAAUGUGCAGGUGUGCCUUUCUUAAUCAUUGCAGUGGCAAAGCGUUUUAAAGACGCCGGUUUAUCUGAAUGGAAGGAUACUUUGAAAAAAAUCGAGAAGUUUAAAGAUAACAAAAUCAAUGACUUGAUAAAUCAGAUGUUGAAAUGGAGUUAUGAUAGAUUAGAAGAGGAUGAGAAGUCAUUAUUACAACUUUGUGUCGUUUAUGGUAUCUCCACGCCUUCUCUUGAAAAUUUGGUGAGGUAUGGUCUCGGUAUGGGGUUAUUUAAGGAAGUUAGCAGCAUAGAAGACGCUAGAGAUAGGUUGAGCUCACAGAUUCGAACUCUUCAAGCCUCCUCCCUUUUGUUAGACAGUGAAGAUGUUGAUGGUUUCAAGAUACAUGACUUGGUUCGUGAGUUUGUUGCCUCUGUUGCAUCAAAAGAUCACCCUCUUCUCGUGUUGACAGUUAAAGAUAAGUCGAUAACAGAGUUGCUGAAGGACAAGCUUAAAAGUUGUAGAGCGGUAUGCUUUCCACACAUUGACAUGAAGGAGUUUCCUAAAGAAUUAGAUUGCCCCGAAUUACGCAUCUUUUUGCUUUUCACCAACAAUGAAUCUUUUGAGGUUCCAGAUUCAUAUUUCAACUCUAUGGAGAAACUCAUGGUCUUAACUCUUACUAGCACACAUCUCAUUCGUUCGCCAAAGCCAUUUCAGUUAUUAGAGAACUUACAUACUCUAUGUCUUGAGUAUUGUUCGCUAGAGGAUGUGGCCAUUCUUGGCAAGCUAAAAGGAUUACAAAUCCUCAGCAUUGUGGACUCUGAAAUUCAGCGAUUGCCGAAAGAAAUUGGGCAACUAGUAGAGCUAAGGUUGUUAGACUUGAGCCGUUGUUCACAACUUGAGGUAAUUGAACCGGGUGUGCUUGGAAGCUUGAUAAAAUUGGAGGAGUUGUAUAUGAUGAAUAGCUUUGCUCAAUGGAAUGCUGCGGAGCUGCCAACUCCACCAACUAAUGCAAGUCUUGUUGAGUUGAAUAACAUGAAGAAACUGUGCACUUUGUAUAUAUACAUUCCCAAUCCGAGUGUGCUCCCAAAGGACCUAAAUGUCGAGAAAUUAACCAAGUACGAAAUCCGAAUAGGUUAUGCAUGUCACCAAAGCGAUUUCGAAGGAUCGAGGACGUUAGAACUGAAUUUGAAUCGAACAAGCAAUAUUCUUCAGAAAGAAUGCAUACAAAAUAUCUUAGGCAAAACUGACAAUCUAUUUUUAGAUGGGUUGGACGGAAUUGAGCAAAGUAUUUGCGCAUUAUCCGAAAAAGGUUUUCCAAGAUUAAAGCAUCUACAGGUCGAGGAUAGUCCCUCUAUUCAUUACAUCAACCAAUCAUCUCAUACGUAUUUUAAGAGGUUGGAGUCGUUGAUUCUCAAUGAUCUCCUCAACGUGGAGAAGUUAUGCCACAACCAUAUCUACUAUAAGUCCUUCAAUGCAUUAAAGGUAGUACGAGUCAAAAGGUGUCACAAGAUGGAAGUUCUAUUUCCUCUUUCAUCACUAAGAGAACUUCCCUAUCUAGAAGAGAUCGAAGUUAUCAAUUGCAAGUCAAUACAAUGGAUUGUAGAAGCCGAUGAUUGUGGCAAUGUCGAGUUGUGUAAUUUGCAUGUAUUGAGCUUGUCUAACUUGCCAAUUUUCAAGAACUUUUUCAAUGUUGGGUCAACUCCUUUGAGUAGUAAGUCAAACGACCAAGUUGGCACUCAAAAUGCAUUCUUCAGUGGACAACAGGUAGGUUCUAUCAAAAUAAUUUACGCAAAUUAUGAUGCUUAUUUAUUUUUGUUAUUUUCAAUUUAUUUUUCCUAACUACCUUAUUUGUUCAUGUCUUCUCUGUAAUUAGAUAAAUCAAUUUUCCAUUUCUCUUAAUUGUGUAGAAAUCCAAGCAAUUAUAUGAAAUCCAUGUAAAUUUAGUUUGUGAUAAGUUUUGAGUUAUUUUCGACUUACGUGCUGCAAGUGUAUCUAUAUUAAUAGGGUUUAGUAAAGUAAAAUUGAAGGGAAUUUUGGCAUUAAAGUAAUUUCAUAAGUAAAGUAAUUUAUAAUCUUUCCAAAUGGAUUCCACUGAAUUUGGUUAUCAAAUCUUUGUUAUUAUCCUCCAAAUGUAUAAUACAAGCGACUCUUAAAAUCCAACACAAAGAAUGGGAAGGAGGGCCGGGUUUUAAAAUAAAAGCAACUGUGCUAAUAUUAUUGAUGCACUGUUUAAAUAAGCACUUAGUAAUUGCAUAGACCCCAUAGCUAUAAGAGUACACUAUUUUGUGCAUAGGUUUCUUGUAGUGAAUGUAGGCGUUGGCAAAUGUAUGAUUUUUAUUGUGUCACAACAAAGUUGUCAUUGCAAAUUUGGAAUUCUUGCUGUUGGAGUUCCAAAGUGAUCUUUACCAUUUCUCUAGUCCAUACGACAAAAUUAAGGCCAAGUUGUUACAAUAUAAAAUAAUGGAACUUGAUGCCUUGAUGGAAAAUUUACUAUCUUUUACGGGCCUUGUAUUUCGUUUUGGCUACUUAGUAUGUCAUAGUUUAAUUUCCGAAGCUUCAAGUGCUCCACAAUUUAAUCUUCAAAAAAAAUUUGGUGAAAUUUUGAGUUUUCUUUUUGCUGAGUCCCAUCCAAUUUGAAUUUUAACUUUUAUGUAACUCCAAUAGUUUAUCGGGACAAAUCUACAGGUUGCAUUAAAUAUCCUGUUAAAUUAAUUAUUGAUAUUGAUUUACUAACUUUAAAGAGAAGUUAGUAAGCAAAGGAUAAACAUUUGCCCACGUAUGCAAAGUGCGCGGCUACUUUAUACGGGGAAAGUUGCUGUCAGUGGAGCCUGUAGGCUGAUUAGAUAAAAUUGCCCUUUUAUAGCGGUGAUAUUAUCACUGAAGUUGGUGGUGGGGUCCAAGACUCACGUAAUAUAUAAGUUUUCCCAUCAGUAAAAGAUCUCAUUUUUUUCCCUGAUCGAAGGAACCUUUGCUCUCUGAAUUGCACGAGGAAAAGGUACCUGAGCCCUCUCCGUCGCCAAACUAAGCAGGUCCAGGGCUCCGGGAAUCAUCCCUUUUAGAUUUUACAUGAAUUGCAAGACCAAAGUGAUCAAUUCAGUGACUUCUCUAGGUGUACGGCAAUUUCAUUGAAGAAUUUCGUCCAUGUUGUAACUUAUAUAACCGUCUCUAAGUGAUUUAACAAAAGCUAUGUAUGCUAACCCAUUUCAUUCUUGGGCUAGCAAAAAAAGCAUAAAUUGUGAUUUGUUUAUUCUAGGAAAUUAACUAAAUUCAAGAGAGGGAGAGAUUUUAUUCAAAUUUGGGAUUAUGAGAGACUACUGUAAUUAUAUGAUAGUUGCAUGAGCACAUUUAAAUUACCAUAUUGCCAUUGUCAACAGAAUGUGGACAGUAUUCCUACUUUUUGUUUUGUUUCCCGUAAUUCCAAUAGCCUCCUCGUCUUGGAGUCGUUGACAUUAGUAUAUAGAUUUCUUUACUAACUUUUUUGACUUUAUUCAUUUUUCCCUUUCGCGCAACUUAAGACAGAAUCACCAAUUUCAUGAAGUUGUAAUUUUCAUCUUGGCACCCAUCUAUAUUUACAUCUUAGAAAUUCAUGAUUAACUCAUUCACCAAUUUCGUGAGUGAAUAUCGCAGGUUGCAUUUCCUAACUUGGAGACAUUAUAUAUCACUAACUUGAAUAAUAUCGAGAUGAUAUGGGACAAUCAAGUUGUUGCAGAAUCUUUCACCAAGCUCAAGUCACUUUGCGUGGAUGAAUGCAAUAAGCUUGUGAACAUUGUUCAUUCUUUCAUUCUAAGACGGCUCUUGAGCCUAGAAAGAUUGAAUGUAAAAGCAUGUGGUUCACUUGAAGUUGUUUUUGAAUUUUGGCCACUGAAACAUCUAGAUGGACAUCCUAUUGCUCUUCCAUUAAAAAAGCUGACAACAUCAGCAUUAUCAAAGCUAAAGCGUGUAUGGGAUAAGGAACUCCACUGUCAAGCUAAAUUCCAAUGUCUACAUUCAAUUAGUGUUUCUAAAUGUGAGAGCCUCACCUCUCUGUUUCCAACUUCAAUAGCCAAAGAUCUCAUGCAACUUGAGGAGUUAAAGAUCAAUGAAUGUGGCAUUGCGGAAAUCAUCGAGAAUGAAGAAGGACCAAUUCCCAAGUUUGUAUUCCCCAUGUUAACCUCCCUCGAUCUUAUGUUUCUAAGAAAGUUGAAGUGCCUCUACACUGGAUUACAUACUUCCCAUUGGCCGGCAUUGAAGAGCUUGAACGUGCAUGGAUGUGACAAAGUGGAGAUACUUGCAUCGCACCUUGAGAAUGAGAUGCCACUUGAUAAACAGCCUCUCUUCUUGAUAGAAAAGGUAUGACCCAAGAUUACUUCUUUUGCUUUGAUGGUGAAUAUUUGAAGUGAUGAUUAAGGUCACAACCAAGCAUCUCAUACAAGUAGCUCUACAUAGAAGAUAGACACUAUACGACUCACCUUCAAUCUAUGAAAAUAUUUCAACAUCGAAACAUCACAUGUUCUUCAAGUGCUAAUUGAACAUUCUUGUUAGAUGUAUCCAAUGCAUUUUUGUUGGUCCACUUUUAAUAAAGGUUUAGGCUAAUUCCAAUAGUUUAGCUCUCUCCUAAGUGCCAUGAAGAUGAAAACAUGUGGCACAUGUUGUGAUCUUAGCAGGGUACAAAUGUGUUGUCCAACUUGAAUCCUUUAAAGAUUACUAAUGUUUUGCUAAAAACAGAAAGAUGUGACAUUAUUGUUGACAUUAAUCACUGAAGUUGGUGCAACUAUAAUUGAUGCACAAGUUAUUUUACAAGGGAUUUAUCUUUAGAAUCAUGAAUGUAAGGCGUAACUUAAGCUCAAAUAUGGAUACAAGUUGAAUAUAAAAGUAAUUCAUAAUGUUUAUUUGAUGUAGGCACAUUUCUUUUUAUUGAAUCACAAGAGACUCAACAUUUCAUAAAUGUAAUUAUUGCGCACAACAUGCAGGACUUAUAUUAUAAUACAUGAAUGCUAUUUUAACCAAUCUGGCUUUAAAUUCCGAUUUGACUAUGUUCUCAGGACGCAUUCCCUAAUCUCCAAGAGUUAAAAUUGGACUUAUCAGAACGGAUGGAGAUAUGGCAUGGGCAUUUUCCUGAUGGAGAAUUCUUCAACAAGCUUAGAUUUCUUAAGUUGCGUCAUCUCUCCCAGGAGUCUUCAAUAUCAACAUGUCGUUUCGUUGAGAGUUUAACCAAUUUGGAUGAGCUAAUUGUAUGUGAAUCUUACCUAGAAGACCUAAACAGCAAUGAGGAAGCCAUAGAAGGCACAAGUCAUGAGCUAAAAGUAAUAUUACCUUUUCCAAGAUAUAUUCGACAUCUACAGACUCUAGAUGUGUCACAUUGUGACGGGUUAUCAAAACUGUUCACACCGACAAUUGCUAAAAAUUUGGUGGCACUCACAAAAUUGAAGAUAAGUAAUUGUAGAAUAUUGACAGAAGUCAUUAAUGAUGAGAAAGGUGGGGAGGGGCAUGUGGUGGCUUUCAAUCGAUUGAAGUAUAUGGAACUUGAUGGGUUGACAAGGUUGAGGAGUUUCAGCUCAAGUGGAUACACUUUGAUGUUCCCGCUCUUGGAAGAUAUCAUCGUGACUAGGUGUCCCAACAUGAAGUUUUUCUCUCAAGGACCAAUAGAGACAUCAAAGUUAAAGAGAGUUCAAGUAACAAAGGAAAAGUGGUUUUGGGCAGGAAACCUCAACAUCACCAUCCAAAAUAUGUUUGAAGAAAUGGUAUGCACUAGUUACCAAAUUCCAUGUAUUUGGAUGGUUUUGACCACUAACUUAAUAAUCACUUUUUGCUAGCUAGAAGUUUACGCUUAACAUUGCAUUUUUUUUUUUUGACAGGGCACGUUUGUUGGAGUAGAGAAAAUGCUGCUAUCUGACUUCCCCUGGCUGAUUGGAAAAUGGCACAGCGAACUUAAUCCCAUCAAGUCGUAUUGGCAAUUAAAAUCAAUGGUGGUAGAUAAAUGUUCAUCAUUUGUUAAUGCUAUUCCAUCCAGAUUGAUGCUUGUCCUAGACAAUCUAGACUAUUUGCAAGUGCGCGACUGCAAGUUGCUUGAAGAAAUAUUUGAUUUAGAAGGGCUGGAGGUUGUGGAAAGCACUCGAAUACUACCUCAGCUACAGAAAUUGGACUUAGUCAAUCUACCAAAAUUAGGGCGACUGUGGAACAGAGAUCUUCAAGAAUCAAUAUGUUUCGAUUCUCUAGAUACUCUCAUCCUUUACAAUUGCAGUAACUUGGGACAUGCUUUUACUUCAUCAAUGGCUCAGUGCCUUGCCAAUCUUUGUUUGAUGGAAAUAAAGGAGUGUGGUCAAAUGGAAGAAGUGAUCGUAGAGGAAGAAGGGCAGAGAAGCGCAGUGGAAAAGAUUACAUUCCCGAAGCUCUUGAUGAUGAAAUUGGAAUGGUUGCCCAAUUUGACUUGUUUCCUUUCAGGAAAAAAUCAUAUGCUAGAAUGCCCUGAAUUAGAAGUGAUGAUAAUUGCCCAUUGCCCUAAGAUGGAAAGUUUGAUUAGGCAAUCUCAUAUGGAGGAUGACCACGGCACCCCUUCAUUUUUCACUUCCCAGGUCAGUCUUUCAAACAAAUACGUCUUUGGUGUUUCAUUUUUCACUUCCCAAGUCGCCCCUUCAUAUUUAUUUGUGUGGAAGCAAACUAGCGUCGUUCUAUUAAACAUGAAUAAAAGGGAAAAAAAAAACUUUAUAGUCGUAAAAGCCAAUUUCACAAAUUGCUUAACUAUUAUAGCUCAUUAUACCAUAAUUAGUGGAGCCAACUUUUUUAUUUCUUAAUAUUCACCGAUGCUUGAGCUAAGUCUUGAUAAAAGGAAAAAAAAGGUCAAUAUGCCUGAAGUGGUUAGCCUUCCUUGUUCGUAAAUCAUAUUUGAAUUGCUAUGCUCCAACAACCUAUCAAAUUAUGCACCUAUAUUGUACAAUAAAUAUUAAUUUUGGAUUAUUAUAUUGAGUGAUAAUUAGUGUGAUACCGUGCACAAUCUAUAUUUGGCAAAAGAAAAUGCAUAUUACUUUUUCCAGAAAAAAGAAACGGCUAAAAAAAGGAAAAAAAAUGAAAGAGAAAAAAUGACAGCUGGAUAAUCCAAGGGCGGUUGCCAACAUUGCAAGUCUUAUUUCAAAACUAGAUGACAAUAUUUAGUCAAUGUCCUAGCUAAAAUAAAUUUUUUAAAAAUCGGAAUAAAUUAUCCAACCAACAACACCACCCAAGGGAAAAUAUUAGGUGCAUUAAAUACACUGCCUAGGAUUCGUAUUGAAUCAUCCGCAGACUGACACGUGACAAUGCCGGACCCACUUGUCAGUUGAACCGUUAAAAUUUUUGCUCCCCCUUUCUCUUCAAUAACGGCCCAUCACUUGAAAGCACUACUCUCCUCUUCCUGGUAUGGCUCUGCUCCCUCUCUCUCUUUCCUCUGCGAAGGUGCAUCUCUAUACUUGAACCACACCACCACCUUGGCCUCCAUCAAUUGCUGUGCGCUCACCGGACAGGAAAAAAAACAGAAAAAGGAAAAAAUUAGACAAAGUCUAUUUGGGGUUUUAGACUUCUCCCCCCUUAAGAAUUGUUCUCUCUCAGCCAUUUCAGUUCACCUUGAUCUUCCUUUUUGCAACGAGGAAAAGAAAAAAGUGAACCAAAUCUACAGAGUCAAGUAAUAGUAACUCUUCUUUCUUCCCCUCGCCCCCCUUCCUCUACUUUCUUUCUUUGGGCCGAUUGAUUGGGUGGUCCGUCCAGUGGUUGAAUCGGAAGCUUCGGAAUCGCUUCUCUGAAGCUCGCCUCCUCUCUGCACGCGUGCAUGCGUGGGUUCCGAGCGAUUACGCGAACUGGAGCUUGUUGGUUAUGGUGGAUCGAGGUGGAUCUCCGAUGCGGAAGCGAUUUCAGCGUCGAUUCGGUCGGGGCGUUGAUUCCGGCGAAGAAAAAUUAAAAAAAAUCUUCUCUUCAGCCCUCUCUUCCUCCUCCUUCGUCCACAGCUGCCCGACCUUCGCUCCUCCUCCGCCGUCGCCAACGGCGAAGUCACCAGCGCCUUAAUUAGGCUGACCCUUGCUAUGUCCAAGCCGAGCAUGGCCGUCUUCCUCUGUUUUGUCCGCCUCAUCGUUCUACAGAUCUUGAAAUCUAGCCGUCCAUAGCGACGGAGUUGCAGAUCUGGAAAUCGACCACCGUCGCUCGUAGCCAUGGACGAGCCGCUGUCGCUGUAGCCAUGGUUGCAGAUCUGGAAGUCCCGUCGCGAGUAAUGACGGCUUAUGGACUACCAUUGUCCCCUUCGUCGACGCCCACGGUCGGCUCGUGGUCGGCCCCAUCCAUGGCCGAGCCACCCCUCCAUCGUCACAACUGCUUGUGGUCGUUGCCCGUCCUGAUCUGGACUGGAGUUGUGCCUCCAGAUCUGGUUUCGUCCAUGGACGCAAGCCUAGCUCGUCCAUGGCUAGCGAGGAGGCUCCCCCAAAGAUCUAGCGACCACUGCUUGUCCAUGGCCAUGAGCCUUGACGGCGAGUUUGAGAUCUUGACGGCUAUGGAUUGCGAGAUCAAACGAAAGAAAAAACAGAGAAACAGAUGUCAGGGAAGAAUGGCCAUGGAUGAGAGGCCGGAGCUUGAACGCAGCCAUGGACGAGCGGCGUCAUGAACGGGCAGACCACAAAGACAACGGAGAGGGUUGGACGCCAAGCAAUAGUCGCCUUGGACGCGGCGCCGGGAACUCCGCCGGUGGCGACGGCGGAGGGAGGCGGGAAGGUUGGGCUCAAUGUGGAUGGAGAUGGAGAUGGAGAAGGAAAGUGAGGUGGAUUGAGAUUUUUAAUAUUUAGUCAAUGUCCUGGCUACAUAAAAAAUUAAAAAUAAUAGGAAUUGAUCAUCCAGUCAACACUUUCAUUCCGUCUCAUGAAGUUCUCCUCAUGUGAAGACUAAACGCAAUAAAUGACAACCUCCUCCGCCACUUCUCUUUUUUGGGUCGAAUCCUCAGGCACUUGAAAAUGCGCGAUAUCGACCCAAAUUUGAUUGUUUUGACCUUUUUUUUUUAUUACAGAUUCCAUGCAAGUUUUGUUUUGUUUUUUUUUUUCCUGUCGGAGGAAUUUUUUUUUUUUUUACUCAAAAUUCUGCGCAAUUCUUUCUAUUGUUUUAUGUGAGUAGAAUGUUUAAUUAUAACAAGUAUCUACACAUUUGUUUACUUUUUAAUUGUAAGAAUUAUCACUAAUUAUUUAUUUAUACUGUCAUUUGCAUGUAUAAGUUAUAUUUUAAUACCAAGCCCCGCAUUCUAAGAAUAUUUCAAAAAGUCAUUAUAACACUCAAUCAACAAUACUAAUAAAUUUGGGAAAGUAUGAAAAUAGUCAUCUAAUCUUUUGGUAGUGAUAAGUUGUAAUAGCGUUAAUUUCAUUUUAAUAUCAAAUAUGAGCUGUCAUAUACUAAUUGAUAGAUUUAAGGAAGUGUGGAAAGUCAAAUCUUUUUUUUUUUUUUGGUGACAGGUCAUAAUUGCAUUAAUUAUAUUGUAACCAAAUGAAAAAUAUCAAUACUUACUUUUCAAUGAAUAAUUCAUUGGAGGUCAUGAUGUAGUAAAAAAAAAAAUCUUGAUUUUCUCCGUACAAACAAAAUGCGAUCAGCGGGUGCACACCCACUUUUUGUCAAGGGGUGGAUCACUCGGUACACUGCAAGGUUCUAUUUUAUUUUUCCACCUCAAAUUUGAAUAAAUAUUAUUUCAAGGAUGUUAUUAAUGGUCCAAUGUAAAACUAGUAAAUUGACCCAACUUGUUUUUGCUGAGAUCAUAACAUUAUGUUAUUUAUUCAAGUCGUUAUGUUGCCCAUGCCUAUUAAGAAAUUAUUUUCUUUCAAUACAAAAAUUUUCCAUGCAUAAAAAAGAAAAAGGUUGUGAACAAUUGAAGUUAUUAUAUAUUUUUUUUUUAUAUCCGGUUCGCCAUAUAAAUUUCAUGACUCUUCUCUGCAGUGAAUUGUAUUAAUUUGAAGAUUCAUAAGUACUGUUCGCAAUUUAGUAUGAAUAAUUAGCAGUGCUCAUGGUAAAUAGAGGAAAUAAUGUUGAGCCAAGCAUUAGUUUCAUCCAUUCCUUAUUCAAUACAUACACUGCUUAAGUUCUUCGCACCCACUAUUCAUAUCAUUAGUUGACUAGCUCAUCAUCACCAUGCCCUUGCUUUUUCUCUAGUUGUUAUGCAUGUUCACCUUGAAGCAAACAAAUCUAAAACAUAACCGAUCUUUGCCAACUAACAUAACGGAAAUUUUCAGCUUGUAUCACUGAAUCUAAAUGUUGCUAUUUUCAAUAGUUCUAUCGGACUGCCUAGCAAGCUCCCUAAACCUUUUGCCAGUCUUCGUGCUUAUUCAUUACAAAAAUACAACUUGUCAUGCCUCCAUGGAACCAACAUUGUUUUGCGGGAUUCAUAUUUUGUUCUUCUUCGUCUUUGUCCUCAUUUAAUUGCAUAGAGAAACAGUUGAGUGAGCUAUCAUUGAUGUUUAGUCAACGGCUCCAUUCAUGCAUUAGCAUAAAUAGGAGGUCUCUCAUUUCUCUCUCUUUCAAUUUUGCAUUGUAGGUUUUCUUAUGCUUUAGAUGCUCUUGCAUCCAACUGGAAAUAACGCCUCUCUCUCUCCCUGUGAUUUUGACAUAAGAGCUAUUAUAAAAAAAAAAUAAAAAAUGAGGACUUAGGAGGAGGGGGAUUAGGAUGAAGUUGAAAGGUACAGAACCAGUCUUAGCAACCAUUUGAAUGAACCCAAGUUCCAUGUGCAUAAGGUCUAUCAGCCUAAUUCCCGGACUUUUAAGUUAUCGCUAUGAUUUGCCGAGUAAUUAAGAAAAGUCAACAUUGUCUGGUCACUCCAAAAUCUUAUAAAUGCAUUUAUAAUUUCAUGUUUGUUGCAAUGCAUUAUCUCUAGCCUUAGUCUUAAAUCAACUUGUAUAAAUGCAUCAAUCAACCCCUCUCUAUUUAUGUCACUAAUGAGAUCUUGACUUCUCAUGAGUUGUGAGAAUGAGGGAAGUCUGGAAAUUUCUUCUUUAAAGUCAUAACUCAAUGCAAUCACAUUCAUUGUGUCAUUUUUUUUUCUCAAUAUGGCAGGUACAAUUUCCUCAACUUAUGUGGAUGGAUCUUUCCCACAUGGGCAAUUUAAGCAAAAUAUGGACUGACGGUCCUCUAGAAACUCAGACUUUUGAUUGCUUACGGGUAGUGAAGGUUCUUAGUUGUAAGAGCCUUGAAAAUUUGUUUCCAUAUUGGGUGGCUACAAGUUUAACCCAACUUGGAAAACUUCAAGUGGAGUGUUGUGAGAUUGAGGAAAUAGUCGCUAGUGGGGAUGACACUCCAUGCUCCAAUACUACUCAAGAUCUUUUCCCAAAACUAACCUCUCUGGUGUUACAUGACAUGCCACGACUCAAGAGCUUUUGUCCUAACUUGCCUUUGAAUUUGCCAUUAUUGAAGGCAUUACGAGUGACUCAUUGUGAAAAACUGAGCAUGUUAUCCUUUGUGGCAUCCAUGAACAGAUGGGCUCAAAGAGAUGAUCAACAAGACCUUUCAGAUCAAGAAGCACACUCUUCAUUUGAGAGGGUAUGAUUAUAGUUGCUCUCCCUUAGUUUCUACUUUGUUCUUUAAAGCAGUCACUAAUAUCAUAUUCAUUGCAUAUCAUGUCGCGUUAUGAUGUUAUAGAAAACAUGAUCUCCCCUACCUAUUAGUUUGUCGACAACAUUAAGAUAUUUCUAAUAUCUUACGUACACUUCCAUUUGUGGACAUGCAUAAGAUAUUCCAUUACCUGGAGUUACAAAAAAAAUUACAGUAUUCUAUUGAUAACAUAAUAUAUUCCUAAUCUAACCUAAUGGUGCUCUUGGGCGACAUCAAUAAGGAUUUGCCAAGAGGUCCUCUCCAUUAUUGACACGUGUUGCACACUUGAACUUUUCUUCUCUAUUUCAUUUUCUACAAACUCUAAAAAAAUCAAUUCAAACAAUUUUUUUUAUAACAAAAAUAACAUUAGUACCUUAGUGCACUAUUUUCUACUGUAUUUUUUAAUACACUAGUCGUCGUGUUAUCCUGUUAUAAUACUAUAGAAAACUAGAAUCCCUUUCCUAUAAGUUUGCAGACAACAUAAGAUAUUUCUUAUAUCUUAAGCAUACUUCUGAAUUUAUGGACCCCAUAUGUUUUAGUGACAUCUUGAGUGCAUCCCGUUACAUAAGAUUCCAAAGAAGAUAAAUUUUUGUCAACAAGAUAAGAUAUUCCUUACAAAAGAUGAAUUUAGUGAGUGCAGGGAUCUUGAAUUUAGAUUCACUCUAUCCACUUGACCAGACCAACCUCUACAUGAGACUUUUAAAAGCUUGAGUCUUGAACACAAGGUUCUUGAGAUAUAAUGAACUUUAAGAAUAUGACCACCUUCCAUGCGAAUCAUCUUAAUAGGUUUACCUUUUACAGCACAUGAUUUAUUGUCGAAACUUUGUUGAAUUUACUUCUCUUGUUGUAUUGGCAAUUCGACAGGACUUUCCCAACUUGGAGAGACUUUUAUUAGUCGAUAACAAUAUUCAGAUGAUACAAGAUGGAAAUUUUUCGGAUGACAUGUUUAGCAAGCUAAAAGCACUAACACUAGCAUGCUUUCAUGAUAAAAAGGCCGCAUUUCCUUCCAUAUUCCUCCUAGAGAGAUUUCAGAAUUUACAAAGCCUUGAAGUCUUCUGCAGCUCCUUGGAAGAUUUAUUCCCGAAUGAAGGGCUUGUUGAAGAAAGGAAACAUCUGGUGCUUGAAAAUUUAAGAGAACUUAAGUUGAACAAGCUACACAACUUAGAGUGUGUGUGGAGAGAAGACUCUUUAGUGUCGAAAAUUCUUCAGAGCAUCAAAACAUUUGAGGUUUGGGAUUGUCCCAGUUUGACAACAAUAUUUCCAACCGAGACAUCCUUCCAGAAUCUGACAAAUUUACUGGUGAAGAAUUGCUCUGGAUUGGAACAUCUAGUAACGACUUCAGUAGUCACAAAUUUGGUACAUCUCACUUAUAUGGCUAUAAUAGGAUGUGAAAGAAUGAAAGAAGUAGUGGCCAACGAUGGAAAUAGAGAAGGAAAAGUGAUUUCUUUUGAAAAGCUAAGUGCGUUGACACUUGAACAUCUGCCAAACUUAGAAUGCUUCUCUUCCAUCCCAAGUUGCAUCUUUAGGUUCCCAUUCUUAUGGUAUAUUAAAGUAGAAGAGUGUCCAAAAAUGAAGAACUUUUCUAAGGGUACACUAAGUACGCCAGAACUAGAUGAUGUGUCACUGUUCAGAUACAAGUGGGAAGGGAAUUGGGAGAAGGGUGAUGAUCUCAAUACAACCAUACAUAAGUUAGCAGCAUAAAUCAAUGCACAUAGAAUUGGUAAGAUCCAAUUGAUCUCAUUCUCUCAUCCAUUUUUUUUUUCCUUUAGUCUUUCGGCAGCGCCGCAACUUUUUAAAAUUUUUCUUUUUGUGACUUUUCUAUUAUUGAUUUCGUCAAAUCAACAUCACCGUCAACCCUAUCGAUGGAUCUCGGCUCAUCCUUAACUGAACAGUAGGAAGCAAAGCGGGUCUCUCCUUCUCCUUCUCCUUCUUGACGCCAAAGGCUCUUUCUCCAUCUUUCUUCUUCUUCUUCCUCCGUGGAGCGAAACUGGGGGAAGCCUCUGCUGCCUUCACAAAGGACGGAGCAAAAAUGAAGCAUCAGGAAUUGCCAGGACUGCGAGAAGCGAAGCUGCAAUUAGCGGAGCGGAGCCAAGUAGAUUCAACCAGACGCUGUCGUUGUCGCCGUCAUCACCGCCGGAGGUGGCACAACCGAGUCUGGACAGUCAGUCGUCCACUCACUUCAUCAAAGAAGAAGAAGAUCACACUCUCUCUCCGCAUCUGUAUCCGACAAAUCGUAAGUUCAUGUUUCUUCCGAUUUUGGUGUAUUAUUGUGCGUGAAUUAGGGCUCUCUUCUUCAAAUUCGUUCCACAUUCGAGUCUAAAAACAGGAGUUACUCAAACAAGCAAUAUAUUGCCCUUAAAUCUACAUCUUCUGUGCUUCCCUCCCGAGCAUUGGCGAGAUUUCUGCGUGUUUGACCUCUCAUAGAUGGAGAUGAUAUAUUGUGUUCAAUGUCUCAUGUUGAAAUUUCUUUGGGUAGAGAUAUCUCUGUAACAUUGGGUACAAAUUCUAUCAGGAAAAAGGGAGAAAUCAUGGAACUUGAAAAUAUUCCGAGAAUUUUAUGCGUUGUCAAAAAUCUGAAAAGUCACUUUUACGCCUUGAUCGUAAUAUAGUCUGGACUGUCUGAGAAAUCACUUGUAAUCUUGAUUGGUUAAGUGAUGCUGGAAGGAUAAAAUUUAUCUCCAAUUUAUGCUAAAAUCUUCUCAUAGCAAGUCAAACUAAUGAAGUGUACUUAAAACUGUCUCUAAAGUUGUCGUUUUUUAAGUACAGGCAGGUCCAAACAUUCAAGCAGAUUGAGGCAUCCUGAGCUGGUUUAUUAUGGUCCCAUUCACCCAAGGCCUCUCACUGCUCUUACAUCGGCCAACAAAUUUCAAACGGCGCAUCCCUUUUUCAAAGGUUGUGAUGAGGCCCUCUUAUGUUUAGUUUGGCUUGGUAUGAUCCCACGCUUCGCAUGUCUGAAAAUCAAACAUAUGGAUGCUGUUUACAUCUUUGCUUAUACUAUAUUUUAUAACCAAGUUGACUUAAUGUAGUAAACCACAUGACAUGUUAUUUUCCUUGAACUGUUCAUGGGUAUAUGCUUAAAACCAGGUAUAUAUCUUAACAAUGAAGUAGUUGAAGUGGGGAAAAGAAUGAAAGGACAGUUAUUAGGACAUUAGCUGGUGGUCGAGGUUCGAAAAGCAGACAGUUGUCUCCUUUUAUGUGGAUAGAUGUUUUGGAAAGCAAUUGUUGAGGCAAGUGUCAAGAAUUAGAAUCCAAGUACUCUUAUAUGGAGAAAUUUGACAAUGAUAUUUAAUGUUGUAAAAGUAGAAUAUGUAUGUAAAUCACACAAGGAGACUAGUUGAUACGCACAAGCAUAUUGCAAAGAAUGUUGCUCCCCCUGUGACUAAAGGGAAAGACCUGAAAGAUAAAGGGUUGGCUAGUUAUGAUUCUGAAGUUUCAUUGUAGAUCUUGAUGACUCAUAAUAUUAAUGUCAAACAGGAGAUAAUGUUUUAUUCUGUUACAUUAAUAAGAUAUUUGAGAAAAAAAGAUGAGUUUACUUUGUCAAAUUGAAUUAGUAGUUUGAUAAAAUUUGAGCUGCAGUUGAAAGAAUGGAACAGCUUAGAUUAAAUUUUCACUUCCAUCAAUGUUCUGGUCAUUGAUGUCUUUGCCUUUUCCCCUGCACUUGUGGUCUAUGUGGCUGAAAUUCAUGGUCUCAAAUAUAUAUAUAGGACAGGGAAGGCUUUUUCUGGUUAUGUACCCUAUUGCACUCCAGGAGCAUAUAUCUUGACACUUGACUUUGGGUUGCAAGUUGAGAUUGUUUACUAGCAUUAUAUGGUUUAUUGUCAAUUGAAACUACUGAAACUAGCAACUACCACCUUAAAUUCAUGCUGUGUGAUUAGAUUCUCUCAUUAGUGUAUGCUUAUGUUUUGGUCUUUCUUCACCAUAAUUUGGUUGCAAAUGGGGACACUGCUCCUGUUCAAUUCAUCAGGCAACAUAAUCAGGAAAACAAGAAAAUUGCAACUCUUAGAAUAUUCAGACAUGUCGUGGACAUUUAAAGCUCAGGAGCCGUGGAUGUGGACGGGGGGCUUUUUUUUUUUCUGCUGGUUGGCCCACAUUUGCUAGAGAAGCUCAUCUGCAUGUGCUAGAUGUUGUGUGUUUGAGCUCAUUAAUGGGGAAGAUGUGUGUUCAAAGUCUACAUUUCCACUAGAGCUGGUAAGGACUUGGUUUACAUUGAUUGAAAUGAACUCUGGAAGUGUCACUUUGGCUCAUCCGAAAUAAAUCCUGUAUUCAUAGUUAUAUCUCCUUUGGUUAGCCUUGGUGAAUCAAUGAAGUAUACUUCUUCCAUUCCCAUUGUGUUUGUGAGGUUUGCAAUAAUCCAGAUGCUCACUCAUUAAUGUAGCAUCCCAAAUCUAAAUGAACCUAAAAAGAUGGGAUUCAAGAUUAGAGCGAAAGUUAAAACCUGAAAUGCUCAUCAUGAGAAUUCAGAGGUGUGACUUGUUGGUUUCUAAGUUAUGCUUAUGUGUACAACCUCACAUUAUUUUCCUUAGUCUCUCUCCAAACUUGUGAAAUUCUCCUAAUAAUCUUUUUGUAUAUUGAUUUGGUGGCAUUAUGAUUUAGGAGUUGCUAAGUGUAGUAAUCAGUUGUGUCUAACAUGAAGAACAUGUAGACGUUAGUACCAUGAUCACAGGGACUGAUGUGUAGAUCAUUGUAACUCAAUACAAGGUUGACAGUCGUACCUAUGAGAAUUCUCCUUUUUCUUUUGUGCAUAUCGAACCAAACAGUCUAAAUGUCAAGUAGCCCUCCUGAGCAAGUUUUGCAUGGUUCCACAUGUCCGUGGCCUCCCAUUGCUCUUGGAAAAACUAGAGAAUUUGAAUUGGAGGAUCCACUUUUGAAAUUGGUGAUGUGGCCACUUUUAUUAAGAAGAGAACUGCAGUAAGGGCCUAUGUCCUUUCAUAAUUGGCAUAUCUCAACCAUGAUGCCAUCUACAUCUUGCCCUAUAGUCUAAUGUUUUCACAUGUUGUUUUGGUUUUUACUGUAGAUGUUAUUUUCUUUGAAAUGUUUAUGGUUUUAUGAGUAAAAUUGGGGCAGUUUUGAUUUUGAAUUUUUAUUUAUUUAUUAUGGAUUCAGAAGAUUACAGAUUCUUAAAUAAUAGAUUGUACUUUCUCAUUAAUCAGGUCUAAAGAAGAUUGCUUUUAUUCAUAGAGUAAGAGGAUUGGUGGACAUGAUCAGUGUUAGCAACUCCUGAAGCGUUACCAUGACGAUUCAAAAAUUGUGUACAUUAUUGUAGAGUCUAUGAGCACUGUAUUGAGACACUUUAACUUCAAACUGCAGGUUGGAAUUGAAGACUUCUAUCAGCCAGUUAACACUGUUAAUAGAAUUUCCUGAAACUAGUAAAUACUAGCGUAUAUUAACAUUUUGUUUGCCUUUUCUCUCUAUUGUUUGUUUGUAUUUAAUCUUUUCCUCAUCAUGCUACAUUGGCAGAGUGUUCCUUGUGAAUUCAUAAAGAAGUACAUUCAGAAGAACCAGCAAAUCACUACUCUUAGGUAUCUGAACAAAUCACGGCUGGUGCAGCUCAAGACCUAUCAACACCAUUAUCCAACAUCUCUGUGGUUGCCUCAUGUUGGUGAGUGAAGCUUAUAAAGGGAUGUCUGCAUGCUUGAGCUCUCAUUGAUAUGGACGAUUUUCUGGUCAAAAUCUCCAUCGCCAAUUAUGCUUGUAAGGACCUCAUUUAGGUUGAUUGAGGUGAACAUUGGAAGCGUCACUUGAGGCUGUAUAUUAGUGAAGCAAUUUCUACCUCAUAUAUUCAGUUGCAACAAAUCAAUUGAAAGUGAACUUGCUUUUGGCUUUGCUUCUCUUUCUUGACCUACUUACAAUCUUAUCAGAAUUCUCUUUUUUCUUUUGUCUAGGUCAGAAUAGAUAAGUCAUGAAUGUCCAGUGAGCCCUCCUGAGCAAGUUUUUUCAUGAUUCCAAGUGUCCAAGGCCCCUCACUGCCCUUAAGGAAGCUAGAGAAUUCAAAUGGGAGUAUCCCUUUUUCAAACAAUGAUGUGGCCAUCUUUUCUUAAGAAAGAAGUGGCGGUAAGGCCCAAAUCUCCAUUCAUAAUUGGCAUAUCUCAAUUAGGCAUGCCACCUAUUCUAUAUAUAUGCGCCCCACCAUGCAAUUUUUUCCCACUUUAAAUUGGUUUUUAUAGAAACACAGGAUUAUGUUAUCUUCCUCAAAGUGAUCAUGGCUAUAUUUUUUAAACAGGCAUCUUAACAACCGAGUAAAGGGACUAGGGAAAAACAAUGAGUCGGGACAGUAAUCAGGAAAUAACCCAGUGACAGGUGGGUGCAGAGACAAGAUCAGAGGCUUGACAAAGGCAAUAACAACCAUAAGUUAGGAAUUUAAUGGUUUUUGAUUGAAGUAUAAAUUCCUCCCAAAGAUGACUACUUAGUACUUUCUCUUGCUUCCUAGGCUGGGGAAUAAGAGGCGACACGAAAUGUCCAGCUUAAGCCAUAGCUACUGCAACAGGCCUAGGCUUGGCAUGACUGAGUUCACUGCAAUAGCAUGGCAACACUAGUCGGGUGUUGCUCCCUAGCAACAAAUGGUUUACAAGAGCUACUAUUGCAAGCAGGUUCAAACUUGUGGUCGGAAAUGAAGGGAAGGUAGUGCGGCCUAGACCUCAAAAAUUAGUGCCACCAACUCGAUAGUAUAAAAAGAAGAAAAGAAGAUCACUUCUUUUUGGCCAGGCAGAAGAAGAUCACUUACUUUUUGUGUAUAUGUGUCCAUUUAGGACCCGAUGUGCAGCUUUUCAUGUUUGCUCGAUGCAUAUCACAAUGCAAGAUUGGUGACUCAGAUAUUCACCAAAUUCAACAUGUCUCUAUAUUGAUUACAUGUAUUUAAUGUAGAGUCUAAGAGCACAGGAUUAUGAUAUUCUGAUUUCAGAUUGCAAGUUGUGAUUCAAGGCCAUUUCAUCAAGCCUUUUAGACUGCUAAUAUGGACUUUGGAAACUAACAACUACUAGCAUAGAUGUACGUCUUGUUUGCCUUUUCGCUUUGGUGUAUGCUUACAUUCCUAUGUCUUAUCAUAUAGUGGCUGGUCAAAUGUCUUCAUGGCCAGAGCGUUCCUUAUAAAUUCAUAAAUACAUGCAUUCAAGAAAACCAGCAAAUUGUGGUUCUUGGGUACUCGGACACAUUGUGGCCGGUGACCAUCAGGACCUAUUGAUGCUGUAGCGAACUUCUGUGAUGGUUGGUCCAAGUUUGUGAGCCAAACUUGUCUUGAGUGAAGGGGAUGUCUGCGUGUUUGAGCUCAAUGAGAGGGACGAUGUUUAGGUUGAACUGGGAUUUACAUUGGAAGCCACUUUAGGCCUUAUACUAGUUGAAAGCAAUUUCUGCCAUUAUUCUAUUGUGAUGAAACGAGAUAAAAGUGCACUUAUAUUUGUAACCGUGCUCUUUUUUUUUUUUUGGUUACGAUCUUAUCAUUUCUAGGCCUGCACACAUUUCCUACUUUGGGUAUCUCUGUUGAGCUUGUCGCGCUUUUAUCAUUGCCUUUUUGGAAAGGAUCUCUGGUUCAGCACUCGCCUUGGUUCUAGGUUACUGAACUUGGUCUUUGUAUUACAAAAGAAAGUCAAAAGUGACCUGUUUUAGUUCUAGAAGGGAUAUGGAAAUUUAUACAACAUACCAUCACUCAUGGUCACCUGAUAGUUUUCAAAUAUGGGAGAGACAGACUCUAUACUCAUGUAAUUAUAUUUGAUAAAAGUGCUUAUAUAGAUACAUUAUCUCCAAGCAGUGAUGAAAUUGAAAACCCAGAGAGUGAAUUCCAUAUAAAUCUUGCCCUAUGGUCCAUUGUUUUCCCAAAUUGUUGUGGUUAUUCAUCGGAAUCACAUGGAUGUUAUUUUCCCUUAAGUGUUAAUGGCUAUAUGUGUAAAAUUUUGGUUUUGAAAUUUCAUUUUGUUAAUUUAUGGAUUCAUAAGAUUACCAAUUUUAAAACAAAAGAUUGUAUUUUUUUUUUAAUACUAAUCAGGGGUAAAGAACAUCACUAUUAUUCAUAGGCUAAGAGGAUGUGGUUCAAAAUAGUGUACACUACUGUAGGGUCUAUGAGCACUGUCCUAAGACAUUUUGACUUUAGAUUGCUGGUUGAGGAUCAGUUAAGACUAUUGAUUGACUAUUGAUUGAAACUCCUGAAGCUAAUAAAUACAAGCAUUUACUUACAUUUUGUUUGCCUUUUCUCUUUAUUGUUCGUUUGUAUUUAUUCUUUUCCUCGUCAUAUAUUGGUUCACAAAUAUCUACCUCGGCAAGAGUGUUCCUUUCGAAUUUAUAAAGAGAUACAUUUAUAAGAACCAGCAAAUUGUGACUUAAGUAUUUAGACAAAUCACGGUUGGUCCAGCUCAAGACAUCUGUUAUUCGGCAAACCUCUCUAGUGGUUGGCCCACGUUUGUGAGCUAUGUAACACCGACACGCAACACGCGAUACGACACGACACGACACGCCUACACAUCAUUUCUUAAAAAUAGAGAAUUUCGACACGUUCCGACAUGUUAUAUAUUAAAUAUAUUUUUAUAUAUAAAUAUAAAUAAUAAUAAUAAUAAUAAUAAUAAUAAUAAUAAUAAUAAUAAUAAUAAUAAUAAUAAUAGUAAUAGUAGUAAUAAUAAUAAUAAUAAUAAUAAUAAUAAUAAUAAUAAUAAUAAUAAUAAUAAUAAUAAUAAUAAUAGCCUAGAAUUAAUUUACAAGAAAAACAUUAAAUAAUAUCAUUCAUUAUUUUAAUUUGUUACAAUAAUACAUAAAACUUAGAGAAAAAAACAUUGUUUAAAGAAAAAUGCUGAAAUGAUAUUUUUAAAUGUAUUUAUUUAUCAUAUAGAGCAUUUUUUUUAUUACUUCUUUCACAGUAAAAGACUUUUAAAAAAAACUAAAACAAUUAUAAAAAAACAAAAUUGAAAAAAAAAAAUUGAUCCCGUGCGUGUAUAUUUAUAGCAAUUUCAUUACUUCUUUUAUUACUUAUUUUGUGUAUAUUUAUAUUUUGACCUCUCAAGUAUUAGAAAUUUUUAAAAUUGACCCCGUGCGUGUCGGAAUCGCGUGUCGGAAUUCUGGACUUGCGUGUCGGAGCGUGUCGGAGAGAGUUGACCACGUGUCGGAUUUUUCGACACUCAUUAACUGCGUGUCGGAGCUUGUCGGGACGUGUCGGAGCGUGUCAGACACGACACGAAGGCUUCCAGAAAGUGUCCGUGCUACAUAGUUUGUGAGAGAAGAUAGUCUGAAUGAAGGGGUUUCCUUGUGUUUGAACUCUUUGAUAGUGACAAUUUUAUGUUCAAAGUCUCCAUCUCAAUGCUGCUAGUAAGAACCUCACUUACUUUUGGAUUUGCCUCUCCUAUUUGAUCCAGUUACAGUCUUUACCAGGAUCAUCUUUUUCUUUUGGGCAGGUCAAGAAAAACAGUGUAAAUGUCCAAGAAGCCUUCCUGCGCAACAUUUUCAUGGUUCCAAGUGCCCAAGGCCUCUCACUGCUCGUGAGAAAGCUAGGGAAUUCAAAUUGAAGUAUCCUUUUUUUGACUACUUGGUGCUUUCUACGGCUGCCUAAGCUUGGGAAGAAGAGGUGACGCAAUAUGUCUAGCUUAAAUACUGCAUCAUGCCUAGGCUUGGCAUGAUUGAGCUCAUUGCAACAGCAACACCAGUCGGAUACUGUUCCCUUUGCAACAACUGUUUCAACUAGGCUAAGGCAUUCGUUAAAGUGACCAUAAAAAAGCAAACUGUUGGGUGAAGCUCCCCGGUGAGCAUGUAACUUGAAAUUAAAACGAAUUCCCAUGGGUCCCAUAUGAUCUCUCGAGGUUUUGAUUGUUCUGGGUGUAGUGAUCUAAUAGUCAUUCAAGCACGAAAUUCUUACAACCGAUCUAAUCCUCUUUGAGUAUGGAAAAUCAUUCAAAUAAACCUAACCUUUGUUUCAUAUGUGGUUCCCAAAAUAUCUUGGGAAGAAUUUUAGCAUCAAGGAUAAAUGCACUAACUUUGGUAUCAAUAAUUGCGAUGACCUGGAUAGGCAUAUUGUACUUAGUGGGUAUGAUAUGUAUGGGUAGAUAUGAAUAUAGUUCAUUUGAGUAUUUUCUUCGAAAGUACACUUUUCUCAACUUUUAUGAGUAUCACAAAAUUUAAGUGUAAGUUCAUUCUCUCAUCUUAUUCUUUCAUGAAUUUUUACUUUUGCAUUGAUCUUCACGAGAGCAAUCACUUUAAUAGAAGAAUGAGAUAUUAAAUCUAGUGGGCGAAUUGUUUUUAAUUAAACUUGGAAUGUGAAAUUUGUUUUUUAUAACCCCUCUCGAUUGCCUAGUGACUCCAAACCACUCUACGAGACUUCCCCAAAUGUAUAAUAUCCAAUAAUGAAAUAAAGACAAAGAAAUUGACGAAAUAAUUGGCUUCUCGCAUAAAAAUAUGCAGAGUAAAUAAAAAAUAAAUAUGAUGAAAUUAUAAACUCUCACAUUUUCUAAAUAGUGAAAUUUGUCAUGCUUUCGAUAAAAAAAAAAAAAAACAAAAGUUUGUCAUGCAAUUCAAGUUACGAAAGCGCAUUGCUCUUCAGAAAAGCUUCUAAACUUACAUAUAUUCUGAUAAUUUGAUGAGAACAAUAUACCCUUUUUUUGUUAUCAAGGAGUAGAAAAGGAAAAGAAAAGACAAGAAAGCAAGAGAAUAAAAAUAAAAAGAAAUUACUCUUUGCCAUGCCAAAUCUAACCUAAUGGUGAACAAGGGUCAACACGAUACAACCUCUCUUAUAUAACCACAAGAUUCUCAUAUGCUCUCCUCUAUUCAUUACUUGUCAACAUUUGCGGACUUGAUACAGUAUAUCGGAUCCUUUUCCCUAAAGAUGGACUUGCGGUGUCAUCAAAAUAUGAAGGAAUCAAUCAAUCACUCAAUGCAUUCAUAUUGCUCUUAUCUAAUUCUACAGUCAAAAAGCUAAAAUUGUGCACCGAGCAUGCACAACUCUUUAAUUUGACCACAAGCGAAAUCCAUGCAAGUAGUGCAAUCUGAUUGUGCCAGCCUGAUGGCACACGCUCUUGGACCGAAGCAUUUGGCAUUGCCGUAUGAAGCACUGAUGUAGUAGUUGAAUCCUCGGGUUGCAGUGUUGGACCUCAAAUCGGUCAUGACUUGAUCCAAAGCUUGUGCAUAAUCGUCUGAAUACUGCAUACCGUUGUAUAUCUUGUAGGUAAGUGUCAUGUCCGGGUCACUUUUUAUGAGACUUGGACCCUAUAGAAGCCCCAUGAACAUAAGUGGGAGUGUAUGUGAUGUGGACAAGGCCAUCCUAGCGCCCUUUUUCCUCCCUUUCGGCUCUCUUUGGUUUCCUAUAGAGAAAUACAAAAUUGCGUUUGGCUAUGAAAAGGGUUCGUCUCCGUAAGGCACCCUGUCAUUUAUUCGUUGUUCGUAGGCAAAGUCAGCCCCAAUUUUAGUCAUUUAUAAUGUCACAUGGAUUGUUUUUUUGACAACUUCCACAACUGUUUCUAUGUAUUAUUCACCCAUUAGUGUAUUAUGUUGUUGCCGUCUUUGCAAAUCCUAAUCUCAUAAUCUUCUCCCUCUCUCUCUCACUAUGCAUUAAAAAUUUAAAAUUAGGAUUCUCCAAGUUUACAAAAUAAAUUCACAUUAUCAUAAAUGACCCACUUCACUUAUUUUUGUCCUCUUUCUCCUCUUACUUUGCACACGUGUCUGCCUCACAUACGAAUCUUGAAUAUAUUUAUGUAUGUAAUGCUGUAAACUUUAGGUCAUGUAAUUAUUGGAGUUCAUGAUAGUUAUAUAGCCCAAAUAACAUCAUACUUCUGCUGCUGCUAAUACUACUACUCGAAGUGUAUCAAAAAAGGAAAUAGAAAAGGAAGAGCGAAAACUGGAUCGAACCACCCAUACUGGCCUGAUAGUUUUGGGCUCAAAUAGUUGGGCAGGCCCACUAGGCCCGAUCAUAGAUCAUAUGGUAUACAUAUAUAUGGCCUCUUUAUGUCAAUUCCCUUUCACACCUGUUGAAGGCUUGACUUCUCUCAUUCUCCCGUCUCUCACACUGGUCGAGAUCCAGCUACCGUCGUCCCACCAUCAUCAAGCCCCAUUUAUGCAGCCAUCACGCCCCACCACUCACCAUAUCUCCUCCCUCCAAUAUUUCCCACUCACUCUCUCAUUCCCUCUUACGCUUGCUUGCGUCUUGGUCUUCCUUAUGCUCCCUCACUCUCUAGCGGUAGAGAACAGGUUCUUACAAGCCUGUUUUGAUGUCUUAAGGCUUUUGAUUUUCGUACAUGCUAUUUGAAAAUUUUAUUUUAAAUUUUUAAAUGAUAGAUAGUCCCUCUUUAAAAAGAUGCAAUUACCUUUUUAUUAUUUUUGUUUCACAAUUUAUUAGUUACAAUUAGAUCGUGGAGAGCAGUGGAGAGGGCCAUAAUUGACGAUUUUCAUUUUUUAAGUACAAAAUGACAAAAAUCGCCCCUGAAUUCGUUUAAAAUUUUAUUGGAGUUAUUAUGAUAAUUGGACUUUUGAGGUAAUUUAGAUUGAGAGACAUAAGAUGAACCUCCCCCUUAAAGAAUUUACAAAUUUGUUUACGUUUUUACAAAUCAUACUCUUUGAUAUCCUCAUAUUUAAAUAAGAAUUUAUGUAAAAUAGCUGACUAGUGUUAGCACAAAAUAUGAUCCCUCAUCGAGCUAAUCGAGUUGGGAAAAUUAUUACUUACACCCGGUGCAUACUCUAUUCAUGAAUUGUUUGAGCUUGGGUUGAUGAUUUUUCGAGAACUAAUAUCUAGUCAAACUCUAACUUGAGCUACUCAAGUAUCUUACAAAUUGAAAGCUCGAGUUCGCCAAUAUUCAGUUUGAUAAAUUUUGUAAACAUACUUUCAAAAUUUUGAUUGUUACGUAAUUAUACAUAGACAUCCUCAUCCAACACACAAGUAUAUCUAGUGUAUCGACUUUUCGUUCGAAUCAAGCUCCAACAUAAGGAUGAAGUUAAUACUUGGUCAAGCUCAAAUCAAACAUUGAGUAAGGAGGUGAGCCGAUUUCAAGUUUGACACUGUAGCAGCUUGAUUAGAGACCUCUAAGCCCCAACUGUGUUGACAUCCAAUUCGAUUGAUAGAAGUCGACGUGUCUGUUAAUGGAAUUGAGAAUUCUGACAUGCAAAAUUCGAGUGCAAGGUUAUUACCGAGAAAUCUCAUUACUCAAGUGUAGUCAUGAUCUUCAUCACGCAAGUUUUAGCCCCCCAAUAAUUUUCAGUCCCUAUAUUAACCGAUAGCUCAUAUGAUAAAGGUAAGUGAAUACUAAUAAAUGUUGGAAAUCUUCAAAAGUCACAUUUCCUAAGUCCUAGCUAUAAACUCAUAGGGACGUAGCUUGGCUUUGAAAAUCCUUGCUGUAACUUUUCUCCGACAUAAUAGCACCCUAGUUCUAUGUAUUUGGUAUGUUUACUAAAAAAUGGGCCUUUACCACAAUUUUUUUUGCCAAAAAUAUACUUUCAAUUUCGAAUAACUAUUUGACAAUGAAAAAAUUCCUCAACCCAUGAUAAAUUUUUAAUACCAAACAUCCUCUUUUCUAUUUUUGCAUAAAUUAAAUCGGAGUUUACAUACAGAUAUCUUCGACAAUUUCAACUUUUUUGGAUUAAUAGGGAAAUCACUAGUCUACGUCAUGUCAUUCCCUUUUCCAAUAUGUACUCUCUAUUGUUUAAAGAAAAGUUUCACCUUUUAUCUUCCUUAACUUAAAUUUUUAAGAAAUAAUUUUUCAAACUUCCUAGGUUUAUAAUUGAAAAUUUUACCUAAUUUUAUCUCCAUUUAUCAAUAUAUCAUCAGCAUAAAUUAAAAAAUAACCAUAAAUGAAUUUUCUCUCCUCAAAGUAAACAGGGCAUAAUUUAAAAAAUCAACAAUUGUUAACAUCUGAGAAAUUAAAAGGGGAUGAUGAAGAAGAAGGAGAAGAUCCGUUAGGUUUUCCAGUUCUUGUGUUUCCAGCUUUCGGUCACUCUCUGCUUCUUCUCGAUUUCACUCUCUCUCCCCUCGAGCCAAGCUGCACCGCCGUAUCGCGGCCUCCGACCACCGUCGUCGCCGUCGCCGUAUCAUCCACGCCGCCAGGCCACCUUGGCGUUCGGCAGCAGCGCCGCCCCUCUCUCUGCCUCCUCCAAAACACCCUCCCCGAAACCCUAGCUCCCUCGCUUCGGUUCUCCGGGAUUGCUCGAAGAUGGACGAGGACCAGGAGAUGGAGAGGUUCGGGAUGGACAACGAUUACGACGACGGGCAGUGGAUCGACGGGGAGUUCUACUACCGGCGCCAAAGGAGAAGCGCGCCCAGACCAAGGACGACGUGCUCUACGGCGUCUUCGCGUCGGGGGACUCCGAUUCGGACUACGACGACUCCUCCAAGAGGAAGCGGAGGAAGAACAGGGACCUCCAUGGUAAGGCCGAUCUGUCGAAGCCCAUGAAUUUCGUGUCCACCGGCAUGGUCAUGCCGAACAGAGAGAUUGAUGAGAACUCGAAGACGGAGAAUGAGGAUGACGAGUCCGCUGACGUGGAUGAGGAUAGGCCGGGCUUGGGGAUGGUGCUGGGGUGGGUUUGGGGUUCAAGAAGCGAGACGAUGGUUUUGAUGAGAACGGCGAGGAGAAGGAUGGUUUCUUGCCGACGGCAUUUGGGCGGAAGAUCAAAGAGGGAGCGGAGAGGAGGAGAGAGCAAUCGAAAUUGGAGAAGAAAGCGGAGAGGAGGAGAGAGCAAUCGAAAUUGGAGAAGAAAGCGCAACAAGGUAAGAGGGGUUCUUAUGAAUCGGGAAACGUAUCAGCAGGGGGGAUUGUGACACCCAUUGAAGCAAAGUUGCGUCCUAAGAAUAUGGGUAUGGGUUUCAACGACUACAAAAGAAAUUAGAAUAUGGGUAUGGGUUUCAACGACUACAAAAGAAAUUCCUGCAAAGGCGCCUGUUGCCUCGUUGGAGCCAGAGGAAAAGAAGCCAUCACCUGAUGUGCCCGGUCAGGAGAAGCUUUGGUCUAAGCAAGUGAAGAAGGCGAUGCUGAAAAACAAAGCAAAAUAUAUUACAUCAGAAGAGCUGUUGGCGAAGAAGUAGGAUCAGGGUGUUGAAGUUGUGCAAGAGGUACUCGACAUGCGUGGACCUCUAAGGUUAGGGUGCUAGCUAACUUGGAGAAUCUGAACGUGGAAGAGAAGGCGAGGGAGAGCGAUGUUCCUAUGCCCAAGCUCCGGCAUGAUGUAAGGUCGAUUGUGGACCUGGCUGAGUUGGAUAUUCAGUAGAUCAUUACGGACCUGAGGAAUGAGAAGGAGAAGUUGCAAGCUGAGGCAGAACACCAGAAGAAACAACUAAAUUACGUGGAGAUAAUGAAUACACUAGACCGGAUUGAGGAGCAAAAGUCGAUGGGAACAUUGACGUUAGACUCGCUAGCCAAGUCUUUUGGUGACAUGCUAAGAAGGUUUCCUGAUGAUUAUAAACUUUGCAACUUAUCCUGCAUUGCUUGCUCAUUUGCACUCCCUCUGUUUAUCAGAGUAUUUCAGGGAUGGGAUCCUCUUCGGAAUCCCUCACAUGGGUUGGAAGUUGUUUCACGGUGGAAAUCUCUAUUGCAAGGACAGGAAUGUCUUGAUAUAUGGGAUUUGAGAUCCCCCUGAUACCCAGUUGGUUACAGAAUUUGUCUUGCCUGCUGUGUGAAUAUCAGGCAUUGACACUUGGGAGGCAGGGAAUCCGAAGCCAAUGCUUCGAUUUCUUGAAGAUUUUGUGAUCAGUCUUCUCGCAUGUGGGCGCAAAUUCAAGUUUGUCAGUUUCUUCUCAAGUGAAGAGCAUUUGGAAUUCAUUUAUUUCUGUUUUCAUAUUAACUGAAUGUUGAUAUUAAUGACAAAAGCAAGUAUGCUGGCAUCUUUGCGUCGCUGUGGCAUGACUCUUCUGCAGUCUCUCUCUCUCUCUCUCUCUCGACAAACACAGCAGCCGAGCCUCCGGCAGUGGCUUUUCGUCUUAGAAUCAGCAACAUCCCGGCGCUCUUGAACUCGAACUUGCUCUCCCCGCUGGAUAAAGCUCGCUGAUUUUCUCUUUCUAUCUCUCUUCCUUGCUAGAGCUCGAUACCUCCUCCAAAGUGCAAUCAACGGCAAUGGAAAAUUGGGAGAUGGCGAGAGGAUGGGAGAAAAUAAAAGCAAAACGGAAAUCAAACAGACGAAAUUUGGAAUGAAUUGAAGACAAUUCUAGAGUUCAAUCGGAGAUGGAACGUCCCGGUAUUUGUUGACUGUUGAUUGAGGAAACUCCGUGGUCAAGUUCCGCUGCCACGGCAGCGAGGCGAGCGGCAUCUUCAAACCGGUAGCGACGCUUUUUGUGCUUCGAUCAGCGCUGGAAGCGACAAUCGUCAGAGAGCUCAGUCUCGAUGAAUCGUUGGUGGGUACUCCUUUCGCGGUUGGAUUCUCUCUCUCCAGAUUUUCUCCGACCAGAUGUUCUUUUGCAUCUUUUCUCUCUCUCGAUUUGGAUUCUCCAUAUUCAUCUCUACCAAUUCAGAUCUAUCUCGGUUCAGAUUCCUACAGUGAACGACACCAUCAGAUUCCACAUUUUGAGUCGUGGCCACACUAAUUCCACUCUGAUUCUUGUCGUCGCUUUCCUGUCCUUGCACAUGUCUGGACCAGAUCUAUAUGUGGCCGGGCCAUCUCGAGCUCAUGCUGCCAUCGCCGCCAAACCAUCAUCAAGGGUGUUUCAUAUCCAAUUGAACUUCCGAGUUAAAAUUUUGAUUCACUCCAAAAUAUGUUCUGUCGAUUCUUGCUGCUUUCUGUUCGCUCCCACUUCAUCGCCAUCUUUCAAAUUCCUUUGUUUUGCCCAUCUACGCCUCGCCCAAAGGGAAUGCGGGUUGGUGUUCACUGCUCAAAAGAGCUUUAUCCGAUUGCUAAGGCUGAGGUUGGAUGGAUCAUCAUCAUCUGGACAGGAUCUGCCGAUUCGAAGGAUGAGAUUCUUCGGGUUCACUCCCGGCACUCCUGCCGGUCCGAGGUCGUUUCAUCAACCAACCGCAACAGAGGGCAAUCUGAGUCAUCAAAAUCAUCCGAAAAGAUACGCCAAGCAUGAAGAUUGGCGGUGGUGAGCACGGAGAGAAAACAAGGAAGAAUAAAAAGUCGCGAAGCGAAGCGACGCAGUGGAUGGAGAUGAUUCGGAUUUUGCGUGGGGACUGGGGAAAACGGGGCAAACAAGGUGAAGCCGGCGGUGGUUCUUUGGAUGAGAAGGAAGUAAAGUGUUGAAAUUUUAUAAAUAAAUAAAAAAGAAAUAAAAGACGAAAGGAAAAUAUAGAGAGCCCAUAAGAAAUCGGUCAAAAGGAAGACUUGCACGAAAAAUGAAAUUCGUCAUUAUAUCGAGCACCUUCAUUGCAAACUCGAUCCCUCCUCCACAGUGCAAUCGACAGCAAAGGGAAUUCGGAAGACGGCGAGAUAAUUGGAGAAAAACGAAAUGAAAUAGAUAUCGAUAGACGUAGUCAUUAUGUAUCGAAAUUAAUUCUAGAGUCGAAUCGGAGAUGAAAUUACCUGGUGGUGAGUACGAAUAUUGACCUGACAGAUAUCAUCAUUGUCCGAAUGUCAGCGAGGAACCGGCUUUCCGUGGAUAUUUCUUAUGGGUCGAUCUUCCUACCUCCGCUUUUUGUUACAGAAUCGUCUCACUCUCUAUUUCUCUUUGGGGCAACUCAACGAACACCUUCCCUAUGUCCAUCGUCAUUUUUCAGCAAGUCUUCCUCCAUCAGGGUCGUUUCCUAUCCGAUUGAACUUCCGAGUCCAAUUUCGAUUCAUUCCAGUAUACGUUCUGUCGAUUCUUGCUUUCCUUCAUCUCCGCCUUUCGGAUUCCAAAUGCCGUUGCUCGCGUCCUUCGUUUCGUCUCUCUAUGCCGCACACAAUGGGGAUGUCUGGCUGGUAGAUAGGAUCUGCCGAUUCGAAGGAUGAGAUUCUUUGGGUUCACUCUCGGCCCUCCCGCCGCUUCAAGAAGCAGCAAGACUUGCACAAAAGAUGGAAUUCUUGAGAGGAAGAUUCAUCCCAUAACUCAGCCAUCAUUUUCUUUUUCUUUUCCUUAGAAAAAGGCAUCAAAAACUCCAAACGACGCCAUCAAGGACGCCCAUUGCAUCUCUUCGCUUCAAGUACCUUUAUUGGAUCUCUCCCUCCAUCCCGACGCGCUCCCCGGCUCAGUGAGUUCCGAGUCGCUCCACCAUCACCCUCGCUAUCUACUCGCCUCGUGAUCGAUUCCGUCGCUCGCUGUCUUUAGAAACUUCGGUGAUCCUCUCUCUCUCUCUCUCUCUCUCUCUUUUCCUGUCCUUCUUCCGGUUCGAAUCAUGCAUUCGUUUUGUGGAUUCUUAGGUGUUUUGACUGUGGAUUCUUAGGUGUUUUGACGGAGGUUUGAAUCUGGUGUCCUUGAGUGAUUUUUAAUGCUAUUGUCGUUUUGCUCAUCAAUGGAGUUCAUGUCGGAUUUUUUUUUUUCUUUUUUCCUUGUUUCGGACCGUGAAUCCGAGACCACUUGGAAACGAGCGAUGAUUGAACUGAAAACGUCCUGAGAAAUCGCCGCAGUGAGCGAAAGUUGUGCAGAGUUAAGCUCGGUCGAACAGUGGUUCGGUUUUCCUCAAUUUUUUGGCAUUAUAUAGUCACUUCUGGAUUCAGUUGUGGUGCGAGGGUGACUCGCUAGCCGUUCCUGAUCGGUCCUUCGGUUAACGCUUUUCUCUGUAUCGAUUUCCGAGCGGCUUGGGACUUGGAGAUGGGAGUAGCACCGAUGAGUUAUAACAUGGAAGAGGGGACGCUGGAGAUCGGCAUGGGUGAGCUUUCGGCCCUCUCCGCUUUCCAAAAUUUUUUUUUUUUGGAGCUACGGACAAUAAAAAUCUGCUGGGAUGCUUAAACCUCGUAAUUAAGUUUUGUCUGUAUUGUGGGGAGUAGCUUUGUCUCCUUGUUCGUGGCUUAUUAUGUCUUUCGCCAUCUAAAUUUCACCGUGCUUGGAAUCAGAACUUUAGUCAUAGGAUAUUGUUGUUUUCUAGGCUUUCCAUAUAGCUUUCUCGUUUCUGAAAAGUUUAUGCUGCCCCUGUUAUGACAACGGUUAAUACAUUUAUUACUUAGAUCUACACAAUCUCUAUCAUUUCAUAUAUAUUGGCUGAGAGGUGAGGAAUGAUUUAGCUCUUGUCCGAGUCAAAUGUUUAGCAUGCCUUAGUCGCUGGGUCUUAGUUAUCAGUUGUUCAGACAAUUGCUUUGCUGCUUGCAGAGGAUAGGACCGUCUCUGGUGUUGCUGGGCCGUUGGUUACACUCGACAAAGUCAAGGUAAAUUUCACUGGUUUUAAUUUUAUGAGGUUCAGUGGACUCCUAUACUAACAUGUUGGCUUAAUUUUAUUGUAUAUCAGGGACCAAAGUAUCAAGAGAUAGUAAAUAUCCGCUUGGGUGAUGGAACGACUAGACGUGGGCAAGUCCUUGAAGUUGAUGGAGAGAAAGUUGCUGUGCAGGUUCAGUCUCAGUUGCCAGCCUCUUCUUUUUUCCUUUAGCUCUCUUGAUACUGCAUUUUUGUUGUUUGGACUACAAUACUUGGGUCAACUUUGCGUGCAAUACUUUUCAGCUGAUGACCCAGUGAAUUCUCUGUCAUUCAUUGCAAGCAUUAGAAAAAGCAGAACAUGAAGAGUAUUAUCUUAGGUAUAUGUGAUGAAAUGUGAGAACACCAUAUGGGAUGAUAAUUGAAAUGUGAUUGAAUUUCUUGAGAACAAUGUUAAGAGUCUAAUUAGCAUUCCGUUUAGUCAAUUAUAGAUCCUCUCUGCUCUCGAGUGAUGGAAGUCUAGUCAUGUUGUGGGUUAUUUUGGCUCUGCAAAAGGCUAAUAAUCUUUCCUAUAUGUCUCUAAUUGUUGUCAAACUUCUGUAGGUUCUGUUAUUCACUAGUUUCUCUGUCAAUAAAAUUUAGAUAUGAGUAUUCUACUCAUGCUUGUGUGAUCGGUGGUUGUUCAUCUUAGACUUCCAGUACGUAAAGCUUUCUGGUCAUCCAUGUUUCACUCUCUUGUUGCUAGGUUUAUGAAGGUACUUCUGGGAUUGAAAACAAAUACACCACUGUGCAAUUCAUUGGCGAAGUAAUUAUGCAUGCUGUUUGUUUUUGUUUUCCUAAUAAAACAAUGUUUCAUCAUUCUGUAGAAAGAAAGAGUUAGAUUUGUUUUUUUCCAUAUUUGGGAACUAAAUGCUCCUACAUGUUGGCAACAAGAUUUCACUUGUACCAUGAGAAAUAAUUUGGCAUAUGUCUUGGCCUUGGCCUCAUGAAAGGCUGUCAAAAGUGCAUUGUUUUCCUACCUUUACAAAUCUCUUCAGCUGUGUCAGCAUUUACUCUCUUUAAUCUUGGAUAAAUAAAAGAACCUUUAGAAAUUUAUUGUGGAGUUAUCACAUUUUUCUUUUAAUGCAGGUUCUGAAAACACUUGUGUCCUUGGAUACGCUUGGGUUCAUAUUUAAUGGUUCUAGAAAGCCCAUUGAUAAUGGCUCUCCAAUUCUGCCAGAGACUGACCAAAAAAAAUAAAUUCUGCCAGAGGCUUACCUGGAUAUUUCUGGUGAGUUGUCAUUGUGAUAGUAAUUUUGAUUGGCCAUGAAUCCAUUUAUACUCCAUGGCACCUAUGACAAUCCCAAGAACUUUCUUGCGGUGUCUUAUAUAAUAGAUAAACUUCCUCUUUUUUAGGAAGUUCUAUAAAUCCCAGCGAAAGAACCUACCUGGAAGAGAUGAUACAAACAGAAAUUUCCUCCAUUGAUGUAACGAAUUCCAUAGCUCGUGGACAAAAGAUCCCACCUUUCUUUACUGCUGGUCUUCCUCAUAACAAAAUAGCUACUCUGAUUUCCGCUAGGCUAGUCUUGUGAAGCGAUUGGAGAAGGCUGAUGGUAUUACCAAGAUAUAUGUUGCAUCUUUGUUGUAUACCAAUGUUAUAAUACCCUGCUCUAUGAGUUUUAUUGCCUCGAUAAUUUAAGGAACUACCAUUAGUUUUACAGAAUUUUCCUACGGUUUUGGAGUGCAGGUUCAGAAUUCACCUACACUGUAUUUUAUCCUUUGACUAACUAGCUCCACUAUUAUAUGCUAGACUCCUCAAUUGCUAAAUGCAUUCUUUGUGAAAAAAAUUUAUUUUAUUUUAUUUGUUGAUUUUUUGAGAAUUCGAUGUUAUGAGUCUUCAUCUUUCUAUUCCAAACACUCUCUUUCAAUAUCAUUUAUGAAAAUGUGCUGCAAAUUUAUGUAGGAUGACGAAGAGGACAAUUUUGCCAACAAUGUUGCCAUAGUAUUUGCUGCUAUGGGAGUGUACAUGGAAACUGCACAAUAUCUCAAACGUGACUUGGAGGAAAAUGGAUCAAUGGAGAGAGUGGUCCUUUUUCCUUAAUCUGGUAAUAUCUAAUGAGCUAAUAGUUAAUUGUCUCGCAGAUUGUUUCUUUCUGGCAAUUUUUGCAAGUUCGUAGAUUCUGUUCGUGACAUAUAUCCUUGCUGAUUAAAGGGUUGUACGGAUGCCUGUAUUUCAUUUUACGAAGUUUGCUAUUUUCUUUAGGCCAAUGAUCCAACUGUUGAAUGCAUCAUCACUCCAUGAGUGGCGGUCACAACUGCUGAAUAUCUGGCUUAAGAAUGUGACACAUCUAUAGUGAUUUUUUAUUUUAUUUUAUUUUUAUUUUUUUGUGAUGUCAGAAUCUCAAAAUUAUAUACAAUAUGGAUGAGGAUAGGCGGGGCUUGGGGGUCUUGGGAAGAACCAGCAGGGGAUUGUGACACCCAUCGAAGCAAAGUUGUGUCCUAAGAAUAUGGGUAUGGGUUUCAACGACUACCAAAGAAACCCCUGCAAAGGCGCCUGCUGCCUCGUUGGAGCUAGAGGAAAAGAAGCCAUCACCUGAUGUGCCUGGUAAGGAGAAGCUUUUGUCUAAGCAAGCGAACAAGACGAUGCUGAAAAACAAAGCGAAACACAUUACAGCAGAAGAGCUGUUGGCGAAGAAGCAGGAACAGGGUGUUGAAGUUGUGC
rnacentral:lncRNA from 1 species